rnacentral:lncRNA from 1 species
UUCUAACACCAAAGGGAUAGAUAAGGCUCUAGUGUAGCAGAUACAAAAGCCAUAGCCAUGACGAAACUCAUGUGCUUAUGUUUCAUCAUCCUCACUAUUGCGGUAGCCGUGUCGGCUGAUGAAUGUGAGGGUGACCGACAGGCCAUGAUCAAGGAGUGUGCUAAGUAUCAACAAUGGCCAGCAAAUCCGAAGUUAGAUCCAUCGGACGCAUGUUGCGCCGUGUGGCAGAAGGCAAACAUCCCAUGCCUUUGCGCUGGUGUCACCAAGGAGAAAGAGAAGAUAUGGUGUAUGGAGAAGGUUGGCUACGCUGCCAAUUUCUGCAAGAAGCCCUUCCCACAUGGCUACAAGUGCGGAAGUAAGUGAAAUAUAUUAAGGGAAUUACGAUGAUUGGCAUUGCAUACAUGCAGUUUUGAUAUUUAUCAUUCUUCGGAUUCACAUGGUUUUGAUUUUAGUUAUGCAUUUUAUAUGUUUCUUGUGCUAUUCUGAUCAUAUGUUGGGUCAAAUUGAAUGGUCUUGCAGGUUACACAUUCCCUCCUCUGGCGUAGUGAUUCUAGUUUAGUAGCGGGAGGAGAAGCAUUAGCAUUUACAUUAUAUGUGUGUGGCCUCACAAGAGCUUCCCUUUCAAAUCUAUAAUUCUUGAGGUUGUACUCAUAAUAGUUUAUGUUAGGAACUAUCUAUGAGAAGGUUUGUGAAACUAAUAAAGUCUUCUCCUCAAAUUGUCUAAAUUAUGUUUGUUCAUACACAACAUUUUUGUUCUAUUUAUGGCUCAUUGUAGGUGAAGGGAUCAAGGAUAUUAGAAGAAAUUAGUGUUGUUAAAGCAACAACUUUCAUGUGCUUUUUAUAUGCAAAGUUAAUGGGUUCAUUUAUGCCCUGAGGUCAACCAAUUUUCACCUUACUAACUCUUAUUCUUGGACCCUGGCUGACGCAAAGCUCUGAAUACAACUUAAUUUGCUAGAAGUGAGGAGAUUGAUGGGAGGGGAUGAUAAAGAUAAGUGGCAUAUUUAGUUAGUUGUAUAUAUGAUUUCACACACAAAUCCGUUGUAGUUCGAUUAUAAUGGUUUACUUGGAUUUUGUAAUGCGUGCAACAUCUGCCUUGUCCAUUAUAUACACUACCAUAAUUUUAUCAUACAAAGUUUUUCAACUAGUGAAAGUGCGUUAUGUCGACUAGAGAGGGGGUGAAUAGGCGAUUUUUAUGAAUUCUUCACUGAGGAAUUUGCCGGUGAGGAAAUUCCUUAGCGAAGAACUAUUAGCAGCGGAAUAAGUACUCAGAAGUAAGCAUAACAGAAUACAAGCAUGGUCAUCAUGAUGAAAUGAAGACUAGCACAGAGUACAGAAAGCGUAAUCACAGGAUAACACAUGAUGAAGACAAACAGACUGAAGAAAUUGAACUGAGGAAAUUGAGAAAGUCUUCAGUCAAAGUCUUCAAACACAGAUAUGAACAAACACUCAACACAGUAAUGAGGAAAUGAAAGGGUUGAGGAAAUAGAACCAGUAGGUUGGUGAAGACAAUGAUUUGGUAGACCAGUUCCAACUGCUGUUUCAGUUGUACGUCUGGUUGGAGCGGCUGAGUAUUUAAACUCGAGGACACGCAGUCCCGGACACCCAGUCUCUAAGCACGCAGCUCAGGACACCCAGUCCUCACCGUAUUCUCCUUGAACUAAGAUCACACAGAUCCCGUCCAAUCACUCGUGGUAAGUCUUCAGGCGACUUCCAAACCUUCACAGACUUGGUCACUCGGCGAUCCACAAUUCCUCUUGGAUGCUCUAGACCUUGACGCCUAACCGUCUGGAAGAAGCACAGUCUUCAAAGGUAACAAGCGUCGGAUCCACGCAGGAUCAAUUUCUUCAGUGAUGCUCAAUCACUUUGGGGUUUGUAGGUGUUUGGGUUUGGGAUUUUCCUCACUUGAUGAUUUUCGCUCAAAGUCCUCGGAGGAUGGGUUGCUCUCAAAUGACAAGUGUCAAGUUCUCUCGGAGCAGCCAACCAGCUAGUGGUUGUAGGGGGCGGCUAUUUAUAGCCUAGGGAGCAGCCCGACAUGAUAAGACAUAAAUGCCCUUCAAUGAUAUGACCGUUAGGUGGAUAAGAUAUUUUGGGACAGCUGGCGCGCAGCACAGCAACGGUCGGAAAUUUGACUCUCAAAUUCCUCAGGGCUAUCAUGUUCCUCACUAUGUAGAUAAUUCGCACUGGCGAAUUCCUAACUCCUCAGUCAGAACAAAUUCAUCAGCGACCAGAAGAACUUCGUCUCUGUCACUGAAGAAAGUGACUGAACCGUAUGAGAUUUCCAAAGGCUUCACUCGAAGGGAUUGGUAGGUGUAGGAUUUUGAGUUGAGCAUCACAUGGAAAUUUUUCCUUAGUAUUUCCUCGACCCCCUUUAAUAGUACGGUGUUUCCUAUGACUCAAGAAAGAGAAAAUGAAACUACGAAAACAAAAGUCUUCACGCUUCAUGUUCCAGAAAUGAAUACCAAGUCUUCAAGGUCACACCAAUUUCUUCACUUUCAAAGUCUUCAGAAAGUCUUCAGAAUAUCAAAGUCUUCAGUUGAAGAACUUCAUUUUUAGGGGUCGACUUUCUCUGUAAAUAUCAAACUCCUAUAGACUUAUAGACCCAUGUACACUCACAAACGCAUUAGUCCCUUAACCUAUAAGUCUUCAAUACACCAAAAUCACUAAGGGGCACUAGAUGCACUUACAAUCUCCCCCUUUUUGGUCAUUGAUGACAACAUAGGUUAAGUUUUCAACGGGGAUAAACAUAUGAAGUGUAUACACUGAUAUUGAGGAAUUUGAUUACAAGAUAUAGUAGAACUCCCCCUGAAGAUGUGCAUAGUGAGGAAUUUGCUUUUGAGGCAAUGCACAUUUGAAGAGUUGAAUCAUGGAGAUCUCCCCCUAUAUCUUGUAAUUCAUACACGCAUUUGAUAAAUAAUAUGAAGAAUUUGAAAUGCAUGAUGAAAUAUGGUGCCUGAUGAGAUUCAGCAUGCGUGCAAUGUCAUUAACGAGGAAUAAGCAUGCAAAGCAUAAUGCAACAAAAGUAUCAGCGCACCAUCGGGUUUAAGAUUACAACUCGAUUGAAAUAAAAGUUUCAGAAGAACGAGAGUUGUAACUUAAAAAAUGCCCUUAAUAUAGACCCGCUUGAAGACUAACUCAGAUUUCUCCCCCUUUGUCAUCAAAUGACCAAAAGGAUUGAAACUAAGGACUAACGGCCCUGAAGAAUUUCAAGUCGAUGGAGGAGCGCCAGCGUUGUCGGGGUUGUUUGUUGUCGCAGGGCCUGCCGCAGUGUCGUCCAAAUCUUCAUACUCAUCAGUGUCACGCGAUGAAGAAUAAGAGCUGGCCACCAAGGAAGGAACUUUGACCUUCUUGAAUUUCUUCGGUGGAGGUGCAGACCAGUCAAAUUCAUCCUUGAGACCCAUAUUCUUCAGAUCAGCAGCGCUGUAGACAUGAGAGAGAACAGCCCAGGUACGGUUGAAGGUUUCAUGGAGGUAGUAUUGGUUUUUCUUCACUGCAUUGUGUGUGGAGGUCAUGUUGUGAAGAAUUGAACCAAACUGACGCUUGACCCAUUUAUGAUUGCGAUCAACCUUCUGAUGAAGACUGAGGAGUAACUCACGGUCAGUCAUCACCCUGGGUGUUGUGGCUUGAGGAUUUUGCUUGGCUGAGGUAUUGGCGGCAGAGUCAUGUGUGGCAGAAUCGUCAUUGGUAGAGUAAGAUGCAGCCUUGCGAAAUUGACCAUCCAAUGGACGAAUGCCUUCAUCGAUCACAGCAGCGGCCUUGCCUUUAUCAUCAGCUGAUGAAACUGUCCGUUUGAGGACUUCAAUGGGAGGCAGGUAGCUACCGUGGUUCAGAGUGUCAGCUUUGUAAUUCAGUGAAGAUCUUGCCCUGAUGAAUCUCAUAAUCCAAGGAGCAUAGGGCUUCAGCUCGAAUGGUGACAUAGCAAUAUUGGCCAGAGUCCUCAUGAAGAAAUCAUGGAAGUUUAUGGGAACGCCAUGAAUGAUGUUGAAAAGCAUAUUCUUCAUGAUGCCAAUGACUUCUUCUUCAUUUGAGUCGUGGCCUUUGAUAGGACUCAUUGUCUUCGUCAGGAUUCGAUAGAUAGUUCGAGGCACAUAGAGUAAUUCCUUGAUGAGGAAUUUGGUUCGUGGGGCCUGCCUUGGCUUCAAUGGCUUCAUCAGCACUUGCAUAUAGUGAUUUGAAAGUUCUGGUUCGUUGUAGAUACAACGAGCAUCAUCAAGUGGAGGACUGAGUGGCAGAGCACGAAGCAAUUUAGUUGCAGGUGCCUUGUAGUGAGUAUUUUCAGACAUCCAAUCUAAUACCCAGUAGUUCACAUCUUUAGCGUCUCCGGUGAUGUGUAGAGUUGCAUAGAAUUGAAGAAUGAGUUCUUCAUUCUAGUCACAGAUAUCAAUGCAGAAAUUUAGAAGUCCUGCGUCGUGAAGAACACUGAGGACUGGCUCAAAGCCGGGCAGAGACUCCAUGUCCACAUGAGGAAUAUGUGCAUGAUCAAAGACUUUGUCUUUGUUGAAGAGCACUGAGGAAUAGAAAUUGGCUUGGCUGGCAGUCCAGAAACGCCUCUUCCUUAUGUGAGCAGAAUCAUAUGGAUUAUAAUCAAUGAAGAAUACAUGCUCGGCAAAGAAAUCUUCAGCCUUAAACUUCUGUUUGCUUGAGAACGGAUUCUUUUGCUUUGGCAGAGGGAUGUCAGUGAGUUGCAUCACCACCUCAGGAAUCGCGAGCUCAGGUUCUUCAGGCUGAGAAAUUUCUUGUUCCUCAACAGGUGCAGUCUGAGGAUCAGCAGCAGCAUGUUCAUCAGCACUAGUGGAUGGAAUUUCUUCAUGCACUGAGAGAGUGGGAUGAGUUUCUUCAAAGCCCAUUUGAACUGUUGGUGCAGGGGACUGAGGAAUCUGUUGGAGCAGGGUGAAGAGAGGAGUAUUGGGAUGCUGACUUUCCCAAAAGUCAUCAUUCAUCACAGGUGUGGUGCACCCAAUAUCCACAUCUUCAUCUUCAAUUUCCUCAACACCAGCCUCUUCAGCUGUGAACUGAGGCAUAGGUGAGGAAAUGACUGGAGUUGAAGGGAUUGCGUCCACUUCAAUUUUUUCAUCAAUCUUCUCUGACGAAGCAGCAGAAUGAUGUUCUUCAUCAGAUCCGAUAGGGAUCUCAUAGUCUUCUCCAAAAGGAACAAGGUCCUUUGUUGGCAUGGAGGAAAUCAGAACAGCAUCAAUUGGAUUUUCGAGUGAGCUAGUCAUUGGCUUCAGUUUCUUCGUAGCCGAAGAGUUUGACAUAGCUGAUGCCUUCCUUUUCUUCACUGCAGCUCGCUCUGCAGCCUUGGUCUUCUUCACAUCAAAUGCACAUGGAAGAAUUGGAGUUGGUGUAGGUGCAGAUGGAGCUGAGGAAUCUGGUUGAUUUUCUUCAGGCGCAACUGAUGCAGUUGCCCUGACUUCUUCAGUUUCUUCAGGCGCACCACUAGUGGAUGCCCUGGCAAUUUUUUCAGUGGCUGGAAUGGAAUCAUCAGCCCUCGAACUAGCAUUUUCAUCAGCAGCCUAAACUUCAUCAGCGGUGCUGGCAUGUUCUUCAGUCGACUGAGCUGAGACUUUAGCAUGAGGAAUUUCAUGUUGCGUUGGGGCAGCAACAUUGGUGAAUUUCUUCGUCAGGUUGACGAAUCUGACUUGGGCUCCUUGCCAAUCAGCAUAGUAGGCAUCAAAGUCAUUGCUGAGGGCUUGAAUUUCAGACUGAGCCUGGAGAAGUUCCUCAGGUGUCAUUCUGACAAUGUUUUUCUUCAGGAGCUUCUCCUUUCUGUAUUGAGCUUUCUUAAUCUCUCUUGCCUUUUCAAACUUUCAUUUCUCUUCAGUGAUGAAAUGGGUCAGCAUGUGAUUUUGACCAGCGGUCAGAUGAAAAUCAGGCAUGGGGGUGUUUGGAUCCUUGUGCCAGAGAUCAAUAUAAUCGAGGAUUUUUCUCGGAUCCAACAGCAGUGGCACAGAUGUGCCUUUGGCUCUAGCAGCCUUCACCUGUCUGUCUCUGAUGAUUUCUGCAAGUUCAUCAUCAGAAGGCACAUGAAAUGCGACCUGUUUCUUCUUUGGACUUGGCCGAGGACCUCGUCCAGCUGUUGCUUUGGUCUUCAGCAGAGUCGGGCCAGAUGAUGACUUUGGUGCAGCUGAGGAACUUGCUGAAACACCAGAGGCAAUCGAGAAACCAGCAGUCCUUUGACAUGUAGUCAGAUGCACAGGAGCUGAGGACUUUGGUGUAGCAGUAGCAGUGUGAGGAAUUUGCUGAGAGGGCGCUGCUGAGGAACUUGGCCGUGAGGGUGCUGCUGAGGAACUUGGCCGUGAGGGCGCUGUUGGUGAAGCACUUGGCUUACGAGCAGGCUUCUUUGGCAUGGAUUUCCUCGGUUUGACCGAGGCCUCAGUAGCAGUAGCAGUGGCAGGGUCCUCAUUGAAUUUCUUCACUGCCUCCUUGGCCUGUCUUGCCAAUUUGGCUUGGCGCUUAGCCCAUUCUUCAGGAAAGUCCUCACCACGUUUGAUGCUUGUGGGAUCAGCUACUUGGCCAGGUGCCAAUGGAGCUCUUGGGCAUGGAGGAUUGAGGGCGAAUUUCUUCAUGUACUUUGGAGUCACAUAUCUGUAUUCCCUCCAUUCCCUUGUCCAUCUCCGUUCAAUCUUCUGAAUGCGCACCUUGCGCUGAUUUUUGUUUUCUUUGCCAUAUUUUGCUUCAUCAGGUGUGCAAUAGUCAUCAUAAAUUUCUCAGGGAUUUCAAACGCCGUCAUAACCUCAGGUUUCUUUCCUCCUUUCUGUGGCUUCAAACCGUCUGCCAUAUUCUUCAGUUGAGGAAUUUGAACAAUUGAGUUCUCUGAAGAAGUAUGCAGUUUUUCUUCGAGGAACACUGCAAAUGAGUUAAGUUGAUGAGAACCUAGUGAUUCAGCAGCAGACAUGAGUACCUGUGAACAGAGUACAGGUGCGAGGAAUUUGGAGAGGUCAUAUGCGUUCUGAGAAGGUUUUUCAAAAAGAACAAGUUUUGAGGAAUUUGACCAGAUGAACCUUGAGGAAUUUCACUAAGCGUUCUUGUCUUAGGUUCCAGAGUUGUACAGAUCGAAGAUCCACACAAUUAGGGAAUCUUGAAGAAAAUGAUUGCUUAGAGAAGCAAUUCAAGAUCUUGCGAUGUGUGUGGUGUUCAUAUGUGUGAAGAUUUGAAGAAUAAACACCUUUGAAGAUUUUCAGGAAAGCUUGAGAAUCAAAGCGAGUAAUAAAACUGACUUUUAAUUACCCGAAAUGAAGAACACGACGAACUGAGAAGAACAGAUGGGAAGUUCGUCAGAUUAGAUCUUCCUUGCCCUAACUCGGUGGAGGAAGACAUCUACGGCGGCGGCGGAGUGAAGAUUUCCGCGGUCGGCGUGAGUACGACGGCGACGAGGUCGAGGCAGCGAAGCUCUUCCUCACCGGCGACAAUGGAGUAGCGGUGGCACUAGGGUUUGAGGAGCUCGAACGGGAGAGAGAGGUCGAGCGGAGUAAAUGAAGUGAGGAAGGGGAGAGGGGUAUUUAUAGACACGGUGAAAAACUGUUCGCCCGAAGAUUUAGGACGAACGUGCCCUUGCCCUUUCUCCUUCACGCGACAUGUGUCAUCCACGUACUGUGUAGUGGAGAUUGUGUACGAUCGUGGGUGAAUAGAAUAAUGCAUCAUGGGAUGCGGAACAGUUUGUGCGGCAAAACCAAAAAUUUGGAUAAGAUUUGUUUUAAAGUUUCGUUCGCAAUUUCUUCAGCUGCCAAGGACAUAGUGAAGAUUUUGAACGAGUUUCAAAUAGAACUCACAUGAAGAAUUUGUGAAUAGAUUGGGUUGAGUAUAGCAUAGAGGGGGAAGGGUCCGAUCACAUUCACUUAGCAGAAAAAACAACUUGAAGAAAUAGCUAUAAGUGAAUGCUGUAGAGGACGUAAACUCAUAUAUAUAUAGCCAAUGAAGAAAAACGAAGGAAACAGUGAAGAUUUUGCAAAGUUGAAGAAUUUGAAAAACUGAAGAAUUUCAAAACUGAGGAAAAACUCAAAUUGAAGAUUUUCAACUUUUGUGGUGGCGUGACCCACCGUAUAAGAAUGAUGAUUUCAGACACCGCGUACAAUUGUCAUAGGGUUCUGAGAAUCAAAUUCUUCAUUAAUUUCUUCACACUUAGAGUGUUAUUCUUCAUUGAUUGAAGAAAAACGUUUCUUCAUGUGUUGCACAUCUAAGUCAUCAAUUUUGCAUAAGUGUUAGGAUGUGUGUCCUUUUCAAAGAACAUUCAAAGAUUCUAAGAUAUUUAGCUCACACCGCAACUUGCUAAAUCUCUUCUCAUCCAAGGGCUUUAGUGAAGAUAUCAGCUAGCUGUUCUUCAGUCUUCACGUGCUCGAUGGAGAUGUCGCCCUUCAACACAUGAUCAUGAAGAAAAUGAUGACAAAUCUGAAUGUGCUUUGUCUUCGAGUGCUGAACUGGGUUGUGAGCAAUCUUGAUGGCACUCUCAUUGUCGCAGAGGAGAGGCACAUUCUUCACGUUGACGCCAUAGUCCUUGAGGGUUUGCUUCAUCCAAAGCAGUUGAGCACAACACGAUCUAGCAGCAAUGUAUUCAACUUCCGCAGUAGACAGUGAUACACAGUUCUGUUUCUUCGAGGACCAACAGACCAAAGAUCGUCCGAGGAAAUGACAAGUGCCAGAAGUUGACUUGCGGUCCACAUGAUCACCAGCAUAGUCAGAGUCAGAAUAUCCAAUGAGAUCAAAAACAGAGCCCUUGGGGUACCAUAAUCCUAGUGUUGGUGUGUGAGCUAGAUAUCGAAGAAUAUGCUUCACAGCCUUAUGGUGUGAUUCCUUCGGUGCAGCUUGAAAUCGGGCACACAUGCAAACACUAAGCAUUAUGUCUGGCCUAGAUGCACAUAAGUACAAUAAAGAACCAAUCAUGGAGCGGUAUACCUUUUGAUUGAAGUCAAUACCAUUUUCAUCAGUGCAUAGAUGGCCUUUUGUGGGCAUAGGAAUUUUGACGCCUUUGCAAUCUUGCAUGCCGAAUUUCCUCAGUACAUCUUUGAGGUAUUUCUCCUGAGAUAUGAAUAUGCCAUUGCGCUGUUGACGAAUUUGAAGACCUAAGAAGAAUUUCAACUCUUCCAUCAUAGACAUUUGAUAUUCUUCACUCAUCAUAUAGGCAAAUUCAUCACUAUAACGUUGGUCAGUACAGCCAAAGAUAAUAUCAUCAACAUAUAUUUGGCACACAAACAGUUCACCAUCAUAAGAUUUAGUAAAGAGAGUAGGGUCGAGUGAACCGGGUGUGAAGCCAUUCUUCACGAAGAAUUCCUUCAAUGUAUCAUACCACGCCCGAGGGGCUUGCUUGAGGCCAUAGAGGGCCUUAUUAAGUUUGAAGACUUUGUCAGGAUUCUUUGGAUCUUCAAAACCUGGGGGUUGAGCAACAUAUACUUCUUCCUCAAGCUUACCAUUGAGGAAUGCACUUUUCACAUCCAUUUGAUAUAAGAUGAUAUCAUGAUGAUUAGCAUAAGCAAGUAAUAUGCGAAUAGCCUCAAGUCUAGCAAUAAGUGCGAAAGUUUCAUCGAAAUCAAUUCCUUCAACCUGUGUGUAGCCUUGAGCUACCAGUCGUGCCUUAUUCCUUACCACAAGGACAUUUUCAUCUUGCUUGUUGCGGUAGAUCCACUUUGUGCCAAUGAUAUUAUGCUUGUGAGGAUCUGGACGUUUGACCAGUUCCCAGACAUUGUUGAGCUCGAACUGAUGUAAUUCUUCUUGCAUGGCUUGAAUCCACUCCGGCUCCAAAAAUGCUUCAUCUACCUUAGUGGGCUCUGUGAUAGAGACAAAAGCAUAGUGCCCACAAAAGUUAGAUAAAUGUGAAGCUUUUGAGCGUGUGAGAGGACCUGGCGCUUCAAUGUCAUCGAUGAUCUUGUCAAUUUGUACUUCUUUUGCAACGCGAGGAUGAGCUGGUUGACGUCGAGGUAUUUGAUCAUUUUCCUCAGCACCAUUGUCUUCAGGUGCGUCAGCUCGAUGUUCUUCGCGUACUAGAAUGAAUUCUUCAGCUAAUUCUUCAGUAGGAAUGACAUCCUCAGUUGCCUUGAACUUGAUAGAAUCCUCAGGUGCUGGUUCAUCUAACACAGAAGGUAGGUGCUCUCUUUGUGAGCCAUUAGUUUCAUCGAACCGCACAUCUACAGUUUCAACAAUCUUGUGAAGAGCGAUGUUGAAGACUCUGUAGGUGUGCGAGUCCUUUCCGUAACCAAGCAUAAAACCUUCAUGUGCUUUCGGUGCAAAUUUAGAAUUGUGAUGAGGAUCUCUAAUCCAACAUUUAGCACCGAAGACUUUGAAAUAACUCACAUUGGGUUUCUUGUUAGUGAGGAGUUCAUAGGCCGUCUUCUUGAAGAAUUUGUGAAGAUAUACUCUGUUGAUGAUGUGGCACGCAGUAUCAAUUGCAUCAAUCCAAAAACGAUUAGGCGUUUUGUAUUCAUCAAGCAUAGUGCAAGCCAUCUCAACAAGAGUUCUGUUCUUGCGCUCCACGACGCCAUUUUGCUGAGGAGUAUAAGGAGCAGAUAACUCAUGAGUAAUACCAAGUUCAUCAAGAUAGUCAUCAAGACCGGAAUUCUUGAACUCAGUUCCAUUGUCACUUCUGAUGUGCUUGAUCUUCACACCGAUGUUGGUUGAAGCCCUCGAAGAAAAUCGUUUGAAGACUUCCUGCACUUCAUGUUUGUAAGUAACAAUGUGUACCCAUGUAUAUCGAGAGUAAUCAUCAACAAUGACAAAACCAUAUAGAGAAGCAGCAUUAGUGACUGCUGAGUAAUGAUUAGGUCCGAAGAGGUCCAUGUGAAGCAAUUCGAAUGGACGAGUAGUGGUCAUGAUAGUCUUCGCUGGAUGCUUGGCCUUGGUCAUUUUUCUAGCUUCACAGGCUCCGCAUAAGUGAUCCUUGAGGAAUUUGACAUUCUCAAUGCUAAUGACAUGCUUCUUCUUCGCAAGCGUGUGCAAAUUCCUCAUGCCUGCGUGACCAAGUCGUCGAUGCCAUAGCCAGCCUUCUGAAGUUUUUGCAAGUAGACACACGGCUGGGUGUGGUCCUGUAGAGAAAUCAACAAUAUACAUAUCUCCUCUCCUAAAGCCUUCGAAGACUUUGGAAUUGUCAGCUUCCAUAAUCACAACACAGCGAUACUUGCCAAAGACAACAACCAUAUCAAGAUCACAAAGCAUUGAGACUGACAUGAGUUUGUAUCCUAAGGACUCAACAAGCAUGACUUUGUCCAUGUGUUUAUCCUUAGAGAUCGCAAGCUUACCAAGACCCAAUACCUGACUUUUGCCUUUGUCAGCAAAGAUGAUAUGCUUCAGAUGUGACGGUGAUAAAGGAGCAUCCAUCAAAAGAUUCUUGUCACCAGUCAUGUGAUUUGUACAUCCACUAUCGAGGACCCAUUCAGUGGUUUUGGGUUGGUCAUCCUGCAGAUGAAUUAGUGUAACUUACAAUCUCAUAUGCUUCAUCAGUGAAGAAUAUGAUAUUAAGUUCAUCAGAUGAAUUUCAUCAAGCAGUAAAUAGAUAUAGCAGUUAUGAGGACGUGUGAAAUGAAAGUUCAUUUCAUCAUGGUUAGCCUGCGUCCUUUCAGGCAUUUUUGUCAGGUCCCCAGCAAAUUCUUCAGACGUUAAGGCACGUCUGGAGACCUGACCCUGCAGAAGAGAUUAGUUCUUUUUCUUCACCACCCACAUCUGAAGGGGUGGCAAAGAGUUCAUCACUCUGCGAGCACUAUACGAGAAUGGUGGCAUAGAAGCCAAACCAUUUCGUUUCACAUAAGAGGGGUUAGGGUAAGCAUAUGAAUAAGCAGAGAAAUUCUUCGAGGACUUAUGAACAUAAUGAUUUGAAGAAUAAUAUGCAUAUUCGUAGCCCUUAGCUCUACCCUGCGAAACAGAGUUGUUAGCACGAUGAUAGUGAUAUGAGGACUUUGAUCCAUUUGAGGAAUUUGAUCCACGUGAGGAAUUUGGUCCAUAUGAGGACUUGGAUCCAGAUGAAGAAUUAGGUCCAUAUGAAGAGUUUGUUCUGGGGUUCCCAUUCUUCACAGGUGGUGUCAUGAGGACAUUCACCUGAAGACUUUCAACAUAACUUUUGGGAACCCAGAUUUUCUUCAUAGGGGAACCGUUCCUGCAGUUAGUCCCAACAUAUCUAGCAAAUACUUCACCAUUCUGAUUUUUGAACAGUUUAUAGUUGGAGUCAAAUGACUCAUCAGAAGAAUGAGGAGAUUCACAUGUAAAGCCAGAUAACAUGGAUGGAUCAAUUGGAGGUCCCUUUGCAGCAACCCAUGAGGUUUUGGGGUACUGCUCAGGCUUCCAAUAUGUUCCAUCAGCAUUAAGUUUCCUCUCAAAGGCAAUACCCUCUUUCCUAGGGUUUCUAUUGAGGAUCUGCUUUUUGAGCACAUCACAGAGAAUCUGAUGCCCUUUGAGGCUUUUGUACAUGCCUGUCAUGUACAGUUCCUUCAGCCCUGCAUCGUCAGUGAUACUAGCAAUGUCCUCAGAUGAGGAAUUAGUGAUAGCAGAGGCAGGUGAAGAAUUUGUAACAGUUGAAGCAUUUGAACAUUCAGGUGAAGAAUUAGCAGAUUCACGUUCAAUGCACUUUAAGCAUGGAGGAACAAAUUCUUCCUGAGAAGUGCUGAUUUGUUGAGCAAGUAAGAAUCGCGCUCCUUCUGAAGAUCUUCAUAACUCACUCUUAGCUUCUCAAGAUCUUGCUUUCUUUGAAGAAAUUCAUAAGAAAGUUUCUCAUGAUCAGAUAAGAGAGUGUUAUGAUGACCUUGAAGGUUAUCAAACCUAGACUGAAGUCUCUGAAGAUUUUCAGUCAGGGCUUUAGUGCGAUCCAUUUCUUCACCCAACAUAUCAUCACUUUUGUCUAGCAUGUUUUGAACCUUUUCCAAGGCAUGUUGUUGUUUGGUGGCAAUGCAAACAAGUUUGGUAUAGCUAGGUUCAAUAUCAUGAUCAGAUUCAUCAUCAUCAGAUUCACAGUCACUAAAUUCAGAUGAGGAACAUUCGGUUACCUCGACACCCUUUGCCAUGAUACAUGGUGCAGAAGAUGAUGAUUCUGGUUCGAAAGUCAUUGUUUUGAGAGAUUCCUUGAAGUCCUCAAACCAAGGAUCAUGACGGGUUCGAUGAUCUUCAUAGACGUCGGAGAUUCGGUCCCAGAUAAGCUUUGCGUUGCAAAGAUGCAUAAUGAGCCUGAAUUAGUCUCUGGAUAGACAGGAACAGAUGAUAUCCUUCGCCAUGCAGUCAAGUCGAGUGUAUUUGUGAAUAUCAUCUGCGUUCGCCGACUUGCAUAGAUCAGUAAGAACAAUCUCAGUGACGGUCCACAGCUCGCUGUCCCUUGCCAUGAGGCGCUUCCUCAUCAUGGCCUUCCACUUGGGAUAAUCAUGACCGUCAAAGAUAGGGCAUGUCACUUUCUUCAUACCUGCGGUCGACAUAACUAAAACUCCAGGCGGUUAAACCAAAAUCACACAGAACAAGGGAGUACCUUGCUCUGAUACCAAUUGAAAGUGUGUUAUGUCGACUAGAGGGGGGGUGAAUAGGCGAUUUUUAUGAAUUCUUCACUGAGGAAUUUGCCGGUGAGGAAAUUCCUUAGCGAAGAACUAUUAGCAGCGGAAUAAGUACUCAGAAGUAAGCAUAACAAAAUACAAGCAUGGUCAUCAUGAUGAAAUGAAGACUAGCACAGAGUACAGAAAGCGUAAUCACAGGAUAACACACGAUGAAGACAAAUAGACUGAAGAAAUUGAACUGAGGAAAUUGAGAAAGUAUUUAGUCAAAGUCUUCAAACACAGAUAUGAACAAACACUCAACACAGUAAUGAGGAAAUGAAAGGGUUGAGGAAAUAGAACCAGUAGGUUGGUGAAGACAAUGAUUUGGUAGACCAGUUCCAACUGCUGUCUCAAUUGUACGUCUGGUUGGAGCGGCUGAGUAUUUAAACUCGAGGACACGUAGUCCCGGACACCCAGUCUCUGAGCACGCAGCUCAGGACACCCAGUCCUCACCGUAUUCUCCUUGAACUAAGAUCACACAGAUCCCGUCCAAUCACUCGUGGUAAGUCUUCAGGCGACUUCCAAACCUUCACAGACUUGGUCACUCGGCGAUCCACAAUUCCUCUUGGAUGCUCUAGACCUUGACGCCUAACCGUCUGGAAGAAGCACAGUCUUCAAAGGUAACAAGCGUCGGAUCCAUGCAGGAUCAAUUUCUUCAGUGAUGCUCAAUCACUUUGGGGUUUGUAGGUGUUUGGGUUUGGGAUUUUCCUCACUUGAUGAUUUUCGCUCAAAGUCCUCGGAGGAUGGGUUGCUCUCAAAUCACAAGUGUCAAGUUCUCUCGGAGCAGCCAACCAGCUAGUGGUUGUAGGGGGCGGCUAUUUAUAGCCUAGGGAGAAGCCCGACAUGAUAAGACAUAAAUGCCCUUCAAUGAUAUGACCGUUAGGUGGAUAAGAUAUUUUGGGACAGCUGGCACGCAGCACAGCAACGGUCGGAAAUUUGACUCUCAAAUUCCUCAGGGCUAUCAUGUUCCUCACUGUGUAGAUAAUUCACACUGGCGAAUUCCUAACUCCUCAGUCAGAACAAAUUCAUCAGCGACCAGAAGAACUUCGUCUGUGUCACUGAAGAAAGUGACUGAACCGUAUGAGAUUUCCAAAGGCUUCACUCGAAGGGAUUGGUAGGUGUAGGAUUUUGAGUUGAGCAUCACAUGGAAAUUUUUCCUUAGUAUUUCCUCGACCCCCUUUAACAGUACGGUGUUUCCUAUGACUCAAGAAAGAGAGAAUGAAACUACGAAAACAAAAGUCUUCACGCUUCAUGUUCCAGAAAUGAAUACCAAGUCUUCAAGGUCACACCAAUUUCUUCACUUUCAAAGUCUUCAGAAAGUCUUCAGAAUAUCAAAGUCUUCAGUUGAAGAACUUCAUUUUUAGGGGUCGACUUUCUCUGUAAAUAUCAAACUCCUCAUAGACUUAUAGACCUGUGUACACUCACAAACGCAUUAGUCCCUUAACCUAUAAGUCUUCAAUACACCAAAAUCACUAAGGGGCACUAGAUGCACUUACAACUAGCAACUAGGUGCCCUUAAGGUUCUUUUUAGCUUACUGUUGGAUUUUCAUUGGCUUGGGCUUGACGAUUUCCAUGUUACACACCACGUGGGACUAGGUGGGAUCCUCGAGUAGGACUUUUCUAUGACAUGUAUAAAUUUGGAUAAGAAGGCUCUACCUAACUUAUAGACAUCCAGCCCCCCGCACCAAAGUGCAUGCGUGGACACACAUGCAGACUAGAUUUUACCAUUUUCUUCUCUGUAACUAAGGGAACAUUAGUAAAAAAACAGUUAUAACGUGCACAGAUAUACAAGAAAGAGGAAGAGAGUUAAGAACAAAAAAAUAGUUAAAGGUGGAUCAAAGGUAUCACACCAGGCUACCAAAGUAGCCCUAAUUACAUCAGAUGAGCAAUGGAAGGACCAUAGUCUGGCGUCCUCGACGCAUAUGAGCAGCUUAUUUCUAAUAGAAGAUAAACACAAUCUUGAGCUUUCAAUGUAAUCUGCAAAAGAAGUCAUCACUAGGAUAGGCAAUUGACAAAGCACACAUAUGCUUUCCCUGAAAGAGGAUCAACCCCAUUUGGAAAACAACAACUAAAAGGGUCAUCAAUUGAUACAUCACUUGUAUCCACAUAGGUCUGCUAGGGAGAAUAACCAUGUCUGAAUUUCAACCGCACGGCUUGAGAAGCUCUAGUUUCUACUUGUAGCAGCCUGAGUUGAUCAAUCAUCCAAUUCUUAUCAAUGGCAAUCGUGUUAAGUUUAUUUCCUUCACCAGUCUUGCAUUCAAAACAAAGAACUUGGCAAAUCCAACUUCUUUCUCACCACCUUUGUAAUUCUUCAACACCAUUACUUUGAGAUGGUUCUAAAGGCAUUUGACUGGAUUUAGUAGUGGGUCAUACCGAGGAUGCAAGUUUUUCAUCUUUGCCUUCCAAUACUCCUCCCACCGAUAAAUGGCAUAUACAUGUUAAAUAGACAGUUGCUAACUAGACAAGAAUAUAUACACAAGAAUCAAGAAUUCAUUUCAAUAUUUUAGGCAAACAAAAAUGAGCACUUACAAUGACAUAGAACUUUGCGAACAAGGGGAUGCAACUGAGAAGAUCGAGAAUGGCAUCCAAAUCAGGGCCAGAAAACUUGAGAGCCAAAAUAUUCCUGGUGCAUAUCGAGUUGCCUAAGCUCGGCCGGAUUGUUCCCUAAAGAAAGAAAACAAUGGACAUGAGAAACAAAUAUGAAUGCAUAUAGGAUUGUUAGCUCAAUGUGAGAGCCAAUAAGGGUGUUGCUGAUAGCUAGCUGGAUGCGACCAUUUUUCUUAGAACUAGAUGUUUACACUCGCAGUGCUAAAUAGUCUCACUACGCGUCAAUGUGCAUAGAGGACGACUCCAGAAGUUAAUGUCUGUAUUGCCAUGCCAUCUUGAGGAAAAUAGUAUGUUUAUCUUGUUUGUUAUUUUGUUCACUUCAUUAUUGUUGGUGUAUAUGUUGCAGGUCUCGAAGAUGGUCCAACACUAGUAGGAUUGAAAGUAUGGAAGACCAUACCUGAUGCGGAGCAUCCUACAGUCAUCCUCAUGGACCUACCGUCGUCUCACCAAGUGCCAAGUGGACCGAUGACACGAGCACAUGCAAGAGCUCUCGUGACCGAGGUGACAUCUAUCCUUAGUGAUAUUCCAUAUGACCCACUUGAGACAUGGCUACUACCUAAAGUCGGAAUGCUAUGUGUGCUUAGGUAUCAAGAGGACUCGCUCGGAGAUGCUCGUGAAGAUGGACAAGUUCCCAAGUACAUAGAUGAAGAAGAACGAUGAAAGAGACCGAGGAAAACUCCCAGGACCCGGACAUUCGGCCCAGUCCCCGAACAUCCGCCUCCUGAAGGUAUUAGUAGCAGCAGCCCAACCGACGAGCUACAGGGUCCGAACUUCUGGCCCAUGCCCUAGACAUCCGGCCUAACACGAUGGCCCGGACAUCCGGUUGAGCCCCAAAAAUCCGGCUCGACAUGUCCAGGAGCCAACCGAAGUCGACCACGCCAGCCCGGACAUUCGGCCUCCUCAGCCUGGGCAUCCGGCCCAUCCUUAAAGCUCGUUGAGGGAGUCCUGGAUUAGGGGGUCCUCAGACAGCCGGACUAUAUACUUUGGCUGGACUGUUGGACUAUGAAGAUACAAGAUUGAAGACUUCGUCCCGUGUCCGGAUGAGACUCUCCUUUACGUGGAAGGCAAGCUUGGCAAUUCGGAUAUAAAGAUCUCCUUCUCUGUAACCGACUCUGUGUAACCCUAACCCCCUCUGGUGUCUAUAUAAACUGGAGGGUUUAGUCCGUAGGACCAACAACAAUCAUAAUCAUAGGCUAGCUUCUAGGGCUUAACCUCGACAAUCUCGUGGUAGAUCAAUUCUUGUAAUACUCAUAUCAUCAAGAUCAAUCAAGCAGGAAGUAGGGUAUUACCUCCAUUGAGAGGGCCCGAACCUGGGUAAACAUUGUGUCCCCCGCCUCCUGUUACCAUUAGCCUUAGACGCAUCGUUCGGGACCCCUACCCAAGAUCCGCCGGUUUUGACACCGACAUUGGUGCUUUCAUUGAGAGUUCCACUGUGCCGUCACGAUAAGGCUUGAUGGCUCCUUCAAUCAUCUACAACAAUGCGAUCCAGGGUGAGGUUUUCCUCCCUGGACAGAUCUUCGUAUUCGGCGCACUGCGGGCUAACUCGCUUGGCCAUCUGGAGCAAAUUGAUAGCUACGCCCCUGGCCAUCAUGUCAGGUUUGGAAGCUUGAACUACACUGUCGACAUCCGCGGAGACUUGAUCUUCAACGGAUUCGAUCCCAUGACAGGUGCGCCGUACAGUCACGAUGAGCAUGACUUAGAUCUGCCAUCAGACGGUGUUUAGGAGAACACACCUACAGCUGCCCCGGCCUUAGAUCCGGAGAAGAUCGCGCCAUCCGAUGACGGGUGGAUAGACCCCACCACGGAGGCCGCACACUCAUCAGCACUAGAGCCGAACACAGACUUCACCUCCAAAGAAAUCUGUGUCAUCGGAUCCUCGGACUCGUCUCUGAUCAUAGGUUCCGAACCACGUGCAUCUGUGCCUAUCGACUCUGACUGGGCGCCGAUCAUGGAGUUUACCUCCGCUGAUAUCUUUCAGCACUCACCCUUGGGCGACGUGCUAAAUUCACUAAAAUCUCUCUCACUGUCAGGAGACCCUUGGCCGAACUAUGUCCGUCUUGAGUGGGAAGCGGACGAUGAAGAAAUUCGUUCCCCACCCACCACCCACUUAAUAGCUACUGUCGACGACUUAACCGAUUGAUUUCGACUUUGAAGACAUCGACGGUAUGGACGACGAUGCCGGAGAGGAACAGGAACCACUACCCUCAGGGCGCUGGACAACCACCUGAUACGUCUCCGUUGUAUCUAUAAUUUUUGAUUGUUCCAUGCCAAUAUUCUUCAACUUUCAUAUACUUUUGGCAACUUUUUAUACUAUUUUUUGGGACUAACAUAUUGAUCCAGUGCCCAGUGCCAGUUCCUGUCUGUUGCAUGUUUUUUGUUUCGCAGAAACCCAAUAUCAAGCAGAGUCCAAACGGGAUAAAAAUGGACGGAGAAUUAUUUUGGAAUAUUUGUGAUUUUUGGGAGGAAGAAUCAACGUGAUACAAUGCCCGAGGUGGCCACGAGAGUGGCCCACGCCACCACUCCAAGUGGGCAUGCCCCCCUAUCUCGUGGGCCACCCGUAAGGCGGUUGAUGCUCUUCUUUGGCUGCAAGAAAGCUAAUUUUUGGAAAACGAUCUAGGCGAAGCUUUCAAUCGAAUCGGAGUUACGGAUCUGCAGAUAUAAAGGAAACGGUGCUAGGGCAGAAUUCCAGAACGCAGAAACAGAGAGAUAGAUCCAAUCUCGGAGGGGCUCUCGCCCCUCCCACGCCAUGGGAGCCAAGGACCAGAGGGGAAACCCUUCUCCCAUCUAGGGAGGAGGUCAAGGAAGAAGAAGAAGAAGGGGGCCUCUCUCCCCCUUGCUUCCGGUGGCGCCGGAGCGCUGCCGGGGGCCAUCACCGCGAUCUUCACCAGCACCUCCAUCAUCUUCACCAACAUCUCCAUCACCUUCCCCCAUCUAUAUCCAGCGGUCCACUCUCCAGCAACCCGCUGUACCCUCUACUUGUACAUGGUGCUUUAUGCUUCAUAUUAUUAUCCAAUGAUGUGUUUCCAUCCUAUGAUGUGUGAGUAGAUUUCCGUUGUCCUAUCGGUGAUUGAUGAAUUGCUAUGAUUGGUUUGAGUUGCAUGUUUUAUUAUUGGUGCUGUCUUAUGGUGCCCUCCGUGUCGUGCAAGCGUGAGGGAUUCCCGCUGUAGGGUGUUGCAAUGCGUUCAUGAUUCACUUGUAGUGGGUUGCGUGAGUGACUGAAACACAAACCCGAGUAAGGGGAUUGUUGCGUAUGGGAUAAAGGGGACUUGAUGCUCUAAUGCUAUGGUUGGGUUUUACCUUAAUGAUCUAUAGUAGUUGCGAAUGCUUGCUAGAGUUCCAAUCAUAAGUGCAUAUGAUCCAAGUAGAGAAAGUAUGUUAGCUUAUGCCUCUCCCUCAAAUAGAAUUGCAAUAGUGAUUACCGGUCUAGUAACAUAGUCAAUUGCUUAGGGACAAUUCCACAACUCCUACCACCACUUUUCCACACUCGCUAUAUUUACUUUAUUGCAUCUUUAUCUAAAACAUCCCCUAGUUUUUAUUUACACGUUCUUUAUUAUCUUGCAAACCUAUCCAACAACACCUACAAGGUACUUCUAGUUUCAUACUUGUUCUAGGUAAAGCGAACGUCAAGGGUGCGUAGAGUCGUAUCAGUGGCCUAUAGGACUUGAGAGAGUAUUUGUUCUACCUUUAGCUCCUCGUUGGGUUCGACACUCUUACUUAUCGAAAGAGGCUACAACUAUCCCGUAUACUUGCGGGUUAUCAAGACCUUUUUCUGGUGCCGUUGCUGGGGAGUCAUAGCGUGGGGUGAAUAUUCUCGUGUGUGCUUGUUUGCUUUAUCACUAAGUAAUUUUUAUUUGCUGUUCUUAGUUGUUUUCUAUCUUUAGUUAUAGGUAGGAAAUGCAAAAUACCAAAAAAAUUAGUUGUACCUACUGAACCAAUGGUUGAAGAACCACUCAAAAUCUAUCACACUCCUGAAGCUUUUUACUUGGAUCAUCUUCGAUCCCUUUGUGCUCGUGCUGAAAGCCCCACUAGUUUAGUUGAGGGCAAAUCUUUAGAUGAGCAUGCUUGUUUUGUGCGACACCGUAUAUCUGAAAAAGGGAAACUAUUAUGGGAUCAAAUUCAACGUUUGAAAUGCUAUGCUUGGAAUUUAUGUGAAAUAGAUGAGUUUACUUGUUGUUCUGAAGACCCUAAGAAACACCUACCCUAUCAAUGCUUGUUUAGUGAUAAUGGAAUCGUAUCUUCGUAUGCUAAGGGUGUUUACAAUUACUAUGAUGUUCAACAAAUUGAAGAAUUUGUUGCCUUUAAAGGUGCUUAUGAGAUUGCCUCUUUGAUUGAAAGUAUGAUGCUACUCUUUACAAAUCUGAAAAUUUUGCCAUAUUUCACUAUUGUUAUGAUAAUUAUCCUUAUAAUGCCUAUCUUAAACCAUAUAUUGAGGACUUCUCCGCUGUCCAAGAAGAGACUAAUAUUUUGCAGGAAGCUAUGGAAGAAGAAAUUUUUGAUGAAACUGUGAGCUCAUUGGAUGAAAAAGAUGAUGAGGAGAGCGAAGAACAAAAGGAGGAAGAGCGGAUUAGCUACCCAUUCCCACCUUCUAAUGAGAGUAACUCUUCAACUCAUACAUUGUUUAAUUCCCCUUCGUGCUUACCGAAGGAUGAUUGCUAUGAUGAUUGUUAUGAUCCCAUUGAUUCUCUUGAAAUAUCCCUUUUUGAUGAUGCUUGCUAUGCUUGUGGCCAAGAUGCCAAUAUGAAUUAUGCUUAUGGAGAUGAACUUGCUAUAGUUCCUUAUGUUAAACAUGAAAUUUUUGCUAUUGCACCCACACAUGAUAGUCCUAUUAUCUUUUUGAAUUCUCCAAACUACACUAUAUCGGAGAAGUUUUUGCUUAUUAAGGGUUAUAUUGAUGGGUUGCCUUUUACCAUUGCACAUGAUGAUUUUGAUGAAUGUAAUAUGCAUGUGCUUUCUGCUCCUACUUGCAAUUAUUAUGAGAGAGGAACUAUUUCUCCACCUCUCUAUGUUUCCCAUACUAUGAAAUUGCAAGAAACUGCUUAUACUAUGCAUUGGCCUUUACUAUGUGUGCAUGAAUUGUUCUCUUAUGACAUGCCGAUGCAUAGGAAGAGAGUUAGACUUCGUUGUUGCAUGAUAUAUGUUACUUUGUGCUCAUUGCUAAAUUAAAAAUCAUUGUUAAUUAAAAUUGGCUUUGAUAUACCUUGGGAUCCGGGUGGAUUCAUUACUUGAGCACUAAAUGCCUAGCUUAAUGGCUUUAAAGAAAGCGCUGCCAGGGAGACAACCCGGAAGUUUUAGAGAGACAUUUAUUUCUGUUGAGUGAUUUUAUAUAGUUUAAAAACAAAAUAAAAUAAAGAGGGGAACCUUAAACCUUUUCAAAAAGGAAAGUGAAAGUGAGAGAGACAAGCAUUGUUGAAGUGGGAGAGCUCCUUGAACUUUGUUCAUGCUCACGGAAACUUUGUGAAUCUUAAUUACAGAAAUUUUUCAUCAAAAAUAAUUAUCCCCUUGUAUAAUUCCAUUGUAUUAUAAAAAUAAUGUGCCAAGGUUUGCCUUUAGGAUGUUUACAAUGCUUGUAGGUUCGUACGGUUGAGGACAGAAACUUUGGCUGUAGUGCUCGAUUUUACAUUUUUGACUGGAACGUCAAUUGGUUCUGAUUCCUUUUGAACUGUCUUGCUAUACAACUUGUUUAUUUUUACUAAUUUUGGUAGAAUUUUUGGGGUAUAGAAGUAUGGUGGAUGUUCAGAUUGCUAUAGACUGUUCUGUUUUUGACAGAUUCUAUUUUUGAUGCAUAGUUUGCUUGUUUUGAUGAAUCUAUCAAUUUAUAUUAGUGGAUUAAGCCAUGGAAAAGUUAUACUACAGUAGACACAAUGCAAAAACAAAAUAUGAAUGGGUUUGCAACAGUACUUAGAGUGGUGAUUUGCUUUAUUAUACUAACGGAUCUUACCGAGUUUUCUGUUGAAGUUUUGUGUGGAUGUAGUGUCUAAUCGAGGAUGUCUCGAUAUGAGGAAAAGGAAGGGAGGCAAGAGCUCAAGCUUGGGGAUUCCCGAGGCACCCCAAGUAAAUAUUCAAGGAGACUCAAGCAUCUAAGCUUGGGUAUGACCUGGAAGGCAUCCCCUCUUUCUUCAACAAGUAUCGGUAUGUUUUCGAAUUCGUUUCGUUCAUGCAUUAUGUGCAAGUCUUGUAGCGUCUUCUGCAUUUAGUUUUCACUUUUAUUUUAUGCACCAUGCUGGUAUGAGAUAGUCCUUGGUUGAUUUAUAGAAUUCUCAUUGCACUUCACUUAUAUCUUUUGAGUGUGGCUUUAUAGAAUGCUUCAUGUGCUUCAUUUAUAUCAUUUGAAGUUUGGAUUGCUUGUUUCCCUUUACAUAGAAAACCGCCAUUUGUAGAAUGCUCUUUUGCUUCACUUAUAUUUGUUAGAGUGUGGGCAUAUCUUUUGUAGAAAGAAUUAAACUCUCUUGCUUCACUUAUAUCUAUUUAGAGAGGUGACAGGAAUUGGUCAUUCACAUGGUUAGUCAUAAAAUCCUACAUAAACUUGUAGAUCGCUGAAUAUGAUAUGUUUGAUUCCUUGCAAUAGUUUUGUGAUAUAAAGAUAGUGAUAUUAGAGUCAUGCUAGUGGGUGGUUGUGGAUUGUAGAGACACUUGUGUUGAGGUUUGCAAGUCCCGUAGCAUGCAUGUAUGGUAACCGUUGUGUGACAAAUUUGAAGCAUGGGGUGUUUCUUUGAUUGUCUUUCUUAUGAGUGGCGGUCGAGGACGAGCGAUGGUCUUUUCCUACCAAUCUAUCCCCCUAGGGGCAUGCGUAGUAGUACUUUGCUUCGAGGGCUAAUAAACUUUUGCAAUAAGUACAUGAGUUCUUUAUGACUAAUGUGAGUCCAUGGAUUAUACGCACUUUUACCUUUCCAUCAUUGCUAGCCUCUUCGGUACCGUGCAUUGCCCUUUCUCACCUUAAGAGUUGGUGCAAACUUCGCCGGUGCAUCGAAACCCCGUGAUAUGAUAUGCUCUAUCACACAUAAGCCUCCUUAUAUCUUCCUCAAAACAGCCACCAUACCUACCUAUCAUGGCAUUUCCAUAGCCAUUCCGAGAUAUAUUGCCAUGCAACUUCAUUCAUCAUCAUAUACAUGACUUGAGCAUUCAUUGUCAUAUUGCUUUGCAUGAUCAUAAGAUAGCUAGCAUGAUGUUUUCAUGGCUUGUCCGUUUUUUGAUUUCAUUGCUACUCUAGAUCAUUGCACAUCCCGGUACACCGCUGGAAGCAUUCAUAUAGAGUCAUAUCUUUGUUCUAGUAUCGAGUUGUAAUGUUGAGUUGUAAGUAAAUAAAAGUGUGAUGAUCANNNNNNNNNNNNNNNNNNNNNNNNNNNNNNNNNNNNNNNNNNNNNNNNNNNNNNNNNNNNNNNNNNNNNNNNNNNNNNNNNNNNNNNNNNNNNNNNNNNNNNNNNNNNNNNNNNNNNNNNNNNNNNNNNNNNNNNNNNNNNNNNNNNNNNNNNNNNNNNNNNNNNNNNNNNNNNNNNNNNNNNNNNNNNNNNNAAAAGAAAAAAAGGAAAGGCCAAAGAAGCCUAAAUAAAAAAAGGGGGCCAAAGAAGCCCACCAGAAAAGAAAAAAAAGAAAAAAAAGAAAAAGAAAAGGGGCAAUGUUACUAUCCUUUUUCCACACUUGUGCUUCAAAGUAGCACCAUGUUCUUCAUAUAGAUUGUCUCCUAUGUUGUCACUUUCAUAUGCUAGUGGGAAAUUUUCAUUAUAGAACUUGACUUGUAUAUUCCAACGAUGGGCUUCCUCAAAUGCCCUAGGUCUUCAUGAGCAAGCAAGUUGGAUGCACACCAACUUAGUUUCUUUGGUUGAGCUUUCAUACACUUAUAGCUCUAGUGCAUCCGUUGCAUGGCAAUCCCUACUCCUCGCAUUGACAUCAAUUGAUGGGCAUCUCCAUAGCCCGUUGAUUAGCCGCGUCGAUGUGAGACUUCUCCUUUUUUGUCUUCUCCACAUAACCUCCAUCAUUAUAUUCUAUUCCACCUAUAGUGCUAUAUCCAUGGCUUGCGCUCAUGUAUUGCGUGAGGGUUGAAAAAGCUGAAGCGCAUUAAAAAGUAUGAACCAAUUGCUCGACUUGUCAUCGGGGUUGUGCAUGAUGGGGGUGAGGGAGUCCUGGAUUAGGGGGUAUCCGGACUGCCGGACUAUAUACUUCAUCCGGACUAUUGGAGUGUGAUGAUACAAGACUCAAGACUCCGCCCCGUGUCCGGAUGGGACUCUCCUUUGCGUGGAAGACAAGCUUGGCGAUCCGGAUGUUGUGUUUCCUUCCUUGUAACCGACUCCAUGUAAACCCUAGCCCUCUCCGAUGUCUAUAUAAACCGGAGAGGUUGGUCCUUAGGAGGCCGAUCACAAUUACAAUCAUAAUCAUCAUAGGCUAGCUUCUAGGGUUUAGCCUCUACGAUCUCGUGGUAGAUCUACUCUUGUACUACUCAUAUCAUCAAUAUUAAUCAAGCAGGAAGUAGGAUUUUACCUCCAUCGAGAGGGCCCGAACCUGGGUAAACAUUGUGUCCCUUGCUUCCUGUUACCAUCAGCCUAAGACGCACAGAUCGGGACCCCCUACCCGAGAUCCGCCGGUUUUGACACCGACAUUGGUGCUUUCAUUGAGAGUUCCUCUGUGUCGUCGUUGCAAGGCUCGAUGGCUCGUCUCGUUGUCAAGGACAACAUCAUCUCUGGGGGAGCACUGGCUGUAGGCCAAACUCUCCGACUUGGCGGCUUUAUCAUGACCGCCCCAUCGGCUGUCGCGCCAACGACGGCCUCUCGGGUCGUCACGCAUAAUCUUCGCAUUAAUUCGGAACUCGCUGAACAGAUGGAUCCGAUAGAGCUCUCCUCCCUUAAUGAGCUCUUGGAUCGCAUCACUGCUUUGGGAGUCGCUACGGACUAUGACCGGAUCAGGCUUAAACCCGACCAAUGGGACACUAAAUCCCCGCCGGCCACCCAUGAGAUAGCGGUAGUGGAGGAACCACAUACGGACUACCCCUCUAUUCUGAGGACGAAUCGUGUACGGAUCACCGAGCUCCCUGAGCCAGACUCCCGCUCAAGGGAAGACAUAACCCAUAUCCCGGACUUAGGAUCGGGUAUUCAGUUGAAAAAAUUGGACAACAUCCCGGAUCUCGAGCUGUCGAACUCGGAGGCUUCCGUGCCCCUAGGCGCUAGGCCGGAUCAGAAUCCGGAUUCAGCCACGAACACCCACCCAUGCUUAAGCCGUCUCUCCCAUGUCAGACAAGAGCCCCAUGAGACAGUACAUCGCUACUGGGCCAGAUUCCUCCUUGUGCUAAAUAAGGUCAAGGACUGUCGUGAGGAGGACGCAGUCUCACUUUUAUGCAAAAACUGUACGGACAAAGGAAUCCUUAAUGCUAUAAGUCGCCGUGACAUAGUACACCUUGCUGACUUGGAAACCAUAGUACAGAAAUACUGUGCGAUGGAAAGCGCCUGGAAAACCCAAAUGGAAUUUUGGGAUAGCCCGGCUCUCACCAAAACCUUUGUUUGAGCUAAAUGGGCGAACUCUCGUAAGUCGGCCAAUCCAAUCCCCAAGAAGUCGAAGCCCACUCCAGGGCGUGGAACCGUAUUGGAAGAAUGGCUCAAUGGGCCAUGUAAGCUCCACAGUACGCCGGACACAACACCUACCCAUAGCCUUAGGGCACGUUGGAUACUCCGGCAGGUACCAAAAAGUGGCGAGGAUUUCCUUGUAAGCCGUAAAACAGAACAACAUCCUGCCAAAGAACACAAUACAGUACUAACAGUCUUCGAGACUUUCGCCUCAAACAAUAGGCGCAAGCGGGCUCAUCGGAGCCCCGCUGGAAUCUGCCAUGUGGCAAAAAUAAAUCCGUGGAAUGACACUGCUAUAACUUUCAAUGCCAGUGACGAACCUCAAUUCCAGACCGUCUGGGCACCAGCCACUCUGGUCCUUAGCCCAAUAGUGGACGACUUUCGGCUCACUAAAGUACUCAUGGACGACGGAAGCGGAUUAAACUUGAUCUACGAAGAAACACUCAAAAAGAUGGAAAUUGAUAAAAGCCGCAUUGAACAAAGCAGCACAACCUUUAGGGGAAUUAUCUCUAGCCGGGAAGCACGGUGUGCGGGAAAAAUCACACUCGUUGUGGUAUUCGGCACCCCAGAGAAUUACAGGUCCGAAGAAAUCACAUUCCAAGUGGCUCCUUUCAGCAGCGGAUACCACCCCCUUCUAGGGAGGGAUGCGUUUACGAGCUUUCAGGCUAUACCCCAUUACGGGUACAUGAAGCUUAAAAUGCCCGGACCCAAUGGAAUCAUCACUCUAGCCAGUGAUCCGGAUGUCGCACUCCGUGCCGAAAACAAAACCGCAGCACUAGCCUUGGAAGCAUUAUCCAAAGCCCUAGCAGCCGAAGAAUUAACAACACUGCAUGCAACCGUGGAGAGGAACGACGUGAUACUCGACAAGCGACCCAAGUCCACCUCAUUUAAACCCGCAGACAAGAUAGUCAAAUUCCAAGUCCAUCCAACAGACCCCACGAAGACAGCUUCCAUCGGGACACAGUUGAGCCCCGCAAUGGACGCCGCACUGCGAGACUUCUUACGAGAGAAUUGGGACAUUUUCGCCUGGCACCCAUCGGACAUGCCGGGCAUCCCACACAGAUUGGCCGAACACAACCUCAAUAUACUAAAGGGAUACAAACCUGCCAAGCAUACUCUAAGGCGGUUUUCAGAGCCCAAACGGCAAGCCAUGGGGGAAGAGCUAGCCAAGCUACUCGAGGCCGGAUUCAUCAGAGAUAUCAAGCAUCUGGAUUGGCUGGCAAAUCUGGUAAUGGUACCAAAGAAGGACAAAUCCUGGCGCCUAUGCGUCGACUUCAAAGACCUCAACAAGGCUUGCCCCAAGGAUCCCUUUCCCCUCCCUCGCAUCGAUCAAAUCAUCGACGCCACAGCAGGACACGACUCGUUGUGUUUCCUCGACGCAUACUCUGGAUACCAUCAAAUAAAGAUGGCAGAGUCCGGCCAAGCUGCAAUAGCUUUCAUAACACCAUAUGGCCCUUUCUGCUUCAACACUAUGCCUUUCGGGCUUAAGAAUGCCAGCGCAACCUAUCAACGCAUGAUUCAAACAUGCCUGGAAAAGCAAAUCGGCAAAACAGUGGAGGCAUAUGUGGACGACGUGGUCAUAAAAACAAGACACAUCGAAACCCUAAUAGAUGACUUGAGGCUUACGUUCGAUAACCUCCGAACAUACGACACCAAGCUGAACCUGAAAAAAUGCGUUUUCGGUGUCCCCUCUGGAAAACUGCUGGGCUUCAUUGUUUCCAAUAGAGGAAUUGAAGCGAAUCCGACAAAAAUCCGAGCUCUGUUGCAGUUGGCUAUACCAACAGACCUCAAGCACAUCCAGAAACUAGCUGGAUGCGUGGCUGCCUUGAGCCGCUUUAUCUCCAGGUUAGGAGAAAAGGCAUUACCUCUUUACCGCCUUCUUCGGCGCACCGAACACUUCGUGUGGACGGAUGCAGCCGCUGCCGGACUCGACUAAAUAAAGACCUUAUUGGCCAAUAAUCCAGUCCUAACAGCGCCAAAUAUCGGCGAACCUAUGCUGCUGUACAUAGCUGCAACACAUCAAGUUGUAAGCGCAGUGCUCAUCGUCGAACGAGAGGUUGACGGAUACAAAUUCCCGCUACAGAAGCCAGUUUAUUACGUAUCCACGGUCCUCACCCCAUGCAAAUCCUGAUACCCACACUAUCAAAAAAUAGCAUACGCGGUCUUCAUGGCAUCCCGAAAGCUACGACACUACUUUCAAGAGUGUUCGAUUACAGUGGCUUCGGAAGUACCACUCAACGAUAUAAUAAAUAACCGCGAUGCUACGGGCCGGAUAGCUAAAUGGGCCAUCGAGCUCCUUCCGUUUGACAUAAAAUACAAGCCAUGGCGGGCCAUCAAGUCACAAGUACUAGCCGACUUUGUCGCCGAAUGGACAGAAGUCGAACUCCCUAAAGAGUACGACGCGUACUCUAACUGGAUCAUGCACUUCGACGGCUCUAAAAUGCUGGCCGGAUUGGGAGCAGGUGUAGUCCUAACAUCUCUCACCAGAGACACGGUCCAGUACAUCCUCCAAAUAUUAUACAUAGACUCCAACAAUGCAGCCGAAUACGAGGCUCUGUUGCACGGUCUUCGGAUGGCAGUCUCUAUGGGCAUUCAACGCCUAGAAGUGCGUGAGGAUUCAAACCUUGCAAUAUUACAAAUAAACGGAGACUUUGAUGCCAAGGGCCCGAAAAUGGCGGCCUACCAUAAUGCCGUCCUCAAAAUGUCAGCUCGGUUCGAGGGGCUCGAAUUCCACCAUGUGGCUCAAGAAAACAAUCAAGCGGCGGAUAUCCUGGCCCGCAUCAGCGCUAAACGUGACCCUGUCCCACCCAACAUAUUCUUGGAAAGGAUCUUCAAGCCAUCCGUGGUAUGGGAAGGGGAGUCCGGCAAUACAAGCAUGGAUCCUAAUACACCCCCAGAUUCCGAACUAUCAGACAUAAUCAGAGGCUCUACCACCGAAAUAACAUCUUCGGCCCAUGAAAUCAUGGCUGUAAUCGCCCCAUGGACUGAGCCUUUCUUGGCCUACCUAAAUAGGCAGGAGCUCCCUAAAGACCAAAAUGAAGCAUGUUGCAUUGUUCGGUGUUCUAAAGCUUACAAAGUCCAUGAAGGGGAACUCUAUAAGAAAAGUGCGACCGGAGUGCUCCAAAGGUGCAUCUCCGAAGAGGAAGGGCGGCAACUCUUGGCUGAAAUCCAUGCCGGACUGGGCGGACACCAUGCCGCGGCUCGGGCACUAGUUAGCAAGGCCUUCCGUACAUGCUUCUAUUGGCCGACGGCCCAAGCAGACUCACAUGACCUUGUCCAACACUGUGUCGGCUGCCAGCUCUUCGCCAAUCAGAGUCAUAUGCCCCCUACCGCUCUCCAAACAAUCCCCAUAACUUGGCCCUUCGCGGUCUGGGGGCUGGAUAUGGUCGGACCUCUUAAAGGGAAGCCAUAAGAAAAAAUACUUAUUGGUCAUGGUGGACAAGUUCACCAAAUGGAUAGAAGCCAAACCAGUCAAAACGGCCGAAUUCGGACCAGUAAUAGACUUCAUAUCCGGAGUCGUACACCAAUACGGCGUCCCCCACAGCAUCAUCACUGAUAAUGGCUCAAAUUUCACAGCCGAUGAAGUGAAAACUUGGUGCGGCAAAAUGGGCAUUAAGCUCGACUACGCUUCUGUCUACCAUCCUCAAACAAACGGCCAGGUCGAAUGGGCAAACGGUCUCAUCAUGAGCGGCAUCAAACCCAGACUAGUGCGGUCCUUGAUAGCGUCAGACACGCACUAGGUCAAGGAGCUCGACUCCGUACUCUGGGGGCUGCGGACCAUGCCGAAUCGCACCACCGGAUAUACACCAUUUUUAUGGUGUACGACACGGAAGCAGUACUACCCUGCGACAUAAUACAUGAUUCGCCAUGCGUACGCAUGUACGAAGAGAAGGAAGCCGAGUUAGAUCGGCAGGAUUACUUGGAUGGCCUGGAGGAGGAGCGCGAUGUCGCAAAGCUCGCUCCGCAUUCUAUCAGCAGCAGGCUCAACGGUACCAGAGCAGAGAAGUGCGGGCCAAAACUUAUAAUAUUGGCGAACUCGUUCUACGCCUACCGGAGAAGAAGAAGGACAAGCUCAAACCCAAGUGGGAAGGUCCCUUCGUCAUUGACAAAGUUCUCACCGGAGGAGCAUACCGCUUACGUAAUGCGUCCGAUGACAGACUCGAGCCGAACCCAUGGAAAGCGGCCAGACUUCAAAGAUUCUACGCCAAGCGCCGAACUCAGUGUUCAUCUCCUUACCCCCUCCUUUUUAAUUAUGCUCCCUCCCGUUUCCUUUCUCGACCUUUUUUCCUCUUCACACAAAUUAUUUAAUACUGUACGGGCUCCCGGAUCACCCCGGCAGCACUAUGUGUGUAAGCAAUGCCUGGGGGCUUCCUAUAUGGAAGCUAAAAAUAAUUACUCUAAAGGCUUUUUGCCCAUCACAUAUGUGUUUCUUUUUCCAUAUGUGCCUUUUCUUCACCAUUAUAUGCACCGAUAUGACUUAGGAUGUGGCCAAGUUGGGUUGCCUGGAUCUUGUGUUUAUGCCCUACGUUCCCGUUAAUUCGGCUAGGACAUAAGGGGAGCACCUCUGCGAUUGUUACUGCCGGUUCAGCGGGAUGUGUACCUCAGACUGGGUGAAGCUGAAAGCUAGCGUCCUUAAGAGAAUAUUCGAUCGAUGAACAAAAGAUGUAUUCAUUUAUUACAAUGUAAAUCCCCAGAAGUUUUGUAUCCUGCUCCUUUGUUUGCAGUCCGGACAUGUGCGUCGUCGCAUGCGUACCCAGGGAAAGGAACCCCUAACGGAACUAUUCUCCCUGGAAGAUGUUUCUGACUAUCCAUGUAAUAUAACAUAACUAGUUGGGUACUUGUCUGUUCAAGCACUUAUGACCCCUACGCCUGGUUUCCACGCAUACCCCGGUUCUGAAUAACUGAGCGGGUAUUCGGAAACACCCCGGACUGUAGGAUCCGGGGGCUAAUGUCCAUUGAUUUACACGGUCACUUGGACUAACUAUAUUCCUCCUGUAUACCAUCCAACAGGCUAUCUAGCUUACAAUCCUGCCAGGGAAUACUAAUGUCCAUUGAUUUACACGGUCACUUGGACUAACUAUAUUCCUCCUGUAUACCAUCCAACAUGCUAUCUAGCUUACAAUCCUGUUGGGAAUACUUUGCAGCUAACGCUACCUGGUCAUACACCAGACUCACGGGAAUUUCUUGCCCAUCUGGCCCCGCCGGUCUGACUUCGGCCAUAUGGUUCGGAUCCAGCUUUGUGUAGAGCGUCUUCACCAUAGCCCAUGCUUCUCUUGCACCUUGCCGGCAGGCUGACACCUUCCACAAUCGGAAGCGCUACCGUGCUCCUUGAAGCAUGUCCACAAGCUCCCCCAUGCCAUUUGGCAGGAAGCUUGAUGGCCACAAGGCCUGAGCAACGCCCCGCAUCACCUGCCGAGCUCGCUCGUGCAGUUGUGAGAGGUCUUGCAGUAAAUCGCCAGCAGAUGAGGGCAUCUUCUCCUCAGGGCGGCCUGUUAACAUUCCUGCAAGCAAAAUUCUUUCAAUAUGCUUCGUCGCCGAGCUGUACUACAGCUCGUCUAGGCACUUACCAUAAAUGCCACGCCGAAGCCUCUUGUUUUCCUUCAUGGAGUCCGCCAGCUGAGCGCGGACGUCUUUUAAUUCCACGUGUAGCCGAACAUUGGCAUCUUGAAGAUUAUUCUUCUCCUGCUUAACUUGUGUAAGAACGCGCUCGCCAGCCUUUAGCUGCCUUUGGAAAUGCGACUCUUCAUCCCUUAUGCCCUCCGGAUUCACCCCGAGGUUAUCUGCAGAAUUUUAUGUUAGACUCAUCAUACCAGCCACUUACUAACUGGUGCAUCUUCGUACAAUCGAGACAAAUGUUACCAGAUGAGGCCUUCUGGGAUUCCUCUAACUUGGCAACCAUGGCCCUCAGCUGGGCCUUGCACUCCUCCAGCUCCCGAGACAAUUGCUCAUUCUUAUCUACAAGGACCUGUGCAUAAAUUGAUCCUUAAAACAGUUGUUCCAACCGUUUCAAGUCUUAGGGGCUACUGCUAUACAUGCUUAUCAAACUUUCUUACCCGUAUAUCUUUGGUAUACUGAUCCGUCGCUUGGGCAAGCCCGCCUUGAGAAGCUUGGAUGUAUGCAUCUCCCGAAUUGAAAGCAUUAAACGCCUCUUCAGAAAAGAUGUUGUUGCAAAGUACGGCCCGUCGGCGUCGGUGAUUCGUGGCGCUCUCUACUUCGGAAUUCGUGGCAGAGAGCAUAUCCGCGUCCUCUGUCGGAGAACUAUGCGGCAUCGGCCCCACAUCCGCCUCCUCUCUUGAAGCCGGUUCUAGAAGCCGGCUGGUGGAGGCGUGAUUGGCAGGAUCCCUGGAUAUAGUCCUGCUACUCCUCUUCCUGCCACGACGGAAAUGGCGCUGUUAUACUUCAAAUACAAUAAUUGCAGGACAGGUUUUUGCCUUACCUCUGUAGCAGCAUUUCGACCCUAAUCGCCUUCCUCUUAAGCCUGCCCAAUCCGGACGCCUGUGGCCGACGGGUCCCUAGGGGCUCGGCCCUGCGCUCCGACCGUCGUCUCUGCGAAAAAACGGCACUUCAGGGGAAAGGCAUGGCAUUGCAAAGGAGUCCUCUUCAGAGGAUAGGGUUUUCGGCUUGGCUUAUGCGCAACGUAGGUAGCAGUCCGGGAUAAUCGGCAAUAAUAGCCACUGAGGCGCCAUCGCAGCUCGCCUGAUAAAAUAUCCUGUUGACAAGCUCCACGGUCAUAUCCGGAUCUUCUUCGAGUCCUGGAUCUAGGGCCCUUCCAGGGUCCUCUGGCUGUGGGGAAGGGCUGGAGAUUCCUUCUACGACCCUCCUCAGUUCCUGCUCGGAAAUAUUGAGGCAGAUAAUCUUAGUGAAGAACGCCACAAUAAGUGAGGCAGGGAAAGGAAUGACGACUUACCCAGUUUGGGGGGUUGUACAUGGAGAAUCCAUCCCGCAGUUUAAUAUGAAGGAAUUCUUCCUCUUCUCCUUUGUAUAAAUCGGACAAUAUUCUUGCCAGAGCAUUGGCGGAGUCCGGACCCUUAUGGCCACAGCGGGUGGCAUCGUCUUCCCCGUUGAAGUGCCACAUGGGCUUGCCCCGAUAUUGAAGUGGUUGCACUCCCCGCAUUAUGCAUAUUGCCAUAACCUCGACUAUCGUCAGUCCGGAUUUGGCCAGUAACUUUAUCCUACUCAUCAGGAAGUGUAUUUCCCUAGUAUCCUCCUCUUGGGGGCCUCGGGGGCACCAGCUUGGACGUGCACCCGGCGGGGCGUUACUGAACUUGGGGAGACCUGUCCGGACUGGAUCCGGAAGGGGAACGUCAUCAAUGUAAAACCACUCCGAAGGCCAGUUCUCUGGUGCCUUCUUGGGAGUGCCGGAUAGGUAUCCGGUCUCGGCAAUGCGCCAUACUUGGCCCCGCCCACUUGACAUAGGGAUUCCCCUUGCUGCGAGAGACGAGGCAGAACAACUUCUUCCAUAACCCGAAAUGAGCCUCACAGCCUAGAAAUAGCUCACAAAGGGCAACGUAUCCUGCUAUAUGUAGUACGGAGGCAGGGGUAAAAUUGUGCAACGGGAGGCUAUAGAACUCCAGAAGCCCGCGAAGGAACGGGGGGAUGGGAAACCCGACGCCCCUUAGCAGAUGCGGGAUGAGGCAUAUUCGCUCCUCUGGAGAUGGAUUAGGAGACCCCUCUGCUUGUUCCCCGCCGUUAUAGGUGGCUAUUCCGGCUCGGACGGGGACCAUGAACACCGAUGGGAGAAACCCUUGGGUUUGUAGCUCUAUCAAAUGACUAUGAGGAACUGAACACUCUUCCCAGUCCCCCGGCUUGGAGGGAGGAGAGCGAGCAGAAGAGCUGCGACGACCGGCCAUGUUGGAAUGGUUUUUCCGGAGCGCUCUGUUGGAUGCUUGCUCGAGGGGGAAGAGUGAGGUUUGGAUCUGAGAAUCCCCAUCUCUUCAAAUAGACGGCUAGCCCGAAGGAUCGGGGGUGGCAAAUGCAAAAAUUCCUCGGCUCCUCGCAUUCGCUCGACACAUGGAAAUGGUCAUUAUUGAGGCACUGAAGCCGAGGAGUACAACAUUGAUGAGAAGCCGGACACUAUUCGUCUUAACAGGUACUUUGGAGUAUUCAGAGAUGGAACCCGCCUUGUAAUGCCGAAAACAAGACUGCGCGCCGGACUCAUCGUCAUUAAAGCCUAGUUCAGGGGCUACUUAGGGAGUCCUGGAUUAGGGGGUAUCCGGACUGCCAGACUAUAUACUUUGUCCGGACUAUUGGAGCGUGAAGAUACAAGACUCAAGACUCCGUCCCAUGUCUGGAUGGGACUCUCCUUUGCGUGGAAGACAAGCUUGGCGAUCUGGAUAUUGUGUUUCCUUCCUUGUAACCGACUCCAUGUAAACCCUAGCCCUCUCCGGUGUCUAUAUAAACCGGAGAGGUUGGUCCUUAGAAGGCCGAUCACAAUUACAAUCAUAAUCAUCAUAGGCUAGCUUCUAGGGUUUAGCCUCUACGAUCUCGUGGUAGAUCUACUCUUGUACUACUCAUAUCAUCAAUAUUAAUCAAGCAGGAAGUAGGGUUUUACCUCCAUUGAGAGGGCCCGAACCUGGGUAAACAUUGUGUCCCUUGCUUCCUAUUACCAUCAGCCUAAGACGCACAGAUCAGGACCCCCUACCCGAGAUCCGCCGGUUUUGACACCGACAGGGGGCAUUUUGCGUGACGAAAAUGAAGCAUGGCCAAACUAUAUGAUUUUGUAGGGAUAAGCUUGCUUUGGCCUUGUUGUUUUGAAAAGACAUGAUUGCUUUAUUGGUAUGCUCGAAGUAUUAUUGUUUUUAUGUCAAAUGAUAGACUAUUGCUUUUAAUCACUCGUGUCUUAAUAUUCAUGCCAUGAUUAGACAUAUGAUCAAGAUUAUGCUAGAUAGCAUUCCACAUCAAAAAUUAUCUUUUUUAUCAUUUACCUACUCUAGAACGAGCAGAAAUUAAGCUUGGGGGUGCUGAUACGUCUCCAUCGUAUCUAUAAUUUUUGAUUGUUCCAUGCCAAUAUUCUUCAACUUUCAUAUACUUUUGGCAACUUUUUAUACUAUUUUUUGGGACUAGCAUAGUGAUCCAGUGCCCAGUGCCAGUUCCUGUCUGUUGCAUGUUUUUUGUUUCGCAGAAACCCAUUAUCAAAUGGAGUCCAAAAAGGAUAAAAACGGAUGGAGAAUUAUUUUGGAAUAUUUGUGAUUUUUGGGAGGAAGAAUCAACGUGAUACGAUGCCCGAGGUGUCCACGAGAGUGGCCCACGCCACCACUCCAGGUGGGCGCGCCCCCCUAUCUCGUGGGCCACCCGUAAGGCAGUUGAUGCCCUUCUUUGUCCGCAAGAAAGCUAAUUUUUGGAAAAUGAUCUAGGUGAAGUUUUCAGUCCAAUCGGAGUUACGGAUCUCCAGAUAUAAAGGAAACGGUGCCAGGGCAGAAUUCCAGAACGUAGAAACAGAGAGAUAGAUCCAAUCUCGGAGGGGCUCUCGCCCCUCCCACGCCAUGGGAGCCAAGGACCAGAGGGGAAACCCUUCUCCCAUCUAGGGAGGAGGUCAAGGAAGAAGAAGAAGAAGGGGGCCUCUCUCCCCCUUGCUUCCGGUGGCGCCGGAGCGCUGCCGAGGGCCAUCAUCAUCACCGCGAUCUUCACCAACACCUCCAUCAUCUUCACCAACAUCUCCAUCACCUUCCCCCAUCUAUAUCCAGCGGUCCACUCUCCCGCAACCCGCUGUACCCUCUACUUGAACAUGGUGCUUUAUGCUUCAUAUUAUUAUCCAAUGAUGUGUUGCCAUCCUAUGAUGUCUGAGUAGAUUUCCGUUGUCCCAUCGGUGAUGGAUGAAUUGCUAUGAUUGGUUUGAGUUGCAUGUUUUAUUAUUGGUGCUGUCCUAUGGUGCACUCUGUGUCGCGCAAGCGUGAGGGAUUCCCGCUGUAGGGUGUUGCAAUGCGUUCAUGAUUCGCUUAUAGUGGGUUGCGUGAGUGACUGAAGCACAAACCCGAGUAAGGGGAUUGUUGCGUAUGGGAUAAAGGGGACUUGAUGCUUUAAUGCUAUGGUUGGGUUUUGCCUUAAUGAUCUUUAGUAGUUGCGGAUGCUUGCUAGAGUUCCAAUCAUAAGUGCAUAUGAUCCAAGUAGAGAAAUAUGUUAGCUUAUGCCUCUCCCUCAAAUAGAAUUGCAAUAGUGAUUACUGGUCUAGUAACAUAGUCAAUUGCUUAGGGACAAUUCCACAACUCCUACCACCACUUUUCCACACUCGCUAUAUUUACUUUAUUGCAUCUUUAUCUAAAACAGCCCGUAGUUUUUAUUUACACGUUCUUUAUUAUCUUGCAAACCUAUCCAACAAUCCUACAAGGUACUUCUAGUUUCAUACUUGUUCUAGGUAAAGCGAACGUCAAGCGUGCGUAGAGUCGUAUCAGUGGCCGAUAGGACUUGAGAGAGUAUAUGUUCUACCUUUAGCUCCUCGUUGGGUUCGACACUCUUACUUAUCGAAAGAGGCUACAACUAUCCCGUAUACUUGCGGGUUAUCACCACCUCAUCAUAUGAUAUAUAUAUAUAUAUGGUGGACGCCCCCAAAGAAAGCGAUGGCGAUGAGGCAACGGAGGAUAAUCCCCUUGAGAAUCAAUCUAAGCACCGGCGUCAUCGGCCCCGCUCUAAGCCUCAUCAUCGCAAAAAUAGCGAUACCGGUACAAGAGAUAAUAAUGCUCCAGAUAACGCCAAGGACGAAAACAAUCCCGCCCAGCCAGGCUUCGAGCAGGCCGAAUGGGAGGAUGGGCAAGCUAGCCCUAAGGAACAAGCAAUGGAUGGAGAAUCAGAGGAUGACAAUUACAUGCCCCUCUCCAAAGACGAGGUGAGCCUCGGCGACGAAGAAUUCAUCGUGCCUGAGGAUCCCGUCGAGCAGGAGCGCUUCAAGCGCCUGCUUAUAGCCAAUGCAAAAAGCCUGAAGAAAAAGCAGCAGCAGCUUCAAGCUGAUCAAGAUCUGCUAACGGAUAGAUGGACCGAGGUCCUGGCGGACGAGGAAUACAGACUCGAGCGCCCAACCAAAAGUUGCCCAAAGCGCAGAUUGCUACCUCAACUCGAGGAGGAGGCAUUAAAGCCUACACUACCAGCGCAUGAUGCGGCUGACCGGCCACCUCAUGGCCGAGACAAAGUGGCAUAUCAGCCCGAAGUCCAGCCCGCACCCCGCCGCCAAACAAGGAAAAACACGAAGGCCCGGGGCUCCAUGCAUGACCUGCUAGACAAAUUGAAAAACAAAGCAGAACAGUCAAGAUCGAUCUACGGAUCACGGGGGCGUGUCCCAACAUGUGAUGAUGACCGUCACGCCGGAUAUACUAAAAACAAAUCUGGCCGGCCCGAAUACAACAAACCAGACUCAUUUGAACUGCGUCGUGAUGUAGCCCGGCAUAGAGGCGCCACACACCCCCUAUGCUUCACUGAUGAAGUAAUGGAUCAUGAAUUCCCAGAAGGGUUUAGACCCGUGAAUAUUGAAUCAUAUGAUGGUACUACAAACCCCGCGGUAUGGAUAGAAGAUUUCUUCCUCCACAUUCACAUGGCCCGCGGGGAUGAUCUACAUGCCAUCAAGUACCUCCCACUAAAACUCAAGGGACCGUCUCGGCAUUAGCUGAAUAUCUUGCUGGCAAACUCCAUCAGAAGUUGGGAAAACCUGGCAGAUGCAUUCCUAGAUAAUUUCCAGGGCACUUACGUGCGACCACCGGAUGCUGAUGACUUAAGUCACAUAACUCAACAGCCCGAAGAGUCAGCCAGGAAAUUCUGGACUCGGUUCCUAACUAAAAAGAACCAAAUUUUCGACUGUCCGGUUGCCGAAGCCCUGGCAGCCUUCAAGCAUAAUAUCCGUGACGAGUGGCUUGCCUGACAUCUCGGCCAAGAAAAGCCGAAGUCCAUGGCGUCCCUCAUGACACUCAUGACCCGCUUUUGUGCGGGCGAGGAUAGCUGGUUGGCUCGUAGCAACAACACAACAAGCAAUCCUGGCACAUCAGAGGCCAGAGAUAACAGCGGCAAGCCACAAUGCAACAAACACAAGCGUCGCAAAAAUGGUGAUAAUGUCGAAGACACGACAGUCAAUGCCGGAUUCAGUGGCUCUAAGUACGGUCAGCGGAAAAAGCCAUUCAAAAAUAACAAUUCGGGCCCGUCCAGUAUGGACCGCAUACUCGACCGUCCAUGCCAAAUUGAUGGCACCCCAGGAACACCAGCCAAUCAUACCAACAGAGAAUGCUGGGUCUUCAGACAAGCCAGCAGGUUAGGUGCCGAAAACAAGGGGAAGGGGUCUCAAAGCGACAAUGAUGACGAGGAGCCCCGAUCACCAAAUACAGGAGGGCAAAAGAAAUUUCCCCCGCAAAUCAAAACGGUGAACAUGAUAAACGCCACACACAUUCCCAAGCUGGAACGGAUGUGCACUCUUAGGGAUGUCGACUUAACGGAGCCAGUCGCCCCACAAUAUAAACUAUGGCCGAUCACUUUCGAUCGUACGGAUCAUCCGGCCAAUACCAAUCAGGGCAAUUCAGCUGCACUCAUCCUUGACCCAAUAAUUGACGGAUUCCACCUCACACGAGUCCCUAUGGACGGAGGCAGCAGUCUAAACCUGCUUUAUCAGGACACAGUGUGCAAGAUGGGUAUUGUAUUUCGAUGAUCAAGUCCACCAAAACCACCUUUAAAGGUAUUAUACCAGGUGUGGAGGCCCGCUGUACAGGCUGCAUUGCUCUUGAGGUAGUCUUUGGAUCACCGGACAAUUACCGUACCGAAGAGUUAAUCUUCGACAUUGUCCCCUUUCGUAGUGAUUAUCAGGCACUGCUCGGAUGAACUGCGUUCGCUUGAUUCAACGCGGUGCCACAUUAUGCCUACCGUAAGCUCAAGAUGCCUGGUCCGCGCGGCGUCAUCACGGUUUAUGGCACGGCCGAACUCCCCCUUGGUGCCGAAAAGUAUACCGCCGCUUUAACGGCAGAAGCAACGAGUGGCAGCUUUCAACUAAACCUCAAGUCGACGGCCCAGCUCCCGGACACCGCCAAAGGAGUCCAAACUACUUCGCGGCAGGAUAGCCCGGCUCGUCCGGAGCUCAAUUAAACACUCCGGCAAAAGCUAGGACAGGCCACAUACUGCGGCUCAACCGCUCUGUGGCACACAAACAUUUCUUGCAUUUUCUUUGCAGGUUCACCUUUGCACAGGCCAGGACUGGCGACAUGGAAACAGCUCAAACACGCAAGGGAAUCCUUAGAUAUUCCCCUCGAUGACCAUCCAACUACACUCCGGAUCUGCACACAACUUCUUCCUGCCUGGUCUCAGCAAGUUCCGCAGUCAUAUUUCUUUUUAUCACAUUACCUGUACUCAUACGCAUCAACAUACUAUUCAAAUAUAACAUGUGGAUUUAUAUGAUGCUUAUCUGCUGUUAUUUCUUAUUGAAACUCUUCUAUCAAAUGGCAUCUGUACACCGCGAUAUGCCUUAAUAUGCCAGGGGCUUCAUUGUACCCAUAAUAACUGCAAUAAAGUCCGAACACCUUCGCGGACGUUCGGCACCCCAAACUUAUAGCAUUAUAUGCAUCAGCUCCGGAUCAUGUCUUGGGUCAAUAGUUGGGUUUGCCCGUCUCCCAUGUUUUGAUGCCUUAUGUUCCACUAUAUCGGCUAAGGCGGCACAUGGAGAACUACUACAAUUGUGUCCCGGUUCUUCCGGACGAGCGCCUCAGUAGAGAAAGCCGAAAACUAACUAUCAUGAUACGGCGAGAGCUGGUCAGCUGUUCGAGAGGUUGUAAAAUCUUUAAGGAUUUCUUCCGCAUAAUGCCAUAACUAAUGCAGCAUGCGAUGGAUUGGCUUUUCUUCCGAUCAGAUGCUUAUAGAGCCCCUCGUGCGGUCUUUCGAACACCAGGGGCUGCGCCUACCUUCCUUUUGUCAAACUCCUAUGGCUAAGUGAGAGUGAUAAAGCCCUAUAGUCCGAUUGCCUGGUUCGUUGUGCUGAACACCUCCUUCAAGGACCCAAAACUGGGAUAAAGAGUGCUCAGGUUUAUCCCGAACACCCCCGUACUUCCUACGUGGGGGCAGAAGCCUACGACUGGCCAACUCUCAGGAUUAAUAUAUAAAAUGGCCGCGCAGGAGGAAAAACUUUCAAAUAACAUGCAAAGGACAACAUGAUUGUAUUCAUGGAAAUAUAAUGUCCUUGGUGCAUUGCUCCACCGCAAGGCGGGAUCCUUUCAGGACACUAUCAUAAUAUAAUUCGGGCUUGCGGUGCUCCUUCCCCUCCGGCGGUCCCUUGGUCAUCAGCUUUUCAGCAUCCAACUUCCCCCAGUGCACCUUUGCGCGGGCGAAGGCCAUUCACGCACCCUCUAUAAAGACCGACCGCUUGAUGACGUCAAGUCGAGGGUAGGCACUCACAAGCCGCUUCACGAGCCUGAAGUAGCUGCCUGGAAUCGGCUCGGCGGGCCAUAGCCGGAUAAUCAAAUCCUUCAUGGCUAGCUCGGCCGCCUUAUGCAGUUCGAUCAGCUGCUUCAGUUGAUCGGCAAAAGGCACCAGAUAAUUCAGUGCCAGAUACUACGACCAGAAGAGCUUAUCCACAUUGUUCCUUUGUUCGGAUCGAUAUAAUUGGGCGGCAUCAGAUAUGCUGUGUGGCAGCUCUACAAAUACCCUUGGAAAAAUUUGAACUCAAAAUUAGAAACAUGAUUUUCUCCUCAAAUACUUGCUUUACAUGGAAAAAGCCUUACCCGCCGCGACCUUCCUCGCCUCUUGGAUCUCCUACAGGGCACCUUGGGCUCCCCCCCGGGCAUCGCGUGUGGGCUGAUGAGCCUUGGUGAGUUCGGAUUCUUUCUCCGUUAGACUCUGCUCCAAGGCCUCGCAUGUCUUCACGGCCUCUUGAAGCUCUUGCUCAGCUUCAAUAACUCUGGCCUCGUGCUUCUCACGAAGAGCCUGCUCUACGGCUGUCUUUUUCUUGGCCUCGGCCACAACCUUCUUAAGAGCCUCGGCUUCGGUCAUCGCCCCUAGAGCAAAUCAUGAAACAUAUUUUUAUCAUACUAAAAAUUCGUUCGCACUGAACGCGAGCAAGGUUUGUGCAUACCUUGUUUAUCCUCCAACUGCCUUUUCAACUGGACAAGUUCUUCUUUGGCCCGCUCUAGACUUUGAUUCAGUCCGGAGACUUCCGUAGUAUCAGAGGCGGCAGUCGCUACAGACGCCUGCUUAUAAAAGAAGAGAGAUAUAUGCCAUCAAGUGAGUCUCCUGCGAGCAUAAAUUUGAUCCUCUGCCCGGUUCUUUCUUUCACCGAACAGUGUAUCAGGGGCUACUAUCUAUACUAUGACACUCUUCAAAACCUCAUAAAACAUACCUCAAAGCCUUUUAUAAGGCUGAUGCAGGCUUCAUUCAGUCCACACUCAGCGCACUGAAUCUUCUCAAUCACCGUACCCACAAGGGUACAGUGUUCUUCAACGAUGGAGGCGCUCUUUGAUGACCCACAAGUAUAGGCGAUAUAUCGGAGUCCUUUCGAUAAGUAAGAGUGUUGAACCCAAUGAGGAGCAGAAGGAAAUGACAAGCGGUUUUCAGUAAGGUUUUCUCUGCAAGCACUGAAAUUGUAGGUAACAGAUAAUUUUGUGAUAAGAUAAAUUGUAACGAGUAACAAGCAAUGAAAGUAAAUAAAGUGCAGCAAGGUGGCCCAAUCCUUUUUGUAGCAAAGGACAAGCCUGGACAAUUUCUUAUAAUGAGAAAAGAGCUCCCGAGGACACAUGUGAAUUAUCGUCAAGCUAGUUUUCAUCACGCUCAUAUGAUUCGCGUUCGGUACUUUGAUAAUUUGAUAUGUGGGUGGACAGGUGCUUGGGUACUGCCCUUACUUGGACAAGCAUCCCACUUAUGAUUAACCCACAUUGCAAGCAUCUGCAACUACAAAAUAAGUAUUAAGGUAAACUUAACCACAACAUUAAACAUAUGGAUCCAAAUCAUCCCCUUACGAAGCAACGCAUAAACUACUGUUUAAGCUUCUGUCACUCUAGCAACCCAUCAUCUACUUAUUACUUCCCAAUGCCUUUCGCUAGGCCAAAAUAAUGGUGAAGUGUCAUGUAGUCGACGUUCACAUAACACCACUAGAGGAAAGACAACAUACAUCUCAUCAAAAUAUCGAACGAAUACCAAAUUCACAUGACUACUAAUAGCAAGACUUCACCCAUGUCCCCAGGAACAAACGUAACUACUCACAAAGCAUAUUCAUGUUCAUAAUCAGAGGAGUAAUAAUAUGCAUUAAGGAUCUAAACAUAUGAUCUUCCACCAAGUAAACCAAUUAGCAUCAACUACAAGGAGUAAUCAACACUACUAGCAACCCACAGGUACCAAUUUGUGGUUUUGGAUACAAGAUUGGAUACAAGAGAUGAACUAGGGUUUGAGAGGAGAUGGUGCUGGUGAAGAUGUUGAUGGAGAUUGACCCUCUCCCGAUGAGAGGAUCGUUGGUCAUGAUGAUGGUGAUGAUUUCCCCCUCCCGGAGGGAAGUUUCCCCGGCAGAACAGCUCCGUUGGAGCCCUAGAUUGGUUCCGCCAAGGUUCCGCCUCGUGGCGGCGGAGUUUCGUCCCGUAAGCUUGCCUCUGAUUUUUUCCAGGAUAAAAGCCUUCAUAUAGCAGAAGAUGGGCACCGGAGGGCCAUCAGGGGGCCCAGGAGACAGGGGGUGUGCCUAGUAGGGGUGGGCGCACCCCCACCCUCCUGGCCUGGGUGUGGGACCCCUCUGGUAGUUUCUUCACUCAUUAAUUCUUAUUAAUUCCAAAACUGACUUCCACGGAGUUUCAGGAUUUUUGGAGCUGUGUAGAAUAGGUUUCCAAUAUUUGCUGCUUUUCCAGCCAGAAUUCCAGCUGCCGGCAUUCCCCCUCUUCAUGGUAAACCUUGUAAAAUAAGAGAGAAUAGCCAUAAGUAUUGAGAUAUAAUGUGUAAUAACAGCCCAUAAUGCAAUAAAUAUUGAUAUAAAAGCAUGAUGCAAAAUGGACGUAUCAACUCCCCCAAGCUUAGACCUCGCUUGUCCUCAAGCGGAAGCCGAUAUCGAAAAAUAUGUCCACAUGUUUAGAGAUAGAGGUGUCGAUAAAAAUAAAAUACGGACAUGAGGGCAUCAUGAUCAUUCUUAUAACAGCAACAUAAAUAGAUUUUUCAUAUGAUAUCUUAUGCUCAAGUAACAAUCAAUUCACAAUGCCAAGUAUGGUUCAGAAACUUCAUCGGGAACUAACAAACUAUAAUUUCAGUCAUUGAAGCAACUGCAAUUUAUCAUAACAUUAGAAAGAGUCAAGAAUAGAGCUUUUAAGCAAGUCCACAUACUCAACUAUCAUGUAGUCUUCUACAAUUGCUAACACUCACGCUAUACUUGUGGUUAUGGAGUUUCAACUGGACACUGAGAAAGAUAGGGCCUUAUUGUGUUGCGUCCCAAUGUAUUCACCUUUAGGUGAUGUCAACAAUAAUAAUUCAUGCUAACUUACAUCCAAUUGGAUAUAUAUAUAUCUUGAUCUUUCAAACACAAGGAGCUUGCCAAAGGAUAAAAUGAAAAAGGGAAAGGUGAAGAUCACCUUGACUCAAGCAUAAAGUAAAACCAUAAAGUAAAAGAUAGGCCCUUCGCAGAGGGAAGCAGAGGUUGUCAUGUGCUUUUAGGGUUGUAUGCAUAAAAUCUUAAUGCGAAAGAACGUCACUUUAUAUUGCCACUUGUAUAUGGACCUUUAUUAUGCAGUCCGUCACUUUUAUUGCUUCCAUAACAAGACCGUAUGAAGCUUAUUUUCUCUGCACUAAUAAGUCAUACAUGUUUAGAGAGCAAUUUUUAUUGCCUGCAACAUGACAACUUACUUGAAGGAUCUUACUCAAUCCAUAUGUAUGUAUGGUGGACUCUCAUGGCAAAAACUGGGUUGAAGGAUAUUUGGAAGCACAAGUAGUAUCUCUACUUGGUGCAAGGAAUUUGGCUAACAUGAGGGGGAAAGGCAUGCUCAACAUGUUUGGAAGGUCAAUGACAAUAUACUUUAACUGAUAUGUGAGAAAACAUAAACCAUUAUGUUGUCUUCCUUGUCCAACAUCAACUCUUUUAGCAUGUCAUACUUAAUUGAGUGCUUCACAAUCAUAAAAGAUGUCCAAGAUAGUAUAUUUGUAUGUGAGACCUCUCUUUCCUUAUUACUUCCUGUUAAUUGCAACGAUGACCAAAACUAAGUUUGUCAACUCUCAACAACUUUUAUGCCUCAUACUUUUUAUGUGUGAAGUCAUUACUAUCCAUAAGAUCAAUAUGAACUCUUUUAUUACUUUUAUUCUUUCUACUUUCUCAAGAUCAUGGCAAGAUAGCAAAGCCCUUGACUCAACACUAAUCUUUAUUAUAGAUAGCUCAUGGACUCGAUUACAUAAAGAGAUCACAAAGAAAAACUCAAAACUAAUUGAUACUAAAGCUUCAAUCUACUAGAUCAAGAUACUACUAAAAGGAUCAAACUAAAUAAAACGGCAAAGAUAGGAGUGUGAUGGUGAUACGAUACUGGGGCACCUCCCCCAAGCUUGGUAGUUGCCAAGGGGAGUGCCCAUACCCAUGUGAUUAUGUCUCCUUCUUCAUAGUCGGUGUUGUGAUAUUCUUGGCGAUGAUGCCCCUCAGGAUACGAUUCUCCUCCUCGAGCUUAUUGACUUGUUGUUUGAGGUCCAUAACUUCUUUGCGGAGCUUGCCCGUAACGGCUAAAGCUCCCUUUACCCAAGGAUGCCGCAUAGCUUCUGGAGAACAAGUGACGCUCUUUUUCAUGUUUUCAUAAGAAAGAAAUUUAACGUUGGAAGGGAUGACUGAAUUUGGAAUAGCCAAGCUAUGUAGUUCCCCCAUCAUGAAUCCUGCUUGGAAGCGAGAGGUAACUUCUUGAUCUUCCUCCAUGGCAUCUAUCCUUUUCAAGUUGGCCUCCAUCUCGUCCUCCGUCGAUGGUCCAAAGUGAUAAGCAUCGCUAUUUGCUCUUGGACCUGGUGUCGGGUGAGACACCCGACUCUCCCUGACUGACUCUUGAGAAGACAUCUUGCUCUUAAUCUGCAACAGGAACAAUUCGAAACAAAAACAGAGGAUGUUUGCGUGAUGCGGUGGUUAAAACCUUCGGGAGAUUAUAUAAUGAAUUUUUACCGACCAAAAUACGUAACAUGCAAGAAAACAGAGUCCGGGAGGCACACGAGGUGGCCACGAGACAGGGGGGCGCACCCAGGAAGGGUGGGUGUCGGUGUCAAAACCGGCGGAUCUCAGGUAGGGGGUCCCGAACUGUGCGUCUAGGCGGAUGGUAGCAGGAGACAAGGGACACGAUGUUUUUACCCGGUUCGGGCCCUCUCGAUGGAGGUAAAACCCUACUCCUGCUUGAUUAAUAUUGAUGAUAUGGGUAGUACAAGAGUUGAUCUACCACGAGAUCAGAGAGGCUAAACCCUAGAAGCUAGCCUAUGGUAUGAUUGUUGUUCAUCCUACGGACUAAACCUCUCCGGUUUAUAUAGACACCGGAGAGGGCUAGGGUUACGCAGAGUCGGUUACAAUGGGGAGGAGAUUUUCAUAUCGUAUCGCCAAGCUUGCCUUCCACGCCAAGGAAAGUCCUAUCUGGACACUGGACGAAGUCUUCAAUUUUGUAUCUUCAUAGUCCGGGAGUCCGGCCAAAGGUCAUAGUCUGGCCAUCCGGACACCCCCCAAUCCAGAACUCCCUCAGUAGCCCCCUGAACCAGGCUUCAAUGACGAUGAGUCCGGCGUGCAAAUUUGUCUUCGGCAUUGCAAGGCGGGUUCCUCCUCUAAAUACUUCAUAGAAGAUGUUGAACACAAAGAUAGUGUCCGGUUCUGUAAAAUAAGUUCCACAUACCACCGUAGAGAGAAUAAUAUCUGCACAAGUCUAAUCUGCUGACGUAUUCCAUAGCAUGAUGUCAUGCCACGGCCAAGCCUUUAUCCGAAUCGUUUUACCGUCCCACCUCAGCGCGUUUAGCGAGGCGGUUUCCUUGGCACAUCUUGUCAAAGCAGAGAUCGUGUCUCCUUAUUCUGGGAUUCUCAUCAAUACGGACGUGGGUAACCCAACCGUGCCAUUGGUAUGGCUUAAUAAUGGAAAGUGAGUCCCAAACGGUCACGGGAGGGCUCUUGGUAUUCAAUCCCUUUAUAAAGGGACCAAGGCUCGACUCCUCUCUUUCAAUCCAAUCAAAUUCGCCUCUUGCCUCGAGUUCCAACACCCAAAGCUUCAGAUUCAGGCGCUUCGGACCUUCGAUGAUGUCUGGCUCCGACCUUCAAGGCCAGUGGAUGCCUUCCUCCAUUACGGAAGAAGACGUGCGAAAGCUAAGAGAUGCCAGGUAUCUGACCAGCGAAAUCUCGCAUAGGCUGCCUGUUGAAGGGCAGGCUAUUCCCACUCCCCAUCCCGGUGAGAGUGUGGUGUUCACAUCUCACUUCCUUCGGGGGCUAGGCUUCUCGAUUGAUCCCUUCGUGAGGGGGCUCAUGUUUUAUUACGAGCUGGAAUUUCACGACUUAGCUCCGGAGUCCAUCCUCCAAAUCUCAUCGUUCAUCGUCGUGUGCGAGGCCUUCCUCCAUAUUACUCCUCACUUCAGGCUGUGGCUUAAAACUUUCAAGGUAGAACCGAAGAUGAUCGAGGGGCAGCACGCUGAGUGCGGAGGUGCCAUUAUAAGCAAGACUGCUGACGCUCCAUGGCCCGAGGGCUCUUUUCAAGAGGAGUUCGGCUUAUGGCAACGAGAGUGGUUCUACAUCACAGCUCCUAGGGGCACCACGUGGGUGGCGCCACUGGCUUUUCGCUCGGGUCCCCCACCACGGCUAGCUUCAUGGGUAAAUAAAGGGCUUAACUGGGGGCCGCCCAAGGACGUGCCCUUGCUGCAGGGCCGCGUUCGAGAUCUCCUAGAGAGAUAUAUCAAUUUGGCCGUAGUGGCGCAGGUUAUGAUGAUUCGCCGCAUAAUGCCCUGCAAACGUCGCCCCCUCUGCCUGUGGGAAUUUAAUCCGGAAGGGCCACGAGCUCUCCAACACUUUAUGGGCACGACGCCCGUGGAGAUGUACAAAUUGUUCUUUGGAUCACAAGCAAGGUGUCCGGACUUGUCCGAGGACGGAGGUCUGAGCGGCAAUCGCCUGGAUACUUAAGUAAGUAGCCCCGUACCUGGACACGCCUUCUGUACAUUUAUCAUAAAACUGCCUUUAAAAGAGCUAUCCUUUAAACAGGAGUGGUUGGCGGAAGCAAAGCUUAUCAGGUGUCCGCCUCCCCUCCCGGAGACCAUGCCGGAUCCCGUGUUGACCAGGAUGCGGGAGAUUGUGCCUUUUGAAGAAGGCGAAGAGGGGAACAAAGAAGCUACCGCCUCCACGAAGGAGGCUGUCAGGAAGGGAGGAGUCGAGAACUCCUCUAUUCAGGGAAACAAGAGGAACGCCUCUGAAGACCCGGAGGCGAUCGCCUCAAAGCGGGGGAAGAAAUCUUCGUCAGAGGGUCCGGCGCCGGAGAGUGCUCCAGCCGCAUUGCGCCCCCAAGGGGAUCAGCUCUCCAACAAGCCAUAAGUAAAGAGGGGGGUUUUAAAAUGAGUGAUAUCCCUGUUUUAUUUCUGAGGAAGAUAACCAAAAUUUUACCUUGCAGUUCGGAUCUCAACCCUUCUUAGUAGAGCUCAUCUUCUGGGGAUCUCCUUCCAGAGAUGAUGGAGAGCGAAACGCCUCCCCCAGCUGUACCGUCUUGCGAGGCUGGCGACCCCGAGGUGUCGUCUCGGAGGAUUUCUCCAAAUCCGGACCUUGAAAAAGGUCGUUGGACUAGUCCGGCACCUUUUGGUGCACGGUCCGAGGGACUGAAGGAUCUGCUCGGACGAGCGUCUAUCUCAGAAGAACACCGUGUGUUGAUGAACACGAUGUUUAGAAGGAUUUCAUCCGCGGAAAGAAGAUUGUACGAGGCCGCCAGGAGUUUACUUACAGGUUUUGAGGUACGCGAAAAGAUGUACCUUUUGACAGAGCCGCAUAUAUGAAAUGCACCCUGUAUAAAUAGUAGCCUCUGAGACUCUGCGUGUUGUCAAAAAUUAUGGCGCACAGAGGAUCAUAAUCCCAGGUAUAAUAUGUCGCCUUUCCUAUGUAGGUGGCGAGGUGUUCGGUGGCUAGCCGGACUGAUGAAUUUGCCGAGCUAAAGCGGAAACUUGACGUAGCAGAUGCCGAGAUCGCGCUUGUAAAUGAGCGGCUAGAUGAGGCACAAGGUGUGUAAUGUCUCCAAAGACAUCUGAUAAGAGGAGCUUGAUGCUCGUGCCUUAUAACAUAUGUGCUUAAUGCAGAUGGUGCCACUGCCGUGGAGAACCUUCAGGCGGAACUUGCCCGAGCCAAGUAGCAAGCGAGGAAGAGCGAUGCGGCUGCCGUUAAAGCGGCUGAAGAGCUAAAAGCCGAACAGGCUGCUCACUGCCAGAGCAAGAAAGAAAUGGCUAAGAUGGCUGUAAAAUUGAAGGAUGCUGCCGACCAUUUUAAGCUUCGUGAAAAAGAAGUUAGGGUGGCACAGAAGGACCUAGAAAAGGUCACUGUCGAGGCCAAGGUCACUCGCUCUGCAAUGAGAGCUAUGAAGGAGGAGCUACGUCAGGCCGGAGAUAUCGCGGCUGGAAAGCCCUAUAUGCUGUGGAUGAAGUUCGGGGAUCCUAAGUAUGCUCCAUUGGACCGGAAGUGGAGUGCGGCGAACACUUAUCUGGAUUUGGCGGCGAGUGCCGCGGACGCGACCGAACACUUCUGGGGUCUGGAUGACCAUAAAUUGGAAGAACUGUUUUGGUCGUAGUUCCACAAUCCAAAGCACCCACUUUCGGUGUCCGACCGUUUGGCCGCUUGGGCGGAGCUAAACAGGUUGUCCGGACUCGCUAUGAGGUACGUCGCGAGUCGUUUGUGGCCGGAAGAGCCAGAGCUGAAGAGUUAUUUUAGCUUGGUGUAGCAAUUCCUUGGUUCAGUGCCGCAUGUUGAUGCAAUGAAGAGGUCAGCGUGCAUAGAGGGUGCACAGAUGGCUCUUGCCCGUGUCAAGACAUACUGGGCGGAUAUGAAGGCCAGUGUUGUUGCAUCUCGGGAUUCGGACGAAAGCCGAGUACCUGCCAAGCACUACUUUGAGGAAGUUCUUCAGGGCGCUCGUUUAAUAGAGACGCAGUGCUCGAAGGAUGUUGUGUUCAAAUAACAUGUGCUAUUGUAAAACAAUAUUUUGAUGGGAUGUAAAAGCUUUUUAUACUUGUGCUUUCAAGAAUUAGAAUGCCUCCUGUGCGGCCGUUAAUGUAUAUGUGUAUAUAACCUGAAAGAUGGCAGUCGUUGGCUUUAGCCCCCACACAUAUAAUGCGGGGGUUUUCACAGAAGGCGCCUUUUCACACUUGAUCCAACGUCUUGGUCCUAUAAAGGAGGUGAUAGCGCAGCGAACUAGGCAACCGGACUAUAAUGCUUUAUCACUUUCACUUAGCCAUAGGAGUUUGACAGUGGGGCUACUGAAUAGCCCCUAGGGGCACCGCGCUCGCCUGAAUUCGGGGCGCGUGUGUGCCUGACCGGGAAACGGCCCUUCGUUAAUGCGGAGGAAUCCUAAAGAUUCCGGCAAGUCAUCGAGUGGUUGACCAGUCUCUCGCUAUAUCAUGAUAGUCAGUUUUUGGCUUUCUCUACUGAGGUGCUCGCCUGGCCGAACCGGGGCACAAUCGCAGUAGUUCUCCUGGUGCUGCCUUAGCCGAUUGAGCGGAACGUAAGGCAGCAAAACAUAGGAGCCGGCCAAACCCAACAUUUGACCAAAGACAUGAUUCGGAGCUGAUGCAUAUAAGGCCAAACUCACGAUGCCGAACACUCCCUAAGGUAUUCGGUCUUUAUGAAGAUAGGCCGAACAAAAGCCCUUGGUAAAAAAGCCCCUGGUGUCUAGGUACGCGCAAAAUUCUAGCGUGGCCACAUGCCAAGAUGCCAGCCUCCUCCUUGGUUAUAGCAAAACCGGGGGAUGUUAUCAACAAGAGACAGUAAAAAAGGUUUACGCAGGGUCUUAAUCUGAAAAGAAUCCUUGAAACGGGUCCCUACUGCACGUCUGCGCCUGUGUCUCCGUUGUGCCGUAUCCAGGACGGGUGUAGCACGGUGUUCGUCUGCAAAAGGGAGGAACUUAGUGGAAAACAAUCGUGCGAGAAAUCGAUGUUAAAAUAAACAAAGUAUAAUACAGAAAAUGGGGAGAAUUGAGCUUUAUUGUCUCCUGGUGUAAACACGCGUAGCCCCUUGUAUAGGGUUAUGUGGCUAUUAAGCCUUUGUAUGUUUGCGCCGAACUCAUCGAGCCAUGUCCGGGGUCUUUAACGACCUGUUUAGGUGCUCUAACUAGUAAAGCUGGAUUAGUGCGCGGCUGUCAAGGCAACCACACCAUCGUCCGCGCUCGGGUGACACUUGGAUGUUUCCCAUUAAUGAGAUGAUGCCUCGUGGACCGGGCAUUUUGAGUGUAAGGGAUGCAUAAUGCGGUAUUGCAUUAAAGCGGGCGAAAGCUUCGCGUCCCAGUAGUGCUUCAUAGAGACUUAUGAAUGGGGCGAUGGGGAAGGUUAGCUUUUCGCUUUGGAAGUUGUCGGGGGAGCCGAACAUAACUUCUAACGAGAGGGAACCCGUGCAAUGGGUAUCUGGGCCUCGCGUGACCCCUUGAAAGGAAGUGUUGCCAUGGCGAAUUAUUGCUGGGUUUAACCCCAUUUUGCGGAUUGUGUCCCGAUAUAGCAGGUUUAGGUCACUGCCGCCGUCCAUUAGGACUUGUGUAAAGUGGAGUCCAUCGAUUAUCGGAUCUAAGACCAAGGCAGUCCAGCCUGCGUUCCGGAUACCUCUAGAGUAAUCCUAAUGGUCGAAGGUGAUUGGUUGUAACAACUAGUGGCGGGACUCCUCUGGGACAGGCCGUAUGGCGCGUAUCUCUGUAGGCGCCACUCUGCUUUUCGCUUUUGUCACAUGAAGUGAAUUUAUUGUUUUGACUUCUUGUGGGUACUUCUUUUGUUCUCCGAUGUUCUACUUGUGGGGUUCGUCGUCAUCCUCGCUUGGUAUGUCGAGCCCCUUGUGUUCGGCGUUGAGUUUGCCGGAUUGCUUGAAGACCCAACAAUCUCGGUGGGUGUGGUUUGCAGGCCUCCCGGGAGUACUGUGGAUUUGGCAUAUUUUGUCCAAGAUUUUGUUGAGGUUAGAUAGCUCGUCCCUAUUAUCCUUGGGGGGGCGGCCUUUUUUUAUUCUGCCGAGAGCUUUUGAAUCCGGCGUUGACUGCCGUGCUCUUCAGGCUGUUAUCCUUGAUCCGGCGCCGUUCUUUGUUACAGUGCGGUUUCCCAUAUCCAUCUCUGACUUCGGAUGUACUUGGGUCGCUGGUGCUGCUUCUUGCCAACCAGCUAUCCUCUCCUGCACAAAAGUGGGUCAUGAGGCUUGUUAAUGCGGCCAUUGUUCUUGGCUUUUCUUGGCCGAGGUGUCUGGCAAGCCAUUUGUCUCGAACACUAUGUUUGAAAGCUGCUAAGGCCUCGGCGUCCGGACAGUCGACUAUCUGAUUCUUUUUAGUAAGAAAUCUGUUCUAGAGUUUCCGGGCUGACUCUCCGGGUUGUUGAGUUAUAUGGCUUAGAUUGUCUGCAUCCGGAGGUCGGACAUAGGUCCCUUGAAAAUUUGCUCGAAAAGCAUCCUCGAGCUCUUCCCAACUUCCUAUGGUGUUUUCGGGAAGGCUUUUAAGCCAGUGCCCGGCUGGCCCUUUGAGCUUGAGGGGUAGGUAUUUUAUGGCGUGGAGGUCAUCUCCUCUAGCCAUGUGUAUGUGGAGGAUAUAAUCCUCAAUCCAGACUCCAGGGUCUGUUGUUCUGUCGUAUGCCUCUAUGCUUACGGGCUUGAAUCCCGCUGGAAAUUCAUGGUCCAGCACCUCAUUGGUGAAACAUAGGGGAUGUGCGGCGCCCCUGUAUUUGGGUGUUCCGCGAUGUUCGGAUAUUUGUUGCAUUGCAUUGCUUACUAGAGCUUGCUUUCUUGGCCCGUAGAUGGAUCUAGUUGGGCCAUCUUUUUGAUGCGAAUCCUUGUGCGGAUCGCGCGCCGGAUUGAGUGCGGCGCCCUUUGCCACUCGAUGUCGGUCAUGGGGUCGUCUAUCCGACCUGGAGGCUUCCUUGUUUUUUGACCAUGGGGGCUCUAAGGCCUCCUCAUCAAAUUCUGGUAGUAAUUUUCACUUCGGAUACUCUUUGUGUGGGGAAUGUCACCGUACUUGUGUGCGGUGUUGAGUACUCUGUCCCAUCUGAUUCUGAGUGCUUCUUCCGCUGUUCUGAGCUUCCGGUUCUGCUUUUUCAGGCUACGUGCCAUGGCGACGAGCCAUUGGUGGAGGUUAUUCUUCUCUAGUAAUUUGUCCAGCGUGAGGUCGUCCGGACUAUUAUCUUCGCCGGGGACAUGAUGUUUGGUUUGUUCAUCCAAGUUGCCCUGUUCGGACGGUUGCUUGAUGGUAUGAUCGUCGUCCGCCGGUUCAUCCUGCUCUAUGGCUGGAUCUCUGUCGAGGUGGGGUUUGGCGCGGCAUUUCCACUGCCGCUUUGAUUGCUUUUCGAGGGAAUGAUCCCUUGUUGCGCCCUUUUGAUCCUCGUCUUUGUUUCUUUUAGUUGUGUCCACCAUGUAUACAUCGUGAGGUGAGGUGGUUUUCCAGUGCCCUAUAGGCGCUGGUUCUUGGUCGUCUCCUUCAUCAGCGUCCAUACCGUCGAUGUCUUCGGAGUCGAAGUCGAGCAUGUUGGUUAAAUCAUCGACAGUGGCUACAAAGUGCGUGGUGGGUGGGUUUCGAAUUUCUUCGUCGUCCGCAUCCCAACCUUGCUGACCAUAGUCCGGCCAGGGCUCUCCUGAUAGAGAGAGAGACUUUAGUGAAUUUAGGAUGUCACCAAAGGGAGAGUGCUGAAAGAUGUCCGCGUCGGUGAACUCCAUGAUCGGAGCCCAAUCGGGUUUGAUCGGAAGGGGUGCGGAAGAUUCGAAGUUCGGAAAGGAGUCCGGCACCUUGGAGUCACAAGCUUCAUAAAGGACAAGGCUGGUAUUCGGCUUGAUCGCCAUAGAGAUUGCAGCCCCCGAGGCGGCGUCCAACCAUCCGUCACCGAUUGGCGCGGUCGGCUCCGAACCAAGGGUCGGAGCGGACACCUGAGCGGCGCUCUGGGCAUUGUCCGGCGGCAGAGCUAGAUCAUGCCCAUCGUGACAGUGCGGCGCGCUCGGUUGUGGCUCGAAUCCGUCGAAGAUCAAGUCCCCGCGGAUAUCAGCCGGGCAGUUCAAAUUUCCAAAUCUGACCUGAUGGCCAGUGGCGUAGCUUUCGAUCUGCUCCAGUUGGCCAAGCGAACUGGCCCGCAGUGCAAAGCCGCCGAACACGAAGAUCUGUCCGGGGAGAAAAGUGUCACCCUGGACUGCGUCGUGGUUGAUGAUAGAAGAAGCCAUCGGGCCUAAAGGUGACGACAUAGAGGAACUCUCAAUGAAAGCACCAAUGUCGGUGUCAAAACUGGCGGAUCUCGGGUAGGGGGUCCCGAUCUGUCCGUCUAGGCGGAUGGUAACAGGAGACAAGGGACACGAUGUUUUUACCCAGGUUCGGGCCCUCUCGAUGGAGGUAAAACCCUACUCCUUCUUGAUUAAUAUUGAUGAUGUGGGUAGUACAAGAGUUGAUCUACCACGAGAUCAGAGAGGCUAAACCCUAGAAGCUAGCCUAUGGUAUGAUUGUUGUUCGUCCUACGGACUAAAGCCCUCCGGUUUAUAUAGACACCAGAGAGAGCUAGGGUUACACAGAGUCGGUUACAAUGGGGAGGAGAUCUUCAUAUCGUAUCACCAAGCUUGCCUUCCACGCCAAGGAAAGUCCUAUCCGGACACGGGACGAAGUCUUCAAUUUUGUAUCUUCAUAGUCCGGGAGUCCGACCAAAGGUCAUAGUCCGGCCAUCCGGACACCCCCCAAUCCAGGACUCCAUCAGUGGGCGCGCCCUCCACCCUCGUGGAGGCCUCGUCUCCUUCUCGGACUACUUCUUUCUUUGGAAAAUUCUUAAAUAUUCCAAAACUGAUAAAAAAUUGCCUUUAGAAUUGUUUUUGAGUCGGUUUACUUACCGUACCACAUACCUAUUCUUUUUCGGAGUCUGGAACGUUUUGGAAAGUGUCCCUUAUGUAUUCCUCCAGGGUUACAGUUUCAAUAAUAUUAGUUUCAACAUUGAUAGGAUUACCUCAGAUGUAAUGUUUAAUUUUUUGACCAUUCACCACCCUCGGACUUGUGCCUUCGAAGUUGUUGAUAUUUAUGGCACCGAAACGAUAGACCUCCUCGAUAACGUAAGGACCUUCCCAUUUAGAAAGAAGUAUUCCUGCAAAAAAAUCUUAAAUGAGAGUUGAAUAAUAACACAUAAUCACCUACAUUAAACUCACGCUUUUGUAUCCUUUUGUCAUGCCAGCGUUUGACUUUUUCUUUGAAUAGCUUGGCAUUCUCAUAGGCUUGGGUUCUCCAUUCAUCAAGUGAGCUAAUAUCAAAUAACCUCUUCUCACCGGCAAGUUUGAAGUCAUAGUUGAGCUCUUUAAUAGCCCAUUAUGCUUUAUGUUCAAGUUCAAGAGGUAAGUGACAUGCUUUUCCAUAAACCAUCUUAUACGGAGACAUACCCAUAGGAUUUUUGUAUGCAGUUCUAUAGGCCCAUAAUGCAUCAUCAAGUUUCUUGGACCAAUUCUUUCUAGAUCUAUUCACAGUCUUCUACAAAAUUAAUUUGAGCUCUCUAUUGCUCAACUCUACUUGACCACUAGACUACGGGUGAUAAGGAGAUGCGAUUCUAUGAUUAACAUCAUACUUAGCAAGCAUCUUACGGAAAGCACCAUGAAUAAAAUGUGAAUCACCAUCAGUCAUAAGAAAUCUAGGGACUCCAAACCUCAUAAAAAUAACUUCUUUAAGCAUUUUAAUAGAAGUGUUAUGAUCAGCACUACUAGUUGGAAUAGCUUCUACCCACUUAGUAACGUAAUCAACAACAACUAAAAUAUGUGUGUAACCAUUAGAGGCAGGAAAAGGUCCCAUAUAAUCAAAGCCCCAAACAUCAAACGAUUCAAUAACAAGGGAAUAAUUCAUAGGCAUUUCUUGACGUCUACUAAUAUUACCAAUUCUUUGACAUUCAUCACAAGAUAAGACAAACUUACGAGCAUCUUUGAAGAGAGUAGGCCAAUAAAACCGGAUUGCAAUACCUUGUGUGCAGUUCUAUCUCCAGCGUGGUGUCCUCCAUAUGAUUCGGAGUGACACUUGCAUAGGAUCUGUUCCUGCUCAUGCUCAGGUACACAACAUCUAAUAACACCAUCUACUCCUUCUUUAUAAAGGUGUGGGUCAUCCCAGAAGUAAUGUCUUAAAUCAUAAAAGAAUUUUUUCUUUUGAUGGUAUGUGAAACUAGGUGGUAUAAAUUUAGCAACAAUGUAAUUAGCAUAAUCAGCAUACCAAGGAGUAGUACGAGAAGCAUUAACGGCCGCUAAUUGUUCGUCAGGAAAGCUAUCAUCAAUAGGCAGUGGGUCAUCAAGAACAUUCUCUAACCUAGACAAGUUGUCUACAACGGGGUUCUUAGCUCCCUUUCUAUCUAUAAUAUGCAAAUCAAAUUCUUGGAGCAAGAGAACCCAUCUAAUGAGUCUAGGCUUAGCAACUUUCUUUCCCAUAAGAUAUUUAAUAGCAGCAUGAUCAGUGUGAAUAGUAACUUUGGAAUCAACAAUAUAAGGUCCAAACUUAUCACAUGCAAACACAACUACUAAGAACUCUUUUUCAGUAGUAGCAUAAUUUCACUGGGCAGUAUCAAGAGUUUGACUAGCAUACUGGAUAACAUUCAAUUUCUUAUCAACUCUUUACCCUAGAACAACACCUACAGCAUAAUCACUAGCAUCACACAUAAUUUCAAAGGGUAAAUUCCAAUCAGGUGGCUGAACAAUAGGUGUAGUGAUCAAAGCUUUCUUAACUAUUUCAAAUGCUUCUACACAAUCAUCAUCAAAGACAAAAGGAAUAUCUUUUUGCAAUAAAUUAGUCAGAGGCCUAGAGAUUUUAGAAAAGUCCUUAAUGAAGCUCCUAUAAAAACCGGCAUGACCAAGGAAACUUCUUAUACCUUUUAUGUCCUUGGGACAUGGCAUCUUUUAAAUAGCAUCAACUUUAGCUUUAUCAACUUCAAUACCUCUCUCGGAAAUCUUAUGCCCCAAGACAAUGCCUUCAUUAACCAUAAAGUGGCACUUUUCCCAAUUCAAGACGAGACUAGUGUCUUCGCAUCUCUGCAAAACUCGAUCAAGGUUGCUCAAGCAAUCAUCAAAAGAGGAUCCAUAGAUGGAGAAAUCAUCCAUGAAUACCUCACAAAUCUUUUCACAAAAGUCAGAGAAUAUAGCCAUCAUACAUCUUUGAAAGGUAGCAGGUGCAUUACAUAAACCAAAAGGCAUACAUCUAUAAGCAAAAGUACCGAAAGGGCAAGUAAAAGUAGUUUUGAUUGAUCCUUCGCUGACACAAGUAUCUGAGAGAAACCAGAAUAACCAUCUAUAAAGCAGAAAUGUGUGUGUUUGGAUAGUCUUUCUAGCAUUUGAUCAAUAAAAGGUAAAGGGUAAUGAUCUUUCUUAGUAGCUUUAUUUAAUUUACGGAAAUCAAUUACCAUCCUAUAACCUGUAAUAACUCUUUGCGGGAUCAAUUCAUCUUUACUAUUAGGAACAACGGUAAUACCUCCCUUUUUAGGAACACAAUGGACAGGGCUUACCCAAUCACUAUCAGCAACGGGAUAAAUUAUACCUGCCUCAAGGAGCUUUAGUAUCUCCUUUCUUACCACUUCUUUCAUCUUAGGAUUCAAUCAUCGUUGAGGAUCUCUAACUGGUUUGGCAUCAUCCUCCAAAUUAAUUUUGUGUUGGCAUAACGUGAGACUAAUGCCCUUGAGAUCAUCCAGAGUAUAUCCAAUAGCAGCACAGUGCUUCUUCAGAGUUUUCAAUAAUCUUUCUUCUUCUUGCUCUGGAAGGUUAGCACUAAUAAUAACAUGAUAUAUUUUAUUUUCAUCAAGAUAAGCAUACUUAAGAUUAUCAGGUAAUAGUUUGAGUUCAAACACGGGAUCACCCUUGGGUGGAGGGGGAUCCCCAAGAAUUACAACGGGUAGGUUGUGUUUCAGAAUAGGUUCCUGUUGAAGGAACACUUCAUCUAUUUCCCUUCUUUCCUUCAUAAACAUAUCAUUUUCAUGGUCUAGCAAAUAUUGUUCUAACAGAUCAGUAGGAGGCACGGCAAUAGAAUCAAGACCAAUAAUCUCAUCCUUACUAGGUGAUUCUCUAUCACGAGGUUGUCUAUGAAACUUAGCAAAAUUAAACUCAUGAGACACAUCCUCUAACCCAAUUGUAACAGUAUUCAAGAAGGGUCUACCAAAAAUAAUGGGACAAAAGUCAUCUUGUGGGGAACCAAGAACAAGAAAAUCAGCAGGAUAUUUAACCUUCCCACACAAGACUUCAACAUCUCUAACAAUCCCAAAUGGCUUAAUAGUAUCCCUAUUGGCAAGCUUAAUAGUAACAUCUAGAUCUUCCAUUUCAGUGGGUGCAAUAUCAUGCAUAAUUUCUUUAUAUAAGUGAUAGGGUAUUGCACCAGCACUAGCACCCAUAUCACAUAAGCCAUGAUAACAAUGAUCUCCUAUUUUGACAUAAAUAACAGGCAUGCCUACAACUGGUCUAUGUAUCUUAGCAUCUGGUCUAGCAAUAUUGGCAGCCUCACCACAGAAAUAAAUAACAUGCCCAUCUAAAUCAUCAUCCAAGAGAUCUUUAAUCAAAGCAAUACUAGGUUCAACUUUGAUUUGCUCAGGAGGUGUAUAAGUCCUAGUAUUACUGUUACGAACAACAGUCAAAGUUUUAGCAUGAUCCUUUAUCCUAACAGGAAAAGGAGGUUUCUCAACAUAAGUAGUAGGAACAAUAGGAUCACUCUAAGUGACAGUCUUUUCUUCAACUGUAAUAGGUGAAACUACUUUUACUUCAAUGGUAGGAUUAUAUUUAAACCACUUCUCCUUAGGGAGAUCAACGUGAGUAGCAAAAGAUUCACAGAAAUAAGCUACUAUCUCAGAGUCAAGUCCAUACUUAGCGCUAAAUCCAUGAAAAGCAUCGAUAUCCAUAAAAGAUUUAACACAAUCAAACUUAGGUGUCAUCCCUGACUCCUUACCAUCGUCGGAACCCCAAUCUUCAGAGUUGCGUUUAAUUCUUUCCAAUAAAUCCCAUUUGAAUUCAAUAGUCUUCAGCAUAUAAGAACCAUCACAGGAAGUAUCGAGCAUGUUGCGAUCAUUGGGAGAAAGCCGAGCAUAAAAUUUUUGAAUAAUCAUUUCUCAGGAGAGCUCAUGAUUGGGGCAUGAAUAUAACAUUGACUUAAUCCUCCCCCAAGCUUGAGCGAUGCUUUCUCCUUCGCGAGGCCAGAAAUUAUAUAUGUAAUUACAAUCAUGAUGAACAAGAUGCAUAUGAUAGAAUUUUUGGUGAAAUUCCAACUUCAAUCGUUUAUAAUUCCAAGAUCCCGUAUCAUCACAUAGCCUAUACCAUGUCAAUGCAUCUCCCUUCAAAGAUAAAGGGAAUACCUUCCUUUUGACAACAUCAUCGGGAAUACCUUCAAGCUUAAAUAAUCCACAAACUUGAUCCACAAAGAUAACGUGUAAAUCGGGAUGCAAUGUUCCAUCUCCUGCAAAGGGAUUAGCUAGCAGUUUCUCUAUCAUACCCGAAGGAAUCUCAAAGUAAAUAUUUUCAGUAGGUUCAGUAGGUCGAGGAGAAACUCUUUACUCUUCUGGUCGGGGUGAAGAUACCCCGAACAAGCCCCUCAAAGGAUUAGUUUCCAUAGUAACAAGUGACAGAAAAUUUCAGCACACUAUAUAAAUGUUUCCUUACCAAGUUCCACUCACCAAAGGCGCUUCACUCCCCGGCAACGGCGCCAGAAAAGAGUCUUGAUGACCCACAAUUAUAGGUGAUCUAUCAUAGUCCUUUUGAUAAGUAACAGUGUCGAACCCAAUGGGGAGCAGAAGGAAAUGACAAGCGGUUUUCAGUAAGGUUUUCUCUGCAAGCACUGAAAUUGUAGGUAACAGAUAAUUUUGUGAUAAGAUAAAUUGUAACGAGUAACAAGCAAUGAAAGUAAAUAAAGUGCAGCAAGGUGGCCCAAUCCUUUUUGUAGCAAAGGACAAGCGUGGACAAUUUCUUAUAAUGAGAAAAGAGCUCCCGAGGACACAUGGGAAUUAUCGUCAAGCUAGUUUUCAUCACGCUCAUAUGAUUCACGUUCGGUACUUUGAUAAUUUGAUAUGUGGGUGGACCAGUGCUUGGGUACUUCCCUUACUUGGACAAGCAUCCCACUUAUGAUUAACCCCUAUUGCAAGCAUCCGCAACUACAAAAGAAGUAUUAAGGUAAACCUAACCACAACAUUAAACAUAUGGAUCCAAAUUAGCCCCUUACGAAGCAACACAUAAACUAGGGUUUAAGCUUCUGUCACUCUAGCAACCCAUCAUCUACUUAUUACUUCCCAAUGCCUUCCUCUAGUCCCAAAUAAUGGUGAAGUGUCAUGUAGUCGACGUUCACAUAACACCACUAGAGGAAAGACAACAUACAUCUCAUCAAAAUGUCGAACGAAUACCAAAUUCACAUGACUACUAAUAGCAAGACUUCACCCAUGUACUACUCACAAAGCAUAUUCAUGUUCAUAAUCAGAGGAGUAAUAAUAUGCAUUAAGGAUCUGAACAUAUGAUCUUCCACCAAGUAAACCAAUUAGCAUCAACUACAAGGAGUAAUCAACACUACUAGCAACCCACAUGUACCAAUUUGUGGUUUUGGAUACAAGAUUGGAUACAAGAGAUGAACUAGGGUUUGAGAGGAGAUGGUGCUGGUGAAGAUAUUGAUGGAGAUUGACCCUCUCCCAAUGAGAGGAUCGUUGGUGAUGAUGAUGGUGAUGAUUUCCCCCUCCCGGAGGGAAGUUUUCCCGGCAGAACAGCUCCGCUGGAGCCCUAGAUUGGUUCCGCCAAGGUUCCGCCUCGUGGCGGCGGAGUUUCAUCCCGUAAGCUUGCCUCUGAUUUUUCCAGGGUAAAAGCCUUCAUAUAGCAGAAGAAGGGCACCGGAGGGCCACCAUGGGGCCCAGGAGACAGGGGGGCGUGCCUAGUAGGGGUGGGCGCGCCCCCACCUUCCUGGCCUGGGUGUGGGCCCCCUCUGGUAGUUUCUUCGCUCAAUAAUUCUUAUUAAUUCCAAAACUGACUUCCCUGGAGUUUCAGAAUUUUUGGAGCUAUGCAGAAUAGGUUUCCAAUAUUUGCUCCUUUUCCAGCCAGAAUUCCAGCUGCCGGCAUUCCCCCUCUUCAUGGUAAACCUUGUAAAAUAAGAGAGAAUAGCCAUAAGUAUUGAUAUAUAAUGUGUAAUAACAACCUAUAAUGCAAUAAAUAUUGAUAUAAAAGCAUGAUGCAAAAUGGACAUAUCACUCUUCAGGGCCGCCAGUAAACUAUCCGGCACCUCUGGUUGGAUAGAGGUUGCCAACAGAAUAGGCGCACCCCCUCCAGUCGAGGGAGGCUGCCUGCCUGAUUCUGGAGCUGUACCGGUCUCCGGAAUUGUGUCCGGCCGGCGGCCAAAUUCGAGAUAGCCCCCGUCGUCGACGUCCAUGGGAGCCUUUUCUCCCGUCUGUCCGGCCCCAGAAGUUUGACCUUCCAGGACCGUCUUGACGAUCUCCCCCCUUUCUUGGCCUAGGUCCCUCUGUGACGAUACCUCGAUGUCAUUCACGUGUUUUGGGGAAGGGGCCUUCGGGGGCGUCUCACUGUCCAUGGCAUCCGAACCCAAUAAAUCCUCUGAUGAGGAUCGUUCGGUGCAGGACCUCAUCGGACUGCAACAAAGUAUGGCUCAAUGAUUGAAACAUCAUGCCAUGGUGAGUCCAGAUGCGUAAAUAUGUUUGGAUUUUAUAUACUCACGAGUUCACCAGGGGCUGGCCUCUGGGAUCCCAUUCCGGACUGCUGUCGGCGGCAGCGGUGGACUCCGCCGGGAGAGGAGUUUUUCCCCUCUUAGGCGACUCGGCCUCCAAAGAUGUGGAGGCCGUCCUUUUCUUUCUUCCCCCCACUGGCGAUUCGUCUUCCUCCCCCUCCUCGUCCUCUUCGGAGGAAGAACGGUCAUUGCAGUCUUCGGAUAUUAUGUCCGAGGCACCACGGCGACGGAGGCAGCCCCUGGUCUUUUUGGCCUCCUUCUCGGCCUUCUUCUUCGGUGCCUUGUAAGGCGCCGGGACUAGCAUCUUCGUUAGAAGUGGGCCGGCCGGUUCUUCUGGCAGUGGGGCCGGAUAGUAUAUCUGCCCCGCCUUCUUCGUCCGGCCCUAGGAGAGUUGUGGAAAACACAUUAAGCAUUUCCCUUGGGUUAUGCGAAUAAAACAUAUAAUGACUUACCGAACUUGCAGGGCGGGACAGUUGGUACCCGCGGUCCUCAGUUGAGUCCGGCCAUGAUUUGCUGGACUUCAAAAGCACCUUCUAGAUGUCUUUGUGCGAGGAGCCAAAGAGCUCCUGCAGCGUUUAGUGCUUGACCGGGUUGAAUUCCCAUAAAUUGCAAGCCCCGUGUUGACAAGGAAGGAUCCGAUGAACUAACAUCACCUGGACUACAUUGAUAAGUUUGAUAUUCUUGUCUUCCAUAUCCUUGACGCGCGUUUGGAGCACCGACAACUCGUCGGGCGAAGACCAGUUCAGGCCCUUCUUGGGCCAGGACGUAAGCCGCAGGGGGGCUUGCUACGUCUUGAGCUUGCGUUGGUUUUCCUUGAAGAGGAAAGGGUGAUGCAACAAUAGUAGCGUAAGUAUUUCCCUCAGUUUUGAAGAACCAAUGUAUCAGUCCAGUAGGAGGCUCCUCAAAAGUCCCACGCACCUACACAAACAAACAAAGAACUCGCAACCAACGCAAUAAAGGGGUUGUCAAUCCCUUCAUGGCCACUUGCGAAAGUGAGAUCUGAUAGAGAUAGUAUGAUAAGAUAAAUUAUUUUUGGUAUUUUAUAAUAUAGAUUGGAAAAGUAAAUAUGCAAAUAAAAGUAGAUUGAAAGUUUAAAAGAUAAAAGAUAGACCCAGGGGCCAUAGGUUUCACCAGUGGCUUCUCAAGAUAGCAUAAGUAUUACGGUGGGUGAACAAAUUACUGUCGAGCAAUUGAUAGAAAAGCGAAUAAUUAUGAGAUUAUCUAGGCAUGAUCAUGUAUCUAGGCAUCACGUCCGUGAUAAGUAGACCGACUCCUGUAGGCAUCUACUACUAUUACUCCACUCCUGUAGACCCUCGUGGCCGCCUCGACUGCUUCAUGGCUUGCACUCCAAGUCCUUUGGAUCACAUUUGUUCCAAAAAUCACGCUCCCGAAGGUUUCAUUCCGUUUGGACUCCAUUUGAUAUUCCUUUUCUUCGAAAUACUGAAAUAGGCAAAAAAUAGCAAUACGGGCUGGGCCUCCGGUUAGUAGGUUAGUCCCAAAAAUGAUAUAAAUGUGUAAAGUAAAGCCCAUAAACAUCCAAAACAGGUAAUAUAAUAGCAUGGAACAAUCAAAAAUUAUAAAUACGUUGGAUACGUAUCAAGCAUCCCCAAGCUUAAUUCCUGCUCGUCCUCGAAUAGCUAAAUGAUAAAAACAGAAUUUUUGAUGUGGAAUGCUACCUAGCAUAAUUCUCAAUGUAAUUUUCUUUAUUGUGGCAUGAAUGUUCAGAUCCAAAUGAUUCAAAAUAAAAGUUCAUAUUGACAUAAGAAAUAGUAAUACCUCAAGCAUACUAAUCAAAGCAAUCAUGUCUUCUCAAAAUAACAUGGCUAAAGAAAGUUCAUCCCUACAAAAUCAUAUAGUUAGGCUAUGCUUCAUUUUCGUCACACAAAAAUGUUCCCAAAUUCUACACCCUCGAUGACAAGCCAAGAAAUUGUUUCGUACUUAAAUAAUCUCAAACUUUUUCAACCUUCACGUAAUACAUGAGCGUGAUCCAUGGAUAUAUCACUAUGGGUGGAAUAGAAUAUGAUAAUGGGGAUUGUGUGGAGAAGACAAAAAAGCAGAAAGUCUCACAUUGACGAGGAUAAUCAACGGGCUAUGGAGAUGCCCAUCAAUUGAUGUCAACAUGAGGAGUAGGGAUUGCCAUGCAAUGGAUGCACUAGAGCUAUAAAUGUAUGCACGCUCAACAAAAGAAAACUAGUGGGUGUGCAUCCAACUUGCUUGCUCACUAAGACCUAGGGCAUUUUGAGGAAGCCCAUCAUAGGAAUAUACAAGCGAAGUUCUAUAAUGAAAAAUUCCCACUAGUAUAUGAAAGUGACAACAUAUGAGACUCACUAUGUGAAGAACAUGGUGCUACUUUGAAGCACAAUGUGGAAAAAGAGAUAGUAACAUUGCCCCUUUUUUUCUUUUUUUUUCUUUUCCUUUUUUUGGGCCUUUCUUUUUUCUUUUGGCCUUUCCCCUUUUUUCUUUUUUUUCUUUGUCCUUUCAUUUUUUAUUUCUUUUUGGCCUUUUUCUUUUCUUUUCGGGGACAAUGCUCUAAUAAUGAUGAUCAUCACACUUUCAUUAAUUUACAACACAUGAAUUACAACUCAAAACUAGAACAAGAUAUGACUCUAUAUGAAUGCCUCCGGCGGUGUACCGGUAUGGGCAAUGAAUCAAGAGUGACAUGUAUGAAAAAUUAUGCAAAGUGGCCUUGCCACAAAUACGAUGUCAACUACAUGAUCAUGCAAUGGCAAUAUGACAAUAGUAAUGCGUGUCAUGAUGAUAAAUGGAACGGUGGAAAGUUGCAUGGAAAUAUAUCUCGGAAUGGCUAUGGAAAUGCCAUAAUAGGUAGGUAUGGUGGCUGUUUUGAGGAAGAUAUAAGGAUUUUUAUGUGUGAUAGAGCAUAUCAUAUCACGGGGUUUGGAUGCACCGGCGAAGUUUGCACCAACUCUCGAGGUGAGAAAGGGCAAUGCACGGUACCAAAGAGGCUAGCAAUGAUGGAAAGGUAAAAGUGCGUAUAAUCCAUGGAAUCAACAUUAGUCAAAAGAACUCAUAUAAUUAUUGAAAAAAUCUAGAAGUCAUCAAAAACCAAGCACUAUGCGUAUGCUCGUAGGGGGAUAGAUUGGUAGGAAAAGACCAUCGCUCGUCCCCAACCGCCACUCAUAAGGAUGCACAAUCCAAGGACACUUCAUGUUUCAAAUUGUUACACAACUUUAACCAUACGUGCAUGCUACGGGACUUGCUAACUUCAACACAAGCAUUAUUUAAAUUCAUAAUCACCCAACUAGCAUGACAUUAAUAUCACUACCUCCAUAUCUCACAACAAUUAUCAAGUAUCGAAUUGAUCAUAUCAUCCAAUUCACUUCCUAUGAUAGUUUUUAUUAUACCCUACUUGGAUGCCUACCAUUCUAGGACCAAUUUUAUAACCAUAGCAAAUACCAUGCUGUUCUAGGAGACUCUCAAAAUAAUAUAAGUGAAGCAUGAGAGACUAGAAAUUUCUACAAAAUUAAGCCACCGCCGUGCUCUAAAAGAUAUAAGUGAAGCACUAGAGCAAAAACUAUCUAGCUCAAAAGAUAUAAGUGAAGCACAUAUAGUAUUCUAAUAAAUUCCAAUCAAGUAGGCUUCUCCCAAAAGGUGUGUACAGCAAGGAUGAUUGUGGAAAACGAUAAAGCAAAUACUAAUAUCAUACAAGACUCUCCAAGCAAAACACAUAUCAUGUGGCGAAUAGAAAUAUAGCUCUAAGUAUAGUUACCAAUGAACGAAGACGAAAGAGGGGAUGCCUUCCGGGGGCAUCCCCAAGCUUAGGCUUUUGGCUAUUCUUGAAUAUCUUGGGGUGCCAUGGGCAUCCUCAAGCUUAGGCUCUUGCUACUCCUUAUUCCAUAGUCCAUCAAAUCUUUACCCAAAACUUGAAAACUUCACAACACAAAACUCAACAGGAAAUCUCAUAAGCUCCGUUAGGGAAAGAAAGCAAAACCACCACAUAAGGUACUGUAAUGAACUCAUUCUUUAUUUAUAUUGGUGUUAAACCUACUUUAUUUCAAGUUCUCUAUGGCUUAUACCACUUAAUACUAGCCAUAGAUGCAUCAAAAUAAGCAAACAACACACGAAAAACAGAAUCUGUCAAAAACAGAACAGUCUGUAGCAAUCUGUAACCCACGAAUACUUAUGGAACUAUAAAAAUCCUACCAAAAUAGGAAGUCCUGGGAAAUUUGUCUAUUGAUCUAAAGCAAAAAUAAUCGACGCAAAAGCACGUUUCUGUGAUUUAACAAAUCUAAUUUCGUGCAUGCAAAGUUUCUGUUUUUCAGCAGAAUCAAAUUAACUAUCACCAUAGGUUAUCCUAUAGGUUCUACUUGGCACAAACACUAAUUAAAACCUAAAAACACAUCUAAACAGAAGGUAGAUGCAAAAUUUAGUAUUAAACAGAAACAAAAACAAAAUACACAAAUAAAAUUGGGUUGCCUCCCAACUAGCGCUAUCGUUUAACGCGCCUAGCUAGGCAUAAAAGCGAAGAUAGAUCUAAGUAGUGCCAUAAUAAUAAGAUAGAUCUUGAAAACUGUCACGCCCAAUAUGUGACCCUAUCCAAAAGGAACUCGAAGGUCCCACCAAGGAUAGACCCGCAUAUUGGAACGCUUUUGCAAGGUGGAUAUCAUUACAUCAACAUUACAUAAUAGAUGGGGAUACAUACAUAAGGCAUACAAUGCCACAUGAAUACAACAUCAUCAUACAGAAGAGCCACAUCCAACUACGGAUGAAACACAAACAGAAACUCAAACGACAUCCACCGUGCUAGCCCAGGCUGCCGACCUGGAACCUAUCCCCUGAUCGAAGAAGUAGAAGAAGAACUCAACGCAAGCAAGCAUCGCUCUCGCGUCAUGAUCAUCGCAUAAUCUGUACCUGCAACUGUUGUUGUAGUAAUCUGUGAGCCACGAGGACUCAGCAAUCCCAUUACCAUGGGUAUCAAGACUAGCAAAGCUUAAAGGGAAAGGAAGGGGUAAAGUGGUGAGGCUGCAGCAGCGACUAAGCAUAUAUGGUGGCUAACAUACGCAAAUAAGAGCGAGAAGAGAGCAAGCGGAACGGUCGUGAAACUAGCAAUGAUCAAGAAGUGAUCCUGAACUCCUACUUACGUCAAACAUAACCCAAAGACCGUGUUCACUUCCCGGACUCCGCCGAAAAGAGACCAUCACGGCUACACACGCGGUUGAUGGGUUUUAAUUCGGAUCUGGUGUCAAGUUAUCUACAACCGGACAUUAACAAAUUCCCAUCUGCCUAUAACCACAGGCACGGCUUUCGAAAGAUUAUACCCUGCAGGGGUGUCCCAACUUAGCCCAUGAUAAGCUCUCGCGAUCAAUGAAGGAUAUACCUUCUCCCAGGAAGCCCCGAUCAGACUCGGAAUCCCGGUUUACAAGACAUUUCGACAAUGGUAAAACAAGACUAGCAAGACCACCCGAUGCGCCGACAAUCCUGAUAGGAGCUGCACAUAUCUCGUUCUCAGGGCAACAUCGGAUAAGCUAAGCGUACAGGUACCGACGUAACCCAAGUUGCCAAGGGAUGGUCCCGCACGGUGCUCUAGUUUGGACCAACACUUAGACAAGCAUUGGCCCCGGGGGGGCUAAAAUAAGAUGACCCUUGGGUUAAUUACUCCCAAGGGAAAUAUAGGUGGUGGUGAGGCAAAUGGUAAAACCAAGGUUGGGCCUUGCUGGAGGAGUUUUAUUCAAAGCGAACUAUCAAGGGGGUCCCAUAAAUCACCCAACCGCGUAGGGAACGCAAAAUUCGGGAACAUAACACCGGUAUGACGGAAACUAGGGCGGCAAGAGUGGAACAAAACACCAGGCAUAAGGCCGAGCCUUCCACCCUUUUCCAAAUAUAUAGAUGCAUUAAUUAAAUAAGAGAUAUUGUGAUAUCCCAACAUAAUCCUGUCCACCAUGGAACAAUCUUCAACUUCACCUGCAACUAGCAACGCUAUAAGAGGGCUGAGCAAAGCGGUAACAUAGCGAAGCAAUGGUUUACUAGGAAGGGUGUCAAAGGUUAGAGGUUCAUGGCAAUUUGAGAGGCUUGAUGAGCAAAAGAUAGGUAACGCAGCAUAGCGAUAAAAUGAAGCAACUAGCAUAGCAAUGAUAGUAGUGAGAUCCAGGGUAGCGAUCAUCUUGCCUGAAAUCCCACAAGGAAGAAGAAUGAGUCCAUGAAGAAGACGAACGGAUGAAGCCGAACCAAGCAUAGACGAACGAAUCCUCACGAUCGCAACGAAACGGGAACUAUCGAUAAGAAGCACACAACAUGGUAAACACACCACACAUGAACCAGGCAUGAUGCACAACCAAGCAUGAUGCAGGACAAGGCUACAUGAAGCUACUCAUGGCAAGAGAUGAUGCAAAUAAGAGCGACACAUCAAAGCAAGUUUAAAUGAGGCCGGAAACAACAUAUAACAAUUCUGGUAAGUCCUCAUAUGCAAGUUUCGAAAUUGGUCCAGAUCUGAAUAAACCUUAUGUUCAAGUUGUUAAACAGCAAGUUAAAAUGCACCAUGAUGAUCUACAUGAGAUUCUAGUCAAGUUACAUAUAAAGUUCAUUUAGUUCGGAGCUACGGCCUAGAAGAUAUGAGCAAAACAAGUUAAACAUGGCAUUGAUGCAAAAUGCAUACAAACAUCAAGCAAACACCUAAAAACAUGGAUGCAACAUGAUAAUAUGAAACUACAUGCAAAAUCAAGCAAGUUUCAUAUAGAGCACACUCAAAACGGAGCAACGGUGCAACACACACACACUAUACAAGUUUGAAGGACAAACUGUCCAAAACAGCAACUAGGCAUAUUGCAAGCAUCAAAACAACAUGCUACUGGACCUCAACAAGAAAACAAAAGGCAUGGGCAUGAUUUACAGGUAAAGCAUAAUAAAACAUGAACACCGAGCUAUCUCCAGAAAUCACUAGAACAUACUCAAACGCACAUGGCAAGAUUGCAAAUAAUAACAGUUCAGACUUUGCAGAAAAUAACAUCAGGUUACAAUGUUUAGAGCUAUCAAACAACAUGUUACAGGAACUUAUCAUGGCAAACAAAGGCAUGGCAUGAAUCUACUAAUUGCAUAGAACAAAAGUCCCUUAAUGACCAUGAGCCAAAAAGGAUCAGAAGAUAUGAUGGCGCCCAUGUUAACAUAGCAAGUUAUAAUACAGAUUCAUACAUGGCAGGAACAACAAUAAGUAGGCAUGUUGGUGAGCUUGUACCACUCACCACAGAGCAUUACAUGGCAUGGAAAGGCAACCAACAGUAAGAAGACAUGUUCAUGAAGCUAAGCAUGGCAAGAGAAAGUUCAUAGGUUGCAUGGAUCACUAACAAUGAUCAUGGCAACAACUGAACUUAAUGUUAACAGGCUGACAACAACAUUAUUUAGCAACUUUGGAGCAAGGAAACAACAAGCUACAGCAGGCCAUACAUGCAACCAGGGGCACGGAUGGAUAGAGCAUGAAAUGUAUAACAAAACACCCUUAGUGAACAUCUCCAGAUUAUGCAUAGAAUGACUUGUAGCAGCCGGUUUACAUAGCAUCACGAAAUAACAGAAACAGCCUAGUAAAACAGUAACAGCAAGUACACUACUUUAACAAACUUGAUUCACUCACCACAAGUCAUUGCAUGACAAGAUAAGCAUAGAAUCAGCAAGAAGACAUGUUUAUGAAACAAACCAAGGCAAGAACAAGUUCAUAGCAUGCAAGGAUCAACUACAACAACCUUGGCAAAAUUGAAUAACAUGUAAAAAAUCUGCCAGGAAACAUUUUGUAGCAAAAGUAGAGCACGAAAAUGACAUGCUAGACUACUCCAGAAUUGCAAACAGGGGCAUGAAUGGCUAGAGAACAACUGUAUGUUCAAAACAUCCUUACUGAAGUAUCUGAAAAUAUGCAUGGAUCUCUCUGUAGCAUCAAGUUUACAUGGCAUCAAAAUAACAGCAGAACAGGGACUAAAAUCAGCAACAUCAUGAUGCCUAGUUUGCAUGCUUGUGCUAGUAACCACAUCAAUCACAAAAAUAAAUGGUAAGAACCUCUGUAAAGAAGACAUGGCAUAGAUCAAAACACAUGUAGGCAUCAAACUCAUAGGAUGCACACAUCAAUCAUGGCAAAAAUGACAAAUGAGCAAGUUCUGUUAAUAGACAGCAGACAACAUCACAUAGCACUCUUGCAACGAUGAUUCAGGCAUCAAGAUGAGCUCAAAUGAACAUGAUGCAAUGUAAUGAAAUGAAGUACUCGUUAAGGCGAACAAUUUGACAUAUUACAUGCACGAAACGGAGCAAUAUGCAUGGAGUUACGAUGUGAUGAACAUGGCAUGAUAAUGUCGCAAAACUCAGGGACUUAGGCGAUUUUUACCCCGCGAAAAACUGGACGAAGAUGUUCCGGGACGGAGGGAUCCGAGCACGGGGAGGUGUUUGGAUCGAGGGAGUGGUGGAUCUCAUCCCACUCCCCGGAUCCGGCGUCGGCGAGAGCUCCGGCGAGCUCGAACUCCGGCGAUGGCGCGGUGGGAUGGCAGAGGCGGCGGAGGGAGGCGAGGCAGGCGCGGCGGCGCCGGCCAAGGCGGCGGCGGACGGAGGCAGACGACGGCGNNNNNNNNNNNNNNNNNNNNNNNNNNNNNNNNNNNNNNNNNNNNNNNNNNNNNNNNNNNNNNNNNNNNNNNNNNNNNNNNNNNNNNNNNNNNNNNNNNNNNNNNNNNNNNNNNNNNNNNNNNNNNNNNNNNNNNNNNNNNNNNNNNNNNNNNNNNNNNNNNNNNNNNNNNNNNNNNNNNNNNNNNNNNNNNNNNNNNNNNNNNNNNNNNNNNNNNNNNNNNNNNNNNNNNNNNNNNNNNNNNNNNNNNNNNNNNNNNNNNNNNNNNNNNNNNNNNNNNNNNNNNNNNNNNNNNNNNNNNNNNNNNNNNNNNNNNNNNNNNNNNNNNNNNNNNNNNNNNNNNNNNNNNNNNNNNNNNNNNNNNNNNNNNNNNNNNNNNNNNNNNNNNNNNNNNNNNNNNNNNNNNNNNNNNNNNNNNNNNNNNNNNNNNNNNNNNNNNNNNNNNNNNNNNNNNNNNNNNNNNNNNNNNNNNNNNNNNNNNNNNNNNNNNNNNNNNNNNNNNNNNNNNNNNNNNNNNNNNNNNNNNNNNNNNNNNNAGGGGGACAGGUGGCGCGACGGGGUUGGAGCGAGAGGGCGGCGGCGGACAUGUCCGGUGGCGGCGGGGAGGAUUUAGCUAGGGUUUGGACUGCGAAAAUCGACGGGGAUGCAUUUUUAUAGGUAGAAGGAGUUAGGAGAGUCCAAAUGAGGAGAGAUUUUCGGCCAUGCGAUCGUGAUCGAACGACGGAGAGCAUGGAGGGGGUUAGGAUGGGCUAGAGGGCUGUGGUGAAAAGGGGCUGGGCUGCAAAGAGAAGGAGGUUUCGGGCUACGCGGUUAACCGUUGGAGUAUCAAACGGACUCCAAAUGGCACAAAACUUGACAGGCGGUCUACCGGUGCUAUACCAAGGCCGCUUGGAAAACUUUGGUCCAUUCCGAGAAAGUUUAACACCCACUCACAACAGGAGACAAAAGGGGAAUGCCAGAGGGCAUAGGAGCGCCGGAUUGCAAAACGGACAACGGGGAUAAUGCUCGGAUGCAUGAGACGAACACGUAUGCAAUGCAAUGCACAUGAUGACAUGACAAAAUGCAACACGCAAGCAAAUGACAUGGCAACGACGGCAAAUAACUGAUAGACACCUGGCGCAUCGAAUCCGGGGCGUUACAAAAACUCAUCUCAAUUCUCUAUGUUCAGCAACAAGUUUUCUUUGAGGCAAGCAAAAAUAAUCAAAAGGGCUAAAUUUAGCGGGACAAAAAGUUCCCAAGAUCAAUCACAGGAGGAACGGGUUCCUCCUUUGGCCCUUCAUAGUGCACAACUAAUUCAUCAUUAUAAGCAUUCUUUUAGCAAAAGUUCGUGAGCCUAUACUCAAGAGUGUAUCCUAGCUCAUUAUUUCGAAGAGCAAAAUCAUUAUUAAGUUCGGAAAUUCUAUCAACUAGGACAUUGGUAGGAACCUUUUUUCUAAGGUUUUCAUUGAAAGCAACAUAGUCCAAAGAUUGGAAACGCCUAAUUUCCUCUUGAUCAAAGAGGAUCGCCUCUAUGGGAGGACGGCCGGCGUCCACCCUAUAGUGCGCAAAGAUUUCUUUGGCCACUCUUAUUAUAAAUCUAAAUUCAUUAGCCAAAAAUAUAGUAAUGGCGCGCUUAACAGAAGAAUUUUCAAUUUUAGAAAAUUCCAAGAAAAUUCUUUGGAUGCGAGGAUGCAUAUGCAUAAAUUGUCUUUCAAGAUCAACUGCAAGCAUAGCGAUAGCACCCGCAAGACUAUUAGUUCUAUGAAGAAUAGAACCACCCAUAGAAGGUAAAGCACCGACACAAGUAAAUAAAUCUUGAAUAACCCCUUUUCCAAUAAUCUUGAAACUUUUUAGUAUGCAAGAUAGGGGGUUCUUCAGCUGGAGCAUCAGAAUUUUCCAUGUUAUCAUUAUUGUCCAUAUCAAUGAUAAUCUCCCCAAUUUUAGACAUAACGGCAAACAAAAGCGAGGAAGAAGAAGAGGGCAAGCGAAAGAGAGAAGAGAAGAUUGGGAAAGAGAGGGCGAAUAAAAUGGCAAGGGUGAAGUGGGAAAGAGGAAAACGAGUGGCAAAUGGCAAAUAAUGUAAAUGCGAGGGAGAUGAGUUUGUGAUGGGUACAUGGUAUGUCUUGACUUGAGUGAAGACCUCCCCGGCAACGGUGCCAGAAAUCCUUCUUGCUACGUCUUGAGCUUGCGUUGGUUUUCCUUCAAGAGGAAAGGGUGAUGCAGCAAUAGUAGCAUAAGUAUUUCCCUCAGUUUUUGAGAACCAAGGUAUCAAUCCAGUAGGAGGCUCCUCAAAAGUCCCACACACCUACACAAACAAACAAAGAACUCGCAACCAACACAAUAAAGGGGUUGUCAAUCCCUUCACGGCCACUUGCGAAAGUGAGAUCUGAUAGAGAUAGUAUGAUAAGAUAAAUAUAUUUUUGGUAUUUUAUAAUAUAGAUUGGAAAAGUAAAGAUGCAAAUAAAAGUAGAUUGAAAGUUUAAAAGAUAAAAGAUAGACCCGGGGGCCAUAGGUUUUACUAGUGGCUUCUCUCAAGAUAUCAUAAGUAUUACGAUGGGUGAACAAAUUACUGUCGAGCAAUUGAUAGAAAAGUGAAUAAUUAUGAGAUUACCUAGGCAUGAAUAUAGGCAUCACGUCCGCGACAAGUAGACCGACUCCUGCCUGCAUCUACUACUAUUACUCCACACAUCGACCGUUAUCCAGCAUGCAUCUAGAGUAUUAAGUUCAUAAGAACAGAGUAAUGCAUUAAGAAAGAUGACAUGAUGUAGAGGGAUAAACUCAUGCAAUAUGAUAUAAACCCCAUCUUUUUAUCCUCGACGGCAACAAUACAAUACGUGCCUUGCAACCACUAUUGUCACUAGGUAAGGACACCGCAAGAUUGAACCCAAAGCUAAGAACUUCUCCCAUUGCAAGAAAGAUCAAUCUAGUAGGCCAAACCAAACUGAUAAUUCGAAGAGACUUGCAAAUAUAACUCAAUCAUACAUAAAAGAAUUCAGAGGAGAUUCAAAUAUUUCUCAUAGAUAAACUUUCAUAAACCCACAAUUCAUCGGAUCUCGACAAACACACCGCAAAAAGAGUUACAUCGAAUAGAUCUCCACAAGAGAGGGGGAGAACAUGGUAUUGAGAUCCAAAAAGAGAGAAGAAGCCAUCUAGCUAAUAACUAUGGACCCAAAGGUCUGUGGUAAACUACUCACAAAUCAUCGGAGGGGCUAUGGUGUUGAUGUAGAAUCCCUCCAUGGUCGAUUCCCCCUCCGACGGAGCGCCGGCGAAGGCUCCAAGAUGGGAUCUCGCGGAUACAGAAGGUUAUGAUGGUGGAAAUUGUUUUUCGUUGGCUCCCUAGAUGUUUUCGUGGUACGUGGGUAUAUAUAGGAGGAAGAAGUAGGUCGGUGGCCACUCGAGGGGCCCACGAGAUAGGGGGCGCGCCCUGUAGGGGUGGGCGCGCCCUCCACCCUCGUGGCCGCCUUGGCUGCUUCUUGGCUUGCACUCCAAGUCCUCUGGAUCACGUUUGUUCCAAAAAUCACGCUCCCGAAGGUUUCAUUCCAUUUGGACUCCGUUUGAUAUUCCUUUUCUUCGAAAUACUGAAAUAGGCAAAAAAAACAGCAAUACGGGCUGGGCCUCUGGUUAGUAGGUUAGUCCCAAAUAUGAUAUAAAUGUGUAAAGUAAAGCCCAUAAACAUCCAAAAUAGGUAAUAUAAUAGCAUGGAACAAUCAAAAAUUAUAGAUAUGUUGGAGACCUAUCAGGGCUCAGGAUCGGAAUUCGGGAGCUGCGGCCCAUUCCGUGCCAUACGGCUUAGUGAUGUAAAACCACUGCUGCUGCCACUAUUUGAUGGAAUCAUUGAAAGUACCUGUUGGCCAUGUGAUGUUGGGCAUCUUGCUCACCAUGGCGCCUCCGCACUCGACGUGGUCGCCACUCACUACCUUGGGCUUCACAUUAAAGAUCUUCAGCCAUAAGCCAAAGUGUGGCGAGAUGCGGAGAAAGGCCUCGCACACGAUGAUGAAUGUUGAGAUGUUGAGGAAGGAAUUGGGGGAUAGAUCGUGAAAAUCGAUCCCGUAAUAAUACACGAUGUCACGAACGAAUGGGUGGAUGGGAAACCUCAGCCUGCGGACAAAAUGAGGGAGGAAUACAACCCUCUCAUGGGGUUCCGGAGUAGGGACGAUCUAUCUCACCGACGGAAGGUGGUGGCUGAUUUUCUUGGCCAGAUACCUGGCCUCCUAAAGCUUUUUGAUAUCCUUCUCCCGGAUGGUAGAGGCCAUCCACUUGCCUCCUGCUCCGGAUCCGGACAUUUUCGGAAGGCAUUUGUGGGCAGAGAAGAUGAACGCUUGGGCGCUGGGGCUCGAGCGAGGGGGAAUGGAUGAGCAGAGGAAGAAGAAGGCGUGGGGUGAAAAAGGGGAGUCCUGAUCUCCUUAUAAAGGCAGCAGGGAUCUCGCGCCUCCCCACUUGUCCAGUAAACUCGCUUAUUCCCCAAGCGCCACGUUGAUGGCGCGGUUGGUUUACCCGUACCCAUAUUGAUGAGGAUCCCGUGAUAAGGGGACACGAUCUAUGCUUCGACAAGACGUGCCAAUAAAACCGCCUCGCAAUAUGCGCAGCAGCUGGUUGAGAAAAACGGUUCGAAUAAUGAUCGGGCCGUCGCGUGAUGUCACACCGUGAAAAGUUGUUAGCAGAUUAGGUUUGUGGAAUAUUGUACUCUCUACGGUGGUGUGUGGAAUUUGUUUUACAGAGCCGGACACGAUCCUUGUGUUCAAAAUCUUCUAUGGAGUAUUCGGAGAGGGAACCCACCUUGCAAUGCCGAAGACAAUCUGCACGCUGGACUCCUCGUCAUUGAAGCCUAGUUCAGGGGCUACUGAGGGAGUCCUGGAUUAGGGGGUCCUCGGACAGUCGGACUAUAUACUUUGGCUGGACUGUUGGACUAUGAUGAUACAAGAUUGAAGACUUCGUCCCGUGUCCGGAUGGGACUCUCCUUUGCGUGGAAGGCAAGCUUGGCAAUUCGGAUAUAAAGAUCUCCUUUUCUGUAACCGACUCUGUGUAACCCUAGCCCCUUCCGGUGUCUAUAUAAACCGAAGGGUUUAGUCCGUAGGACCCACAACAAUCAUAAUCACAUGCUAGCUUCUAGGGUUUAGCCUCGACAAUCUCAUGGUAGAUCAACUCUUGUAAUACUCAUAUCAUCAAGAUCAAUCAAGGAGGAAGUAGGGUAUUACCUCCAUCGAGAGGGCCCGAACCUGGGUAAACAUUGUGUCCCCUGCCUCCUGCUACCAUUAGCCUUAGACGCAUAGUUUGGGACCCCCUACCCAAGAUCCGUCGGUUUUGACACCGACAUCCGGCCCCUAUCUGCGCACAAUGAAAGGGCCUAAGCCCAUGUACCCCUUCGCCCCUAGACUAUAUAUACUCCUUCUCCCCCAACGUUUUAGGGUUAGCAUUGUCUUAGCUCAUUUUUGGAGAUUAGAGCAUUGCUCAUCCACUUGUACCCCUACUCCAUUGGAUACCAAGGCCUCAGUGGAGAAGAUCCCCCAAGUAGAUUCAAGACCCAUCAAGGGAAGAUCCCCUAUUGGAUUCAAGACCCCGUCUCCUUGAUACAUCCAUUUUGCAUCAUGCUUUUAUAUUGAUAUUUAUUGCAUUAUGGUCUGUUAUUACACAUUAUAGCACAAUGCUUAUGCCUUUUCUCUCUUAUUUUACAAGGUUUACAUGAAGAGGGAGAAUGCCGGCAGCUGGAAUUCUGGACUGGAAAAGGAGCAAAUGUGAGAGACCUAUUCUGCACAACUCCAAAAGUCCUGAAACUUUAUGGAGAAGUAUUUUGGAAUUAAUAAAAAAUAUUGGGCAGAAAGUACCAGAAGGGCCCCACCAGGAAGCCACAAGGGUGCGGGGCGCGCCCUAUCCCCCUGGGCGCGCCCCCUGGCUUGUGCCCCCCCCCCUAGCAGGCCUUAGGUGCCCAUCUUAUGCUAUAUGAUGUGUUUUGACCUGGAAAAAAUCAAGAAGAAGCUUUCGGGAUGAAGCGCCGCUAUCUCGAGGCAGAACCUGGGCAGAAGCAAUCUAGGGCUCCGACGGAGCUGUUCUGCCGGGGAAACUUCCUUCCCGGAGGGGGAAAUCAAAGCCAUCGUCAUCACCAACGAUCCUCUCAUUAAGAGGGGGUCAAUCUCCAUCAACAUCUUCACCAACACCAUCUCCUCUCAAACCCUAGUUCAUCUCUUGUAUCUGAUCUUUGUCUCAAAACCUCAGAUUGGUACUUGUGGGUUGCUAGUAGUGUUGAUUACUCCUUGUAGUUGACGCUAGUUCGUUUAUUCAGUGGUGGAUCAUAUGUUCAAAUCCUUAAUGAUAAUUAUUACUCCUCUAAUUAUGAACAUGAAUAUGCUUUGUGAGUAGUUAAGUUUGUUCCUGAGGACAUGGGAGAAGUCUUGUUAUAAGUAAUCAUGUGAAUUUGGUAUUCGUUCGAUAUUUUGAUGAGAUGUAUAUUGUCUUUCUUGUAGUGGCGUUAUGUGAACGUCGACUACAUGACACUUCACCAUGAUUUGGGCCUAGGGGAAGGCAUUGGGAAGUAAUAAGUAUAUGAUGGAUUGCUAGAGUGAAAAAAGCUUAAACCCUAGUUUAUGCGUUGCUUCGUAAGGGCCUGAUUUGGAUCCAUAUGUUUCAUGCUAUGGUUAGAUUUAUCUUAAUUCUUCUUUCAUAGUUGCGGAUGCUUGUGAGAGGGGUUAAUCAUAAGUGGGAGGCUUGUUCUAGUAAGGACAACACCCAAGCACCGGUCCACCCACAUAUAAAAUUAUCAAAGUAACGAACGCGAAUCAUAUGAGCAUGAUGAAAACUAACUUGACAGUAAUUCCCAUGUGUCCUCGGGAGCGCUUUGCAUUAUAUAAGAGUUUGUCUAGGCUCGUCCUUUGCUACAAAAAAGGAUUGGGACACCUUUCUUCACCUUAUUUUUACUUGUUACCCGUUACGAAUUAUCUUUUCACAAAACUAUCUGUUACCGAUAUUUGCAGUGCUUGCAGAGAAUACGUUGCUGAAAACCACUUGUCAUUUCCUUCUGCUCCCUUUUGGGUUCGACACUCUUACUUAUCAAAAGGACUAUGAUAGAUCCCCUAUACUUGUGGGUCAUCAAGACUCUGUUCUGGCGCCGUUGCCGGUGAGUGAAGCACCUUUGGUAAGUGGAAUUUGGUAUGAAACAUUUAUAUAGCAUGCUGAAAUUUAUUGUCACUGGUUGCUAUGGAAAAUAAUCCUUUGAGGGGCUUGUUCGGGGUACAUUCACCUCGACCGGUAGAGCAAAGAGUUUCUCCUCAACCUACUGAACCUACUGAAAAUAUCUAUUAUGAAAUUCUUUUGGUUAUGAUAGAGAAACUGCUGGCUAAUCCUUAUGCAGGAGAUGGAACAUUACAUCCUGAUAUGCAUCUAAUCUAUGUGGAUAAAGUUUGUGGAUUAUUUAAGCUUGCAGGUUUGCCCGAGGAUGAAGUCAAGAAGAAGGUCUUCCCUUUAUCUUUGAAAGGAAAGGCACUGACAUGGUAUAGGCUAUGUGAUGAUAUUGGAUCAUGGAACUACAACCGAUUGAAAUUGGAAUUUCAUCAGAAGUUUUAUCCUAUGCAUCUGGUUCAUCGUUCGGAAUUAUAUAUAUAUAUAAUUUUUGGUCUCAUGAUGGAGAAAGUAUCGCUCAAUCUCGGGGGAGGCUUAAGUCGAUGUUAUAUUCAUGCCCCAAUCAUGAGCUCUCAAUAGAAAUUCUUAUUCAGAAUUUUUAUGCUCGGCUUUCUCGUAAUGAUCAAUCCCUACUCGAUACAUUUUGUACUGGUUCUUUUAUGAACAAGACUAUUGUAUUCAAGUGGGAUUUAUUGGAAAUAAUUAAAUGCAACUCUGAAGAUUGGGAACUCGAUGAAGGUAAGGAGUCAUGUAUAAAUCUCAAGUUUGAUUGUGUUAAAUCUUUUAUGGAUGCCGAUGCUUUUCGUCAAUUUAGCACUAAAUAUGGACUUGAAUCUGAGAUAGUAGCCUCUUUUUGUGAAUCAUUUGCUACUCAUGUUGAUCUCCCUAAGGAGAAGUGGUUUAAAUAUCAUCCUCCCAUUGAAGUGAAAGUAGUGGAACCUAUUAAAGUUGACGAAGAAACUAUUACUUAUAAUGUUGAUCCUAUAUAUUGUUCCUAUUGCAUAUAUUGAGAAACCAGCUUUUCCUAUUAGGAUAAAGGAUCAUGCUAAAGCUUCAACCAUGGUUCUUAAGAGCUAUACUAGAAAACCCACACCCCUUGAACAAAUUAAAGUUGAACCUAGUGUUGCUAUGGUUAAAGAUCUCUUGGUCGGGCGUGCUAUUAUUUUUUUGAUGAGGCUGCUAGAAUUGCUAGACCUGAUACUAAAGAUAAACAUAGACCUAUUGUUGGCAUGCCUGUUGUUUCUAUUAAAGUAGGAGAUCAUUGUUAUCAUGGCUUAUGUGAUGUGGGUGCUAGUGUGAGUGCAAUUCCUUUUACUUUAUAUCAAGAAAUUAUGAAUGAUAUUCCACCGCUGAGAUAGAAGAUAUUGAUGUUACUAUUAAGCUUGCCAAUAGAGAUACUAUAUCACCAAUUGGGAUUGUUAGAGAUGUUGAAGUCUUGCGUGGGAAAAUUAAAUACCCUACUUCUUUUCUUGUUCUUGGUUCCCCACAAGAUGAUUUUUGUCCCAUUAUAUUUGAUAUACCUUUCUUGAACACUGUCAAUGCUAAGAUAGGCUGUGAUAAAUAAAUCGUUACUGUAAGUUUUGGGGAUGUGUCUCAUGAUUUUAAUUUCUCUAAAUUUCGUAGACAACCCCAUGAUAAAGAAUUUCCUAGUAAGGAUGAUUAUUGGUCUUGCUUCUAUUGCCGUACCUCCCAUCGAUCCUUUAGACCAGUAUUUGCUAGACCAUGAGAAUGAUAUGUUUAUGAAUGAAAGAAAGGAAUUAGAUGAAAUAUUCUUUAAUCAAAUGCCUGUUUUGAAACACAACUUUCCUGUUGAAAUCCUAGGGGAUCCUCCUCCACCCAAGGGUGACCCUGUGUUUGAGCUUAAACAAUUACCUAAUACUUUGAAAUAUGCUUAUCUUGAUGAGAAGAAGAUAUAUCUGAUGGGGAACGUAGUAAUUUCAAAAACUUUCCUAUGCACACGCAAGAUCAUGGUGAUGCAUAGCAACAAGAGGGGAGAGUGUUGUCCACGUACCCUCGUAGACCGAAAGCGUAAGCGUUAGCACAACGCGGUUGAUGUAGUCGUACGUCUUCACGAUCCGACCGAUCAAGUACCGAACGUACGACACCUCCGAGUUCAGCACACGUUCAGCUCGAUGACGUCCCAUGAACUCCGAUCUAGCAGAGCUUUGCGGGAGAGUUCCGCCAGCACGGCGGCAUGAUGACGGUGUUGAUGAUGCUACCGACGCAGGGCUUCGCCUAAGCACCGCUACGAUAUUACCGAUGUGGAAUAUGGUAGAGGGGAGCACCGCACACGGCUAAGAGAUCAAUGAUCAAUUGUUGUGUCUAGAGGUGCCCCCUUGCCCCCGUAUAUAAAGGAGCAAGGGGGAGGCGGCCGUCCAGGAGGAGGGCGCACCAAGGGGGGAGUCCUACUCCCACCGGGAGUAGGACUCCUGCUUUCCUUGUUGGAGUAGGAGAGGGGAAGGAAGGGAGAGAGGAGGAGAGGGAAAGAAGGGGGGCGCCGCCCCCCUCCUUGUCCAACUCGGACUAGAGGAGGAGGGGGCACGUGGCCUGCCCUGGCAGCGCCUCCUCUUCUCCACUAGGGCCCAUGAGGCCCAAUAAACCCCCCGGGGGGUUCCGGUAACCCCCCCGGUACUCCGGUAUAUGCCCGAAACCUUAUGAAACCAUUCUGGUAUCCGAACAUAGUCAUCCAAUAUAUCGAUCUUUAUGUCUCGACAAUUUCAAGACUCCUUGUCAUGUCUGCGACCAUAUCCGGGACUCCGAACUACCUUCGGUACAUCAAAACACAAAAACUCAUAAUACCGAUCGUCACCAAACUUUAAGCGUGCGGACCCUACGGGUUCGAGAACUAUGUAGACAUGACCGAGACUCAUUUCCGGUCAAUAACCAAUAGGGGAACCUGGAUGCUCAUAUUGGUUCCUACAUAUUCUACGAAGAUCUUUAUCGGUCAAACCGCAUAACUACAUACGUUGUUCCCUUUGUCAUCGGUACGUUACUUGCCCGAGAUUCGAUCGUCGGUAUCUCAAUACCUAGUUCAAUCUCGUUACCGGCAAGUCUCUUUACUCGUUAUGUAAUGCAUCAUCCCACAACUAACUCAUUAGUCACAUUGCUUGCAAGGCUUAUAGUGAUGUGCAUUACCGAGAGGGCCCAGAGAUACCUCUCCGACAAUCGAAGUGACAAAUCCUAAUCUCGAAAUACGCCAACUCAACAUGUACCUUCAGAUACACCUGUAGAGCUCCUUUAUAAUCACCCAGUUACAUUGUGACGUUUGGUAGCACACAAAGUGUUCCUCCGGUAAACGGGAGUUGCAUAAUCUCAUAGUCAUAGGAACAUGUAUAAGUCAUGAAGAAAGCACUAGCAACAUACUAAAUGAUCAAGUGCCAAGCUAACGGAAUGGGUCAAGUCAAUCACAUCAUUCUCCUAAUGAUGUGAUCCCAUUAAUCAAAUGACAAUUCAUGUCUAUGGCUAGGAAACUUAACCAUCUUUGAAUCAACGAGCUAGUCAAGUAGAGGCAUACUAGUGACACUUUGUUUUGUCUAUGUAUUCACACAUGUACUAAGUUUCCAGUUAAUACAAUUCUAUCAUGAAUAAUAAACAUUUAUCAUGAAAAAAGGAAAUAAAUAAUAACUUUAUUAUUGCAUCUAGGGCAUAUUUCCUUCAAUAUCCUGUUAUUAUUAGUGCUAACCUUUGAGAGCAUGUAGAAAAGAAAUUAUUGAACACUCUAAAGAAGCACCAUGCCGCUAUUGGAUAUACUCUUGAUGAUCUUAAGGGCAUUAGUCCCACUCUAUGUCAGCAUAAAAUUAAUAUGGAGCCUGAUGCUAAACCAAUUGUUGAUCAUCAAUGGCGGUUAGAUCCUAAGAUGAAAGAAGUGGUAAGAAAUGAAAUAUUAAAGCUUCUAGAGGCAGCUAUAAUUUAUCCUAUUGCUGAUAGUAGAUGGGUAAGUCCCGUUCAUUGUGUCCCUAAGAAAGGAGGUAUUACUGUUGUUCCUAAUGGUAAGAUUGAAUUCUGCAAAGAAUUGUUACAUGUUAUAGAAUGGUAAUUGAUUUUUGCAAAUUAAACAAAGCUACUAGAAAAUAUCAUUACCCUCUACAUUUUAAUGCUAGAAAGACUGUCCAAACAUACACAUUUUUGCUUUCUAGAUGGUUAUUCCGGUUUUUCUCAAAUACCUGUGUCAAAAGAAGAUAAAAAACCACUUUUACUUGCCCUUUAGGUACUUUUGCUUAUAGACGUAUGCCUUUUGGAUUAUGUAAUGCACCUGCUACCUUUCAAAGAUGUAUGACUGCUAUAUUCUCUGACUUUUUUGAAAAGAUUGUUGAGGUUUUCAUGGAUGAUUUCUCCGUUUAUGGAACUUGUUUUGAUGAUUGCUUAAGCAACCUUGAUUGAGUUUUGCAGAUAUGUGAAUAAACUAAUCUUGUUUUGAAUUGGGAGAAGUGCCACUUUUUGGUUAAUGAAGGUAUUGUCUUGGGGCAUAAAAUUUAUGAAAGAGGUAUUGAAGUUGAUAGAGCCAAAGCAGAUGCUAUUGAAAAGAUGACGUGUCCUAAAGAUAUCAAAGGUAUAAGAAGUUUCCUUGGUCAUGCUGGUUUCCAUAGGAGAUUUAUUAAAGACUUCUCUAAAAUUUCUAGGCUUCUACUAAUCUCUUGCAAAAAUAUGUUUCUUUUGUUUUUGAUGAUGAUUGUGUAGAAGCAUUUGAAAUACUUAAGAAAGCCUUGAUUUCUGCACCAAUUGUUCAACCACCCGAUUGGAAUUUACCCUUUAAUAUUAUGUGUGAUGCUAGUGUUUAUGUUGUUGUGCUAUUCUAGGGUAAAGAGUUGAUAAGAAAUUGAAUGUUAUUCAUUAUGCUAGUAAAACACUAUACAAUGCCCAGAGAAAUUAUGCUACUACCGAAAAAGAGUUUUAGCAGUUGUUUUUUGCUUGUGACAAGUUCAGAUCUUAUAUUGUUGAUUCCAAAGUAACUGUUCACACUGAUCAUGCUGCUAUUAAAUAUCUUACGAAAAAGAAAGAUGCUAAACCUAGACUUAUUAGAUGGGUUCUCUUGCUGCAAGAAUUUGAUUUGCAUAUUAUUGAUAGAAAGGGAGCUGAGAACCCUGUUGCAGACAACUUGUCUUGGUCAGGAAAUGUUCUUGAUGACCCACUACUUAUUGAUGAUAGCUUGCUUGAUGAACAACUAGCUAUCAUUAAUGAUUCUCAUAGUACUCCAUGGUAUGCUAAUUAUGCUAAUUACAUUGUUGCUAAAUUUAUACCACCUAGUUUCACAUACCAACAAAAUAAAAGUUUUUCUGUGAUUUAAUACACUACUUUUGGGAGGACCCACACCUUUAUAAAGAAGGAGUAGAUGGUGUUCUUAGACAUUGUGUACCUGAGCAUGAGCAGGAACAAAUCCUAUGCAAGUGUCACUUCGAGGCCUACGGAGGACACCACACUGGAGAAAGAACUACACACAAGGUAUUACAAUCCAGAUUUUAUUGGCCUACUCUCUUCAAGGAUGCUCGUAAGUUUGUCUUGUCUUGUGAUGAAUGUCAAAUAAUUGGUAAUAUUAGUAGACGUCAGGAAAUGCCUAUGAAUUAUUCACUUGUUAUUAAACCAUUUGAUGUUUGGGGCUUUGAUUAUAUGGGACCUUUUCCUUCCUCUAAUGGGUAUACACAUAUUUUAGCUGUUGUUGAUUAUGUUACUAAGUGGGUAGAAGCUAUUCUAACUAGUUGUGCUGAUCAUAACACUUCUAUUAAGAUGCUUAAAGAAGUUAUUUUUCCAAGGUUUGGAGUCCCUAGAUAUUUAAUGACUCAUGGUGGUUCAAAUUUUAUUCAUGGCGCUUUCCGUAAAUUGCUUGCUAAAUAUGAUGUCAACCAUAGAAUUGCAUCUCCAUAUCAUCCUAAGUCUAGUGGUCAAGUAGAAUUGAGCAAUGGAGAUAUUAAAUUGAUUUUUCUAAAGACUGUUAAUAGAUCUAGAAAGAAUUUGUCUAAGAAACUUGAUGAUGCAUUAUGGGCUUAUAGAACUGCUUAUAAAAACCCUAUGGGUAUGUCCCCAUAUAAAAUGGUUUAUGGAAAAGCAUGUCACUUACCUCUUGAACUAGAACAUAAAGCUUAUUGGGCAAUCAAAGAGCUCAAUUAUGAUUUCAAACUUUCGAGUGAGAAGAGGUUAUUUGACAUAAGCUUGCUUGAUGAAUGUAGAACCCAAGCCUAUGAGAAUGCCAAGUUGUUUAAAGAAAAAGUCAAAAGAUGGCAUGACAAAAGGAUACAAAAGCGUGAGUUUGAUGUAGGUGAUCAUGUUUUUCUAUCCAACUCUCAUUUAAGAUUUUUUGCAGGAAAGCUUCUCUCUAAAUGGGAAGGUCCUUACAUUAUUGUGGAGGUUUAUCAUUUCGGUGCCAUCAAGAUUAACAAUGCCGAAGGUACUAACCUAAAGGUGGUAAACAGUCAAAGAAUCAAACAUUAUAUUUCAGGUAGUCCCAUAAAUGUUGAGACAAAUAUUAUUAAUACCAUAACAUCAGAGGAGUACAUAAGGGAUACUUUCGAGAACGUUUUUCAGACUCCAAAAAGGAAUAAGUAUGUGGCACGAUAAGUAAACCGACUCCAAAACUGUUCUAAUGGUAAUUUUUUCUUCGUUUUGGAAUAUUUAAAAAAUUAGGAAAAUUAAAAAUAGUCCGAAGAGUGCAUGAGGAAGCGGCAAGCCGGGAGGGCGCGCCCUACCCCCUGGGCGCGCCCCUGUGCCUUGUGGCCACCUUGUGUACCCUCUGGACUCCAUUUUCUUGUGGAAUACUCCUUUUGGUCGGUAAAAAUUCAUUAUAUAAUCUCCUGAAGGUUUAGACCACCGUGCCGCAACAAAAUCCUCUGUUCUCGUUUCGAGUUGUUUCUCUGACAGAUCAAGAUCACCAUGCCGUCUCCAAGCGCCCCCAAGGACAAGUUUUUCAAGAGGGUCAUCAACCCUUACAUCACGGAGGUGCUGCAACACCCUCAAACCAUUGAGAUGCGUGAGGGGGUGCUACACAUCCGUGAUGUUGAAGGGCCAAAGAAUACCGGAAGCGUGGAGACAAGGUUCAAAGCAAUGGAGUAGCAAGUCUUCAAGUGCCAAGGGAUGGUGGAACAUGGACUCAACGCCAAUCACAUGAUGAUUGCUGAAUUUGCCAAUGGUCACAAGCUGGACGCCAACAACAUUGGGGAGGCCAUCUUCAAGCUUCAUGAGAAAAUUGAGCAUCUUCAAGCCCAAUUCUAUGACCCGCAAAACCAAAACUAUGAGUAUGAAUACAAAUUUAAGAGGAUGAGUUUGGCUGCAGAUUUGAGGAUCUCGGAGACUCGUUCUUAUUUUUACGAUGGUGAACCUAUGCCUUGGAAAAUAGAGGAUAAGAUUCUUUCAUCAUCAACCACUCCAUCAACACCACCUCUGAAGAAAGAUACAUAAAUACAUGGGUAUGGGCACUCCCUUUGGCAAGUGCCAAGCUUGGGGGAGAUACCUCGGUAUCGUAUUACCAUCACACCUUUACCGUUAUCAUUUUUCUUAGUUCAGUCCUUUUGGUUAUAUCUUGAUCUAGUAGAAUAAAUUUUUAGUAUGAUCUAGCUUUGAGUUUUAUUUUGAGAUCUAUCUAUGUAAUCGAGUUCGUGAGUUAUAUAUAAUAAAGAGUAGUUUGAGUUGAGGGCUUUGAUUUCUUGCUAUGAUCUUGAGGGAAUAAAAUAAGAGAAACAAUGAAAAAUAAGUAAAAGGAAUAACCACCAGAGGGGGCCCACCAGGUGGGCACAACCCACCUAGGCGUGCCAGGGAGCCCAGGCACGCCCUGCUAGGUUGUGCCCUUCUCGGCCCACCUCCGGUGCCCAUCUUCUGGUAUAUAAGUCAUUUUGACCUAGAAAAAAUUAGGAGAGGACUUUCGGGAUGAAGCUCCGUUGUAUCGAGGUGGAACUUGGGCAGGAGCACUUUUGCCCUCUGGCGGAGCGAUUCCGCCGGGGGAACUUCCCUCCCAGAGGGGGAAAUCAUCGACAUCAACAUCACCAACAACUCUUCCAUCUUAGGGAGGGCAAUCUCCAGCAACAUCUUCAACAACACCAUCUCCUCUCAAACCCUAGUUCAUCUCUUGUGUUCAAUCUUUGUACCGGAACUAUCGAUUGGUGCUUGUGGGUGACUAGUAGUGUUGAUCACAUCUUGUAGUUGAUUACUAUAUGGUUUAUUUGGUGGAAGAUUAAAUGUUCAGAUCCAUUAUGAUAUUUAAUACCCAUCUAUCAUGAGCAUGAUUUUCAUUUGUGAGUAGUUACUUUUGUUCUUGCGGUCACGAGAGAAAUCUUGUUGCAAGUAAUCAUGUGAACUUGAUAUGUGUUCAAUAUUUUGAUGGUAUGUAUGUUGUUAUUCCCUUAGUGGUGUCAUGUGAACGUCGACUACAUGACACUUCACCAUACUUGGACCUAAGGGAAUGCAUUGUGGAGUAGUUAUUAGAUGAUGGGUUGCGAGAGUGACAGAAGCUUAAACCCUAGUUUAUGCGCUAGUCCGUAAGGGGAUGAUUUGGAUCCAAAAGUUUAAUGCUAUGGUUAGAUUUAUUCUUAAUACUUUUCUCGUAGUUGCAGAUGCUUGUGAGGGGGUUAAUCAUAAGUAAGAGGUUUGUUUAAGUAAGAACAACAUCUAAGCACCGAUACACCCACAUAUCAAAUUAUCAAAGUAGCGAACACAAAUCAAACCAACAUGAUGAAAGUGACUUGAUGAGAUUCCCGUGUACCCUCGAGAACACUUUGCUUAUCAUAAGAGACUGUUUUGGACUUUCCUUUUCCUAAAAAGGAUUGGCUACCUUGCUGCACUUUUUUUAUCAUUACCGUUACUUGCUUGUUACAAAUUACCUUGCUAUCAAACUACUCGUUACUUAUAAUUUCGGUGCUUGCAGACAUUACCUUGCUGAAAACCGCUUGUCAUUUCCUUCUGCUCCUCGCUGGGUUUGAUACUCUUACUUAUCGAAAGGACUACAAUUAAACCCCUAUACUUGUGGGUCAACAAGGCUCUUUUUUGGUACCGUUGCCGGGGAGUGAAGCGCUCUUGGUAAGUGGAAAUUGGUUACAAAAAAUUAUUACUACGUGCUGACAUUUAUUGUCACUUGUUACUAUGGAGAACAAUCCUUUGAGGGAUUUGUUGUGGGUAUCUUCACCUCAACCAGAACCACAAUUAGUUACCCCUCAACCUACUGCACCUACUGAAAAUAUUGGUUAUGAAAUCCUUCGGGUAUGAUAAAACAACUACUAGCUAAUCCUUAUGCAGGAGAUGGAACCAAACAUCCUGAUAUGCACUUAAUAUAUGUGGAUGAAAUUUGUGGAUUAUUUAAGCUUGCAGGUUUACCCGGAGAUGAAGCUAAGAAGAAUGUUUUCCCUUUAUCUUUGAAUCAAAAACAUUGGCAUGGUAUAGGCUAUGCGAUAAUAUUGGAUCUUGGAAUUGGAAUCGAUUGAAAUUAUAAUUUCACCAAAAAUUUUAUCCUAUGCAUCUAAUUUAUCGUGAUCGGAAUUAUAUAUAUAAUUUUUUGGCCUCGUGAAAACUUAGCGCUCAAGUUUGGGGAGGCUUAAGUCAAUGUUAUAUGCAUGCCCCUAUCAUGAUCUCUCAAGAGAAAUUAUCAUUCAGAAUUUUUAUGCUCGGCUUUCUCGUGAUGAUCAAUCCAUGCUUGAUACUUCUUGUAUUGGUUCCUUUACGAAGAAGACUAUUGAAUUCAGGUGGGAUCUUUUAGAAAGAAUUAAACACAACUCUGAAGAUUGGGAACUCGACGAAGGUAAGGAGUCAGGUAUUAAGCUUAAGUAUGAUUGUGUUAGAUCUUUUAUGAAUACCGAUGCUUUCCUUAGCACUAAAUAUGGACUUCACUCUGACAUAGUAGCCUCCUUUUGUGAAUCAUUUGCUACUCAUGUUGAUCUCCCUAUGGAGAAGUGGUUUAAAUAUCACCCACCUAUUAAAGAAGAAAUUAGAGAACCAAUAAUAGCUAAAGAUGAAACUAUUAUCUAUAAUGUUGAUCCAGUUGUUCCUACUGCUUAUAUUGAAAAACCACUUUUUCCUGUUAGGAUUAAGGAACAUGCUAGAGUUUCAACUGUGGUAAAUAAAAGCUAUAUUAAAACACCCAAGCCUGCUGAACAAAUCAAGGUAGAACCUAGUUUUGCUAUGGUUAAAGAUCUCCUGGUAGAAAAUAUAGAUGGGAAUGCUAUUUACUUCUGUGAUGAAGCUGCUAGAAUUGCAAUACCUGAUGAAAAAGAUAAACAUAGACCAGUUGUUGGAAUGCCUGUUGUCUCGGUCAAAAUAGGAGAUCACUGUUAUCAUGGUUUAUGUGACUUAGGUGCUAGCGUGAGUGCUAUUACUUUUACCUUGUAUCAAGAAAUUAUGAAUGAUAUAGCACCCACUGAAAUAGAAGACAUAGAUGUUACUAUUAAACUUGCUAAUAGAGACACCAUCGCACCACUUGGGAUUGUUAGAGAUGUUGAAGUCUUGUGUGGGAAAACAAAAUGUCCUACUAAUUUUCUUGUUCUUGGUUCCCCAUAAGAUGACUUUUGGCCCAUUAUCUUUGGUAGACCUUUCUUGAACACCAUUAAUGCUAAUAUAGAUUGCGAGAAACAAACCGUCGAUGUAAGUUUUGGAGAUGAGUCUCAUGAGUUUAAUUUUUCUAAGUUUAGUAGAAAGCACCAUAAGAAAGAGUUGCCUAGUAAGGAUGAAAUAAUUGGUCUUGCUUCUAUUGCCGUGCCUCCUACCGAUCUGCUAGAACAUGUUGCACCCCGGCUCAGAGUAAACCGGAACGCCCCGUAUUCCAGCCCAGAGAUCGAGAUGAAGUCUUCUGGAAUACAACACUGCUUAGCACAGAACAAACCAGCUAUUUAUGACAAUCUAUUUGGGUACAAGGGUUACAUCGGCCCGACGACACUACGCCUACCACUGUUGCUCUAUGCAAGCAGCAGAACAACACGAUGCAGCAGAAGAACUCUAGCAGUGGAACAACGACGACGGUGGUGAACUCCACUCCGCAGGGACUCUGACUGGAACGCUUAUCCUAGCUCGCACGAAUGGAAACCACGACAAGCAAGCAAUCAAAUCCAGCAUGACCUGCAAACUGGCAUGACACGCCAGGUCAGUAUAUUGAAUGUACUUGCAAGCUCACAAUGACCAAAAGCAUUCAAGACAAACAACAACAUGGCAAUUAUAGGUUAAGCAUAAAUUAACAUGAUAUCAUCAUAACAACAUGGCAUCAACAUGAACAUGAUACAGCUAGAACAACAUGAACCUGACAUGAACAUAUGAAUCUGACGAUACUAGCAUGCAACAUGAUGACACUAUAUGCACCCCUUAUUCUGCUCGGGCUACCUCAUAAACAACACAUGCAUCACUUACCAACCUCGGACAUCACACGAUCAUCUCAGGAUCAAAUCAAGCUUGGUAUAAACAAUACCGUAGUAAUCAAUAAAUGACCACAAGGAGCUUGAUCUUUACCCACGAUUCUCGCACAACAUCAUGAAUAUACAACGACUCGGUAUCCUUGAUACCACCGUGAUCCUUACGACGAUGACAACCACGACCAACACUUGGCCUCAAACCGUGAUCCUUAAGACGAUCGCAACCCAACCAAUAAAUGGCCCAUGAUCCUUACGGUGAUCACAACCCGACCAAUAAAUGGCCCGUGAUCCUUAUGGCGAUCACAACCCGACCAAUAAUUGCCCGUGAUCCUUAUGACGAUCACAACCCGACCAAUAAAUGGCCCAUGAUCCUUACGGCGAUCACAACCACGAGUUGUCAUUACUCAAGUUAUUCUUAUUACUGUUGACUCAUGGUGUGACCUACUUUCGAUCUGGGCCCUUAUCCGUGGGCACGACUAUUGAUAGAUUUAAUAUACACUCUGCAGAGGUUAGUACACUGUACCCAUACUAUGGAACCCAUGGCCUCGCACUCCCAUUCGGGUGGACCAACGAUGUUCCGACAAAACUGUCCUACUGCCAUGACACUCUCCCAGCCACUCCGGCUCACUCCCCACUAGGCUAAGUCAUGGGUGGCCCCGUGUCUACCUCAAGACACAAUUACCACCGUCGUGGCCCAUCCCACACGGGGACACGGAUCCAAAAACUCAACAACGGGCACACAAGGUUAUGCUUGCUUACCGGGCCAGGGUACAACACGCCCAUAACCUUCCCUCGUUGGAGGCACCAGCGAGAUGCACGACAAUAGACCCAGUUAGGACCGUCCCAUACCAGUAAGCGUGGUUGCACUGGUCAGCAUCGAUUCAGCGGCACCAUGACUCAGCCAACAGUUGUUCAAGUUCAAUUUAAUCCGGUUAACUUGAAUGCAAAUAUGCCGAGCCGUGAUAAAAUGCAUGAGCAUGAUAUCAACAUAAUCAUGAGGGUAUCACAUAACUAUCCAUCAUAUCAACAAUGAAUCAUAUCCACUGAGCAUGGCAUACUGACUAGCAUGACCAUCACCAAUAUCAACAUGUACUACUAGCAAGCAUAAACAUAUGAAAUUAAAUACUAGCAGGUAUAACCUGAUAACAGAGUACAAGACAACAUAACACAAAAGUGAACAUGCAAAUCUAAACAUCACCGGAACAACGAUAACCAUCUUUUCAACAAGCAAACAUUUAAUAAAGAUUCAAGUUGAAAACCAUGGCUACUGCAUGACUAUCAUGCAAGUGGGUAUUGUGGCUUGCCUGGGGUGGAAGAAAUCACCGGGAUAAAGUGCGGUGAAGCCGUGGAAGGAUUUUUCGGAAACAGUUCUCUCUCGGAGGGGCUCAUUUGGAGCUAUGGUCAAAAAGUUAUGGAGUGUUUUCUGCCAAGGACCCAUCUGCAAGAAAAAUACUUUCAAACAGGGGCCUGGAUAGAAAACUGAAAGCGCAUUUGACGAAAUACGUUUUCGGUGGAUGAAAACGUAGACGCCCAAAUGCGUCUCCACUUAUCCACGUCAACGUGGACCGGUCAACGCGGGGCCGGCGGCUGGGAGGCUGACGCGUGGGUCCCACCUUAUCCACUUCUCUCUCUCCUCUCUUCUCUUCUUCCUCUCUCCUUCUCCCCGACGGCGAGCUGCAGCGGAGACAGGGCCGAGCGCUCCGGCGACGAGUCCGGUCGACUCCGGCCACUUAUGGCAGUGCCCGACCCACCAAAACGAUUAGGAGAUGGAGGCGCGCCCAUCCCUGCACUAAACGGGCCUCGAAGAGGGCGGGAGCAAGAGCACCAUGGACCAUGGCGGACGGCGGCUUGGUCGAUCUGGGGGACGACGGCCCCAGCUACUCCGACGAGUAGUUGAGGGGAGGGGGAGGCUUGGUGGGUUGAGGGGAGGCCUCUGGGGGUGGAAUGGAGGAGGGAGGGAGCUCAGCUUGCCGGAAUCGAGCUUGACAGAGACGGCGGCCAUGGUGGCGAUGGGGGGCAUAGAGAGCUCCGGGAGCUCUGGCGAGUGGGUUAGAAGGGAGAUGGAAGUGAGGUGAGGCGAAAGGGGUGCUCGGACGGCCUCAUGGGUGGCCAUUUAUAGGCGGAGGAGGAGCUGCCGCGCUGUCAUCGCCGCGGACGCGUGCUCGCUUGCAGGAACUCAGGGGCAAACGACGGGGAGGGCACAGAGGAGAGCUCAUGGGGAGGAGGAGGCCAAAGGAGAACGAGGAAGAUGGCGACGACGACGAACAGAUCUAAACCGCCACUGUACGUCCGUGGGUGCGUGGCGGUUUGCGUCAGUGAGGAAGCUGUCGGAGGGGGAGAGGGGUCCUUCGGAACGACGACGAUGAUAUGCAGCCAUUGGACAUGCUCACGAGCUCUAAGACGACGAGGGGGAGUGGUGCAAAAGCACAAACGGUGCUUUGGACACACCACCACGCAUAGAGCGCGCGCACAAGCAUGCCAGCUACGUAGUCACCAUGUGAACUAGGGCAUUAAAUGCUCUACAACACCAAAAACGUUGUCUAGCUGACAGUCCUUCCAAGAUAGGGCAUUAAUGGGUCAUUGGCUUGAUCUAAGGCACUGCGGUUGUGUUGGAAUGGAGCUCUGAAGUUUAUUGCAGUAAACUUAGCCGUGCACUGGUGAUCAACAGGGGAUUGCUUGAAGCCAAAUAAGGUGUCUGGGGUGUUUAGCUACGGAGGGACUAUGAUCCUGGAGGUUUUGAGGGGAAAUGGACCAAGAUUUACUGCAGUUGCUUCACAACUGACCAAAAUGGUCCAGAAACUAGAUCAUGAUGGUGCACUCACAUGGAGUUAUGGAAUGGGAUGCAACUUGGCAAAUCCUCAUGAUAUGGACAUAUAAAGAUGCUGUAAAAAGCUCAUGCCAAAUGGGCAAGCCAAAACGGCACUUGCUUCACAAACAUCAUUUCUGUCCAGAAACGUGGAAUAAUUUUGGUGGUCAAAUGGAUCAAUGAAAUGAUGCCAAAAUGGGUUGAGAUAUGUUUUAUUGGUAUAAGAAUUAUCUGGUAAUUUAUGAGGAUUUUUGAAGCAAUACAAAAUGCACUUGCUUCACAACUUGAAACUAUUGCCAGAAUCAAAGAUUUGCUCCUGUGCUCACAUAGCUGAUUGGAUGGGGCUGCAAAUGGGUGGAAGGGGUUAAUAUGAGCACAUUAAGGAGUGUGCAAAAGUUCAAAUUAUUUGGGUAUUCCUAGCUAGUACUUCCUUCACAAAGCUUUUUGUUUGACAAAAACUUUGAAAAAUCACUGAGGAAGAUUGGCUAGGCAAAUAAAGUUGAACUUGUGCAUGAGGAAAUUAUUUGGACAUAUAAACAUGCCCAAAAAGGUUGGGAGCCACUUGGAGAAAUAUAAAUGACACUUCCUUCACAAAGUGCCAUUCAGGGUAGAAUAGAAAAAGGAAUAUUAGGGAAUUUUUUUUGAACAUGGCAAUGAAAAGUUUUGCCAAGUUUGAUCAAGAUAUGACGCAAACAAUUUAUGAGAAUUAUUUGGGAAUUUUUGGAGUGGUGGAAAUAUAGGUUGCUUCACAACCUAGGGCAAUUUGAGUUAUUCCUUUAAUAAAAAAGGAAUAUUCUCAAUAAAAAUAAUAUUGGGAUUUGGUCCAAGGUGGAAAUGGAAAGGUCUAGGGAAGGGUUUGGAUAGGACAAGCCACUCUGGAAGCAAAGAAAAGGUCAUCUUCUUCAGCUUCCAGACCACAAAGCCACGGAAAAAGAAAACUCAGGCAAAAACCUCGGAAAAAACAAAAGAAAAAGAAUGGGCCAAAAAUCAGGCUGUCACAAACCUUACCCCUUAAAGAAAUCUUGUCCUCGAGAUUUGGUUGUUCAAGGAACAAGUAUGAACAUGCUAACUUAAGGAAACCGUUUCCAACUCGGGUAUCCUUUUUCCUUUGUUGUUCCCACUAAAUUUUUAUUUGACUGGCCCUUGGUGGUUUGCUUUACUGUAUCCAAAUUCUGACAGAUCUUACCUGGCUUGCUCAUGCUUAUAUAUGCUCCAAUUUCUUUUAGAUCUGCUAACUAGCUGACUGUGAUUGAUUUUCACAACUGAAAUAUAUGUCCGUCUCACAAAUCCAAAAGUGAUUUUCGUUGGGUGUGCCACCCAACAUGACAACCUUUCAUGUAAUGAUGAUCAGAUUUUUUUGAUGAAAACUCAAGCUCUGACUCAUUGCAUUGGGUUUCUCCACUAAAUGCAGGUCCUUUGGGUUCCAAAUAGUGAGUUGAAACAUAACCGUUUCCUGACAGAUUUUGACUCAUCGCAGAAGUUUCUGAAUCAUCUUAACUGGUUCCACUGUCGUGAGUAUCGGAUCUGUACCAAAUAUUUGGUUGUCUCCUGUUGCGGCCAGCGUAAAGGGUUUGGCCAGUAUGAUAAUAUCUGCAAACUUGACUGAAGGUGGUUCUGACGGAAAUUUUUUGUUCACGACAGGCUAUCCAUGAUGAUUCAUAUAAGUGAGGACUCAGGCUUCCAGACUGUUAUUCCUCAUGCCGAUUACUCAUGCUGCAUCACUGGUCUUGCUCCUUCAUUAUUGUUUUCUUGGUCUGGAUCCUUGGCUGAAAGAGCUGGGCCAUAUUGCUUCGUCGUAUGACCAUAGGUACUGUCAGUGCAAUUUUUCGACAAUUGUAGUUUAUCCUCAUUUUUCUGAUAAGGUAACCCAUUAAAUGGCAGGUUCAACAUCUCUCAAGUUCUGAUCGUUGGGAAAUGAUCAUCCAAAACCCUUGCAAGAAAUCGGCAAAUAAAUUAGUAGCCACCAGAAUGGUCUUAACAACUCAUAUCUGGGACAUUACUGAAAUAACUCAACCACGGCUCAGGACGGCCAAAAAGCAGCUCAGAGCAUGAGACCGAGUCGAUAAGAAGAAGGUGGGAGCUCCCUAAAAUAGCCAAAAAGCAGAUAUAGGGCUACUGUCACAAAAAGAAACUCAAUAGCUCUACGAGACGGCCGAAAAGCAGCUCAGACUCAUGACAGUCGUUCAAGAGAGAAACAAAAAUCGGCAUCCACCCCGGAUAGCUAGAAACAACUCAGAUCACAGGCAUGGUGCCGUCAUUGGAGAAAAGGGGACAAGGGCUCAUCAGGAUCAUUUUCUAGUUCACAAGUACUUGUAUGGAGCUCAUUGAUGUCGUCAAUCCUCAUAAUCCUUUGUCACACUGCGGUGUAUACUGGCUUUAUUCUUGUUACCAUCCUCCCGUGGUUGUCAGAUCCUCAUCCGAGUGACUUGUAAGAUCUUGGUGGUAUGCUCACCGCAUAUAUAUGAGAAUCUGAUUCCUAAGACAGACGUGUAUUCUGACUGAUUCUUGAUUCUGACCAAAAUGUUGCGGAUCUGAUUCUUGGGAUUCACUGCCAUAUGUUGUCAAUUCACAGCAUACUACCUUGUACCAAUGUUUUACUGAGAAGAUUGGUGAGGUUGUGCUCAAAACUUUCCUCAGUCAGCUUGCCGAAGAAGACUGGGUAUCGUGCUUCAGAAGAUUACCCCCUUAAAGACUUGGCUAGGGAAAGACUCAGUACCUUAUGCUAGAAGCUUUUGCGGUUGCUUACUCAAGAAGACAGGGAACCUUGCACGGGAAAUCAUCCACGUAUCAUACUGAGGAAGAUAGAUGAAUCUUGCCUUGGAAGCUUCUUUGGUAUUUUGCGAGGGAAGAUUGGGUUGCUUACACCAGAAGCUUCUCAUUGUGAUAUGCGGUCCGAUUUCCACAUAUAUAACCAUCUGAAUAUUUUUGCUAUUGAUUUCUGGCAUGAAACGGGGUUUUGCAGGACUAUCCUCCUUUCUGAGUAUAUGCCAUAUUUUUGCUUGUUUGCAAGUACAUAGAGUUCCAAAAUCAUCCUCAACAAAAAGAUAAACUUGUAUCUGAGCCAUACCUUUGAUAAUAUUCUGUCAACCUUUCACACAAUUUAUCUUGCUGAUUUAAUCAUUUUGUUUUGAUAAGUGCACGCUAAUGCAAACUUGAUACUGACGGUCCACCCAGGAUUUAUUUUGCAUUCAGACGAGAUAUUCCAAUUUUCAUUGCAGUCUGCUGAUAAUUCCAUUUUGUUUAGAUGAAUUUCCAAAUAUAUGCAUUUCUUGCUGACUCUUCGAGUCCGGUGUCGGCUGACGAGCAACUUUAAUAGGGGAAAACUUUGUAACACUAAAGGCCCAAAGAAAGGAACAAAAGAAACGACUAAAACAAGAGCACACAAGCAUACUGCUAAGAUAAUUAAUCAAUCAAUCAUCACAUAUUACAGCUACUCACACAAUAAUAUGCAUGCACACCUAAGCACACAAAUCUCGCGGAAACUCCGGUAUUGCGGUCCAAUAUGCUGUGGCGGCAUGCACGAAAAUUAUAUCCAUGUGUGGAAGGCGUUGGCGUAACGGAAGCUACACCAAGCACUGGCUGAACAGUGGCUGGAUCUGGAUGGAUACACAUGUGAGGACGAACUUAACGAUCAAGUAGCAAGACACAAAAGUCACGGCUACCUCAUCAUCAAGCGUACGAAGGGAAUCGUACCCGUCCAAAGAAUGAAAUAACAAGGCAAGAUAAAAGUGGAAGAUUGGGUCUAAUGGCAUUGCCCUUUUCUGAUAACAAAGGUCAGCAAGGGUUGCCAAAAGAACGAGAUGGUGGGCAUGGCUGAUGAUGUGGUUGCAUCACAUCGAAGAGCAGGCAUGAUAAGAAGGACGAUGUAGGUAGUGGAUCGGAACCGAUACCACCUACACUCACCGGAUUAACCGUUAGCGACUAAAUAAUAAUCUAUAUGCAUGCUAUGCGAAGAACAAAUGCAGCAAUCUAGUGCAACAAACCAACUGGGGUCUAUACUACCGCUUUCUAACAUUCAUGCGGUCUAGCGCGUCCUACAGCCAGACUUGCUCUGAUACCAAGCUUGUGGCACCCUAGAUCAGAGGAAACCAGAACGCCCCAUAUUCCAGCCCAGAGUUCGAGAUGAAGUCUUUUCGAAUACGACUGCUUAGCAUAGAACAAACCAGCUCUUUAUUACAAUCUAUUUGGGUACAAGGGUUACAUCGGCACGGCGGCACUACGCCUGCCACUAUUGCUCUAUCACUACAAAAAAAUACACUUCCGUGACGAUAUGUGUUUGUCACGGUAGGUCGCGUUUUUUUUCAUGCAUGUACAUCCAUGACAAAUUUAUGACAGAAUCAAGAUAGUCAUACCUGUGCUGUCGUAGAAGUGUUCCAUGACAUUACCAAAAUUAUCAUCACGGAAGUGUCCACUUCCAUGACGAUAAAUCGCGCAUCAUAGAAGUGCUUUCGUCAAGGGUGACUGACACAUGGCAUCCACCGUAACGGAACACUGUUAAGCUAUCGGGUCGGGUUUUGGAUCCGAUAACCCGUUAACAGCUGCGACCAAUGGGGAUUUUCCACAUGUAAAAUCAUCAUUGGCUGCAUGAAAUACGUGUUGGCUCACCGUUGGGACAGAAGUCAUCCGCUCAUUGGACCGAAGUCGCCUAUGAUACGCGACACGUGGCACGGCCCAACAGAGGCCCAUUCCUGUGAAAAGGCCGGCCCGUUUGACUUGGUCAAAAGGUGGCGGCCCGGCCCACGAAAAGCCUAUUAACGGCUUGUUCACAUAUAGCCCAUUUACAGCCCACUAACCCAGGGCCCGUUACGCCCUAUCCGAAUUAAGCCCAGUAGUGUCAUCUGGGCCGUCCAAUAUGAUUCAGCCCGUUUUAACUUCCGGCCCAUGUGUGGCCCAUGACUUCUUUCGGCCCAUAUGAGGACCUUUGUAACUCUUGACCAUUAACGACCCGUAGUGAAACUGGCCCGUAAUGAACAGUGUAUCACUUUAUACCCAUUAACGACCCAUUAUUCCAUUGGGCCGUUUCUAGCCCAAGUUAUCUUUCGGCCUUCUCAGGGCCCAUUGAUUCUUGGGCUCAUUUGCAGCAUUCGGUUACAUACGACCCGUUACUGUCAUUUUCUACUUGUGGGCCAAAUUUAGCCCGUCGUUAUAGUCGGCCCCUUUGCGGACUGUUAAUAUGUUGGGCCGUUUUCAUGUAAAAAAACCCGUUGGGCUGUUUUCAUACGGCCUAUUAACGGCCCGUUAUGGUCCACGAAUAGUACGACCCAUGAUUGGUGAAAUGAUGAUACGCCCCGUAGAAGGCCCAUGGAUCCUACGGCCCAUAUGAGCCCCAUGGAUAGUAUGGCCCGUAGAAGGCCCAUGGAUCAUACGACCCGUAGAAGGCCCACGGACCCUAAGGCCCAUAUAGAAGGCCGAUGGAUCCUAUGGCCCGUAUAGAAGGCCAAUGGAUCCUACGGCCGGACGAAGGCCCAUGGAUCAUACGGCCCGCAGGAGGCCCAUGGUUACAACAGUCCGUGUGUUGCCAUGAUUAUUUUGGCCUAGUUACCAAAAUAGGCUAUUGUGGCCACUAGAAAGACACAGAAAAAGAACUGCAGUGACUACAAGCAAACAACUAAACAAGACAAUAAGGAAAUAAAUAAGCAAGCAAUUAAUGCUAGCCUAUUACCGCUAUUACACAUAUUACAUCCACUGGACAUCAAAGUUCGCCACCAGUGCAAAUAUAGGGAACAAAGCAGCAUAUUACAUACACUGGCCGUCAAAAUUGGCCACCAGUGCAAAUAAAUGCGGCAGCAAAACAAGAGCAUAACUGAAAUAACUUCAGAAGAGCUCAAAAACUUUAUCCUGGGUAUCCACCAUGCUGGCAAUAAGCUUAGCAAGCUGAUUAGCUUUGUCCUGUUUGGCGCUAAAAUCCUCCAACGCUUGCUGUUGCACCAGAAAGUAUGCAUCUGAAUGCUCCAGGGACUUCCGCAGUCCUUCCGCUUCUUGUCGCAGCACAGCUGAUCGAUGUAUUUCAGCUUGUAGUUGAGACUCAAGAAACCGAACUGAUUCAGACAGUGAGUUUGAAUAGUUUGUGCAAGCAGUAGUGGCCAAUAACUCUAACACUAAACCAAGACAGGACUUUGGGGUUGUCUCGCUGUCUUCAAGAUAGUCUUCCUCAGCUGUUUUAUCAGCUUUGUCGGAGACCAACAAGGAUGUGUCACUAUCCUGAACCUUGUCUGCAUUAAUUCCUUUACCAUUGCUUAAUAAGGCACUCUUCCCCAAUAUUCUGUCAGCAUUCUAAAAGAAGAAACAAGCAGACACAUAACAAGUUUAGCAUGUACUAGUAUAUGAAACUCAUUCAGUGAACCAAUUCAUUAGUAAGGUGGACAGGAUUAAACUACCAAGUCUUCUAUUGCCAAGUACUAGUACAUAGUAAAAGCAUCAAACAAACAUAUAUCUAUGUCCUAUGGUCACUUCAUUGUCUUGCCAAAUCAAAAUAGAGACACAGUUCAAAUCAUAUCAGUUCAAGACAAAGCAGCAGUGAAAGAAUACAAAGCGUGGGAAACUACACGGCACAACAAGAUUUCAGAUGGGUACCACGGGUCUACAUGUACAACAACACUAUUGGCUCUGUUGUGAUGCUAGUAAUGUGCAUGAUAUGAAAGUCAACUGUAUACACAAUUGAAAUUGAAAUCAACAGAGCUAUUGAUAAGAGCAAACCUGUUAAAGCAACAUGCGUGAACAUACCUGCUGUGCCAUUGGAGUUUCGAUUGGAUCCUUCAAUUUAAAAAUAAGUUUGUAUGAGUAAAUACAGUGAUACAAGAGCAAAGCAAUCAUAGUUAAAAAAGGCGCGCCUAAGCGAGCGCUUAAGCGCGCCUAGGCUCUAGGCGUUGGCAAAACGCAUUGUGCAUAACUACGCAUAAUCUGUGCAUAACUGCGCAUAAGCAUGCGCUUUGGUCAGUAAAGCGCAAGGCGGUGGCAAAACGCACAAUUAACGCCUAGCACUUUUUUGAACUAUGAUAGAAAUGGAAUCUUAAAUUAGAACAGUUGUUCUUUAGGUUUAGGCACUUGUUCUACAUGAACAGAGUACAGUAAGACACAAGAAUAUAAUCCUUAAAAAUAGAAAAUCAGCUCAUAGACCUUACCACAUUCUUGGUUCGGGACCAAUACAGAACAAGGCGUUCCCAGUCAUCGUCCAGUAAAUGUGUCUCAGGAGAACGUAAGGGAAUUUGAUGAGUUUCUUUGCCGGUGAAGUACGUUUUCUUCAGGUAAUUCCGAUCCUGCCACCAAGCAUUCUUGAAGAUAGCAGAGGUAUUAGCACAUGUUACCUCAUCCUGAGUUUCCAAAAUCGGUCCUUCUCUAUAGAGAAAAAUGGGAAAAUUUGCUAUAUUAUAACCAUCAUGGAGGUAGGAUGUAUGGGACGAAGCAAAGUAAUUUCCACGAAUAACAUUACUUACACAUAACUCCUGGACAAACACCUGCAACUGGCAUUUUGCUUCAUCUUCAGUAUAAUAUUUCCAAGAUGGGAAGAGACGCACAUACGAUUUAACAACAUCAAAUGCGAUAGAUGCUAAACUACGACUAGCUGGUUGUGCUUCCUCCACAGGAAUAGGCGUACUAACUGGUGGAGUUGGGGUUCACCGUGAUAGUACUGGCCCUUUGGACACUGGAGCUGCCUUACUAACUGCGCUUGUUUGGGAGCUCUGUGGUGGAGAUGGUGCUAUGUCAACAGGAACUGGGUUACUAUCGGCUUGGGUUGGGGUUAGAUUGGGUGAAGCUGGUUCUCUGUCCAUUGCAGUAGGGGUACAAUCUACGAGAGUUUGGGUUAUGUGUGGUAGGGCUGGUUCUUGUGCAUGUACAACCGGGGUGCUAUCUCCACCAAGAGGUAGCACUGUUUUAUUUGAAGACCGUGUUUUUAUUCCGCUAGAUACUGGCAUCACCCGCUCCAAUUCAAAUGGCUGAUAAACAUGAAACAUAGUUGAAUGUACAGACAUUGUAUGAGAGACAGAUGCAAUAGAUAGUGUGGAAAAAAGAGGGCAUGCAAUAGUUCACAUGUAUAUUGUUUAACUAAAACGGAUAUCAUGACAUAAUUUCACAUAUAUGAUGUCUAUCUAAACUGGAUAGCAUAGCAUAACAUAAUUCAAAGACAUGAUAAAUAACUAAACAUGAUCACAUGACAUAAUUCACCUACAUGUUAUCUAAGUAAUCAGGAUCGCGUCGUUUAAUUCACAUAUGUGAUUUAUAUGCUAAAUAGAGGGCAUUCGAUAUGAUGUCUGAACUAAGAACAUGGUGUUGAAUAUUGUGUAUAUGAUGUCUAAACUAUGCAAUGCAAGACACCGUAUGCAUGAUAUGAGCAAUAUAACCGUGCCAAGUUAGAGCAUACACCUCAGUGGGGGAAUAGGACUGGUCAUCUGUCUCUGAAUCCAUCUCUGAGGAGCUAUCGGGACCCAACAAGAGAUCUGCUUUGACAGGUAGCACUAUCUGCUGUGAAGGCCUUGUUUUCACUCCAGAUUUUUCCAUCUCCCACCCAAAUGGCUGAUUCACAGGAAGAGUAGUUUAAUGUACAAACAUUGUCGACAAAUGGAAAUGUAAUGAAGAAAAGGAUGGCCAAGAUAUCAUUCAAAUAUAUGAUGCCUGGUUAAACAGGAUGGCAUUGCACAUUUCUCAUAUAUUAUGGCUGGCUAAAAGACAUGAGACUGCAUAAUUCCCAUAUAUGAUAUAGAAACUAAACAUGUGGCAUUACAGAACAUGUCUAAACUAAGUAGAUGACAUAUAUGAUGUCAAAAGUAGGCACUGCAAGGCAACACAUGCAUGAUAUGACUAACAUCAUCAUGCCAAGGUAGAGCAAACACCUUGGGGGGUAAAUAGGAGUGGUUAGUGGUGUCUGAAUCCGCUUCAGAACAGAUAUCUUCCUCUGGAUUACAAUCUGGAGAGGGGUGGGGAGGGUUUGGCAUUGAACCCACCAUGGAGCAAUGUCUGCAUGACAUUGUAUUGCCGCGCAAAACUCUUCUCUUUUUCUCUACAUGUUCAGCAUGUCUGUGUACAAUAUCUGACAUGCAUACGAAAAAAUAUGGUGAGAUUAUGUAAGGAGAGCAUGCAGAAAUUUAGAGUGAUGGUAACAACCAGUGGAUCGACGUUUUUCCGUUGAACCAAAAUAGCCCUAAUGGAUCGACGUGAAUUAUAGUAACAAGUGAUGCAACAAGUGUACAACCUCUUUGCCAUAGCCGUGUCAACCUCAGCAUCAUUGGGUUGGUCGCUGAAGUAGUUGAGGCAGAGGUGGCUGUCGGAGGUGUGGAGGAAGAUCUGAGGAAUCUGUAGACGGCGUCCAGGGCACUGCUCUUUUGUGAUGGAUCGUUCUGUCGUUGGAGCAGCUCCGGUGAGCCGUAAGACGUCAAGGCUGAAGCAACACAAGACAAACAUCGUCAAUCUCAAGUGGGAUUAUAAUAGCAUCUCCAAAAGAUGAUGUAAAAUGGAUGUAAAAUUAACAUCACCAAAAACCACCUGACUACAACAGAUGAGGUAAAAAAUGUUGACUCUGAACUUAAUUGUGGAAAUUGAAAUUUACUGUGGAGUCUGAAUGCUACUGUCGAAACUGAACGCAAUGGUAGCAGAGAGUCACUUGACAUGUAGUUUAGGGAGGGCCUGUAGUUCAUCUUCAACCUGCACCCCCCUGAGCUGCCAGCCACCACCGGCCUCGCCGCCGGCCCCAGCGCCGCCUCCCCGCCCCGAAACAACUCGCCAUCGCCGCCCCGGCCAGCCCUUUAGGCCCCCCACCGCCCCGGCCAGCCCUCUAGGCCCCCCGCCCCCACCCUGAACCCUAAGAUAGAUAGUGGGGUACCUCUUCGGCGAGCCCCCGUCCCCACUGCNNNNNNNNNNNNNNNNNNNNNNNNNNNNNNNNNNNNNNNNNNNNNNNNNNNNNNNNNNNNNNNNNNNNNNNNNNNNNNNNNNNNNNNNNNNNNNNNNNNNNNNNNNNNNNNNNNNNNNNNNNNNNNNNNNNNNNNNNNNNNNNNNNNNNNNNNNNNNNNNNNNNNNNNNNNNNNNNNNNNNNNNNNNNNNNNNNNNNNNNNNNNNNNNNNNNNNNNNNNNNNNNNNNNNNNNNNNNNNNNNNNNNNNNNNNNNNNNNNNNNNNNNNNNNNNNNNNNNNNNNNNNNNNNNNNNNNNNNNNNGGUGGUUCUUCCUUAACUCUGGCGAGCCCCCCCAACCCCUGAAAAUCGACUGACCCAAAAGUCGAUUCAGUCGACUGAAGUGUGGCUUAAUCGGAGCAGAGCAGCAGCACGAGUGAGGGGGACAGCAGCAGCAGCAGCUGGGCGAGCGAGCGAUCGAGCGAGAGCCGGAGCAGCAGCAGCAGAUCUGGCUGGUAUGGACGCCGCCGCCGAAGGGGCCUCGCACUAGGGGAGAGCCGCCGUGGAGAUGUCGCCCGCGGAGCCGGCUUCAAGGUAGCCGCUCCAUGGGGUGCAGGAUGGAGCACCGUCGGCGCCGGGAGGUCAAGUUAAGGAGAAGGUGCGAUGCGAUGAGUGUACAACCUCUUUGGUGGCGCCGAGUAGGCCUCGGCUUUGUCCGAGGAGUCGGUGAGGAUGCUACGGUUCCGGUGGAGCAGGUUAAGGCGGCGCUGUGAGGAUGGAGCAGCCGUGAUAGACGAGGUGAUCGUCGGAGCAGCUCCUUCGAGGUGGAGGAUGGGGCGGCUAAACCGGUGGCACGACGAGAUGGACGACGAAUCCUCAUCCGGGGAGGUGGACGAGGGACGUCGAGUUGCUGUGGUAGACGACGUCGUCGGGGAAGAGGCUCCGACUGGGUAGCGGUGAUGUGGCAGACGGAGGAGGGUGGGGUUUCGUGGCUGGAGCAGAGGUUAUGGCGGCCUGGGAUUUCGAAUGGCAAAAAGGGGGCGAUGGGAGGGGGUGAAGCAUGACUUAGGGACGCACUUGUCCAAAAUGUAGGGUGUUUUACAAAAGUACCCCCCACCGAUUUGAACUAGUAGGCCUUUCGGCUCAGGGUUAGAAUGGGGAUUUUGCCUGUCGGGAUAUGGCAGCUGGAGGGAGUUUUCGCGCGCAUUGUAAUUUCGGGAUAGCAAGGCGCGGGUUGUGAAGGCGCCAGUUUUGGGAGCACGAUAUCUGAAUUUUCGGGAUAUAACAAGACGUGGGUCGAAUUUUAGGGACAAUCCUAACGUGUAGUAAUAUUGUACUUGUACGUACCAAAUCAAUUCGCACUUCCCUCAACCAAAAAGAAAACAAAAAAAAUAAAACUAUUCACACCACACAAAGAGAGAGUCUUGCCCCGUUUUACUAUAAAAAUGCUAUUCAAAGCUACUCCCUCCUUCCAUCUAUAUAGGGCCUAAUGCGUUUUUCGAUGCUAACUUUGACCAAAUAUUAGAGCAAUGAUAUAUGACAUGCAACUUACACAAAGCACACCGUUAAAUUCGUGUGUUAAAGGUUCUUUCAAUGAUAUAAUUUUCACAUUGUGCAUGUCAUGUACUAUUAAUCUUGUCAAUAGUCAAAGGCGGUCUUAAAAAUCUCAUUACACCCUAUAUAGAUGGAAGGAGGGAGUAUGAAUCCAUGUUAUGUCUGAUUAAUUUUCUUCGCUUGCUGUAUAAUGCAUGUAACCUACUCAUACCAACAUUUUAGUGCAUUCCAAAUGUCUAUACUACCUCUGCAAUUCGAACUAAAUUUGAAUUCGUUUCUCUAUUUCAAUAAGAAUCUACAAUCAUGAUUGUUGCUAACUUCAACCAUCAUAGUUUCCUUGCUAUCUGCCAGAUAUAAAUCGGACGGCCUAUAAUGCAGGAUGGCAGGCACACCAUCAUCAACAACUCUGUUUUUUAUAAGAGUAGAGAUAAAAUAUAUUAAAUGUAGUAUAACAUGUUCAUAAACACACCAUGUGUAUCACCGUUAUAUAUAUUCACACAUGCGUCGGUUUAAAACACUAUGAUAAAUUCUUCAAAUAUCUGAAUUCGCUUUUUAUAAUGAAGUAUAUAUGAUCUCUAUUCGUCUUUUACACCCACACAACCCUCUUAUCUUUGUAGCUAGCGCUAACUUUCUCUUGUGCAUGCACACGCCUGCAUCCCUCUCACCAUCCCUAAGCAUUCUCUAGCUCGAUCCAUCGCGCAAAUUCGUCUUUUCACUUUAGGUCGUUCACCCACGGUGUGUGUAGGCCCCCCAGCUCCUACUUUACGGCACACAUCGAUCGAUAUGCCUCUCUAGCUAGGUGUGCCUAGCAGAAACACAAGCUUCACCUCUUCUCUUGUCACCGUCCAUGCCUCACUCCCACCCCUCUUUUCUUCAUUCUCGUACUCGCACACUCCUCCCCCUCGAUAUAGUAUGCCUCUCGUACCACCUCCUACAUGCAUCCCUCUCUCUCUAUCCUUCUCCUCGUGCCUCAUUUGCUUCUAACACACACAUGCAUGUAUAUCGAUCAAUCUCCCAACAUAUACCUAGAUCGACUUUAACUACCCCCAUCAAUCGACAUACCUCACAAGUUAUGUCUCUCCUUUCUCUAACAAAGGGCGAUUGAUCUUCCUAUGUAGUUACGUCUGCUUACCACAUCCACAUCGCCCCCCUCAUCAUUCGUGCAUGCCUCCUGACCCGUCUCUCACACGCACGUGCACAGACAACAAGCAGCCAUCUCCUCUCUUAUUGAUAUUGCGGGCGUGCCCUCUGUUUGUCUAGCAAGCCUAUCCCACCAUUUUUAGAAGCAACUCCACUACCACCCCCUCCAACACUCUAGCUCUGUCUCUCUCCCAACCUUAUUCCUCUCCUGCACAUAUGCAUGGAUGCCGAUCAAUCUCCCUUAAUACAUGAGGCAGAUCGAUCUCCUUAGUACAUGAGGUAGGCCUCUCUCCUCCUCCACACAUAUACCAGCCAUUGUACCUCUAUAGUUAAUUGGGCCCCCCUCUUCCCCCACCACACACCGAUAGUCGAGCGCUGCAGGUAGGUAUCCAUGCCAUAGAGACAAACUGCACAUGUCCCCUCUCACGUUCCAGUAGGCCAGCCACUCUAUAUCUUUGACGUGGGCACACACAAAUUCGAUGGCACUCUUUAUCGAUCGCGCGCGCACACACACACACAUCAUCCCUCUCUUUGAUUCUAUGGACACCUCAAGCCGAUGAUACCUCCGCUCUCUUCUCGUGGAUUGCCCCCUCUAUAUAUAUGUUAUAUCCAGGACUCUAUUUCACACACAUUGCAUAUGUUACAUUUUUUGAUUGACCCCCCCCCCCAAAAAAAACUCUCAAGAACCCACGCACUAUAUCUCUCUAGGUUUGUAUCUCUCUCACACAACCCCACGUAGGUGGUGUACGUAUACAAGAAGAGAAUAGGUGCACCGUGCACGUACUCAUGCUUCGUGCCCAGCCACACCCGUGCAGGUACACGGUGGAGCUCAUUUCUUUAUGAAAUGGCAGCCCACGUGCUAAUUUGAACGCCUGCAGCGGUUGUUUACCUAGGGAGGUCGUGUACCACGGGUGCACGAAACAAAGUUCGACUUGCCGCGUUGCCGCAUUAUUUUUAAAUAAAGUUAUAACGCUCAAUGACACGUACACAGAAUAUAAAAUGAUUUUUAUGGAGAAAAAGGUAGUCCGCUCCAUAUAUACAAUGGAGCCUUGCGUGCCUGGUUUGUCGCUCUUCAGAGUAUCUCACACAAGGCUGCGGUGGCCUCUCUCUCUCUCUCACCGUUGGUCAUUGAUCCGGUCGCAUCCCGUCCACCGGGGGAAAGGGAGUGCAGUGGCCUCUCUCUCUCUCACUGUUGGUCACUGAUCUGGCUGCAUCCCGUCCGCUGGGGGAAAGGGAGGAAGUGCAUCAUUUCUCUGUUCAACGGCGCCGAGGUAGCACGUCCCGAUCUGCGGUACACGUCGUUCUCUCUGACCAAGCUCCGGCGUGGCAAGGCCUACGCCACCUGCUCGCAGAUUCCGCCCGCCGCCGCUCACCUAGUUACACCCCGACGACCUCCAGGUAUCCCCUCCGGCCUUGCUUCACUGCCCGUCUUCCCACGUCGCUACAUGUGGAUCUUCCAUAGUUCUUUGCCCAGAACAUAGCUCGUCCGGCGUACUUUCCAUAUUGCAUUCUCCUCCUCACACCAUUUUAGACAAACACAACUAUGUUGUUAUCUUCCCUUAGGGCAAGCAAUAUGCUUCUUUUUUGUCGUCGCAUGUGUCAUCAACUCUUAUUGGCCAGUAAUUGUUUCCUUUCUACCUCUUUUUUGCAAACAGGGCUAUCCAUUUCACCUUGUUGCUAUUGCGACCUUUUGGUGAACUGCACAAAUCACUUUUUUCUUAAGAGUGUUUUGUGCAGUUGUACUAAAAUGUCACACGGGGAACGUCUCUACAUUUUAGUGCGAGUGCACAAAGGGAGAUUGGUUUUGCUCUAUCCUCCUCAUCCAACUCCGUGCCUAAUCUUCUCCAACUAGUUAGUCUUAAGAGAGACUGCAAAGGUGACCGUCUUCUAUUUGUGUGUUUAUUGUUUCAUCAGCAGUCCUCUAUUAUCGUAAUCACACUUAAUAUCUUUGGAACAGGGACGCUCAGCUCUAUUUUAGUGGAACUGCACAAAAUGAUCGGAAUGUUGCAUGCUCCAGAUAGCUACUUUUUUCCCAACAUGCCUUGUUGAUUUAGACAGAGCUGGGGGGACGUUGCUGCUAAUGAAAGCAUGGAUCAAUUUUAAUUUAACACCUUAUCACAACUCUGUCUUCAGUUGUGAUACAAUUAUUAGCUCUGAUCUGCUAAUAAUUGACAUGCAUUAGCAAGGAAGUUAGUUUUUUAUUGUUUCCGAAGGAGCAUCGAUGGCAAGACACGUGAAACAAAAGCUGAAAGCUUACACCAUUGUACAAUUUCAUGUCGCUGGAAAAUUAUUUGUAUAAUAUGUCAAUUAUGUAAACAAAUGAUGGAAGCUUGAUAGCAUUGCCAGAAGCCUCUUCAUCAUCCGGGUCCAAGUGCCAUGCAAAAAAUUAUACUCCUUCGUUCCUAAAUAUUUGUCUUUUUACAAAUUUCAAACGGGCAUAUUUUAGAGUGUAGAUUCACUCAUUUUGCUUUGUAUGUGCACUCUCUCCGUUCCUAAAUUUUUUAUUCGUCUUUCUAGAGAUUUCAACAAGUGACUACAUACGGAGCAAAAUGAACUCUAAAAUAUGUAUAUAUACAUCCGUGUGUGCCAGUCCAUUUGAAAUCUCUUAAAAGACAAAUAUUUGAGUAGUCACUCGUUGAAAUCUCUAGAAAGACAAAUACUCCGGAGUAUAUUUAAGAACCAAGGGGGUAGUGCACAACCGCAUGAGAAACUCAGCCCGGUCGUUGCGCCGCAUUAAUAGUGAGUAAUGAGUAGUCAAAUCAUAAGCCCCACCUUUCCCACUGUAAGUUGCUCUGAAGAAGCAACCAUCAAUACACUCUUCUUUGAAUCCGCUCAUACUACUCCAUCCGUCACUGUUUAUACAACGCGCUUCAGAAAAAGAAAUAAAAUCUGUGGGACCAAGGCGACUAGCAAUCGGCCUGAAAAAUAGCAUUGGUAGUUAUAACACGGCGUCUAUUACUAGAUGGAAUAAUGCGUACACACAUGCAUGAAGUGCUUCCACCCCGGGUACACACAUGCAUGCACUUACUCCACUCCGUAGUAGUACAGAGUACAUGGAGAGAAAAUGUGGACUUGGUUGCGGUUACCACGCCCUAAUUAAUUGAGCAUUAAACCAAACGCGUGUAAAGUCUCUCUGGUGGUGGAAAUGCAUUGAGAGAAAUGCAUCAUAAUGAAGCGCGCCCUUUAAACUGUGACGGAGGGAGGAGUAGUAUGAAGGUGCAAAACCAAGUGCGCGUAUGGCCAGUCGGUCAAUGCACCUCCUCUUGGCAUAUCACUGACAUGUGGGACAGGAGUGUGAGCAAACCGAUCUCAAUUGACGGCAAAGAGCCAACCCGCCGUUCCUUGAGAGAGACAAGGAGCGAGAACACACAGACGGGCUUGCAAGGAGGCCAAGAUAUAUUCGAGCAUGGCUAGUUGAUCGAUAUCAUUCAUUACAUGUUGGGCUGGUGUUUUCCGCCCUUGUCCGGAAUAAACAUGUACUUUAUCAGAGAUAAAAAAAUAAGAGUACAAAUGCUCCACCAUGCGGUUCUAGUAGUAGUACUACUUGUACUAAUGCACUUGGCUCUUCGCCUCUUCGUGAAGUUGACCAAUGAUGGUACUCCGCAUGUUGGGUACUACAGUGUAUGCCUCUGACAAUCUGACACCGAAUGGACUGAUGCAUGUCCACCGAGGGUAGGUUGCAUUAGUCAAAAGGCGUAAGCGAGCUUCACCUUGUCCUGCAAGCUUCUCCUUGUUCUGCGAGUUGAUGGGACACACCAAAAAGUAGUGCUAGUCCAUACUCCCUCCUUUCCGGUUAAUAUAUCUUAAUCUUUUUUGCAGGUAAAUGAGAGAGCUCUAUUCGUAUAUAAGCAUUCUUAGGACGAUCAGCCAAGAAACUGGUCACUAGGAACCGAGGUACCCCACAAAAAAAGAAGUAGGAAGUGAGGUGUUUCAUCAAGCCAGCUCUCAGCCACAUUCAAAGUGCAGCAAGCACGGUUCGCAUGAAGAUGCGCCGCAAGGUUUGCUGACCUGUUUACAUGCUGAAUAACAAAAAAGAGGAAAUAUUACCGAGCGCUAAUAUUUGUAAUAGGAUAUGAGCCAGAAUUAAGCGAGAAUUGUGGCGAGUGUUCCAUGCAAUCAACUUCCAUUAUCACAUGCGAGAACCCUCGAAGAGAACCAAAUGUGUUGAAGAUUGCUUUAUCACAUUUUAAAAUUAUAAUAAGAGUGCAGACGCUCCUCCAUCCGGUUCCUAGUACUAGUAUAGUACGUACCUUUAUAGACUAUAGUAGUAGUACUAGUACUAGUAAACUUUGCGCUUGGCCGUUCGCCUAUUCGGGAAGUCGAAGAAUAGUAGCACUAGUAGUAUAGUGUAUGCUUCUGGCAAUCUGACACCGAAUUAACUGUUGCACGUCCACCGCCUGAGCGAGGGAGAGCUUGCAUUAGUCAAAAGUUUCUCCUUGUCCUGCGAGCCACCGCGCGCAAGCUUCUCCUGUCCUGCAACCAUCUCCUCAUUCGGCAAGUUGACGGGACACAGCAAAAGUAAUGCUAGUCCAUACUGCCUCCUCUCCUGUUAAUAUGGCUUAAUUUCAAUUGAGAUAAAUACACUGUCUGUCACUGUAUAUUUGUAAAAAUAUGGUCAGUGAACUUCAUAAUACGCUCAUUGUGCUCAAUAUAUAUAUUUUCCGGUGUUUAUAUGGUCACUAGCUCACCCUGACUGAGUAUGUGUGUGCAUGCAAGUGUAGGUUGAGCAAUUAGCCUGACCGUGUGUGUUCCAUCGUGUGCUCGGACAUGCAUGCAUUAGGGCGUCGCGCGUGUUUUUGCGUCCAUGUGUAUGUGUGACUGUUGCAUACACGUAGGGGGAGUACGUGUAGGUGCCACUAAGGAGCAGUCAAAUCACACAGUAAGUUAGCCGGAAGAAGCAACCAUCAUUUCACUCUUGAAUGACACGUACACAAUAUAAAAUGGUUGAUAUGGAGAGAAAAAGAAAACCACUAUAUAUAGACUAGCAGGAGCCUAAGCUACAUGCCUGAUUGCUAAGGCUGCUCUCUUCACAAGCAAAGAACGACGGGCCUGAUCCCGCAGCUGGGGGAAGGGAACAAUGUUCUGCGUAGAUGCGGUCGACAUCGGUGAGGGAGAAAACCCACAGUCUUUAGUUGUGAAGUAAAUAUUGGCUAUGAUCUAUGAAUCAUUGAGAUGCAUCAGCAUGCGUGUUAGUUUUCCUUUGUAUUUGAUGGAAUGUUGUAACGGGGCAACCUUGGAAUAGGAAUGAAAAUGGAGUAGAAAGUUUUCGUUUUUCCGGAGAAAAAAUGGAAACGGAGAGAAACCAACGUUUCGUUUUGUUGGAUCGCGCCAUCGAGCAAAACCAAUGUUUAAAUCACGUCUGUCAUGUUCGUGUCUCACCCUCCUCUAUGGCUCGACCCCACACGGUUUCUUGGCAUGCCACUCACCGCAAACCGAGUAUACGAUAACUUUCCCGCCUACUUGUCGAUGGAUUGCUCCAUGGAGUACUAGCACUACAGGAAGAGAUUAACGAGUUGGGGGAGGACAGCUAGCUGUAGCACAGACUCCCAAGAACGUUUUACAUGCAUGUUGUAGCCGGCUAUUGCGACCUUUGAACGUGGAGCAGCCGCGUGCACCUGGAAGCGGCGCGGGCAGCGCUCUCUCGGCCGGCGUGCCGCUUCAAUGCCGGCGCCAGUGAGAGGUCGCGUCCGCUCUGGCCAGGCAUGAAUGCGGCACCGACCGUUUCAGGAGGGAAGCACGCGCGGGUGAUGAAGAGGGUUCGGGUUGGUCAGGACCGGCCGUGGCAGCGAUCCGGACGUGCGCAAACAAGAGAUGCUGUACGUUAAUAUUGCUGCGUAUAUAAUUAACAACGUAAAUAAUGUGCCAGUUGGACAAAUAUGAUUGGAGAUGGAGAUGGAAAUGGAAUUUUACGUAAACACGGAUAUGCAUGUCUAUGUCUAUGUGUGUGUGCGCGACGACUCUCGCGACCUGGAAGAGGGGGCGUGUUUUUGAUCGAGUUUUCUUUCUUGGUACAUUAGAAAAUCAGUUUGUCUAAUUCACAUCUAGAUGUUAUUUAAGGAUAUCACAUCUAAGCUCCCACAAGUAUAUAAUGUAGCAACAAGAAACAAAAAAAACUAGGACAAAAAAAUAGACCACAAACAGAGUGGACAUCAACUUAGAUGUGACAUAACUAUGUCACAUCUAGAUGUGUCCUAGACAGACCCUUAAAAAACUUUCCGCUAGUUUUUGUUUCUUUUUUCCGGCAACGCGCUUAUUCUAUUUAAAACCACUGCUAUGGAGAGAUUUUCUUACUUCAUUAUAGCCUCUUGUUUGAUAGAGUUUCUCGCGUCUCGCUCUCUCACCCUCUCCAUAUCAAAACAUCCACUCUAUCUCUCUCGUCACCGGUGGUCACAGAUCCGUCCGAAUCCCAUCCGCUGCGGGAGGUGAGGAGGUGCAGCAUUGAUGUUAUCACCGUCAGCGACGGAGGAAGCCGAUGCGCACCAUCCUCUCGGAGUCGGCGCUGGCGCGGACGAAGAUCCUCCGCGCCCUUGUUCGCUGUCGUCGUGUGGGCAGAUCCUACCCGCCCUCCUGAACGACAUCUCGCCCACCUGAGGUAUAACUUCUUGUACUGGUCCAGCUCCCCAGGUCACUGCGUGCGGGUUUUCUUCUAUGCGACUACUCCCCAGCUCCCCGUGCAUAGUAGCGAGGGUUCGUCGGCUGGUCCAACAUCACCUACUAGUACUAUUAUAGAGGAAAUGCCACUCAAAAAGUUGUCCUGAUUUAUGCCUCGGUGGAGGUAUACUUGUUUUUUCGACAAAAAGUACAUGGUGGUUGUGCGGUCAUUGUCCAUAUGGUGGUAGUACUAUCACUGGUUAAAUGAAGAAAUGCUUUUUUUCUCGGGUAUCCUGGUUUAGUUCCCAUCAAGAUAUAAUUAUGAUGCUUCUGUUUGUUGGUGUACUUUUCAUUCUUUCUUAUUGACAAUUGAGAUGUUGUUGCUAACCCUUUUUUUAUAUUUUUGGAAACAUCGAUGCGUGUCUCCAUACCCGGGCAUGUAUUCCUCAAUUUUAGUGGAACUGCACAAAAUUGGAUGGCCAUUGUUUUGCGCCUCACUGUCCUCUGCCACGUGGUUCUUCCUUCCUUGAGCUUGAUUACUGAGAAGAAACAGACCACAGUGAGGAUUUGUCGAACUUCAUAGGUGCCUCACCCAAACUUGAUGCCAAAUGGAUGAUGCAUCACCACAAUGACCUAUCGAUGCUCAUGGUUGCGCCUCAUGGUUGCAUCGGCUGGUGAAGCUGAUCGAUUUUCAAUGAAAACAAGCUGUCUUCCAUCAGUGCUCUUUGCUUGUUACACACAAAGAUGAUAUCCUUCGUCAGUUCACCUUGGUUGCGUUGGAGACGCAGUCGUCUUUCACGUUGGUGCAAUUUUAUCACACAAUUGGCUAUGAAAUCAAAUGUUUCCUCGAAGAUGGAUCGACGUUGGUACUAAGAGCAUAAGUUUUGUAUUGAUUUCUAAGCCUUCUCACAACUUUGUCUCCAGCUCCCCUCUAAUUUUAUUUGUCCAGCUAUUAACUUUGAUUUAAAAAAUGGUGUGGACUAAAAACCCGGAUGGACGUAGUAGCCCUCCAUUUUUAUUUACUCCGCAUAUUAGAUUUGUCUGAAGUCAAACUUUGUAAUACUCUCAAACCUUUCUGAUAAUUGAAAUUAAAAUUCUUUAUUUGUACACACUCUCACACGUUUCUGAUAAUUUGGCGCAUGAGUGGUUGUUCACAUGGAGGGUAGUGUACCACAUGUGAAGGACAGGAAGUGCGACCAGGACGCGUGGGCAUGGAUCGUUAGUUCAUCAGAAGUAGUACUAGUUUUCUUCACUGUACAUUAAAUAAAGAGUUUCGUUUCGUAACUUACACAAUUUAAAGCGAUUGUUAUGGAGAGAAUAAGAAAACCACUACACUAUAUAUUAGUCGUAUACACGAGAGUACUAUAUGGACGCAGCUUCAUUGACUUAGUGCACCUGCCUUUGGGUUUAUGACAGGUGGGCCCACAAUGUGGCCGGCUCACCUGUCAUACAGCCAAAAGCAGAUGCAGUAAAGGCACCGGAGCUUAGUCCAUACUACAUUAGUAUAUAUAUAAGCGGUAGCCUCAGCGCCUAUUCGCUAGGGUUUGCACUCUCCACACGCUCUCCACACUACAUAUACGAUACACGCUGGAGGCUCAGUGUUCAUUUGCUAGGGUUUGCUAUAUUCACAGUCUCUCACCCUCUCUUCACCAGAUCUAAACAAGACUGCGUUGGCCUCUUGUCUCUCUCUCCCCCCUCACAGCUGGUGAAGGAGGCGUCCGUAUCCCGUCGCACCGGGAAGGGGAGGAGGUGCAGCGUUCACUCUAUCGCCUUCGGUGAGGGAAGAAAUCCACUGCCGGCUGCGUUGUUCGCUUUCACCCAGCGCCUGUGCGGGAGGGCCACUGACCCCUUCUUCCUCGCUGCCGUACGUAGUGUGGGCAGAUCCGGCCUCCCGCCGCACGCCUUGCCACAUCCCGACGACCCUAAGGUAUAAGUUUCUUUGAAACCGUCGUUGCUCUAGCUGCAUGUGGAUCUUUUUCGAUCUGUAGUCGAAUCUAGGUAUUGGUUCAAAGAGGAAAGAAGGGUGCGGUGGGGUGGAGCAUGAAUCUAGGACGUGGUUCAAUGAGGAAAGGAGGGAGGAAAAGUAGUAUAGACUUGCUAUCCAGCCGCUUUGUUGGUCGAAAAGGGAAAAAGGGGUAACCCAGGACACACAUCUGUAAGGAACCGAUNNNNNNNNNNNNNNNNNNNNNNNNNNNNNNNNNNNNNNNNNNNNNNNNNNNNNNNNNNNNNNNNNNNNNNNNNNNNNNNNNNNNNNNNNNNNNNNNNNNNNNNNNNNNNNNNNNNNNNNNNNNNNNNNNNNNNNNNNNNNNNNNNNNNNNNNNNNNNNNNNNNNNNNNNNNNNNNNNNNNNNNNNNNNNNNNNNNNNNNNNNNNNNNNNNNNNNNNNNNNNNNNNNNNNNNNNNNNNNNNNNNNNNNNNNNNNNNNNNNNNNNNNNNNNNNNNNNNNNNNNNNNNNNNNNNNNGGGGGGGUCGGGUAGUUUGUGCAGGACUAGAUUUGCUGCCCUCACAUAGGAAAAAAGUUCAAAGAGAACAAAUAUGGGACCAACACAGAUAUGCUGCUUGGCUACAUACUCUGCAUCACCCAUUUAUACGUGUGGACGCACAUGGUGCUAGCAUGUCCCAUACAACUAUUUUGCUGUUGUUAAUCUAAGAAUGCCGCCGGAAAAUUGAAGCAAUGCCACUAUUAAAAGUAAAUUACAUUUUUUAAGAAUGUUGUUUCAAGAGAAUGUCGCUGUUAAUAUGAAUCAAUGCAACCGUUUUAGAAAUGCUACUAUCUUACUUUGUUUUCCAUCCAAGAUAAGUUAGAUGCUUCUAUCUGUCACCGUUUGUUUCAUCCUCCUUUAUCGGAAGUAAUUGUUUCCUUUUUUGCCUCUGUUAAAACAGGUGUAUCGAUUCAACUUGUUGCUAUUGCAACAUUUUGCUUCGCUACUCGAAACACUUAUGUUUUAAGAGUGUUUUGUGAAGUUCAACUUGAAUGUCGACUUUGCUUAAUUUUGGUGGAACUGCACAAAAGGAGAUCGAGAUUUGUUUCCAGUGUUCGUGGCGAGUUGUUUCAAAUCUUGGUCUCAACCACAUGAUGUGCAGUGUGCUUUGAGGUGUUGUGCUACUUGUUUUGGCACUGUUCUAAAUAAAUGUUGAAUUGAAACUAUUGUAUUGCUGUCUUUUCCCAUUAAGUAGUGAACAAAACUAGGACCAACCCAGACAUGAUGCUUGUUGCUUUGUUACAACAAAUUCAGCAUCACCCCCUUUAUAAGCCAGUAAUUGAUGCCAGUCUUAGAAUUAACUACUGAAUCUUAUUUCAAAACUGCAACACUUGUUAGGGAUUGGCGAGAUUACCAUUUUUGUGGCCGCAUGUUUCAUCCUCCUUUAUUAGCCAGUAAUUGAUUCCUUUUUUUGCCUCUGUUUAAACAGGGAUAUCUAUUCAACUUGUUGCUAUUGCGACAUUUUCCUUCUCUACAUGAAACACUUUGCCCAGUGCAACUGCCCAAAACGAUAUUGGAUUUCCUAUUCGUGUUGACAGAUUCAUAUUUUAUCCUGGUGUUCUCAUGAAAGGUCAGUACAAGCCUUCAUCCACAUGAUUGUACAGUGUGCUUUGAGAUGUUGUGCUACUUGUAUUGGUACCGUUUUAAAUAAAUGUUGAAUUGAAGCUAUUGUAUUGCUGUCUUUUCCCAUUAAGUAGUGAACAAAAAUGGGACCAACCCAGUCAUGAUGCUUGUUGCUUUGUUACAAAAAACUCUGCAUCACCCCCUUUAUAAGUAGAUGGAAGCACAUGUUGUUGUUGCACCCACUCUCCCCUGGAACUUUUUAUGCUUUUCAUUAAUCUAAUGCCGCUGGUAAAAUUAAGCAAUGCCACUCUCAGAAUUAAUUAACUACUGAAUCUUAGUUCAAAACUGCAACACUUGUUAGGAAUGGUACUAUCCUGCUUUCUAGUUCUUUCUACAUGUUUAACCAAGGUAUAUUAAGAUAAUGUCUCUGUUAAAAUGAAUCAGUUGCAUUGUUUUAGGAAUGGUACUUUUCUGCUUUGUCGUUCUUUAUACAUGUUGAAACAAGGCAUUGUUAAGAUAAUGUCUCAGUCAAUAUGAAUGAAUCACACUGAUGGAGAAUUGCUACUCUCCUGCUUUGUUUCCCAUUAAGACAAGUCAUCAACCGUUAUUUCUCAGUAAUUGUUUCCCUUAUACCUAUUGUUGCUUACAGGGAUAUCAAAAUUAAAGCUUGGUUUUAUUCCGACUUCGAUUUUAGUUGAACUGCACAAAAGGAGCCAAUGUGUCCAAGGCAAACUGUUGCGUUACUGGGUCCAGUUGGUCGUUCCACUUUGCAGGAAGAAGCAGUCACUGGUUGCGCUACGUUACAGAAGGAAUGACCGAGAAGCUUUACAGAGUAUUACUAGACACCGGUGACAUGACUAGUCUGCAAAGACCAUUGGCAAUUUAACAACACGUGGAGUGCCCUGGGCAAAAAGUGCCCAAACAAGUACAAGAAGCUACGACAUGACUCCACGAUCAUAGGCAUUACAUAUUUUGAAUGGGAAAAGCUUGUCAAAGUUUAAUCAUUGAUGUUAGCAAGAAGACGUUAGUUUAAUAUAUUGGAAUUGGAAAACCUUGUCAAAAUUUGCUGAUUGAUGUUAGCCAGAAGACAUGCAUUUGAUAUUUUUGAGUGGGACGCCCUUGCUGUGAGCAGCGUCGAGUGUUUUUUCCUAUUCCUGUGUUCAGUUUAGAAGUAAAUAGUUACUCUUGUGAGAUAUUCCUGUGUUAAGAGUUUGUUCUGAAUAUUGUCUAUGUAAUGCCAGGCCUUGUGUUUGAUUGCAAAGUUGAGCUUGGAAUGUUGUGGCAUGCGGCAUCACGAGCUAUUCACUAUGCCUCCUGAGAAUAAUGCUUCGUAUUGUUUUGCAUGUCUAUCUAAUGCCAGUGAUUUCCUUGUUAAGAAGAUCAUCCUCUUCUGUUGUUUCCGUGUGUAAGAAGUUCAUCGUCUGAUGUUUUAUUCAUAGCCUAUACGACAUGUCGGGUAGGUUAGACGUGAAACCAUAUGAUCUGCCGACCAACUCAUGAUAUUAGGCCGUGAUUGGAUCGUCAUUUUCCAACCAAAACCGCUUGUAAAACUGACCCUUGUAAAUUAAAGCAGAUGGUCUCGGGCGAAGGUGCUUGGUUGGUUGAUUUCGACUAGUAAAAUAUCAGAAGUACUUCACACACGAUAAAACGCUGAACGACACUUGGACAAUUGCUAACCCAGCCGUUAGCUGCUGUUUCAGCCUUGCCCGUGGAUGGCAUGAUACGCACGUCGUGCAUGUAUCGUCUGGUAAUGUCGUCCAUAUAGCAGUGCUCAUAAAAUAUACACUGGUCUCUCAAAUUACACGUGUAACCCACCGGUUUUACUUAAAGACCUCAGGCCCUUGAUUUAAUUAUGCCUGUAUUUUACGCGUUGUUUCCGAUGGCGAGUAAAUUACACUUGUAUGUUAAUACAUGUUUUAAAUAAACCAGAGCUCCUAAGCGCGGCCUUACCGUUUCAUGCCAUCUCAGUUUCUCGAAGGUGCUCAUAGGUGUCCAAUGAUCCUGGCUUCCUGAAUGAGCAGCAUGCGCUGUAUCAGACCUCCGUAGGGCCCGUGAGGCCCUCUCGGUUGUCCUUCGAGUUGUUGCGCUCGCCGUGGCGCCGAGCAUUGUUAACAUCGUCAACGAACAUGAGGAUUUAGGAGAUGACUUUAUUUUGACUAGAUGACACUAGGGACCCACUAGGGCCAUAGCCGUACGUAUGCAAGUGCCUCCUUAUUAUGUACAACUAUAUUUGUUUUUGCUUUCUCCUUGUUUCCUGACAUCACGGUCCCACACCAUUGUUAACCUAUGUAGUCAAUAUAAACGAGAGAAUUGCACAAGGUGCGGCCGACAGCUGGGACCAAGCAGCUCGGGCAGUAUUUGUGUUUUUGAGGCGUGCACAUUGCAGAGUUUUUCUUGGCGAUGAUUUCAUUGUUGUUCAGAGGAGAGCAGGGUAUUAACUGGGCGAGCUAUGGCCUAUCUAGCCCAGGCCAGAUAUCUAGCCUAGAUAGUAAUUUUUUCAAGAUGAAAAUGGCUAGCCCAGCUAUACGUCUUUUUGAGGAAUACCCAGGCAAGGUGAACUUGUUAUUCUCCGCCCUGCUGGGCUGCAAAUCUUUCCUAGGAGGGAUGCAUUAGGCUUAACAGGAAAAUGGGCUUUAAAAAUAGUAAAUGGGAUGUAAUUAUAAAAAUUGGGCAGUAACUAUUAAAAAAUGCACCAAACACGAAAUUAGUUUAUAAAAUAUUAUUUAUGGAUUUUGAAAAUCUUAAUUUUUCAUUGUUGCACGCGCAAUGUUUCGUUGGAUUUUUACGUAAUACAAAUUUAUAUUUAAUCUGACUAGAAAUUUCGGGAUAAAAAUAUUUCGGAUCCCAUCAAAAUGUGGGAAAUUUUAUUGAAUUCUGUCUUCAACGGUUGGUUGAAAUUAUUAAUUGUUGUCCUAGAUAGAAAAUGGGUUGUACUUUUAACAAACUGUAAAUGGGCUAUUUUAAAUUCCAUUAGAAUUCAAAAAUGGGCUGUACAUUCUUACAAAAUGCAAAUGGGCUAUAAGUUCUCUGCCACACACUUGUGGGCCUACUAAGUGACCCGACCCCUAAAAAAAUAAGUUGACGUGUAUGCAAGGCUUUGUCAACUUAUUAUAGUCAACACAUGGUUCUAGCAGCAGUGGCCGUUGGAUGUCUAUCUAACGGAUGUCGUGCUUCUUCUUCAAUCUCGAAUAUUCUUAGCUUUGGCCGCCCAAAAAAUGAUUCCUCCCCCUGACAUCUGGGGCGCACCGUAUCGGAGGCUGACCUAUGGGCCUACUAAGUUGGAGCGUACCAAGGGCUUUGUCAACUUAGUCAAUAUAAACGAUUCUAGAUUUAGUGACCGUACGAUGUCCAUACAACGGCCGUAGUGCUUCUUCAACCUCUGGUCUUCUUGGUCCAGCCGCCCAAAGCAGCGCCGGUCGUGCCGCCUGCUCCUGCCUCCCAUGGCCGGCUGAGCUGCCGCGGAGGCCUCACCACCCCCAUACUACUCCCAUCGCUGGCCAGGCCAUCCCUCCACUCACCCACACCCCCUGUUAUUCUGCGGCGAUGGCAGCCUCACACCGCAGCCGAACCAGUGAACCCUCGUACUCCUCUCCGCGCGGGCUUCCACUGCUGCGUCUUCCCCGGCUCCGUGUCGUCCCCUUCCUAGACCUCACCAUCAUCCACCGCCCUAGUGCUCUCGGCGCGGCGUGGUCAACAUGGUCAACGACUAACUUCCAUUGGAAGAGUACUGUACGUGGAGAAGCUAACAGCUGGGUCCACGGCGGCCGCAAGGAAGUGCCUCCUUAUUACGUGCAAAAUAAUUAUUCCUCCACCCGACAGCAGGGACCCACUGGACGGGCCACCUUAUUUCGCGAAAAAAACGUUUCCGCCCUGACUGCUAGGACCCACAGGACGGGCCACCUUAUUUCGCGAAAAAAAUGUUCCCCCGCUGUCAGCUCGAACCCACCGGAAGUGCCUCUUUAUUACGCACAAAAAAAUGAAUAACCCCCUGCUAGAUGGGACCCACCUUGAUGGGAGGCUGACUUGUGGGCCUACUAAGUUGACGGGGAUGGAGGGCUUUGUCAACUUAGUCAAUAUGAACGAUUCUAGCUCCAGUGACCGUACAAUGUCCAUCCAACGGCCGUAGUGAUUCUUCAACCUCUUGUCUUCUUGCUCCAGCCGCCCAAAGCAGCCGGUCGUGCUGCCUGCUCUUGCCUCCUGUGGCCGGCUGUGCUGCCGUGGAGGUCUCACCGCCCCCUACUAUUCCCACCACUGGCCAGGCCCUGCGGCGACGACAGCCUCACACCACAGCCGAACAAGUGAACCAUCAUACUCCUCUCCGCAUGGGCAUCCACUGCCGCGUCUUCACCGGCUCCACGUCGUCCCCUUCCUAGGCCUCGCCAUCGUCGACCGCCCUGGUGCUCUCGGCGCAGCGUGGUCAACAUGGUCAAAGAACGACUUCCAUCGGACGUGGACUGUACGUGGAGAGGCUGACAGCUGGGUCCAUGGCCGCAGCAAGGAAAUGCUUCCUUAUUACGCGGAAAAUAAUUAUUCCUCCACCUGACAGAAGGGACCCACCGGAUGGGCCACCGUAUUUCGCGAAAAAACGUUUCCCUCCUGACUGCUGGGACCCACCAGCUACACCUUCGCACGCAAGGAAGUGCGUCCGGGCAAAAAAAUUGAUUCGCCCCCCUGACUGCUGGGACUCACCAGCUACAUCUUCGCACGCAAGGAAGUGCGUUCGGGCAAAAACAAAACCAAAACAAUUCGCCCCCCUGACUGCUGGGACCCACCAGCUACAUCUUCGUAGGCAAGGAAGUGCGUGACAGUCGGGACACACCUGGUCGAAGCGUACGUAGCGUUGUCAUUCUGGUCGCGAACGUGUACGUACAUACUGGUCGAUGUAGAGGCGCGCACGUGUCGUAGUAGAGGCAUGCAACGUGUCGUAGUAGAGGCGUGCACAUAGCAUGUAUACGUACAUACAGCGGCCAGGGUGCAAGAAAGAAAAUAUGGCCACAUACGUACAUACGGGCAGGCUCUCGAAUGCCUACUGGCGCAUACGUACAUGGCUGGGACGGAAUGGAGAAACAGCGUCAUCGUCAUUUUCAUGGGGAGGCAACAGAAUGCGUCGUGUUCAUGGGAAGGCAACAGAAUGCGUCGUGUUCAUGGGGAGGCAACGGAAUGCGUCGUGUUCAUCGGGAGGCAACGGAACACGUGGGAGCCAACCGGCUGGGUCCAAACGGAAUACGUCAUCAUGUUCAUCGGGAGGGCUAGCACGGAACAGGCGAUGGAAAUGAGGCCUGGCGUACCGCAGAACGGAGGAAACACACCUCCUACGGUCGAAACGGGGGUCAUGUUGAUCGGGAGGGGUGUGGCGUACCGCAAAACGGAUGAAACAGACCUCCUACGGUCAAAACGGGGGUCCUGUUGAUCGAGAGGGGUGUCGCGUACCGCAAAACAGACGAAACAGACCUCCUACGGUCGAAACAGGGUGUGGCGUACCGCAAAACGGACGAAACGGACUUGUGUUGGAGCGCUACGGUCGAAACGGGGGUCCUGUUCAUUGGGAGGGGUGUGGCAUACCGCAAAACGGGACUCCACGGGAUACUGUUCAUCUCCACCGUUGACCUCCUCCAGCCUCCACGAGCUCCUGUUCAUGCAGCCUCCACCGUGCGCUACUCCACCAGCUACUGUUCAACCACCCCUCCACCGUCUACUGUUCAUCCAACCCUCUACACCACAGGGUCCUGUUCAACCACCCAUCCACGGGCACCCCUCCGUCGUCUACUGUUCAUCCAGCCCUCCACCACACCACGGGGUCCUGUUCAUCCAGAGGCAACGCCACCACUCACUGUUCAUCCAGACCCCCCCGUAACGCUCACUGUUCAUCCCAGAGGCAGCAUCGAUCGGCUUUAGUUAGCAGCAGUAGCGAAGGAAUCACUCGAUCGAGUUCAGUUAACAGCCAUCGAUCGAUCGCUCGGGUUCAGUAACGUGUAACCUACAGUGCAAUCUCUCGGGUUCAGUUAGAGCCAACGCCUAGCACACAUGCGCGUACCUAUAUGAGAGAAACGUGCAUCGCUCGGCCCCCGACCUCCCACCGUAACCGGCAACUCCCCAAAAUUUUCCUCCCCCUCGCUUCUACCACGGUUUUUUUACGUCAUGGACGGCCCAAAGAAUGUCAUGCAACUGCGUCUCUGGCCCGCCCAGGACAAAAACCCAUUUUCUGUCAUGAUUCUUUGUCAUAGAAGUAGGAUCCCACCACAUCUAUGAUGAUACCGGGUUUUGUCACAAUUAUCGUCAUAGAAGUGUCAUAUGUAUGAUAUAAUUUUUUUUCGUUCGGCCCAAAAUGUCACGGAUGUGUCUUUUUUUGUAGUGUAUGCAAGCAGCAGAACAACACGAUGCAACGGAAGAACUCUAGCAGCGGAACAACGAUGACGGUGGUGAACUCCACUCCGCAGGGACUCUGACUGGAACGCUUAUCCUAGCUCGCACGAAUGGAAACCACGACAAGCAAGCAAUCAAAUCCGGCAUGACCCGCAAACUAGCAUGACACACCAGGUCAGUACAUUGAAUGUACUUGCAAGCUCACAAUGACCAGAAGCAUUCAAAUCAAACAACAACAUGGCAAUUAUAGGUUAAGCAGAAAUUAACAUGAUAUCAUCAUAACAACAUGGCAUCAACAUGAACAUGAUACAGCUAGAACAACAUGAACCUCGCAUGAACAUAUGAAUCUGAUGAUACUAGCAUGCAACAUGAUGACACUAUAUGCACCACUUAUUCUGCUCGGGCUACCUCGUAAACGACACAUGCAUCACUUACCAACCUCGGACAUCACACGAUCAUCUCAGGAUCAAAUCAAGCUUGGUAUAAACAAUACCGUAGUAAUCAAUAAAUGACCACAAGGAGCUUGAUCUUUACCCACGAUUCUCGCACAACAUCACGAAUAUACAAGGACUUGGUAUCCUCGAUACCACCGUGAUCCUUAUGGCAAUCACAACCCAACCAAUAAAUGGCCCGUGAUCCUUAUGACGAUCACCACCUGACCAAUAAAUGGCCCAUGAUCCUUACAACGAUCACAACCCGACUAAUAAAUGGCCAGUGAUCCUUACGGCGAUCACAACCACGAGUUGUCAUUAACCAAGUUAUUCUUAUUACUGUUGACUCAUGGUGUGAACUACUUUUGAUCUGGGUCCUUAUCUGCGGGCGCGGCUAUCGAUAGAUUUAAUAUACACUCUGUAGAGGUUAGUACACUAUACCCACACUACGGAACCCAUGUCCUCGCACUCCCAUUCGGGUGGACCAACGGCGUUCCGACAAAACCGUCUUACUGCCAUGACACUCUCCCGUCCACUCCGACUCACUCCCCACUGGGCUAAGUCAUGGGUGGCCCCGUGUCUACCUCAAGACACAACAACCACCGUCGUGGCCCGCCCCACACGGGGACACGGAUCCAAAAACUCAACAACGGGCACACAAGGUUAUGCCUGCUUACCGGGCCAGGGUAGAACACGCCCAUAACCUUCCCUCAUUGGAGGCACUGGCGAGAGGCACGACAAUAGACCUAGUUAGGACCGUCCCAUACCGGUAAGCGUGGUUGCACUGGUCAGCAUCGAUUCAGCGGCACCAUGACUCAGCCAACAGUUGUUCAAGUUCAAUUUAAUCCGAUUAACUUGAAUGCAAAUAUGCCGAGCCAUGAUAAAAUGCAUGAACAUGAUGUCAACAUAGUCAUGAGGGUAUCACAUAACUAUCCAUCAUAUCAACAAUGAAUCAUAUCCACUGAGCAUGGCAUACUGAUGACCAUCACCAAUAUCAACAUGUACUACUAGCAAGCAUAAACAUAUGAAAGGAAAUACUAGCAGGUAUAACCUGAUAAUAGAGUACAAGACAACAUAGCACAAAAGUGAACAUGCAAAUCUAAACAUCACCGGAACAACGAUAACCAUCUUUUCAACAAGCAAACAUUUAAUAAAGAUUCAAGUUGAAAACCAUGGCUACUGCAUGACUAUCAUGCAAGUGGGUAUUGUGGCUUGCCUGGGGUGGAAGAAAUCACCGGGAGAAAGUGCGGUGAAGCCGCAGAAAGAUUUGCCGGAAACAAUUCUCUCUCGGAGGGGCUCAUUUGGAGCUACGGUCAAAAAGUUAUGGAGUGUUUUCUGCCAGGGACCCAUCUGCAAGAAAAAUACUUUCAAACAAGGGCCUAGAUAGAAAACUGAAAGCGCAUUUGACAAAAUACGUUUUUGGUGGAUGAAAACGUAGACGCCCAAAUGCGUCUCCACUUAUCCACGUCAGCAUGGACCGGUCAACGCCGGGCCGGCGGCUGGGAGGCUAACGCGCGGGUCCCACCUUAUCCACUUCUCUCUCUCCUCCCUUAUCUUCUUCCUAUCUCCCCCCGAUGGCGAGCUGCGGCAGAGACAUGGCCGAGCGCUCCGGCGACGAGUCCGGCCGACUCCGGCCACCUCUGGCAGCGCCCCAACCGCCGAAACAAUCAGGAGACGGAGGCGCGCCCAUCCCCGCACUAAACGAGCCUCGAAGAGGGCGGGAGCGAGAGCACCAUGGACCAUGGCGGACGGCGGCUCGGUCGAUCUUGGGGACGAUGGCCCCAGCUACUCCGGCGACUAGUUGAGGGGAGGGGGAGGCUUGGUGGGUUGAGGGGAGGUCUCUGGGGGUGGAAUGGAGGAGGGAGGGAGCUCAGCUUGCCGGAAUCGAGCUUGACAGAGACGGCGGCCAUGGUGGCGAUGGGGGGCACAGAGAGCUCCUGGAGCUCAGGCGAGUGGGUUGGGAGGGAGCUGGAAGUGAGGUGAGGCGAAUGGGGUGCUCAGACGGCCUCGAGGGUGGCCAUUUUAGGUGGGUGAGGAGCUACCGUGCUGUCACCGCCGCGGACGCGUGCUCACGCACAUGAACUCGGGGGCAAACGACGGGGAGGGCACCAAGGAGAGCUCACGGGGAGGAGGAGGCCAAAGGAGCACGGGGAAGAUGGCGACAACGACGAACAGAUCCAAACCGCCACUAUACGUCCGUGGGCGCGCGGCGGUUUGCGUCAAUGAGGAAGCUGCUGGAGGGGGAGAGGGGUCCAUCGGAAUGGUGACGAUGAGAUGUAGCCACUUGACAUGCUCACGGGCUCUAAGACGAUGAGGGGGAGUGGUGCCAAAGAACAAAAAGUGCUCUAGACACGCCACAACACACAGAGCGCGCGCACAGGCAUGCGAACUGCGUAGUCACCACGUGAACCGGGGCAUUAAAUGCUCUAUAUCACCCGAAACAUUGUCUAGCUGAUAGUCCUUCCAAGAUAGAGCAUUAAUAAUGGGUCAUUGGCUUGAUCUAAGUCACUGUGGUUGUGUUGGAAUGGAGCUCUGAAGUUUACUGCAGUAAACUUAGCCAUGCACUGGUGAUCAACAGGGGAUUGCUUGAAGCCAAAUAAGUUGUCUAGGGUGUUUAGCUAUGGAGGGACUAUGAUCCUGGAGGUUUCGAGGGGAAAUGGACCAAGAUUUUACUGCAGUUGCUUCACAACUGACAAAAAUGGUCCAGAAACUAGAUCAUGAUGGUGCACUCACAUGGAGUUAUGGAAUGGGAUGCAACAUGGCAAAUCCUCAUGAUAUGGACAUAUAAAGAUGCUGUAAAAAGCUCAUGCCAAAUGGGCAAGCCAAAAUGGCACUUGCUUCACAAACAUCAUUUCUGUCCAGAAACUUAGAAUAAUUUUGGUGGUCAAAUGGAUCAAUGAAAUGAUGCCAAAAUGGGUUGAGAUAUGUUUUAUGGGUAUAAGAAUUAUCUGGUAAUUUAUCAGGAUUUUUGAAGCAACACAAAAUGCACUUGCUUCACAACCUGAAAAUAUUGCCAGAAUCAAAGAUUUGCUCCUAUGCUCACAUAGUUGAUUGGAUGGGGCCGCAAAUGGGUGGAAGGGGUUAAUAUGAGCACAUUAAAAAGUGUGUGCAAAAUUUCAACUCAUUUGGGUACUCCUAGCUGGUACUUCCUUCACAAAGCUUUCCGUUUGACAUAAACUUUGAAAAAUCAUUGAGGAAGAUUGGCUAGGCAAAUAAAGUUGAACUUGUGCAAGAGGCAAUUAUUUGGACGUAUAAACAUGCCCAAAAAGGUUGGGAGCCACUAGGAAAAAUAUAAAUGACACUUCCUUCACAAAGUGCCAUUUAGGGCAAAAUAGAAAAAGGAAUAUUAGGGAAUUAUUUUUGAACAUGGCAAUGAAAAGUUUUGCCAUGUUUGAUCAAGAUAUGACCCAAGCAAUUUAUGAGAAUUAUUUGGGAAUUUUUGGAGUGAUGGAAAUAUAGAUUGCUUCACAACCUAGGGCAAUUUGAGUUAUUCCUUUAAUAGAAAAGGAAUAUUCUUAAUAAAAGGAAUAUUGGGAUUUGGUCCAAGGUGGAAAUGGAAAGGUCUAGGGAAGGGUUUGGAUAUGACAAGCCACUCUGGAAGCAAAGAAGAGGUCAUCUUCUUCAGUUUCCAGACCACAAAGCCAUGGAAAAAGAAAACUCACGCAAAAACAUUGGAAAAACAAAAGAAAAAGAAUGGGCCAAAAAUCAGGCUGUCACAGAACAAUAUUUGCUAGACCAUGAAAAUGAUCUGAAUCUGCACAAAAGAAAUGAAAUAGAUAAAAUCUUCUUCGAAUAACGACCUCUGCUUAAACACAAUUUGCCUAUUGAAACUCUAGGAGGCCCUCUUCCACCUAAAGGUGAUCCUGUGUUUGAAUUAAAACAAUUACCAGACACUUUGAAAUGUGCUUAUCUUGAUGAGAAAAGAUAUAUCCUGAUAUUAUUAAUGCUAAUCUUUCAGAACAUGAAGAAGAAAGAUUAUUAAAGGUUCUAAAGAAGCUCCAAGCUGCCAUUGGAUAUAUUCUUGAUGAUUUAAAGGGCAUUAGUCCCACUCUCUGUCAGUGAUACGUCUCCAACAUAUCUAUAAUUUUUGAUGUAUUCAUGCCAUGUUUAUAAUAUUUCUACAUGAUUUUGGUAUGAUUUGGUUAGAACUAACCCAGACUGACGUUGUUUUCAGCAGAACUACCGUGAUGUUGUUUUUUGUGCAGAAAUAGAAGUUCUUGAAAUGCGCUGAAUCAACGGAGAUUUUUUUUGGAAAAUAUAAAAAAUACUGGAAUGAAAAGUUACCGGAGGGGAGUCUCGUGGGCCCCACGAGGGUGGAGGGUGCCCCCACCCCCUUGGGGCGCGCCCCUGCCUCGUGGACUCUCCGUGGGCUCCUCUAAUGUGAGACCGACGCCAAACCCUCCUAUAAAUCCCCAAACUUCCAGAAAGAAACCUAGAUCGGGAGUUCCACCGCCACAAGCCUCUAUAGCCACCAAAAACCAAUCAGGACCCUAUUUCGGCACCCUACUGGAGGGGGGGGGGAUUAUCACCGAUGGCCAUCUUCAUCAUCCCGGCGCUCUCCAUGACAAAGAGGGAGUAGUUCACCCUCGGGGUUGUGUACCAGUAGCUAUGUGUUUGAUCUCUCUCUCCCUCUCUCUCUCUCUCUCGUGUUCUUGAUUUGGCACAAUCUUGAUGUACCGUGAGCUUUGCUAUUAUAGUUGGAUCUUAUGAUGUUUCUCCCCCUCUACCUUCUUGUAAUGGAUUGAGUUUUCCCUUUGAAGUCAUCUUAUCAGAUUGAGUCUUUAAGGAUUUGAGAACACUUGAUGUAUGUCAUGCAUGGGAUACCCGUGGUGUCAAUGGGGUAUUCUAUUGAUCCACUUGAUAUAUGUUUUGGUGAUCAACUUGCGGGUUCCAUGACCUUGGCAAUCUAUGCAUAGGGGUUGGCACACGUUUUCGUCUUGACUCUCUGGUAGAAACUUUGGGGCACUCUUUGAAGUACUUUGUGUUAGUUUGAAUAGAUGAAUGUGAGAUUGUGUGAUGCAUAUCGUAUAAUCAAACCCGCGGAUACUUGUGGUGACAUUGGAGUAUCUAGGUGACAUUAGGGUUUUGGUUGAUGUGUGUCUUAAGGUGUUAUUUUACUAUGAACUCUAGGGCUGUUUGUGACACUUAUAGGAAUAGCCCAAUGGAUUUAUCGGAAAGAAUAACUUUAAGGUGGUUUCGUACCCUAUAAUAAUCUCUUCGUUUGUUCUCCGCUAUUAGUGACUUUGGAGUGACUCUUUGUUGCACGUUGAGGGAUUGUUAUAUGAUCCAAUCAUGUUAUUAUUGUUGAGAGAACUUGCACUAGUGAAAGUAUGAACCCUAGGCCUUGUUUCGAAGCAUUGCAAUACCGUUUUCGCUCACUUUUGUUACAUUCUAACUUGCUGUUUUUAUAUUUCCAGAUUAUAAAAACCUAUAUCUACCAUCCAUAUUGCACUUGUAUCACCAUCUCUUCUCCGAACUAGUGCACCUAUACAAUUUACCAUUGUAUUGGGUGUGUUGGGGACACAAGAGACUCUUUGUUAUUUGGUUGCAGGGUUGUUUGAGAGAGACCAUCUUCAUCCUAUGCCUCCCAUGGAUUGAUAAACCUUAGGUCAUCCACUUGAGGGAAAUUUGCUACUGUCCUACAAACCUUUGUACUUGGGGGCCCAACAACGUCUACAAGAAGAAGGUUGCGUAGUAGACAUAUGCCUUUCGGUUUAUGCAAUGCACCUGCUACCUUUCAGAGAUGUACGACUGCUAUAUUCUCUGAUAUUUGUGAAAAUAUUGUUGAGGUUUUCAUGGAUGAUUUUUCCAUUUACGGAACUUCUUUUGAUGAUUGCUUAAGCAAUCCUGAUCGAGUUUUGCAGAGAUGUGAGCAAACUAAUCUUGUCUUUAAUUGGGAGAAGUGCCACUUUAUGGUUAAUGAAGGUAUUGUCUUGGGACAUAUUCAGAAUGAGGUAUUGAGGUGGAUAAAGCUAAAGUUGAUGGAAUUGAGAAAAUGCCAUGUCGUAAAGAUAUCAAAGGUAUUCGUAGUUUCCUAGGUCAUGCUGGUUUCUAUAGGAGGUUUAUUAAAGACUUCUCUAAGAUUUCUAGGCCUCUUACAAAUGUUUUACAAAAGGAUAUUCCAUUUGUUUUUGAUGAUGAUUGUGUAGAAGCCUUUGAAACACUUAAGAAAACCUUAAUUUCUACACCUAUUGUUCAACCACAUGAUUGGAAUUUGCCUUUUCAAAUUAUGUGUGAUGCUAGUGAUUAUGCUGUUGGUGCUGCUCUACAUCAAAGAGUUGAUAAGAAACUAAAUGUUAUUCAUUAUGCUAGGAAAAUUCUAGACAGUGCCCAAAGCAAUUAUGCUACUAUUGGAAAGGAAUUCUUAGCAGUGGUGUUUGCUUGUGAUAAAUUUAGAUCUUACAUUGUUGAUUCUAAAGUUGCUAUUCACACUGAUCGUGCUGCUAUAAAAUAUCUUAUGGAAAAGAAAGAUGCUAAACCUAGACUCAUUAGGUGGGUUCUCUUGCUACAAGAAUUUGACUUACAUAUCACUGAUAGAAAGGGAGCUGAGAACCUCGUGGCUGAUAACUUGUCUAGGCUAGAAAAUAAUCUUGAUGACCCACAACCUAUUAAUGAUAGUUUUCCUAUGAACAAUUAGCUGCAAUAAAUGUUUCUCAUAACACUCCUGGGUAUACUAAUUAUGCUAAUUACAUUGUUGCUAAAUAUAUACCACCUAGUUCCACAUACCAACAAAAGAGAAAAUUCUUCUAUGACUUAAGACAUUACUUUUGGGAUGAUCCACAUCUUUAUAAACAAGGAGUAGAUGGUAUUAUUAGAUGUUGUGUACCUGAGCAUGAACAGGGAAAAAUCCUACGGAAAUUUCACUCUGAAGCUUAUGGAGGGCAUCAUGCGGGAGAUAGAACUGCUCACAAGGUAUUGUAAUCUGGUUUUUAUUGGCCUACUCUCUUCAAGGAUGCCCGUAAGUUUGUUUUAUCUUGUGAUGAAUGUCAAAGAAUUGGCAAUAUUGGUAAGCGUCAGGAAAUGCCUAUGAAUUAUUCUCUUGCUCUUGAACCAUUUGAUUUUUGGGGUUUUGAUUACAUUGGACCUUUUCCUUCCUCUAAUGGCUAUACACAUAUUUUGGUUGAUGUUGAUUAUGUUACUAAGUGGGUAGAAGCUAUUCCAACAAGUAGUGCUGAUCAUAAAACCUCUAUUAAAAUGCUUAAGGAAGUCAUUUUCCCAAGGUUUGGAGUCCCUAGAUAUUUAAUGACUGAUGGUGGUUCACAUUUUAUUCAUGGCGCUUUCCGUAAAAUGGUUGCUAAAUAUGAUGUUAACCACAGAAUUGAAUCACCCUAUCAUCCUCAGUCUAGUCAUCUUGAACUUAGCAAUGGAUAAAUAAAGUUAAUAUUACAAAAAACUGUCAAUAGGUCCCGAAAGAAUUGGUCUAAAAAAUUAGAUGAUGCACUUUGGGCUUAUAGAACAGCAUAUAAAAAUCCCAUGGGUAUGUCUCCUUAUAAAAGGGUUUAUGGAAAAGCUUUUCAUUUGGCUCUUGAGUUAGAGCAUCACUACAUGAAUCAACUACUUUGCCAUCAGCCACGGCGGACGGCAAAGGCACGGAUGGCGGACGGCACAAGUGGACGGCAACGUACGGGACGGCAAAGAGCUACAUUACCGUCCGCUUCGGGCGGCUGACGGCAAAGGGUCCUUUGCCAUCAGCUGCCGACGGCAAAGAAUACUGACAGCAAUAAUUGCGCUGUUACUCCGUUAGGUGGUUAACGGCAAGCCUUUGCCAUCGGCCGCUGACGGCAAACAUCGGAAGGCCUUUGUCAUCCACUGCUGUAGGCAAAGUUUUUUUUUCUCUUUGCCGUCAGCCACUGUUGGCAAACUGACCAAAUAGGUCAGCCUCCCAGGAAGAACAGUUGCCUGCCACGUGGCCUCUUUGCCGUCCACUACUAAUGGCCUUUUGGGUAGAAAGCGUCCAAAUACUGUCAUAAUUGCGUCAUAGCAUUCUCUGCCCAAGUUGAACUGAGCCUUCAAAGCCAUUACUUGUGAGAUGGCAUCCAACUGACAAAGCUCAGUGUGCUCGUGGAGCGGACGGUUUGAAGACUCCAACAUUUCAUUGAAGGCCUUUGCAGAUUCCUCCAUCUCCUCGUCCGAAUCCCGAGCAUCAUCAUAGUCUUGCACCAUGUUUUCCAUCUCGGUACCAUGCUCGUCGGUACGACGAUGAUCCACCUCAGCUCGGUCACGUUGGGAAGACUCACCAUGAAAUGUCCACACCAUAUAAUCAGGCGUAAAACCAUUCUUCUGCAGGUGUUUACCCAUUUCAGCCUCUGUCCUUUUUUCCCAAUUGCCGCAUCGGAAACAGGGGCUCCAAGUUUUCCUCUGGCCAUUUGCAGAUGCGGCUUGCACAAACCCCUUGGUUUUUGUGAACCAUUCAGCGCUCCAUUUGUUCUGACCAGUGUGACCGGUAUACAUCCACGCACGAUCACUCAUCUUGACUUUCAGAGCUACUGGACACACACCAAUUAUAUAUAUAAUUCACCAUGUAUAUAUUCAUCAGUUGAUCUACUUUAUCAAUUUUAUUACGUCCAUGCAACCUACACUCUAAUAGGUAAUGACAGGUCCUAAUCCCACCCGAGUAUGUGUAGAUUGGGUUCAUUUUCCCAAGCUAUGCUCCGGAUCCGACGCAAAAUUUUGGCAUCACCUCCCCACUGUUCUCCUGAUACACGUCUCUGCAAUAAACAGAGAGGAUGUGUACCCGAAGAACAACAGGGGAGGCUCUGACGAAAUUUAUGCGUCGGAUCCGGAGCAAAGCAUAUGGGAAAACGAACCCAAUCUACACAUACUCGGGCUGUCCAUGGAUAGCGUUGGACAAUUCGAAAGAAUCAAGGUUAUAAAUAUGCAAAUGCAUGCAUAUUUAUAACUAUGAUGCUUUCGAAUGGGAGACACAUAUUGGUUACGCAUACUGAUGAUUCAAGACACAUAUAUAGCUAGCUACCAAAUUUCAUGUCAUUUGUGCAAAUAAUUAAUGGGGGAGAAGGACAUGUCAUUUGUGCUCACCCACGAACGAAGGGGCAGAGCUCGUCAAAUGCACGGCGAGGUCGUCGAACACCAAACCUCGCAGCGAUGAAACAACUGCACAUCUAAAUCUACCCGAUCAACACAAUUAUAUAUGAUGUUUUUCAUAACAAAAUCGAAAAAUAUAUGACCUAACUAAAAAUUCACAAAUAUAUAACCCCGUCGGCCUCUGGAAGGCCAAAGAGCACCUUUUCGGGAGGUUUAGGGGGUCGGGGUGUCAUGUCGGUGUCGGGGUGCUGUUUCGGGGUCAGGGUGUCGUGUCGGGGNNNNNNNNNNNNNNNNNNNNNNNNNNNNNNNNNNNNNNNNNNNNNNNNNNNNNNNNNNNNNNNNNNNNNNNNNNNNNNNNNNNNNNNNNNNNNNNNNNNNNNNNNNNNNNNNNNNNNNNNNNNNNNNNNNNNNNNNNNNNNNNNNNNNNNNNNNNNNNNNNNNNNNNNNNNNNNNNNNNNNNNNNNNNNNNNNNNNNNNNNNNNNNNNNNNNNNNNNNNNNNNNNNNNNNNNNNNNNNNNNNNNNNNNNNNNNNNNNNNNNNNNNNNNNNNNNNNNNNNNNNNNNNNNNNNNNNNNNNNNNNNNNNNNNNNNNNNNNNNNNNNNNNNNNNNNNNNNNNNNNNNNNNNNNNNNNNNNNNNNNNNNNNNNNNNNNNNNNNNNNNNNNNNNNNNNNNNNNNNNNNNNNNNNNNNNNNNNNNNNNNNNNNNNNNNNNNNNNNNNNNNNNNNNNNNNNNNNNNNNNNNNNNNNNNNNNNNNNNNNNNNNNNNNNNNNNNNNNNNNNNNNNNNNNNNNNNNNNNNNNNNNNNNNNNNNNNNNNNNNNNNNNNNNNNNNNNNNNNNNNNNNNNNNNNNNNNNNNNNNNNNNNNNNNNNNNNNNNNNNNNNNNNNNNNNNNNNNNNNNNNNNNNNNNNNNNNNNNNNNNNNNNNNNNNNNNNNNNNNNNNNNNNNNNNNNNNNNNNNNNNNNNNNNNNNNNNNNNNNNNNNNNNNNNNNNNNNNNNNNNNNNNNNNNNNNNNNNNNNNNNNNNNNNNNNNNNNNNNNNNNNNNNNNNNNNNNNNNNNNNNNNNNNNNNNNNNNNNNNNNNNNNNNNNNNNNNNNNNNNNNNNNNNNNNNNNNGGCGGCGCCGGGCGGCGGGGGCGAGGGCGGCGGGGGCGGGGGCGGAGGAGGUCGAGGGAGAGAGAUGAGUAACGGGUAGGGGAGGGGGCUCGGUCGUUAGUUAGGUUAGUUAGGGUAGCCUUUGCCGUCCGCCCUCCUUUGCCGUCCGCUUUUGUUCAUAUUUGCCAUCUGCGGCGGACGGCAAAGCGGGGGGAUGUUAAGUAUUUUUUAACCAGCUCCUCAGUGGGCCCCCCUCCCUCUUUGCCGUCUGCUAGCGGACGGCAAGGAUUCUUUGCCGUCAGCUAGCAGGAGGCAAAGAACAGGCUGAUGGCAAAGGCUUUCUUUGCCAUCAGCCAGUUCUUUGCCGUCUGCUUUCGGGUAGCUGAUGGCAAAGAGCUUCUUUGCCGUCUGCUAGCUGACGGCAAAGAGCUGGCAGAUGGCAAAGUAGCUGAUUCCAGUAGUGCAUAAAGCAUAUUGGCAAUUAAAGAACUCAACUAUGAUUUCAAACUUGCCAGUGAAAAGAGGUUAUUUGAUAUUAUCUCACUAGAUGAAUGGAGAACCCAAGCCUAUGAAAAUGCCAAGUUAUUUAAAGAAAAAAAAAUAAAAGAUGACAUGAUAAGACAAUCCAAAAGCGCGAGUUUAAAGUUGGAGAAUAUGUUCUUUUGUACAACGCUCAUUUCAGAUUCUUUGCAGGCAAACUUCUCUCCAAAUGGGAAGGACCAUAUGUUAUCGAUGAGGUUUAUCGAUCUGGAGCCAUCAAAAUAAAUAAUGCCGAAGGUUGUUAACGGGCAAAGAAUAAAAAAUUAUAUCUGAGGCACACCCAUUAAUGUUGAAAGGAAUAUUAUCCAAACUAUGACACCGGAAGAACACAUAACGGAUACCUUCCUGAAUACUCCAGAAUCAUGAAAAAAAGAGGAGGUACGUGAUACGGUAAGUAAACGGACUCCGAAAAAUCCGCAAAUAUAUUUUUUGUCAGUUUUGGAAUAUAUUAAAAAUUAGGAAAAUAAGAAACAACCAGGAAGGUAGCCCUUGUGGGCACAAGACACCAGGGUGCGCCUAGUUUGCCAGGCGCGCCUAGCUUGCCAGGCGCGCCCAGGUGGGUUGUGCCAACCUCGGGUACCUUCUGAACUCCGUUCUUCUUCCGUUUGCUUGUUUCCCAAGAUAAAAAUCUUUAUAUACCCCCCGAACCUAUUGACCACCGUAUCACGGAGAAAUCUUCUAUUUUCAUUUCCGCUAUUUUCUGACAGAUCUAAUUCACCAUGGCCGCUUCGAGCUCCAUGAUACGUCUCCAACGUAUCUAUAAUUUUUGAUUGUUCCAUGCUAUUAUAUUGCCUGUUUUGGAUGUUUAUGGGCUUUACUUUAUAGUUUUAUAUCAUUUUUGGGACUAACCUACUAAAUGGAGGCCCAACCCGAAUUGCUGUUUUUUUGCCUAUUUUAGUGUUUCGAAGAAAAAGAAUAUCAAACAGAGUCCAAACGGAAUGAAACCUUCGGAAGCGAUCUUUUUGGAACAAAUGUGAUCCAGGGGACUUGGAGUGGACGUCAAGCAACAGAGGAGGUGGCCACGAGGGUACCCGGCGCGCCCCCUACAGGUGGGGGCGCCCCCGACCCUCGUGGUUCCCUCGAGCAUCCACCGACCUACUUCUUCCUCCUAUAUAUACCCACAUACCUUGAAACCAUCGAGGAGCACCACGAAAAACUAUUUCCACCGCCGCAACCUUCUGUAUCCGCGAGAUCCCAUAUUGGAGCCUUCGCCGGCACUCCGUCGGAGGGGGAAUCGACCACGGAGGGCCUCUACAUCAUCUCCAAGGCCUCUCCGAUGAGUUGUGAGUAGUUUACCACAGACCUUCGGGUCCAUAGUUAUUAGCUAGAUGGGUUCUUCUCUCUCUUUGAAUCUGAAUACAAAGUUCUCCCCGAUCUUCUUGGAGAUCUAUUCGAUGUAACUCUUUUUGCGGUGUGUUUGUCGAGAUCCGAUGAAUUGUGGGUUUAUGAUCAAGUUUAUCUAUGAGAAAUAUUUGAAUCUCCUCUGAAUUCUUUUAUGUGUGAUUAGUUAUCUUUGCAAGUCUCUUUGAAUUAUCAGUUUGGUUUGGCCUACUAGAUUGAUAUUUCUUAAAAUGGGAGAGCUUUGGGUUCAAUCUUGCGGUGUCCUUUCGCAGUGACAGCAGGGGCAGCAAGGCACGUAUUGUAUUUUUGCCAUCAAGGAUAAAAAGAUGGCGUUUAUAUCAUAUUGCAUGAGUUUAUCCCUCUACAUCAUGUCAUCUUUCUUAAUGCGUUACUCCGUUCUUUAUGAACUUAAUACUCUAGAUGCAUGCAGGAUAGCGGUUGAUGUGGGGAGUAAUAGUAGUAGAUGUAGGCAGGAGUCGGUCUACUUGUCACGGACGUGAUGCCUAUAUACAUGAUCAUGCCUAUAUAAUCUCAUAAUUAUUUGCUUUUCUAUCAAUUGCUCGACAGUAAUUUGUUCAGCCACCGUAAUACUUAUGCUAUCUUGAGAGAAGCCACUAGUGAAACCUAUGGCCCCCGGGUCUAUCUUUUAUCAUAUAAGUUUACCAUCUACUUUUAUUUGCAUCUUUACUUUUCCAAUCUAUAUCAUAAAAUACCAAAAAUAUAUUUAUCUUAUCAUAUUUUCUCUAUCAGAUCUCACUUUCGCAAGUGGCCGUGAAGGGAUUGACAACCCCUUUAUUGCGUUGGUUGCGAGGUUCUUGUUUGUUUGUGUAGGUGCUUGGGACUUUUGAGGAGCCUCCUACUGGAUUGAUACCUUGGUUCUCAAAAACUGAGGGAAAUACUUACGCUACUUUGCUGCAUCACCCUUUCCUCUUCAAGGAAAACCAACACAAGCUCAAGACAUAGCAAGAAGGAUUUCUGGCACCGUUGCCGGGGAGGUCUUCGCUCAAGUCAAGACAUACCAAGUACCCAUCACAAACUCAUCUCCCUCGCAUUACAUUAUUUGCCAUUUGCCUCUCGUUUUCCUCUCCCCCACUUCACCCUUGCCGUUUUAUUCACCCUCUCUUUCCCAAUUUCCUCUCUCUUUCGCUUGCCUUUUGUGUGCUCAUCGCCGUGGCUAGUCCUCCUAUUAUCGUUAAUACUCCCGAUCAUGAAGUUCUCAAUUUUAAACAAAGGGAGGGAGAAAAUUUAUAGGAUGCUUGUCAUAGAAUUUGCAAUACUCAAAAUAGAUCUACUAGGAAGCAAUCUACUUCCGUUCUUCUUUGCAAUUUUUAUGUAGGCAUUACUCCUUGGAAUAGAUAUAUUCUUGAUACCAUUACCGGAGGAAAUUUCUUGGGUGGCCAUACUUUUGAUGCUUAUAAUGCCAUGUUAGAUUUGUUUGGUCCACCCCCUCUUUUGGUUAAUGGAACUGUUUUAACUUUGGAACAUGUGAUGCAAAGGCUUGAAAUUAUUGAAAAUAAAGUUGCCACUGUUGAGUUAAUUGCAAAUUUGGAUAAAAAGAUCCAUAAUCAAAUUACCCAAUAUGGAUAUAGGGUUGGAGUUACCUUGAAAUUUUAAAGAAAAAGAACCUAUAGUUAAUGAAAGAAUAGAUUUAGAUUCUACAAGAAUUGGUAAACUGGAGGACAUUAUCACCAACUUAGGGUCUGCCUUUUCAUCUGUGAAAAAUACCCCAACUCCCCCUACCAAAAUUGCCAAGGUCAUGUAUGCUCCUAAAAAUAAGGGUGAAUCUUCUAGUAAAGGAAGUGCCGAUCUCAAAUCAAUAAGUGUUCAUCCCAAUUUUCUCGCUAUCAUUAAGGAACCUUUUGCUACAAACGAACUUCUUGAUUUCUUGACUAGGAGUUUAAUCAUUGCUAAAAAUAAAGAAACACCUAAGGAUUAUAAGUGCUCUAUUGAAGAAUUGAGUGCCAAAGAUGGCACUACUUAGAUCUAUCCUCGCUUUUGUGCCUAGCUUGGGGCGUUAAACAAUAAUGCUAGUUGGGAGGCAAACCAAUUUUAUUUUUGUUUUUCUAUUUUUGCUUCUGUUUAGUAAUAAAUAUUUCACCUAGCUUCUGUUUAGAUGCGUUUUCAUGUUUUAAUUAGUGUUUGUGUCAAGUAGAACCUAUAGGAUAACCUACGAUGAUAGUUAAUUUGAUUCUGCUAAAAAACAGAAACUUUGCACGCACAAAAAUAAUUUUAGUAAUUCACAGAAACGUGCUUUUGCGUUGAUUCGUUUUGCUGUAGAUCAAUAGACAAAUUUCCCAGGACUUCCUAUUUUGGUAGGUUUUUUAAAGUUCCAGAAGUAUUCGAGAGUUACAGAUUUCUACAAACUGUUCUGUUUUUGACCGAUUCUGUUUUUCGUGUGUUGUUUGCUUAUUUGGAUGCAUCUAUGGCUAGUAUGUAGGGUAUGAACCAUAGAGAAGUUGGAAUACAGUAGGUUUAACACCAAUAUAAAUAAAUAACGAGUUCAUUACAGUACCUUAUGUGGUGGUUUUUCUUUCUUGCACUAACGGAGCUUAUGAGAUUUCCUGUUGAGUUUUGUGUUGUGAAGUUUUCAAGUUUUGGAUAAAGAUUUGAUGGACUAUGGAAUAAGGAGUGGCAAGAGCCUAAGCUUGGGGAUGCCCAUGGCACCCCAAGAUAUUCAAGGAUAACCAAAAGCCUAAGCUUGGGGAUGCCCUGGAAGGCAUCCCCUCUUUCAUCUUCGUCUAUCGGUAACUUUACUUGGAGCUAUAUUUUUAUUAGCCACAUGAUAUGUGUUUUGCUUGGAGCAUCUUAUAUGAUAUUAGUCUUUGCUUUUUAGUUUGCCACAAUCAUCCUUGCUGUACACACCUUUUGAGAUAAUCCCACUUGAUUGGAAUUUAUUAGAAUACUCUAUGUGCUUCACUUAUAUCUUUUGAGCUAGAUAGUUUUGCUCUAGUACUUCACUUAUAUCUUUUAGACCACGGCGGUGGCUUAAUUUUGAAGAAAUUGUUAUUCUCUCAUGCUUCAUUUAUAUUAUUUUGAGAGUAUCUUUGAACAGCAUGGUAUUUGCUAUGGUUAUAAAAUUGGUCCUAGAAUGAUGGGCAUCCAGGUUGGGUAUAAUAAAAACUAUCAUAGGAAGUGAAAUUGGAUGCUAUGAUCAAUUUGAUACUUGAUACUUGUUUUGAGAUAUGGAGGUGGUGAUAUUAGAGUCAUGCUAGUUGGGUAAUUAUGAAUUUAAAGAAUGCUUGUGUUGAAGUUGGCAAGUCCCGUAGCAUGCACGUAUGGUAACCGUUGUGUAACAAAUUUGAAAUAUGAGGUGUUCUUAGAUUGUCAUCCUUAUGAGUGGCGGUAGGGGACAAGCGAUGGUCUUUUCCUACCAAACUAUCCCCCUAGGAGCAUGCGCAUAGUGCUUGGUUUUUGAUGACUUGCAGAUUUUUGCAAUAAGUAUAUGAGUUCUUUAUUACUAAUGUUGAGUCCAUGGAUUAUACACACUCUUACCCUUACAUCAUUGCUAGUCUCUUCUGUACCGUGCAUUGCCCUUUCUCACCUUGAGAGUUGGUGCAAACUUUGCCGGUGCAUCCAAACCCCGUGAUACGAUACACUCUAUCACACAUAAACCUCCUUAUAUCUUCCUCAAAACAGCCACCAUACCUACCUAUUAUGGCAUUUCCAUAGCCAUUCCGAGAUAUAUUGCCAUGCAACUUUCCACCAUUUCGUUCAUCAUCAUGGAACGCUUCAUCAUUGUCAUAUUGCCUUGCAUGAUCUUGAAGUUGACAUCGUAUUUGUGGCAAAGCCACCAUGCAUAAUUUUUCAUACAUGUCACUCUUGAUUCAUUGCCCAUCUCGGUACACCGCCAGAGGCAUUCAUAUAGAGUCAUAUCUUGUUCUAGUAUUGAGUUGUAAUUCAUGAGUUGUAAAUAAAUAGAAGUGUGAUGGUCAUCAUUAUUAGAGCAUUGUCCCCAAAUAAAAAAAAGAAAGGCCAAAAGAGAAAAGAAGGCCCAAAAAAAGGAGGGCAAUGUUACUAUCCUUUUCCACACUUGUGCUUCAAAGUAGCACCAUGUUAUUCAUAUAGAAAGUCUUCUAUGUUGUCACUUUCAUAUACUAGUGGGAAUUUUUCAUUAUAGAACUUGUCUUGUAUAUUCCUACGAUGGACUUCCUCAAAUUCCCUAGGUCUUCGUGAGCAAGCAAGUUGGAUGCACACCCAUUUAGUUUCUUUUGUUGAGCUUUCAUAUAUUUAUAGCUCUAGUGCAUCUGUUGCAUGGCAAUCCCUACUCCUCAUGUUGACAUCAAUUGAUGGGCAUCUCCAUAGCCCGUUGAUUAGCCUCGUUAACAUGAGAUUUUCUUCCUUUUUGUCUUAUCCACACAACCUCCAUCAUCAUAUUCUAUUCCAUCCAUAGUGCUAUAUCCAUGGCUCACGCUCAUGUAUUGCGUGAAAGUUGAAAAAAGUUUGAGAUUACUAAAGUAUGAAACAAUUUCUUGGCUUGUCAUCGGGGGUGUGCAAGAUGAGAGCAUUCUUGUGUGACGAAAAUGGAAGCAUGACCAAACCAUAUGAUUUUGUAGGGAUGAACUUUCUUUAGCCAUGUUAUUUUGAGAAGACAUGAUUGCUUAGUUAGUAUGAUUGAAGUAUUACUAUUUCUUAUGUCAAUAUGAAAUUUUAUUUUGAAUCAUUUGGAUCUGAAAAUUCGUGCCACAAUAAAGAAAAUUAUAUUGAGAAUUAUGCCAGGUAGCAUUCCACAUCAAAAAUUCUGUUUUUAUCAUUUACCUACUCGAGGACGAGCAGGAAUUAAGCUUGGAGAUGCUUGAUACGUCUCCAACGUAUCUAUAAUUUUUGAUUGUUCCAUGCUAUUAUAUUACCCGUUUUGGAUGUUUAUGGGCUUUACUUUACACUUUUAUAUCGUUUUUGGGACUAACCUACUAACCGGAGGCCCAGCCUGAAUUGCUGUUUUAUUUGCCUAUUUCAGUGUUUCGAAGAAAAAGAAUAUCAAACGGAGUCCAAACGGAAUGAAACCUUCGGAAGCUAUCUUUUUGGAACAAACAUGAUCCAGGGGACUUGGAGUGGACGUCAAGAAAUAGAGGAGGCGGCCACGAGGGUGCCCGGCGUGCCCCCUAUAGGUGGGAGCACACCCCACCCUCGUGGGCCCCUUGAGCAUCCAACGACCUACUUCUUCCUCCUAUAUAUACCCACGUACCCUGAAACCAUCGAGGAGCACCACGAAAAACUAUUUCCACCACCGCAACCUUCUGUAUCCGCGAGAUCCCAUCUUGGAGCCUUCGCCGGCGCUCCGCUGGAGGGGGAAUCGACCAUGGAGGGCCUCUACAUCAUCUCCAAGGCCUCUCCGAUGAGUUGUGAGUAGUUUACCAUAGACCUUCGGGUCCAUAGUUAUUAGCUAGAUGGCUUCUUCUCUCUAUUUGAAUCUCAAUAAAAAGUUCUCCUCGAUCUUCUUGGAGAUCUAUUCGAUGUAACUCUUUUUGCGGUGUGUUUGUCGAGAUCCGAUGAAUUGUGGGUUUAUGAUCAAGUAUAUCUAUGAGAAAUAUUUGAAUCUCCUCUGAAUUCUUUUAUGUGUGAUUAGUUAUCUUUGCAAGUCUCUUCAAAUUAUCAGUUUGGUUUGGCCUACUAGAUUGAUCUUUGUUGCAAUGGGAUAAGUGCUUAGCUUUGGGUUCAAUCUUGUGGUGUCCUUUCCUAGUGACAGCAGGGGCAGCAAGGCACGUAUUGUAUUGUUGCCAUCGAGGAUAAAAAUAUGGGGUUUAUAUCAUAUUGCAUGAGUUUAUCCCUCUACAUCAUGUCAUCUUUCUUAAUGCGUUACUCCGUUCUUUAUGAACUUAAUACUCUAGAUGCAUGCUGGAUAGCGGUCGAUGUGUGGAGUAAUAGUAGUAGAUGCCUACAGGAGUCGGUCUACUUAUCACGGACGUGAUGCCUAGAUACAUGAUCAUGCCUAGAUAAUCUCAUAAUUAUUCGCUUUUCUAUCAAUUGCUCGACAGUAAUUUGUUCACCCACCGUAAUACUUAUGCUAUCUUGAGAGAAGCCACUAGUGAAACCUACGACCCCCGGAUCUAUCUUUUAUCAUAUAAGUUUACCAUCUACUUUUAUAUGCAUCUUUACUUUUCCAAUCUAUAUCAUAAAAUACCAAAAAUAUAUUUAUCUUAUGAUAUUACCUCUAUCAGAUCUCACUUUCGCAAGUGGCCGUGAAGGGAUUGACAACCCCUUUAUUGCGUUGGUUGCGAGGUUCUUGUUUGUUUGUGUAGGUGCGUGGGACUUCUGAGGAGCCUCCUACUGGAUUGAUACCUUGGUUUUCAAAAUCUGAGAGAAAUACUUACGCUACUUUGUUGUAUCACCCUUUCCACUUCAAGGAAAACCAAUGCAAGCUCAAGACGUUGCACUCUUCCAAGGACAAGUUCUUCGAGAACAUCAUCAACCCAUAUCAGCGGGAGGUGAUGUAGCACCCUCAAGCUAUCGAGAUGAGCGAGGUGGUGCUCCACAUUCGCGAUGUGAAAGGCCCCAAAGGGACGGGAUCCGUGGAGGCUAGGCUUGAAGCUAUGGAGCAGGAGGUCUUCCGGUGCAAGGGGAUGGUGGAACAUGGACUCAAUGCCAAUAACCUCAUGAUCGCGGAUUACACCCAUGAUCUCAAGGUGGAUGGCAAGUCCAUGAAGGACAUCAUCUUCACCUUCAACGAGCAAAUCAACUUUCUCCAAAGCCUGAUCUACGAUCUCCAAAACCAAGUAUUUGAAUAUGAGGCAAGGUUUAAAGGUAUGAGUUUGGCUGCCAGUUGCAGGACCCACGAGACUCACUCCUUCUCUUAUGAUGGUGAGCCCCUACCAUGGAAACCUGAGGAUAAGAUUGCUACCAGUUCAUCACCACCACCUCCGUCCUCAUCACCCAAGGAGACUUGAGUAUCGAGUAUGCGCACUCCCCAGCCAAGCUUGGGGGAGGUGCCCCGGUAUUGUAUCACGUCCACCAUCUUCUACCUUAACUUAUCUUAGUUUGAUCCAUAGUUAUAUUUUUCUUUAGAUGAAUAAAAGUUUAGUUCGAUCAUCUCUUUUCGGGUGUUUGCUUAGUGAUACAUCCUUGUAAUCGUGUGCGAGAUAUAUAAGAAAGUUUAGUUUGAGUUCUGUUCUCUUUACUUCCAUUUUCAAUAAAAAGGAAGGAAAUAAAUGAAAAAGAUCAUAUGGUAAUCUUAUGGUAAGUAAUGACACCACAUAAGGAAGAGUAUAAGUAGAAAAUUUUAUUAGAGAUUAACAAACAUAGCAUUGGUCAAUGAUGCAAUUCAUGAAAGAAUUAAUAAGGGAAGAGAAGAUUCACAUGCAAAUAUACUAUCUUGGACAUCUUUUGUGAUUGUGAGCCCCCAUCAAAAUAUUAUAUGCCAAAAUUGUUGACGUUGGACAAGGAAGACAACGUAAUGAUUUAUGUUCGUUCAUAUUCACAUAAAAGUUAUAUUGUCAUAGAUCCUACUUGUGCACAUCUUUGCUAGCCAAACAUUCCGCACUAAGUAAAGAUACUACUUGUGCAUCCAAAAACCCUUAAACGCACAUCUUAUUUUGAGAGUCCACCAUACCUACCUAUGGAUUGAGUAAGAUCCUUCAAGUAAGUUGUCAUCGGUGCAAUAAGGCAAUAAAAACUGCUUCUAAAAGUGUUGGCUUAUUUAGUGUAAGAGAAAAUUGAGCGUUGUACGAACUUGUGAUGGCAAAGAAUAAAAGCGACAGACUGCAAAAUAAAGGUUGCUAUCAUAAGGGGCAAUAUAACGUGGCGUUCUUUUGCACUAAGAGAUUGAGCAUACAAACGAAAAGCGCGUGGCAACCUCUGCUUCCCUCUGCGAAGGGCCUAUUUUUUACUUUUAUGUACUUACUUUUAUGCAAGAGUCAAAUUAUUUCCCUCUACUCCUUUUUAUUUUCUCUUUUGGCAAGCAUCAUGUGGUGAGGAAACAUCUAGGCACAUAUAUCUAGUUGGAUAUGGAUGGCAUGAGUUAUUAUUGUUGACAUCACCCUUGAGGUGAAUACGUUGGGAGGCGAAACUAUAAGCCCCUAUCUUUCUAUGUUCCGGUUGAAACUUUUUGUUCAUGUCUAUGCGGUGAGUGUUAGCAAUCAUAGAAGACUAUAUGAUGGUUGAGUAUGUGGACUUGCCAAAAGGCUCCGAUAUGUGACCCUUCCCUGAAAAGAUGAUGAAUUGUAGUUGCAAAGUUGACUGAGAACAUAAUUUGUUAGUUUUCAAUAGAGUUUAUGCUUUAUACUCCGAUGUUGUGAUGAAUUGUUACUUAUUCAUGAGAAGUUAUAUGAUAAAAGUUUUAUGAUAAAAAUUCUAUGAUAAAGUUUUAUGUUAAAGCUUGUUGCUGUUAUAAUAAUAUACAUGAUGCUUCUAUGUCCGUAUUUUGUUUUUCUCGACACCUCUCUCUCUAAGCAUGUGGAAAUGUUUUUCAAUUUUGGUUUUCGCUUGAGGACAAGCGAGGUCUAAGCUUCAGGGAGUUGAUACGUCCAUUUUGCAUCAUGUUUUCGUACUGUAAUUUAUAAUGUUUUUAUGCAUAAUAAUGCUUUUUGGAGUAAUUCUAAUGCAUUUUCUCUCAUAAUAUGCAAGGUUCACACAAAGAGGGGGAAUACCGGCAGCUGGAAUUCUGGACCUGAAAAAGCUACGCGAGCCCCCUAUUUUUCACAACUCCAAAUGAGAUGAAACUUCACAAGGAUUUUUUAUGGAAUAAAUAAGAAUUAUUGGAGCAAAUAACCACCAGAGGGGGCCCACCAGGUGGGUACAACCCAUCUGGGCGUGCCAGGGAGCCCAGGCGCGCCCUGGUGGGUUGUGCCCUCCUCGGCCCACCUUCGGUGCCCAUCUUCUGGUAUAUAAGUAAUUUUGACCUAGAAAAAACAAGAAAGGACUUUGUGGACUAAGCGUCGCCGUCUUGAGACAGAACUUGGGAAGGAGCACUUUUGCCCUUUGGCGGAGCGAUUCCGCCAGGGGAACUUCUCUCCCGGAGGGGGAAAUCAUCGUCAUCAAAAUCACCAACAACUCUCCCAUCUUGGGGAGGGCAAUCUCCAUCACCAUCUUCAACAACACCAUCCUCAAACCCUAGUUCAUCUCUUGUGUUCAAUCUUUGUACCGGAACUAUAGAUUGGUACUUGUGGGUGACUAGUAGUGUGAAUACAUCUUGUAGUUGAUUACUAUAGAGUUUAUUUGGUGGAAGAUUGUAUGUUCAGAUCCAUUAUGCUAUUUAAUACCCCUCUAAUCAUGAGCAUGAUUAUUAUUUGUGAGUAGCUACUUUUGUUCUUGAGGUCACGGGAGAAAUCUUGUUGCAAGUAAUCAUGUGAACUUGAUAUGUGUUCGAUAUUUUGAUGGUAUGUAUGUUGUGAUUCCCUUAGUGGUGUCAUGUGAAUGUUGACUACAUGACACUUCACCAUACUUGGGACUCAGGAAAUGCAUUGCGGAGUAGUUAUUAGAUGAUGGGCUGCGAGAGUGACAGAAGGUUAAACCCUAGUUUAUGUGCUAUUCCGUAAGGGGCUGAUUUGGAUCCAAAAGUUUAAUGCCAUUGUUAGAUUUAUUCUUAAUACUUUUCUCAUAGUUGCGGAUGCUUGUGAGGGGAUUAAUCAUGAGUAGGAGGUUUGUUCAAGUAAGAACAACACCUAAGCACCAGUCCACCCACAUAUUAAAUUAUCAAAGUAGCGAACACAAAUCAAACCAACAUUAUGAAAGUGACUAGAUGAAAUUCCCGUGUGCCCUGAAGAACACUUUGCUUAUCAUAAGAGGCUGUUUUGGCCUGUCCUUUGCCUCAAAAGGAUUGGGCUACCUUGCUGCACUUUUGUUAUCGUUAUCGUUACUUUCUCAUUACAAAUUACCUUGCUAUCAAACUACUCGUUACUUAUAAUUUUGGUGCUUGCAGACAUUACCUUGCUGAAAACCGCUUGUAAUUUCCUUGUGCUCCUCAUUCGGGUUGACACUCUUACAUAUAGAAAGGACUACGAUUGAUCCUCUAUACUUGUGGGUGAUCAAUUACAGCGGCGGAAAAGUAUUUUGGUGGAUGCUUCUGGUGGUUUUGGAAUAUUUGAGGAUUUAUAGAGAUGAGAGGGAACUCGGUGGACUCCCGGGGGCCCACAAGCCAGGGGGGCGCCCCCCUAGGGCGCGCCCUGAGGGCUUGUGGAGCCCUUGGGACUCUUAUGACCCUCCAAGUUUCAUGGGUGUGUUCUGGUCCAAGAAAAAUCAUCGUGAAAGUUUUAUUCCGUUCAGACUCUGUGUGAUAUUCCUUUUCUGUAAAACUCAAAAACAAGGGAAAAACUGAAACUGGCACUGGGCUCUAGGUUAAUAAGUUAGUCCCAAAAAUAAUAUAAAAUAGCAUAUUAAUGCAUAUAAAACUUCCAAAAUGGAUAAUAUUAUAGCAUGGAACAAUAAAAAAUUAUAGAUACAUUGGAGAUGUAUCAAGCAUGCGCAAGCUUAAUUCCUGCUCGUCCUCGAGUAGGUAAAUGAUAAAACAGAAUUUUGAUGUGGAAUGCUACCUAACAUAUUUAUCCAUGUAAUUUUCUUUAUUGGGGCUUGUAUAUUUAGAUCCAUAAGAUUCAAAACAAAAGUUUAAUAUUGACAUAAAACAAUAAUACUUAAACAUAUUAUUAAAACAACCAUGUCUUCUCAAAAUAACAUGGCCAAAGAAAGUUAUCUCAAAACCGUGACUUCUCAAAGUUGAAAGUUAUCCAUCUUCAUGCACAACCCCGAUGACAAGCCAAGAAAUUUUUUCGUACUUUUGAUGUUCUCAAACUUUUUCAACUUUCACGCAAUACAUGAGCGUGAGCCAUGGAUAUAGCACUAUAGGUGGAAUAGAAUAUGGUGGUUGUGGUGAAGACAAAAAAGAAGGAGAUAGUCUCACAUCAAAUAGGCGUAUUAACGGGCUAUGGAGAUGCCCAUCAAUAGAUAUCAAUGUGAGUGAGUAGGGAACGCCAUGCAACAGAUGCACUAGAGCUAUAAGUUUAUGGAAGCUCAAAAAGAAACUAAGUGGGUGUGCAUCCAACUCACUUGCUCACGAAGACCUAGGGCAAUUGAGGAAGCCCAUCAUUGGAAUAUACAAGCCAAGUUCUAUAAUGAAAAAUUCCCACUAGUAUAUGAAAGUGAUAACAUAGGAUACUCUAUAUCAUGAAGAUCAUGGUGCUACUUUGAAGCACAAGUGUGGAAAAAGGAUAGUAGCAUUGUCCCUUCUCUCUUUUCUCUCAUUUUUUUUAUUUUCGGGCUCUUUGGCCUCUUUUUUUUCCUUUUUUUCUCAUUUUUUAUUAGGGCUUCUUUGGCCUCUUUUAUUUCGUAAAGUCUGGAGACUCAUCCCAACUUGUGAGGGAACCAUAGCUUCCAUCAUCCUUUCCUCACAUGGGACAAUGCUCUAAUAAUGAUGAUCAUCACACUUUUAUUUACUUACAACUCAAGAAUUACAACUCGAAACUUAGAACGAAACAGAACGGUAGAAGUUGCAUGGCAAUAUAUCUCGGAAUGGCUCUAGAAAUACCAUAAUUGGUAGGUAUGGUGGAUAUUUUGAGGAAGGGUAUAUGAUGGGUGUAAUGCACCCGCAAAAUUUGCGCAGUACUAGAGAGGCUAGCAAUGGUGGAAGGGUGAGAGUGCGUAUAAUCCAUGGACUCAACAUUAGCCAUAAAGAACUCACAUACUUAUUGCAAAAUUCUAUUAGCUAUCGAAACAAAGUACUACACGCAUCCUCCUUGGGGGAUAGAUUGGUACGAACAGACCAUCGCUCAUCCCCUACCGCCACUCAUAAGGAAAACAAUCAAUAAAUAAAUCAUGCCCCGACUUCAUCACAUAACGGUUCACCAUACGUGCAUGCUAGGAGAAUCACAAACUUUAACACAAGUAUUUAUUCCAAUCCACAAUUACUCACUAGCAUGACUCUAAUAUCACCAUCUUUAUAUCUCAAAACAAUGAUAAGGAAUCAAACUUCUCAUAGUAUUUAAUGCUCUUUAUGUGAAAGUUUUUAUUAUAUCCCUCUUGGAUGCCCAUCAUAUUAGGACUAAAUUCAUAACCAAAGAAAAUUACCACAUUGUUUAGAGAGACUCUUAAAAUGAUAUAAGUGAAGCAUGUGAGUUCAACAAUUUCUAUGAAAUAAAGCCACCGCCAUGCUCUAAAAAGAUAUAGGUGCACUAGAGCAAAAUUGCCUAGCUCAAAAGAUAUAAGUGAAGGACAUGGAGUAUUCUAAUAAAUCACGAUUCAUGAAUGUACCUCUCAAAAGGUGUGUACAACAAGGAUGGUUGUGGCAAACUAAAAAGCAAAGACUCACAUCAUACAAGACGCUCCAAGCAAAACACAUAUCAUGUGGUGAAUAAAAAUAUAGCCUCAAGUAAAUUUAUCGAUAGACGAAGACGAAAUAGGGGAUGCCAUCUGGGGCAUCCCCAAGCUUAGAUGCUUGGUUGUCCUUGAAUAUUAUUGGUGCCUUGGGAAUGCCCAUGCUUAGGCUCUUACCACUCCUUAUUCCAUAGUCCAUCAAAUCUUUACCCAAAACUUGAAAACUUCACAACACAAAACUCAAUAGAAAACUCAUGAGAUCCAUUAGUAUAAGAAAAAUAAAUCACCACUUUUUGAUAUAGUUGUGAACUCAUUCUUUAUUUAUAUUGGUUUAAUAUAUACUGUAUUCCAACUUCCCCAUGGUUUAUACCCUGAUACUACCCAUAUAUUCAUUAAAAUAAGCAAAAAACACAUAGAAAACAUAAUCUAUAAAAAACAAAACAGUCUGUAGCAAUUUGGAAACUUCAAAUACUUCUAUAACUCCAAAAAUUCUGAAAAAUUAGGACAACCAGGGGAAUUUUGUAUAUCAAUCUUGUGUAAAACAUUCAGAUCAAAAGCACGCUUCUGUGAUUUUUGAAAAUUAAUUUACUGGGCAUAAAAGUUUCUGUGUUUUAGCAAGAUCAAAUCAACUAUCACCGUAAGCCAUCCCAAAGGCCUUACUUGCCUAAAACAGUAAUUAAAACACCAAACACAAUUAAUACAGAGGUAAUAAUGUGUAUUUAUUGAAAAACAGGACCAAAAACCAAAAACAUAAAAAAUAAAAUUGGGUUGCCUCCCAACAAGCGCUAUUCUUUAACGCCCCUAGCUAGGCAUAAACAUAGAUCUAGGUACUGUCAUCUUUGGUAUGCAAUCCGUAUGUAGCUCUCAUAAUAUAUACAUAUGGCAUCUUAAUUUUCUUCCUUGGGAAGUGUUCCAUACCCUUCCUUAACGGAAAUUGAAAUAUAAUGUUUCCUUCUUUCAUAUCAAUAAUUGCACCAAUAAUAGGACAUGUAGGAUAGCAAUCUAUAUCAAGCACAAUGAAAUCUACGAGCACAUAAUUCCUAUUUGCAACAAUAAGAACAUCAUUAAUUCUUCCCAUAGGUUUCUUAAUAAUGGAAUCCACGAGAUGCAAAUUUAAAGAACAAUCAUCAAAUUCUCGAAAACCUAGCACAUCACAAAAGUUUUUGGAAUCGUGGAAAUGCUAGCACCCAAAUAAUAUAAAGCAUGUCACUCAUAAUUUUUAAUUUUAAUCUUAAUAGUAGGUUCCCGCUCAUCAUAAAGCUUUCUAGGGAUAGAAACUUCCGACUCAAGUUUUUCUUCAAAAGAUUUCAUCAUAGCAUCAAUGAUAUGUUUAGUAAAAUCUUUAUUUUGAUUAUAAGCAUGAGGAGAAUUCAACAUGGAUUGCAACUAGGAAAUACAAUAUAUCAAAGAAAAAUUAUCAUAAUUAAAAUCCUUUAAAUCCAAAAGAGUGGGUUCAUCGCUACUUAAAGUUUUGACCUCUUCAAUCCCACUUUUAUCAAUUUUUGCAUCAAGAUCUAUAAAAUCCAAAUCACUGGGACGCUUUUUAAGUAAAGUUGCCUCAUCUCCAGUCCCAUAUUUAUAAAGAUUUAUAUUGGAAAAAACUAUUCAAUAGGAGUCACAUCAAUCACUUUAAGAUCUUCAUCAUUGUUUUCACGAAAACUAGAAGAACACGCUUUCACAAACCAAUCUCGCUUAGCACGCAUCCUAGCGGUUCUUUCUUUGCACUCAUCAAUAGAAAUUUUAAUAGCUUUCAGAGAUUCAUUAAUAUCAUGCUUGGGUGGAAUAUAUCUAAUUUUUAAAGAAUCAAUCUCAAGAGAAAUUCUAUCCACGUUCCUAGCCAAAUCAUCAAGCUUAAGCAAUUUUUCUUCAACCAUAGCAUAGAAAUUAUUUUGAGAACUAAUGAAAUCUUUAAUAUAUAUUGUUCUCAAGAUCAGAUGGCAUCUUAUUAUAAUUUCUAUAAGAAUCAUUGUAGGAAUUACCAUAAUUAUUAGAGGAAUUACUAGGAAAUGGCCUAGGAUUAAAGUUACCUCUAUACGCGUUAUUACCAAAAUUGUUCCUUCCAACAAAAUCCACAUCCAUAGAUUCAUUAUUAUUCUCACUCAAAGUAGACAAAGGCAUAUCAUUAGGAUCAAUAGGAGCACUCUUACUAGCAAACAAUUUCAUAAGUUCAUCCACCUUUCCACUCAAAAUAUUAAUUGCUUCAAUCGCUUGCACUUUUUUACUAGUAGAUGAUCUUUCGGUAUGCCAUUGAGAGUAAUUAGCCAUGAUAUUAUCUAGGAGUUUAGUAGCUUCUUGAUACGUCUCCAAUGUAUCUAUAAUUUAUGAAGCAUUCAUGCUAUAUUAUUAUCUGUUUUGGAUGUUUAUGGGCUUUAUUAUACACUUUUAUAUUACUUUUGGGACUAAUAUAUUAACCGGAGGCCCAACCCAUAUUGCUGUUUUCUUGCCUAUUUCAGUGUUUGGAAGAAAAGGAAUAUCAAACAGAGUCCAAACGGAAUGAAACCUUUGGGAGAGUUAUUUUUGGAAUGGAAGCAAUCUAGGAGACUUGGAGUACACGUAAGGGAAGCAACGAGGAAGCCACGAGGCAGGGAGGCGCGCCCUACCCCCUGGGCGCCCCCACCCUCAUGGGCCCCUUGUGGCUCCCCUGACCGACUUCUUCGCCUAUAUAUGUCCAUAUACCCUAAAAACAUUGAAGAGCACAAUAUAUCGGGAGUUCCACCGCCGCAAGCCUCUGCAGCCACCAAAAACCGAUCGGGACCCUAUUCUGGCACCCUGCCGGAAGGGGAUCCCUCACCGGUGGCCAUCUUCAUCAUCCUGGUGCUCUCCAUGAUGAGGAGGGAGCAGUUCACCCUCGGGGCUUAGGGUAUGUACCAUUAGCUAUGUGUUUGAUCUCUCUCUCUCUCUCUCUCUCUCUCUCUCUCGUGUUCUUGAUUUGGCACAAUCUUGAUGUAUCGUGAGCUUUGCUAUUAUAGUUGGAUCUUAUGAUGUUUCUCCCCCUCUACACUCUUGUAAUGGAUCGAGUUUUCCCUUUGAAGUUAUCUUAUCGGAUUGAGUCUUUAAGGAUUUGAGAACACUUGAUGUAUGUCUUGCAUGUGCUUAUCUAUGGUGACAAUGGGAUAUCACAUGAUCCACUUGAUGUAUGUUUUGGUGAUCAACUUGCGGGUUCAGUGACCUUGUGAACUUAUGCAUAGGGGUUGGCACACAUUUUCGUCUUGACUCUCCGGUAGAAACUUUGGGGAACUCUUUGAAGUUCUUUGUGUUGGUUGAAUAGAUGAAUCUGAGAUUGUGUGAUGCAUAUCGUAUAAUCAUACCCACAGAUACUUGAGGUGACAUUGGAGUAUCUAGGUGAAAUUAGGGUUUUGGUUGAUUUCUGUCUUAACGUGUUAUUCUAGUACGAACGCUAUGAUAGAUCGAACAGAAAGAAUAGCUUUGUGUUAUUUUACUACGAACUCUUUAAUAGAUUGUUCAGAAAUGAUAACUUUGAGGUGGUUUCGUACCCUACAAUAAUCUCUUUGUUUGUUCUCUGCUAUUAGUGACUUUGGAGUGACUCUUUGUUGCAUGUUGAGGGAUAGUUAUAUGAUCCAGUUAUGUUAUUAUUGUUGAGAGAACUGGCACUAGUGAAAGUAUGAACCCUAGGCCUUGUUUCCUACCAUUGCAAUACCGUUUACGCUCACUUUUACCACUUGUUACCUUGCUAUUUUAUAAUUUAAGAUUACAAAAACCUAUAUCUACAAUCCAAAUUGCACUUGUAUCACCAUCUCUUCGCCGAAAUAGUGCACCUAUACAAUUUACUAUUGUAAUGGGUGUGUUGGGGACACAAGAGACUCUUUGUUAUUUGGUUGUAGGGUUGUUUGAAGGAGACCAUCUUCAUCCUAUACCUCCCACGGAUUGAUAAACCUUAGGUCAUCCACUUGAGGGAAAUUUUCUACUGUCCUACAAACCUCUGCACUUGGAGGCCCAACAACGUCUACAAGAAAGAAGGUUGUGUAGUAGACAUCAUUUCUCCUAAUGUGAUUUCCAUAAAAGUACCUCCCGCGGCUGAAUCUAAAAGAUUUCUAGAUGCAAAAUUCAAUCCGACAUAAAUUUUUUGUAUGAUCAUCCAUAAACUUAAACCAUGAGUAGGGCAAUUUCGUAUCAUCAAUUUCAUCCUCUCCCAAGUUUGUGCAACAUGUUCAUGAUCAAGUUCCUUAAAAUUCAUUAUAUCGUUCUGUCGAUGUACAGAAGUAGGGGCUCUCUUUUGUACCCCUUUACUUGUGCACGAGCAGUCAGAGCCACGCCCAUGGCCACACUUAGCAGGGCAGAGGAAGGAAGUAAAAGUACAAGACUACCGAAGCGGCGCUCAAACUAGGGGCACAAAAGGUAAAGCGACAAGAUGGGUUUCCCCCGGCAAGAGCCUUGCUAGGGCAACUUGCCCAGCACCAACAGAGCGUGCCACCCUUGAGCCCAAGGGUUCCAACACCAUCGACCACAUUGGAACCAAGGCUCGGGAGGCACCUCCGUGGUUGCAUGCAGAUCUUCGUGAAGAUUGUCGGAUUUAGGGUUCCGGAAAAACCCUUGAGGUUCGAACAUUGGGGUGCGCACGAAGAUUUCCCCCUACCGAAUCUCGCCCUCAGCCUCGCCGCGAUUUCUAAGCUUAGCUCGAUGAACUCACAACACAAGAGACAAAAGAUUUAUACAGGUUUGGGCCACCGUUGUGGUGUAAUACCCUACUCCUGUGUGGUGGUGGUGGAUUGCCUCUUGGGCUGAUGAUGAAUAGUGUAAGCAAAGAACAACCUCCUGAGGAGAGGUGUUCUUAUGCUUCGUGGGUGGCAUUCUACUUGUUCUUGUUUUGGGUCCCCUUCUACUAUGGUGGCUAGUCCUAUUUAUAGAGGCCCUGGUCCUCUUCCCAAAUAUUGAGCGGGAAGGGAUCCAACAACGGCCAAUUUGAAAGGGGACAACUAGUACAAGCUAUCCUGACUAAAGGUGGUCUUCGCCUUUCAAAGGCACUGGUGGUGACGCCGUCUUGGGCUCCACGAUGACCUCCAUCCUGCUGUCCUGCUGGUCUUGGUCUUGUUGCACCGAUAUGGAAACCUUUGCCUGAUGCCUCGGAACUCCGCACCUACGCUUGUCCCCUUAGCACCAAAGGGGAAACAAGGAUACUACACGCUAGCGCCUGCCUGGCGCUCACCUGGCAUUGGUCGUCAUGGCUUGUGCUCACGAGGUACCCCUUGCCUUGAUCUCUCCGCCCCCUCGCGAGCCUGCCAGGUGAGGCCGCUCCUGGGGAGGCCUCAUGUCGUCCACCUCGCGAGGCUUGGCCCCUCACGAGGAUCUUGAGUGUUGGUUGACGAAGAUGGGGCGUACUGGGCCACUGGUGGAGCCACGCCGUAGGCCGCAGGCAGGAAAGUCUGGGGACCCUGUUCCCAGAACACCUACAGUAGCCCCCGGGCCCAAGGCACGCUCGGACUUGGCUUAGCGGCGAAGCCAAAGGGCUAGUGCAAAGCACCGCUGGCCCCAACAGCCUGCGGCCUUGGUCGAUGCGUGGCGACUGGUUGGACGUGGGCGUCUCCGCUUCCCCACGCUACCUCGACAACUGCCCGUCUGACAAAAGGCUGGCUCAGGCAAGGCUUGCCAUCAUUGCUUCCAUUCGUCUUGCUCCAGAUCCCCUUCCUCGUUGCUUGCUUCUGAAAUCUCCAGAUCCGCUUCGAUCCUUUCCCUUUCAGCGACCGAUGGCGCCUCGCAAGGCCAAGGUUGAUGCGCUGCCAGCUUGGUAAGCGCCAGCCCUGGACGCGCCCAUUGUCCUGGAGAAGAAUCUCGCCACCACGCGCCUGCUGACAGUGGGGGAGAGCAAUGAAAAGGGGAAGACCAAACUCUGGGCUGGCUCCGCUGUGCCGGAGGCUCGGGGGAGCACCUUCUAUCCCUUAUUCAUGAACGCCAUCGUCGCAGGCCUUGUUCCCCCCUUCUCCAACUUCUUCUACGCCAUCCUCCGCCAUUACAGGUUGCAGGCCCUUCAUCUCCAUCCCAACUCCAUUCUUCUCUUGUCGAUUUGCGCCUACUACUGCGAGGCGCACGUUGGGGUGAUGCCGUCCAUGGUUCUGCUGCUCCACUUCUUCCUCCUCUGAACCAACGGCGACCACACCUCAGCGUGCACCAAUUUCAUCACAUACGGCAAGGCCAAUGCAAUCUUGAAGGUCGGGAAGAGGGUCGACGGCUUUCGGAGCAAGUGGGUCAUGAUGGAUGCCAAGUGUGUCCACCCCUGGUUGGCGCUACCAACGGAGAUGCUCCAAUCUGACGAAGGGUGGUCUCGCACGAAGCUCACUGACGAUCGGGCGACGUUGGUGCUGGAGAGGAUGAACGCCGACCUGAAGCCGGGCAAUGCAAAGGCGGCGAAGCUGAUGGGGGCCGUGCUGCUGAGGGAGUUCUUGAUGCAGCGGGUGGCUCCGCUUCAGGUGCACUCGCGCCCCUUGUGGAUGCUCGAGGGUGUAGACGACAAGCUUCGCCUGAAUCCAGUGGCUUUGGCUGAUGAGGAGCUUGCCGCGGUUCUUCGCCUCUUGGCUGGGGACGACCAAGAGUAUCCGCCGAGUGCCCUUGUCCCCUUGUUCCUCCGCAAGGACAGGGCGCAGGUGGUUUUGAUGGGCGUAGCCUAGUGCCACCGGCGCCCCUUGCGGUCCAGGAGAUGGCGGUGCCGGUGAACGUGUCGUCAGGUGACUCCCGUGAGGGAGGAGAAGAGGAGGAAGAUGAGGAGCACGACCCAGAGGCAACUCCGAGGAGACGGGGGAGACCUCCCCCUUGUGCAAGGCUAACCUCCUCCGGACGAUGCCGGAUGAAGACAAUGAUGACGAUGCCCCCCUGGGGAAGAAAGAGCCAUGCACGGCAGGAGGUCCCUCGCGAGCCAAGCCCAGCCUCCUGAGGGGGCCUCCGGCCGAGGUUCUGAUGAAGAGCAGGGCGUCGCUGAUCUCCUGAGAGACCGCUUCUGCCCGGACGCCGCCUGGAGCCGCUUCCUGCCCUUCUACUGCGCCUUCUCCUGUUCCUGGAGCCCUUGUGGCUGCGCCCUGGGCCGCGAGGCUCUCGGGCUUCAAGCUCAGCAAGAGGAAGGUCGACUACACCAUGGUAGACCAGUAAGUGUCCAUGCUCCGUCUUGUUCUUGAUUAUGCUGUUGGUACUUGACAUUCUCCAUUGAUUGGCUAGGCUGCCGCCUGCGGUGAAGAAGAGGAAGGAGGACGAGGUGACGCCGUCUGGGGCCAAUCCAUCUGCCAUGGCCGCACCUUCUUCCGUGAGGAGGGGAGGCGAUGGUGCUGACACCUCCCCUUCCCGGUCAUCCUCGCGAGGCCUGGGAGGGCAUCUUCGUGAAGAGUCAGCCGCCAUGGCCCUGAUGGCUCCGGAGGUGCUGUUACCGGAUGCUGCUGCCGAGGUACCCAAGGCUCAGGAGCCCCUGGUCUCCCAAACCCUGGCUACGCUGCCGCCUCCUCCUUCUGCCGUGAUACUGGUUCCAGGUCCUUCUGCCUCCCCCGAUGUCUUGGAACAUGUACUUUCCGAGAUGGCCCAGCUACGAGAAGACCUCCAGGGCGCCGAAUCCCAUCUGGUAUCUGGGCGUUUGGAGCUGGUUUCCGGCUGGCUUCACUCUAACGCCUCUGUCUGAGCGGCGCUGAGGAGGGUCGCGGCAGCCUCUGAGGAGGAGAAGCGGGCCGCCACCCGAGUCGCAGCUGCUCGCGAGGUGGCGCUGAAGGACGUCGUCGCCGCCCAGGACGGCUGCAAGGCACUGGAGGCCGAGCUAAAGGAUUCGCACGACAAGCACGCCGAAGAAGCUCAUGACUGCUAGGCAGAGGAGGAGAGGAUGAAGGCUCGGGAGGACGCCGUCAGGGGCCGCGACACCGAGCUAGCGCGGUUGGUGGAGGCGCAGGCCACUGAGCGCGGCCAGUUAGAAAAGCUGGAGUAGAAGGUGAGUGCGGAGCAGGCCGAGCUUGACGCCAAGGCGAAGGUCCUGGCCGAGGACCGCACGGCCUUUGCACUCCUCGAGGUGAGGUCUCGUGUGGUGCUGAAGGCACUCUAUGAGAAGGGCCUGGAGAAGCCGCUGACUACCGACGAGGAUGGCCCCGCCCAGCUGCUUCUUUACUUGGUCUAGGCACUUGAGGAAGUCGUGAGCAGCAUCGGCCCCAUGGCAGAGGAAGAAGCUCGCGUCCUUUCUUCUACUGCACUGACACGCGUCUUCAGCCACCUCCACCUCCGUAACCCUGACGCCAAUCUUGACGAGCUGCUGGAGCCUGUGAACGGCGAGUGCUAUGCCGCUGCUGCUGAAGCCGUGAAGGGCUAGGUGGAGGCCUUGUUGGAGAAGUUCCGUGCCUUCGAUCCUGCGCCAAUGGCAGGCAGUGCUGCUGAUCCUGUGGCCCCGGGUGGUGGUACAGGUGAAGGCGGCGCCACCACGGGAGUGGAGUCCCUGCUGGGCGACAGCAGUGUCCAAGGAUGACUGACUUACGACUUCUUUCCUGCUUAAUCCCUACAAUGUGCACCAUGCCUCGUGGAGGCGUUUAAACUUGCAUCUGGUAUUGUGAAGACAAUUAUGGUUUGUAAUAUUUGCAUCAAGAUUUUGUAGUUUCCUUCCUAUUUGCUUUACGCUCUAUGUCGGUAGGGCCCAGCCCCGCGCGUACCUCAGCCGCCAUUGGCCCCGACCGGAUCACCAGGACGGGACCAAGGAGUGAGGGGCUACAUGACCAGUUAGGCUCCUGAGUCGUGAUGCUCAGGAGUCCCCCUUGACGCGCAAACAACAAAUAGGGAGGGAACCUAGGAGUAGAUUUAGCGUUCUAUGUCGACAGAGCCCGGCCCCGCGCAUACCUCAACCGCCGUUGGCCCCGACCGGAUCACCAGGACGGGACCAAGGAGUGAGGGGCUACAUGACCAGUUAGGCUCCUGAGUCGCGAUGCUCAGGAGUCCCCCUUGACGUUCAAACGACCUUCAUACCUUAGUUCCGCUCGGGGAGGGGCGCGCGACGACCAGGUCUGGAGGACCUGGCUGUGUGGCGCACGCUCGGGCGUGACCCGGGCACAGCCCCCGUGCCCAGCCCCCUCACGCAACGCUCCCGAGGGGAGGUGUUGCGAUGAGGCCAGACACUGAGCUCUGGGGCUCCCGAGGUUGAUACGGCCGUGGGGCCGCCCUCAGUUGUUUAUCACCAGUGUGGAGCAUAGUGCUUCCGUAUGUGUACGGUGUUGGAAAUAUGCCCUAGAGGCAAUAAUAAAUAUGUUAUUAUUAUAUUUCUUUGUUCAUGAUAAUAGUCUUUUAUUCAUGCUAUAACUGUAUUAUCCGGAAAUCGUAAUACACGUGUGAAUACAUAGACCACAAUAUGUCCCUAGUGAGCCUCUAGUUGACUAGCUCGUUAUGAUCAACAAAUAGUCAUGGUUUCCUGGCUAUGGACAUUGGAUGUCGUUGAUAACGGGAUCACAUCAUUAGGGGAAUGAUGUGAUGGACAAGACCCAAUCCUAAGCCUAGCACAGAUCGUGUAGUUCGUAUGCUAAAGCUUUUCUAAUGUCAAGUAUCUUUUCCUUAGACCAUGAGAUUGUGCAACUCCCGGAUACCGUAGGAAUGCUUUGGGUGUACCAAACGUCACAACGUAACUGGGUGGCUAUAAAGGUGCAUUACAGGUAUCUCCGAAAAUAUCUGUUGGGUUGGCACGAAUCGAGACUGGGAUUUGUCACUCCGUGUAAACGGAGAGGUAUCUCUGGGCCCACUCGGUAGGACAUCAUCAUAAUGUGCACAAUGUGACCAAGGGGUUGAUCACGGGAUGAUGUGUUACGGAACGAGUAAAGAGACUUGCCGGUAACGAGAUUGAACAAGGUAUCGGUAUACCGACGAUCGAAUCUCGGGCAAGUAAAAUACCGCUAGACAAAGGGAAUUGUAUACGGGAUUGAUUGAGUCCUUGACAUCGUGGUUCAUCCGAUGAGUUCAUCGUGGAACAUGUGGGAGCCAACAUGAGUAUCCAGAUCCCGCUGUUGGUUAUUGACCGGAGAACGUCUCGGUCAUGUCUACAUGUCUCCCGAACCCGUAGGGUCUACACACUUAAGGUUCGAUGACGCUAGGGUUAUAAAGGAAGUUUGUAUGUGGUUACCGAAUGUUGUUCGGAGUCCAGGAUGAGAUCCCGGACGUCACGAGGAGUUCCGGAAUGGUCCGGAGGUAAAGAUUUAUAUAUGGAAAGUUGUUGUUCGGCUUCCGGAAAAAGUUCGGGUUUUUUCGGUAUUGUACCGGGAAGCUUCCAGGAGGUUCCGGAGGAUUCCGGAGGGGUCCGGAGGUCCGGAAAUUGUUCCACCACGUCCAAUACAGUAGCAUGGGCUGUAAGGGGGAGCCCUAGCCUUUAUGGGCCAAGGGAACCAGCCCCCCAAGGCCCAUGCGCAUGGGAAGGGGGAAACCCUAAAGGGGGAGGCCUCCACUUGACUUGGGAGGCACUCCUCCCCCCUUGGCCGCACCCCUUGUGGUGGGAAACCCUAAAGGGGGCGCAGCCCCCCCUUCCCCCUAUAUAUAGUUGAGGUUUGGGGCUGCUAAACACAUGAGAACUUCUCCUCUUGGUGCAGCCCUACCUCUCUCCCUUCUCCUCAUAUCUCGCGGUGCUUGGUGAAGCCCUGCAGGGUUGCCACGCUCCUCCACCACCACCACGCCGUUGUGCUGCUGUUGGAUGGAGUCUUCCUCAACCUCUCCCUCUCUCCUUGCUGGAUCAAGGCAUGGGAGACGUCACCGGGCUGUACGUGUGUUGAACACGGAGGUGCCGUCCGUUCGGCACUAGGAUCUCCGGUGAUUUGAAUCACGACGAGUACGACUCCUUCAACCCCGUUCUCUUGAACGCUUCCGCUUAGCGAUCUACAAGGGUAUGUAGAUGCACUCUCCUUCCCCUCGUUGCUGGUUUCUCCAUAGAUAGAUCUUGGUGACACGUCGGAAAAUUUUGAAUUUCUGCUACGUUCCCCAACAUACGGGCAUAGCCGCUCCUUGGUAGUGUCAUCUGCCAGCGCGGAGCAUGAUGCUUCCACUGGUGCAUGGGAGGGGUGCUCCCUCUAAGGAGAGCCCUCGAGGCGUGUGCAGCACCACCCUGGCAUGUGGCUUGCACGGCAGGGCUAAACGAGGUGUAUCUGGGCACUCAUGAGCCAGCACGGGACUCACGAGGCCCUACCUCAAGGUGGGUUGCGCCUGGUCUUGGAUCUUUGACAACUGUGUGUUCUUGCGAGAUGGUUAGGUAUAAAUGCUCUGCAUCCUCAGGUCCAAACCCUCGAGCGAUCUCAACCGCCGCUGGUAUGCCAGGUUGCGAUAUCAUGGUUAAGGCCAGGGGGUGAGAGCCAAUAAGAGCUCCUGAGUUGCGAUGCUCAGGAGCCCCCCUUUUAACGCGCAAGCGAACUGCAUGAGAGAGGAAGGGAGCCAUGGUAGGUGGUAAUCGAGAAGGUGAUAAUCACAUGUAGAUUAGGCAUGAAAAGCAACCAACUUAGGUAAAUGCAGAAUUUAUACAUGCCACUAGGUCAGACCCAAGCCAUCGGCGUUCUGGGAACGGGGGUCCCCAGACUUGCCUGCCUACGGCGUGGCUCCAUCGGUGGCCCAGUACGGCCCGUCUUCAUCAACCAACACUCAAGACCCUCGUGAGGGGCCAAGCCUCGCGGGGCGGACGACACAAGGCCUCCUUAGGACUGGCCUCGCCAGGCAGGCUCCCGAGGAGGCAGAUCAAGGCAAGGGGAACCUCGCGAGGUUCCCAUGACACAAGCUGUGACGAUCGAGACCAGGCGGGCGCCAGGCCGCGCAGUGUCCUCGUUUCCUCUUCGGGGUAAAGGGGGCAAGCGCAGGCGCGGAGUACUGAGGCAUCGGGCAAAGGUUUCUAUAUCGGUGCAACAAGACCAAAGACCAGCAGGACGGCUGGAUAGAGGUCACCGUGGACCCCAAGACAGCGUCAUCACCAGCACCUUUGGCAGGAGAACACCACCUUUAGUCAGGAUAGCUUGUACUAGUUGUCCCCUUUCAAACUGGCCGUUGUUGGAUCCCUUCCCGUUCAAUAUUUGGGAAGAGGACCAGGGCCUCUAUAAAUAGGGAUAGCCACCACAGUAGAAGGACAAGUUGAGUUCAUCCGCACACCACACCACCUCAAUAACACCUCUCCUCGCGAGGCUGUUCUUCCUCUAUACUGUUCAUCAUCAGUCGAGGAGGCAAUCAACCACCACACACAGGAGUAGGGUAUUACACCACAACGGUGGCUUGAACCUCUAUAAAUCUUGUGUCUCUUGUGCUUUGAGUUCAUCGAUCUAGCUUAGGGAUUGGGGCGAGGCUGAGAGCGAGAUUCGGUAGGAGGAGAUCUUCAUGCGCACCCCAGUGUUCGAACCUUAAGGGUUUUGUCGGAACCCGAUAUCCGUCACAAGCGCUUGGGAAUGAUGCAGCCCGAGGGGCGCCCCCAUCAACGUAAGCUAAAGGAUAAAAAAGAGAUACAUGCCGCAGGGAUGGACCCACGCGGCCUGGGAAUGAUGCGGCCCUGAGGGCACUCCCAGCUGAAAUGAACUUGGGAGAUGUCACCUUUUUCGUUAUAGAGCGGGUGUUGGGGCAGCUGAAGAUGUGCGGUGAAGACCCCGACCCUCACGAGCCACCUGGGCCCUAAGCCUUAGGAGGCUCUGGGGGUCCAGGUGGUUCCAUGAGGACCAUCUCCAUCUCUGCUAGGACCGCGUGGUGCCUGGCCUCCUGAGCCACCAGGAUGCUCUACAGGUGACGCUGGUAGGUGGCAGCCGCGUUCGGUAGGCCGAAAGACAUGCAAACAUAGCUAUGCGGCGGACCCUCCUAGUGUCCCACGCGCGAAGGCCAGAAGAGCUCCUGAGAUGUGGCUUGGUUUAGCCCUGGAAUGUCGAUGCAGACGCGCAGCCCACCAUCCUCGCCUGGAUGGGGAGCUACGCCAGGCGAGCGGUAGUCGCCAUGCACGACCCUCGCUUCCUGAAGAUCCUGAGUGGUCUUGGCAAUGCACUCCUGAACGUUGGGCUUUCCAUGCCCUGUGUCUUCCUGAGGGAAACAUGUUGUGGAGCACGCCUCCAAGUGGUGCCUGAGCGCCUCCCUCGUGAUGUUGGCGAGGUCUAAGGCCCUCUAGAAGAGAGCCCCCGAGCCUUGCCCAAGGAGGGUGCCGGGCGCGCCUUUCUAUGUGAUGGAAGGAGGUGCCCCAGGCACAGGCGCUGAUCCUGACGCGGCACCACCCGAGAUGCCGACCUCCUGAGGCCUUGUGCGGAGCGGUUGCUUCUUCUUCUUAGGGAUGGCCUCAGGAGGGUUCUCGCCCUUGCUAUCCGGGUCCUCGAUUGCUGCGGCUUGGAAGGCACAUUCGAGGGAACACACCGCAUCUCUCUCUUCGCAGGGGACCGGAUGACUCCGGUGCUUCCUGGCAUCUUGAGGACGUUGUAUCCGUGGUGGGUCACUGCCAUGAACUUGGCCAGGGCAGGAUACCCGAGGAUGGCAUUGUAUGGCAGGUGGAUGUGGGCGAUGUCGAAGUCGAUGAGCUCGGUGCGGUAGUUGUCACGCUAUUCGAAGGUGACACGGAGGCAGACCUGCCCUAUCGGGGUGGUGGAACCGUCAGUGACUCCUGAGAAAGGCUUGGUAGGCUGGAGCUGAUCGUAUGGCACUUGAAGGUUGUCGAACAUCUCAAUAGAUAAGACGUUAAGCCCGCGCCGCCAUCGAUGAGGGUCUUGGUGACUUGCACAUUGCUGAUGAUUGGUGAACAGAGCAUCGAGAGAAAGCCAGCAGUAGCCGCGCACUUGAGUUGAUCUGCCGAGCUGAAGUUGAUGGCGCACUUGGACCACCUGAGCGGGCGUGUGGUCUCGAGCCUGGGAAGGGCUGCGUUCACCUCACGAGCAAACUGCUUGAAGAUACGCUGAGAGGACGGGGCCUGAGCUCCGCCCAAGAUGCAAGCGCUAGCACGUGGCUCCUGGAAGGCCCCAGCCCCCUCGUCCUAAUGAUGGUCGUCAUUCCUUCUUGGCGGCGGCAGCAGCGGAAGAAGGCCUGCGUUACCCUGGGGGCGGUCCUCACGAGGUUGAUCCCUCCAGGCGCCCUCACGAGGCCGGUCCCUCUAGGUGCCCUCACAAGGCUGGUCACGCCACUCCUGGCGAGGGCCACGGUCGUCCCAUCGUCCUCCGCCAUGUCCUCCUCCUCGGCCGUAGCCCCGGUAGUUUCCCUCGGGGCGUCGACCGAAGCGUCCUUCUCAAACGGCCCUGAGCUCCUGGCAAUCGUUAGUGUAGUAGGUGUGGAGGUUUUGGUAGGCGCAGAACGGUCAGCUGCCCUUGGACGACUCCGGAUGGUCCCUACCACACUUCAUGUCGGGCUCCGCCGCGAGCACGGCCACUCCCUUGCUCUUCACGUCCUUAGCCUUGGUCUUCUUUUCUUCCGGGUCGGCAGCUGGGAGCUCAAGGAGGGAGAGGCGUCCCUCCUCAGCUAUUGCACACUUGGUCGCCAGGUUGAACAGCUCCAGGGAUGUGCAUAACUCCUCAUGGAUGGUGAGCUUCUCCUUCAUAUUGAUGUCAUGGACGCCAUCAGAGAACGCUGAGAUGAUGGCCUUGUCCGUCACCUUGGGGAUCUUGAGGUGGACGCUGUUGAAGCGCUAGAUGUAUUUCUGCAGGGUCUCCCCGGGCUGCUGCUUGAUGCGGCGCAGGUCACCCAUGGCCGGGGGGCGGUCGCGAGUGCCCUUGAAGUUGGCGAUGAAGCGGCUGCGCAUCUCGUCCUAGGAGGAGAUCGAUCCGGGAGGCAAGUUCAGGAGCCACGAGUGGGCAUCGUCCUUGAGUGCCAUGGGAAACCAAUUCGCCAUGACUUUCUCGUCGCCUUUGCCCGCCUCAAUGCUCAGCUCGUAGAGCUCAAGAACUCCAUGGGGUCGGGGGUGCCGUCAUAGCGAGGAGGUAGGUCCGGCUUGAACUUGCCCGACCAGGCGACACUAUGCAGCUCGGGGGUGAAGGUGCGGCAGCCUGCUGUGGUCACCGGGGCCCUUUGCUGAUGCGGAGCUUGCUCUUGAUGGUACCCGCGCACCGCGGCCAUGGGCAGUACGUGGUCUUGUCGUGCCGGUGCGGGAGCACGGGGGUGCCUCUCGAGGCCGAGGGAUUUCUUGAUAGCUUCCUCCUUCUCGCGCGGGCGCCGGACGCGAUGGGUCACGCCCGGGGGCCACGCGCCUUGGCGCCAGGGCGCCGUCUUGGGGCAGAGGUGUUGGAGGCGCUUCAUGAGCCACGUCGCCCAUACCUGGCGGAGGGCGAGGCAACGAGAGGGACGGCGUGGGAGAGCCCCCUGCGGCGCUGACGAGCUCGGUGAUGCGAGCGAGAAAUUCCUUGUAGAGGUCAUCGACGGGGCGGUAACGCGGGAGCUCGCGUGCCAUAAGCAGCGCGGCCUACGUGUCUGUGGGGGCGCGACGAGCGUGGGACGAUGAACCGGCUGGGGUCAGCGAUGGAGUGGCGGUGUGGCCGUCCCGCCGCACCGAGGUGUGCAGCGAGGAUGCUUCCUACUCAUUCCUCGCUGGGCCGGUGGCAGCGUUGGUGGCAGGAAACGGAGAACAACUUGGAGGCCCGCCGACAGGAGCCGUCUGGGCGAGCGAGCGGUGAGAGCAGCCCGACGCUCAGCGCAGGAUCGGCAGGCGUCAGACAUGGAUGCGACAAGCGAUGGGACAUGGAUCAGUGGAAGGAAGACUUCGGUGCACCCCUACCUGGCGCGCCAAAUGUCGGAUCUAGGGUUCCGGCAAAACCCUUGACAUUCGAACACUGGGGUGCGCACGAAGAUUUCCCCCUACCGAAUAUCGCCCUCAGCCUCGCCGCGAUUUCUAAGCUUAGCUCGAUGAACUCACAACACAAGAGACACAACAUUUAUACAGGUUCGAGCCACCGUUGUGGUGUAAUACCCUACUCCUGUGUGGUGGUGGUGGAUUGCCUCUUGGGCUGGUGAUGAAUAGUACAAGGGAAGAACAACCUCCUGAGGAGAGGUGUUCUUGUGCUUGGUGGGUUGUGUUCUACUUGUUCUUGUUUUGGUCCCCUUCUACUGUGGUGUCUAGUCCUAUUUAUAGAGGCCCUGGUCCUCUUUCCAAAUAUUGAGCGGGAAGGGAUCCAACAACGGCCAAUUUGAAAGGGGACAGCUAGUACAAGCUAUCCUGACUAAAGGUGGUCUUCGCCUGUCAAAGGCGCUGGUGGUGACGCCGUCUUGGGCUUCAUGAUGACCUCCGUCCUGCCGUCCUGCUGGUCUUGGUCUUGGUAAACCGAUAUGGAAACCUUUGCCUGAUGCCUCGGUACUCCGCGCCUGCGCGUGCCCCCUUAGAACCAAAGGGGAAAUGAGGAAACUGUGUGCGCUGGAGCCCGCCUGGCCUUAGUCUUCAUGUCUUGCGUCAUGGAAACCUCGCAAGGUACCCCUUGCCUUGAUCUCUCCGCCCCCUCGCGAGCCUGCCUGGUGAGGCCGCUCCUCGGGAGGCCUCGUGUCGUCCGCCUCGUGAGUCUUGGCCCCUCAUGAGGGUCUUGAGUGUUGGUUGACAAAGACGGGCUGUACUGGGCCACUGGUGGAGCUACGCCAUGGACCACAAGCAGGCAUGUCUGGGAACCCCUGUCGGUGUCAAAACCGGCGGAUCUCGGGUAGGGGGUCCCGAUCUGUGCAUCUUAGGCUGAUGGUAACAGGAAGCAAGGGACACAAUGUUUACCUAGGUUCGGGCCCUCUCGAUGGAGGUAAAACCCUACUUCCUGCUUGAUUAAUAUUGAUGAUAUGAGUAGUACAAGAGUAGAUCUACCACGAGAUCAUAGAGGCUAAACCCUAGAAGCUAGCCUAUGAUGAUUAUGAUUGUAGUUGUGACCGGCCUUCUAAGGACCAACCUCUCCGGUUUAUAUAGACGCCGAAGAGGGCUAGGGUUUACAUGGAGUCGGUUACAAGGAAGGAAAUAUAAUAUCCGGAUCACCAAGCUUGUCUUCCAUGCCAAGGAGAGUCCCAUCCGGACACGGGACGAAAUCUUGAGUCUUGCAUCUUCACGCUCCAAUAGUCCGGACGAUGUAUAUAGUCUGGCUGUCCGGAUACCCCCUAAUCCAGGACUCCCUCAGUAGCCCCUAAACCAGGCUUCAAUGAAGAUGAAUCCGACGCGCAGUCCUAUCUUCGGCAUUGCAAGGUGGGUUCCUUCUCUGAAUACUCCAAAGUAAUUAUAGAACACGUAAACUGUGUCCGGACCUGCAAAAUGAUCUUCACAUACCACCGUAGAGAGAAUGAUAUUUCAGCUGACAACUUUUCAGACAACGUGAUAUGUCAUUACGGUCGGGUCUUUGUUCGAACCGUUUUCCCACAACUAGCCACAACGCGUAUUGCGAGGCGGUUUCCUUGACACCUCUUGUCAUAGCAGAGAUCGUGUCCCCUUAUCACAGGAUUCUCAUCAAUACGGGUAUGGGUAAUCCCAUCGCGCCAUCAAUCGUGGCGCUUGGGAAGUAAGCGAUUCUCAACGGGCAAGUGAGGAGGCGCACCGCUUUCGUCGCCUCUAUAAAGGGAUAAAGGAUCCCCAUUUUCGCCCACACCUUCCUCCUCCUUUGCUCAUACUUGCCUCCUCGAGCUCCAAUGCCCUAGUCAAAGUCUUCUCCGCAUAGCUGAAUAUGUCCGGAGCAGGAGGCAAGUAGGUGGCUUCCACCGUGAAGGAGAAGCAUAUCGCGAGUCUUCGGGCGGCCGGAUACUUGGCCACAGACAUAGCGCACCAGCUAUCGGACGACGGGCAGGUCAGUCCAACCACGGGACCCCAUGAGAGGGUCGUGUUUCUCGCCCACUUCGUCCGUGGACUGGGAUUUCUGCUUCAUCCCUUCGUCCGCGGGCUCAUGUUCUACUACGGGCUAGAUUUCCAUGAUCUAGCCCCAAACUUCGUCCUCAACAUCUCGGUGUUUAUCGUCGUAUGCGAGGCCUUCCUCCACAUCAAGCCUCACUUUGUCUUGUGGCUACAAAACUUCUGCGUGAAGCCAACGAUCAUGAGGGGCCAGCAAGAGGAUUGCGGAGGGGCCAUGGUGGGCAAGAUGCCUAAUGUCACCUGGCUUGACGGCUCCUUCACGGAGACCGUGAAAGGGUAGCAAUCGGGGUGGUUCUACAUCACCGAGCCGCGCGACGCCAACUGGGCGGCGGCCCCCGAAUUCCGAUCUGGAACCCCCAUGCGGCUCACCUCCUGGGAAAAGAAGGGCCUAGCCUAGGGCGAACCUGUGUAGCUGACCGGACUCCAAAACUGCCUCAAGAAUAUGAAGGACAAGAACAUCAAGCUUGUCAACGUGAUACAUGUCAUGCUCGUUCGCCGGAUUCUUCCGUGCCAAAGGCGGGUGUUUAAUCUAAGGGAGUUCGUCCCGACCGAACACCAGACGCUUCGAAAGCUCUAUGGAAUGAAGCACAAAGACACAUGGAAGGCGCUGUUCAAGGCCUCUGAAGUACCUCCUCCCAUAUCCGAUGACCGUGGACUUCAUGCCGCGCGGCCUCCUCGUCCGGUGAGUUUUCUGACUACCACCGGAUUCAGUUCUUCCCAAUGUAUUCGUGGGGGAGUCUUAAGUAAUUGUGCAUAUUUGAUCAGGAUUAUGUGGAGAAAGCGAAGCGGAUUGACUGUCCGGCUCCGCUGCCCGAAGGUCCAGCCGAUGCUCUCCUGACGUAGAUGCUAGUUCCGACGCCCUACAAGGCACCGGAGAAGAAGGCCAAAAAGAAGGCCCCGGGGACCAGGAAGGGUCUCCGGCGUAAAGUUGUACCGGAGGCCUCGUUCAACGAUGACGAGGCACACUCCUCCCCCGAAGGGGAGGAAGAAGAGGAAGAGGCCGCCCCAUCCGGAUAGGACGGGGGGCCUGAGAAGGCGGACCAGGGGCUAGGACAGGCUCCCGGCGCAAGGCCGUCAUACCCUCGUCGUCCGACAACGACGAAGCAGAUACCUCCCGCGGAGGCGGGGGNNNNNNNNNNNNNNNNNNNNNNNNNNNNNNNNNNNNNNNNNNNNNNNNNNNNNNNNNNNNNNNNNNNNNNNNNNNNNNNNNNNNNNNNNNNNNNNNNNNNNNNNNNNNNNNNNNNNNNNNNNNNNNNNNNNNNNNNNNNNNNNNNNNNNNNNNNNNNNNNNNNNNNNNNNNNNNNNNNNNNNNNNNAGAGGAAAGCCGCCCCGGAGGGGGAGGCUGGGAUAUCCAAGAAGGGAAAGGUGUCCCUUCCGGACUACUCCACCACCGCCGCUGAUAGCGAGGAGGGGUGGCUGCCCAGGGGAAGCCCUUAGCACGACCGUAAGUAUCCGCACUCUAUUGUGAUUUUUCUUCAUAGUAUUGUUAUAAUGCUGAACUUGUAUACAGUCCGGCCAGGGUCCAUCCCAAGGUGUCGUCUUCGGAUGGGUCCUUGAGCGAUUCAGUGAUGAACUCGCUUCCGACGGCCACUACUCCUCAGCCUGCGGAUGACAUGGAGGUGUUGUCCCAAAGUCUCCCAAAGCGGGGGGAGGUGACUGGAGGUGCCUCAAGGCGGAUUUCCAGACAUCGGACAUGCGGGGUUCAAGAUCCCCGCGGAUCGUGUUGAUGAGAGCCGCAGUAAGACAGGCUCUCAGCCGAAUACUAUUCCGGAACCUCCAGUGGUUCUGGACUCAGGCUUGCAGCCCCUCAUUAGGGAGGGUGAGCCGUCUGUGCCGAGGACUUCCGCUACGCCUGAGGCGUCAGAUUGUCUGCUAGAAGCGCUUCGCGACGCUUCGAUGGAUGAAGAGCACCGUACUCUUAUGAGUGCGGUGAUUCAGAAGGUUUUGUCUGCCAAGAGCGGACUAACCGAAGCUUGCACCAGCCUCCUGAUAGGCUUUGAGGUAAGUAAUAAAAAUGUGUGAAAUUACCACCUGAUAGGUAGUAGCCCCUGAUACUCUGUUUGGUGUUCAAAAAGAAAAAUCAAACGGAGGUUCAAUUAUAAUCUACAGGAGUCUAAUAAUAAGUGUGAAUGUGAAUAAGCAGGCUAUGCUACUUACUGAUGCUGUCCGCACAGCCGAGAUCGCUAGACUAAAAUGGGACCUAUAGCAGGCGCACGGAUAGCUCGACCUCACGAAGAGGCAGCUCGAAGGGAACAAAGGUGAGUGAUUCCCUGCUCUCAUAUAAUGAAGGAUAGAUAAAAUUGGUUAUUCUAACGACGAAGCAUCGUGAUUUUGUAACAGGGGCCACCACCGAAGUGGCGUCUCUAAAGAAAGCGAUGUCCGAGGCCAAAGACAAGGUGGCCUUGGAACGCAAGGGGCGUGAAAAGCAAGAUGCUAGAGUGGGCGAGGUACAUAGAGAGCUCCAGGAGCUCGGAAAGAAGUUCGAGUCCGUGGAGCAUGAGCUUAAGGUGAAAGAGGCCGAGCUUGCGAAGGCCCUCGCUAGUAUAAAAGACGCCAAGGCCAAAGCCGAGAAGUCACAACAGGAAAUCCAGGAGGCCAAAAAGAUAGCGGCGGGUAAGAAAUUCUUUAUGCAAAGCAAGCAUGUGGAGGAGGCGUUUCUUUUACUGCUGCAGCAUAUCAGAUGCUGCAGAGUUCUACCAUGCCGAGGAUGGGAGCGCGAUGGAGAAGCUGUUCUGGUCCCAGUAUGCUGGGACCGAACAUCCAACGCUUCUGAGUGACCAACUGAAGCAGUUGGUUGAAGUUCACAGGGCGGCCAAAGUGGCUAUGAAGGAUUUCAUAGUCCGGAUGUGGCCCGGUGAGCCCUUGCCUACUAGCUACUUCGGCCUGAUCAAGUGGAUGGUGAAUGCCUGUCCGUGGCUUGAAGUGAUCAAACAAUCCAUUUGCAUUGAGGGUGCUCGCCUGGCCUUUUCCCGUGUGAAGGUGCAUUGGGGCAAGCUUGAUGCGGAGAAGCUGGUAAAGGACGGGCCGCCGGAGGGCAAGGCGCAUCGCUGUCCCGAGAAAUAUUAUGAUGUCGUUAUGAAGGCGCUCGUCUCGUGGUCGAUGAAUGUACCAAGGACACAAUUUUAGAAUGAAUUCACUUCUGUCAUGUUUGUAAUAUCAGGAGAAGUUACUUGCACUCUGUAGCGCUUUCUGAUUUAAAAUAUUAUCUUCUGUGCGGCUGUUUAUAAAAUUCUGAAAGUAGGCCAUUCGUCGGCUUCUGCCCCUAGGUAACUAGUACUGGGGUGUUCGUGGAAAUCCCAGACACUCUUUAUCCAAAUGUUUGGUCCCUAAAGGAGGUGUCUAGCGCAACGGACAAGGCAAUCAGACUAUGCGGCUUUAUAACCUUCACUUAGCCAUAGAAGUCUACAAUUUUAAAUUUUGGCGAAGCCUCUAGAAUUUGGAAGGCCGGACUGGGGUGCUAUAUACGCCUAAAUCGGACGAGGCCGAUUCCUCGCCUAAAGCAGAAAAAAUCUUUAAGGAUUUUAAGACCUCUCAAACAGCGACCAGCUCUCGCCACAUCAUGCCGGUAAGUUUUUGGCUUUCUCUACUGAGGUGCUCGUCCGGAAGAACUGGGACACAAUUGCAGUAGUUCUCCCUGCGCUACCUUAGCCGAUAUAACGGAACGUAAUGUACCAAAACAAGGGAGCCGGGCUAACCCAACUGUGGACCCAAGACAUGAUACGGAGCUGAUGCAUAUAGUGCUAUAAGUUCGGGGUGCAGCACUGUUGAAAGUGUUCGUACUUUGCUUGCCGUAUUGCGGGGUGCCAUAAGAAGCCCCUAACAAAAUAAACGUACCAAAGUGUACGGAUGCAAUAGUAAAUAAUCAUUUAUAGAAAAAAUGUGCAGAUAUGAAUAAUAAGCGGACGCUAUAUAUGAUCUCCCAUCGAUGAAUAAUACGUUUAAGCGUAUGUUUACAAUGGGUGCGUUUACGCAAAAGUAAAUAGGACUAUUUAACAUGUCCUAUCCAAGGGCAGGCUGCAUGUAGGUAUAUAAAACAGGUAUAACGAUCGUGAACAGAUUCCACCUGGGUAUUUCCUUUUGUGCGCAAAUCCUGUUGCCUCCUUGAUUUUCUCUCCUAUGUAAGUCCGACAAUCCGGCUCUUCUGAAGAGGCUGCCCUAAAGCAAUGUCCUGAAAGAUAAAAAGGGAGGGUUAUGAAGGUAUGUUGCGGUGAUACAACACUGUUGACUGAGUGACUGCUGAGCCUCCGCCUGUGCCCAUGGUAUUUUGAGUGCGUAAUUGUGUACGCGUGGCACGAAUGCUGCUUUGAUGGGGCUUGAGCGGAUGCCGGACUGCUAGUCGCGCUCUUGGCGUGCCUGGUGAUGUUUUUAUGGGGUGCUCCGGACUCGCUUGAUGGUGCUUGAGGUUGUCGUCACCGAAUUGGUGGUUUGUCGGAGGAGGCCGCAUUGUACUUCCGCUGCGAGGGCUGCAGUAUGCUCUUCUGUACGGAGAGAGCGGUCCAUAUUUCCGUUGACUGUUAUGACCCCGCGCAGUCCUGGCAUCUUGAGCUUGAGGUAUGCAUAGUGUGGUACCGCAUUGAAUCUAGCGAAUGCGGUUCGUCCGAGCAGUGCGUGGUAUCCACUACGGAAAGGGACGAUAUCGAAGAUUAACCCUUCGCUUCAGAAGUUAUUCGGAGAUCCAAAGACCACUUCCAAUGUUGUAGAGCCCGUUCAACGGGCCUCUACUCCAGGAAUUACACCUUUAAUGGUGGUUUUGGUGGACUUGAUCCUUCAAGGGUCGAUGCCCAUUUUGCGCACUGUGUCUUGAUAAAGCGGGUUCAGGCUGCUGCCGUCGUCCAUAAGGACUCGCGUGAGGUGGAAUCUGUCGAUGAUUGGCUCUAGGACCAAUGCGGCUGAGCCGCCGUGACGGAUGCUAGUAGGGUGAUCCCUAUGAUCAAAGGUGAUCGGACAAGCUGACCAUGGGUUGUAUUUGGGGGCGACUGGUGUCACGCCCAAUAUGUGAUACUAUCCUAAAGAGACUCGAAGGUCCCACCAAGGAUAGAACCACAUAUUGAAACACUUCUGCAAGGUGGAUAUCAUUACAUCAACAUUACAUAAAAGAUGGGGAUACAUACAAGAGGCAUACAAUGCCACCCGAAUAGAACAUCAUCUUACAUAAGAGCACCAUCUGACUACGGAUGAAACACAAACAGAAACUCAAACGACAUCCACCCUGCUAGCCCAGGCUGCCGACGUGGAACCUAUCCCCUGAUCGAAGAAGAAGCAGAAGAAUAACUCCAAACAAGCAAACACCGCUCUCGUGUCAUGAUCAUCACCUAACCUGUACCUGCAACUGUUGGUGUAGUAAUCUGUGAGCCACGAGGACUUAGUAAUCCCAUUACCAUGGGUAUCAAGACUAGCAAAGCUUAAUGGGAAAGGAAGGGGUAAAGUGGUGAGGUUGCAGCAGCGGCUAAGCAAGUAUGGUGGCUAACAUACGCAAAUAAGAGUGAGAAGAGAAGCAAAGGAACAGUCGUCAACUAGUAAUGAUCAAGAAGUGAUCCUGAACUCCUACUUACGUCAAUCAUAACCCAAAACCGUGUUCACUUCCCGGACUCCGCCGAAAAGAGACCAUCACAGCUACACACGCGGUUGAUGCAUUUUAAUUCGGAUCUGGUGUCAAGUUAUCUACAACCGGACAUUAACAAAUUCCCAUCUUCCCAUAACCGCGGGCACGGCUUUCGAAAGUUUAUACCCUGCAGGGGUGUCCCAACUUAGCCCAUGAUAAGCUCUCGCGAUCAACGAAGGAUAUACCUUCUCCCAGGAAGACCCGAUCAGACUCGGAAUCCCGGUUUACAAGAUAUUUCGACAAUGGUAAAACAAGACCAGCAAAGCCGCCCGAUGCACCGACAAUCCUGAUAGGAGCUGCACACAUCUCGUUCUCAGGGCAACACCGGAUGAGCAAUCCGUACAACUAAAACCAGACCUCAAUUUUCCCUGAGGGGGCGCUGUAAAGGGCUCUAGUUNNNNNNNNNNNNNNNNNNNNNNNNNNNNNNNNNNNNNNNNNNNNNNNNNNNNNNNNNNNNNNNNNNNNNNNNNNNNNNNNNNNNNNNNNNNNNNNNNNNNNNNNNNNNNNNNNNNNNNNNNNNNNNNNNNNNNNNNNNNNNNNNNNNNNNNNNNNNNNNNNNNNNNNNNNNNNNNNNNNNNNNNNNNNNNNNNNNNNNNNNNNNNNNNNNNNNNNNCCGGAAACCCAAGGGAAAAAGGGCUAUGUGAGGCAAAUGGUAAAACCAAGGUUGGGCCUUGCUGGAGUUGUUUUAUUCAAAGCGAACUGUCAAGGGGGUCCCAUAAAUCACCCAACCGCGUAAGGAACGCAAAAUCCAGGAACAUAACACCUGUAUAACGGAAACUAGGGCGGCAAGAGUGGAACAAAUCACCAGGCAUAAGGCUGAGUCUUCCACCCUUUACCAAGUAUAUAGAUGCAUUAAUAAUAUAAGAGAUAUUGUGAUAUCCCAACAUAAUCCUGUCCACCAAGGAGCAAUCUUCAACUUCACCUGCAACUAACAAUGCUAUAAGAGGGGCUUAGCAAAGCGGUAACAUAGCCAAGCAACGGUUUGCUAGGAAGGGUGUCAAAGGUUAGAGGUUCAUGGCAAUUGGGGAGGCUUGAAGAGCAAAUGAUAGGUAACACAACAUAGCGAUAGAAUGAAGCAACUAGCAUAGCAAUGAUAGUAGUGAGAUCCAGGGAAAUGGUCAUCUUGCCUGAAAUCCCGCAAGGAAGAAGAACGAGUCCAUGAAGAAGAUGAACCAACAUAGUCGAACGAAUCCUCACGAUCGCAACAUUACCAGAACUAAGAAGCAACACCGGAAAGAAGCAAGCAACAUGGUAAAUGCACAAGCAUAAACAUGGCAUGAUGCACAAACAAGUAUGAUGCAUGUCUGGUUUAAAUAGCAUGGCUUGGCAAAGUGAACAAGCAGUACUACAAGUUAAGUGGAGAUCAACAUGCAACGAGUUGCAUAUUGAAAAAACACCACAUUGACAUAUUUAGUUUAAUCUCGUUUAAGCUACCAAACAAUAUUAAAUGUUGUUAAACAUGGCAAGAGGGGAAGCAUAAUUAAGCUACCUAUCUAGGCAAGUUUAAAUGAGGCCCGAACAACAAACAAUAAUUCCGGAAAAUCCCCAUGUGCAUAUUUUGAAUUAGCUAUUGUUCUUCACUAAAACAUAUUUUAAAGUUGUUAAACAAGAAAAUAAAGUGGACCAUGUUAAACUAGGCAUUUUUCCACCCCAUUUACAUAUAAAGUUUAUUUAAAACGGAGCUACAGUUAUUUAGUUAUGAAAUAAAUCAUUUUAACAUGGCAUUUGAGCAAAUUUAAACAAACAGCAUUUUAAACAUUUUAAACAUGGAUGAAACCAGCAUACUAUGAAACUAGAUGAAAUUCUAAGCAUUUUACAUAUAUAAAGUUUUUACAUAUGAUGCAUGGUUGAUGAGUUAUUAAAUGCAUGAACUCUAGGGACUAUUCUACAAAACAGUAAAUCACUAGAUAAUAGAGAAAAUCGCAGCGCUGGGAAAAAAACUAUGCGGGCCAAAUCUGGCUAGGCCAACGGUGUACAGGAGAGGGGCUGGAGGGGCGCUCACCCAUGGGCUUGGCCCGGCUCGAUGAGGAGGGCACUGGCUAGGCCGGACAGGGACGAGGCCCACGAGGCCGGGUCAGCGGUCACAGGGUCUUGGCGCUGCAUGCAUUCCAGGACGAUGAGCGGGCGAAGCAGGCGACAACGGGCAGCAAACAGGAGGGGUGCCAGCGGCGGGGACGGGCCCUGCCGGCGGGAUCCUGCCGUGAAUGGGCAAGGGCGGCGGAGGCCGACCAGAUCUGGCGGGUGGCCAUGGUGGAACUUGGCGAUGAGGCGACCUGCGCGAAGCUUCUGCGAGGCUCCCAUGGAGGCUCUGCUGUUCGACCUGAAGAGAGAGGGGUCACGAUGUGAGGGAGAGAGAAGAGCAGAGGAGGAAGGAAGGAGAAGGGCAGAGGCGAGGGGCACGGCCUGCUGGUCCGGUCGGUGCGGACGAGGAGAAGGCAGGGCCUCGGGCGCGGGGCGGUCAGGACGUGGUGGCGGCGGCGAGGUUGGAGGCGGGCGACGACGGGCGAGCUCGGGCUCAUGGGCAGAGAAGGAGCAUGGCACAAGGGCUUGGGUGCUGCUGCUCAUCACCGGCGGGAAGGCACGGCUAGCUGCGCGAGAUGGAGGCACACGGGAGGAGGUUGCGGCCAGCGGGCGGAGCAGACGAAGCCGAGCGCUCCUGCUCGGGGUCUCGGGCAAACGUACUGUAGGCACGUGGGGUGGCUGCGGGAUGGAUGGAUUUGGAAGGAGGGAGGAGCGGGCUGCAGGCUCUAUGGUUGGUGGAUCGAGAGGAGCGGCUGGUUGGAUCCGUGGCGAAAUCGAGGAGGGGAAGGUGUGGUCUGCUAUGCUGGUUGGAUCGUUCUGGGAGGUGGAGGCAACGUGUUGGGUGGAAAUGGAUCCCGAGGGGAAGAAUGAGAGUGGAGGCGGCGGCUAGGAGGAUCCCUAGAAAUUAGGGAUUUGGUCUCGGUUUAGACUAGUAUAUAUAGCGGGUGGGUUAGGCUAGGGGCUAUCUCGUCCCUCCAAUCGUAAUCAGAUGGAAAAAUAGGCUAGGGAAGUCCAAAUAAGAAAACAAAGAUGUUUUAUAGACGUUAGGGGAUGAUCCGGAUCCAUCGGUAACGACAGACCGGUUCGGGUUCGGGCAAGUUUUUCGGACGCAUGGAAGAGGGGGUCGGCGGUUGUAGAGAGAUUAGGUGGUCACGGUCAAGAGGGAAGCGAAAAACCCGAUUGGUCUCGGAAUGGUCAACAAAGGCAAGGGGGGACGCGGCAACUAAGAACAGAUGCAAGCUUUAUGAAAACAUGCAGAUACAAUGCGCAUGAUGCUAUGAGAUGAAAUGCAAGACAUGAACAAAAUGCAAAACAAACGACAAAAACCCAACCACGAAGGAAAUAUCAUAUCGCAUCUCCGGAAAAGGCAAGAGUUGGAGUUACGAAUAUGGAAAGUUGUAUCCGGGGCGUUACAACUGGCUCCAUCACAUUGACGUCCCAUAGUGCUCGCUUCCGUUCCCGCUUGGGAAUGUGAGUGGCGUAGAUCAUGUUGACCGUUUUCACCUGGUGGGGGAAAUUUCUUCUAUCCCCCCAUGUUCGGACGCCGGGGCUCUUCGUCAUCGUUGUUGUGCAACCCCUUGUCCUUGUUUUUGGAAUUUAUUUACUGGCCUGUUUGAACACCCAACAGUCUCUAUUAGUGUGGUUGGCUGGCUUGUCUGGGGCGCCAUGAAUUUGGCACGGGCGUUCCAGUAUGCGGUCCAGACUGGACGGUCCCUGGUUGUUUCAUUUGAAUGGCUUCUUCCGCUGACCCGAUUUGGAUCUGCUGAAUCCCGCGUUGACUGCCGUGUCUUCAGUGUUGUCUCCGUUGUUCCGUCGCUUGUGUCUGUUGCGCCAUGGCUUGCCAUUAUUGUCGCGGAUGCCCGAAGUGCCAGAAUGUGGUGUAGUGUUGCUGCGAGCCAACUAGCUGUCCUUGCCCACGCAAAAGCGGGUCAUUAGUGUUGUGAGAGCUGCCAUGGAGUUGGGUUUCUCCUGGCCGAGGUGUCGGGCGAGCCACUCGUCGCGGAUAUUAUGCUUAAAGGCCGCCAAGGCUUCGGCGUCCGGACAGUCAACUAUUUGGUUCUUUUUAGUUAGGAAUCAAGUCCAGAAUUUCCUAGCUGAUUCUCCGGGCCGUUGAGUGAUGUGGCUCAAGUCAUCAGCGUCCGGUGGUCGCACAUAUGUGCCUUGGAACUUGUCGAGGAAUGCGUCUUCCAGGUUUUCCUAACUUCCAAUGGAAUUUGCGGGCAGGUUGUUUAGCCAGUGCCGGGCGGGUCCUUUGAGCUUAAGGGGAAAAUACUUGAUGGCAUGUAGAUCGUCUCCGCGGGCCAUGUGAAUGUGGAGAAGGAAAUCUUCGAUCCAUACUGCAGGGUCCGUUGUGCCAUCGUAUGAUUCGAUGUUUACGGGUUUGAACCCUUCUGGGAAUUCAUGAUCCAUCACUUCAUUGGUGAAGCAAAGGGGGUGUGCGGCGCCUCUGUGCCGGGCUAUGUCGUGACACAGUCCGACUAAGUCUGGUUGAUUGUGUUCGGCCCGGCCAGAUUUAUUGUUAAUGUAUCCGGUAUGACGGUCAUUUUCAUGUGUUGCAGUGCGCCCCCGUGAUCCAUAGAUCGAUCUUGGUUGUCCUGCGUUGUUUUCCAAUCUGUCUCGCAGGUCCUGAGUAUUGCCCCGGGCCGUAGUAAACUGGUGCGGGGGUGCGGGCUGGUAUUCGGGAUGAUAUGUCGUUUUAUCUCGGCCACGAGGUGGCCGGUCAGCCGUGUGGCACUCGUUUCCAUAUUCCUCGGCUGCUAGGACUUCUGUCCAUCUGUCUGUGAGUAGGUCUUGAUCAGCUUGAAGCUGCUGCUGCUUCUUCUUCAGGCUCCUCGCAGUGGCCAUAAGCCGCCGCUUGAAGCGCUCCUGCUCCACGGGGUCCUCAGGCACGCCGAACUCAUCGUCGCCGAGGCUAAUCUCGUAUUCGGAGGGGGGCAUGUAGUUGUCCUCCUCCAGAUACCCGUCCGUAGCCUGUUCAUCUGGGCUGUCCUGCCCAUCUUCCUGCUCGGCCUGCUUGAAGGCGGGCUGGUCGGGGUUGUAUUCAUCUUCGGCACCGUCCGGAUUGUUUUCGUCUCUGGUGCCGGUAUUGCUGUGGCGGGGCUUGGAGUGGCACUGGCGAUGCCCAUGCUUUGCUUUCUUCUUGGAGGGGCUAUCCUCCAUUGCCUCAUCGCCAUUGGUUUCUUUCGGAGUGUCCACCAUAUAUAUGUCAUAUGAAGAGGUGGCUGUCCACCGCCCCGUGGGUGGUGGUUCCUGUUUUUCUCCUACAUCGUCAUCCAAACCGUCGAUGUCUUCGGAGUCGAAGUCCAGCACGUCGGUCAAAUCAUCGGCCAUGGCUAUGAAGUGGGUGGUGGGUGGGCAACGAAUUCCUUCGUCGCUAGCUUCCCACUCGAGCCGGACAUAGUUCGGUCGAGAGCCUCCUGACAAAGAGAGAGACUUUAAUGAAUUCAGCAUGUCGCCAAAGGGCGAGUGCUGGAAGAGAUCCACAGUGGUAAACUCCAUUACCGGAGCCCAACCAGGCUCGGUGGGCUCGGGAGCGCACAGACUGGAACCUACAACCGGAUACGAGUGUGGGGGACCAGAAUCACAGGCAUCCCUAGAGGUGAGGCCUGGGUUCGGCUCUACCGCCGAUCAGUGUGCGGCCUGCGGGGCGGGGUCCAUCCACCCGUCCUUGGGCCACGCAGUCUGCUCCAGAUUUAGGUCCGGGGCUACUGCAGGGGUGAUAUCCCGAGCACCGUCCGACAGCAGGUCUAGGCCGUGCUCAUCGUGACUGUUCGGUGCUCCUGGCACAUGCCAGAUUCCGUCGAAGAUCAAGUCUCCGCGGAUAUCGGCCGUGUAGUUCAGGUUUCCGAACCUGACCUGGUGGCCAGGGGCGUAGCUGUCGAUAUGCUCCAGAUGGCCAAGCGAAUUGGCCCGCAGUGCGAAGCCGCCGAACACGAAGAUUUGUCCGGGGAGAAAAGUCUCGCCCUGGACCGUGUUGUUGAUGAUUGAAGGCGCCAUCAAGCCUCAUAGCGGCGACAUAGAGGAACUCUCAAUGAAAGCACCAAUGUCGGUGUCAAAACCGGCGGAUGUCGGGUAGGAGGUCCCGAUCUGUGCGUCUUAGGCUGAUGGUAACAGGAAGCAAGGGACACAAUGUUUACCCAGGUUCGGGCCCUCUCGAUGGAGGUAAAACUCUACUUCCUGCUUGAUUAAUAUUGAUGAUAUGAGUAGUACAAGAGUAGAUCUACCACGAGAUCAUAGAGGCUAAACCCUAGAAGCUAGCCUACGAUGAUUAUGAUUGUAAUUGUGAUCGGCCUUCUAAGGACCAACCUCUCCGCUUUAUAUAGACACCGGAGAGGGCUAGGGUUUACAUGGAGUCGGUUACAAGGAAGGAAAUAUAAUAUCCGGAUCGCCAAGCUUGUCUUCCACGCCAAGGAGAGUCCCAUCCGGACACGGGACGGAAUCUUGAGUCUUGCAUCUUCACGCUCCAACAGUCCGGACGAUCUAUAUAGUCCGGCUGUCCAGAUACCCCCUAAUCCAGGACUCCCUCAACCCCCGUUCCCAGAACACCGACAAAGAUCAUAAACACACAAGAUUAGAUGACGACCAGAAGACGACGUUCCUCGGCAAGAUCCUUGCCGAGGAAUUCCACAAGGCCUCUGGCAAGAUCCUUGCCGGGGAUGACCGGAAUGUCGCGGCAAGACCCUUGCCGGGACCCCGGCAAGACCCUUGCCGAGGAUGUUAGCGGCGCCGCGGCCAGGCCCACAUCUGCCAAGACUCCACCGCCGUUCCCAUGCAGCUACCAGCUCAGCCAGCCAGGCGAGCACCUGGGUGGCGACGUGCGGCCUCUAGACCGACUCAGCAAGCACCUGCGUGGUGGCAUGCACAUCUUCGAGAAAACUCUACCACCGCACCAGCCCAACAACCAGCCAACAUGGCACUGCGACCCCUCAUCAGCUCGGACGCGCGUCAGAGCCAGGUGAGGCGGCGAUAGCUGGGAGGAGCUUCCUUUCCGUCCCUGAUAAAGCAAGAAGGGCACGUCGGCAGCAUAUUAAAUGCGUUUAUCCGACGGUGCCAGAGGAUAGUCUCGGCCACUAUAAACCUUUCCUCCUCCUGUGUGCCACUAUGGCGACCCCUUUUUUCUAUAAAAGGAGGCCCGAGGCGUAGGGGAGGGUGAUUCGGAUCCUUCGAACAAGUCACGUGCCGUAGCUAGUUCAAGAACUCAAGAACACUCAAAUAUACACCAAAGCAGGACUAGGGUAUUAUGCAUCCUCGCGGCCUGAACCUGGGUAAACGGUCUUUGUGCUGACUCCUAGACCCACUCUUUCCACAACCUCACGCCCGCCGACCGUAGUAGGGAUUCCAGCGAUCCCAUAGGUGUCGUUUUCCACCGACAUCUCUGGCGCGCCAGGUAGGGGCGCCAGUUGUGAAAAUCUGGUUUUGGAGCCGACGCGUCGAUUCUUUGAUGGAGAUGGCCCGAAGGGGGAGGGCGACGUUGAUCAGCCGCCCUCUGGUGCCGUCCGCAGCCUCGACAGCCAUCCGUGUAACCAUGAAAAGCUAAGUCAUGCAAAGUUUUGGCUAAUUUCGUUUAUCUAAGUUAUUCCCCUCGAAAGGUCUCACCCUUCGUAUGGAAAGCCUGCAUGCGAUGGGACCCUCCGCUGUUGGCAACGCCCUUGUUCUGUUUCGAGUCCGCUCAACAGUUCGAGCAGCAGCAUCAAGGGUGGCAGGGUGGCCUAUGCGCUUUAGGUAACGACCUUGUUCCAUUUCGAGUCUGCUCAACAGUUCAAGCGGCCGCUCUAAGAGCGGUAAGGUGGUUUUCCUGGCAGCAAGCACACCCAGCCGGCCGCUAAGGAUCCGUCCUUCAAAGUGAUGUGGCUUGGGUUUACGCGCCGGCAAGCUCAUCCAACUCAACAUAGGGCGUACAUACCAAGAAAGAUCGAACAGGGGAAUAGCAUGCACCACAUUAAAGUACUGCAGAGUUAUGUUACAUCAAAUAAUCGCUGCGGUUCUAACUUAAGAUAAAAUUGUCUUGGUCUUGAACUCGCAGCGGCAACGAGAAAUGGGGUGCCUAGUCCCGGCGCUGGCCGUCGACCCUCUCGACUCGGUCGACACAGUCGUUGACGGGCUUGAUGCGCUCCUUGAGCGCCGCGAGGUCUGUCCCCUCCGGUUACCUCUCUAGCGCAUCGGCAAAGUUGACGGUGGGGUUCUAGAACGCCACCUUGGUGAGCACCUUGGUCAGGGCGCCCCGGCAGAGCCUCCGGGACUCGUUUGCCAGAUAGGUUGCCCGGUUGGAGCAGAACUGCUCUAGGGCUUCAAGAAUACCCUCGAAGAACAGGGUCAGUGCAGCAUGGGGACUCACGUUCGGCUUCGGGGCGUACCUCACACUUGGCAUCCCCAUGGUAGCCAGCUUCUUGGUGAUCCUGCCGGCAACGUCGGCAAGGCGGCUGAUCCAAUGGUUUAUGCCCUCCGCGUAAUCCUUGUGCUCGGCAGCGUCAUCCCUUCGCAGCUGCCUCUCUUCCUCCAAGUCCUUGGCCAGGGACUCUUCCCGGGCCCUGGCCCCCGAAAGCAUCCCCUCAAGGCCCUCCAGCUUCAACUUCAGGUCGUGGACAGAGUCGUUUGCUUGGGAGAGUAGCUCGGCCUUGUCGAGGACUGCGGCCUGCGCCUCCGCCAAGGAGCUGCUGAUCGUGUUCUUCUCCUUCGCCAGAUCUAGGGCCUUGUUCUUCAGGCCGUCCCGCUCCACCUCCAUCUCCUUCACCUUGUCGUCAUGGAUCAGGGCUUGAGCAUCGAGUGCCUCCUUGUGCCUCUUCUCCAGCCCCUAGGUCCGCAGCGCGAUGAGUCUCUCGACCUCCUCAUCCUUGCCGUGGAGUGUGGCGGCGAACGCCUCCUCACGAGCGAAGAGGUCCUCCACCUGGGAGUUUAGCUCGGCCUGGUGCAGGUGCCGGGUGGCCUCAUCCUUGGCGGCAUGUUCCCUCGCUGCCUCCUGGGCCUUCUCGACGUCAGCCUGCUUCAAGAUGAGCUCUUGCUUGCGCUUGGCCAGCAGAUCUUGGGUAGCCUUCAGCUCUUCGUGGGCCUGGCAGAACUAGGCCUGCGUCUCGGCGAUGCGUUUCUCAAGGUCCGCCUCCGCCUUGUCCGCCACCGCUACCCUGGACUUCACCUUGUCUAGAUGGGCGCGAUGGAGUGCCUGGAGCUUCUGGAAGUCGGCGUUCGUGGACCGAAGAAGCCGCUCCUCUUGAGAACUGCCACCACCAGUGCUCGGUUCAUCAACAACCUGGAGCCCGUGGAGGGGAGCGCCUCGUCAUCAAACACCUCCUCCUCGACCGGUGCCCCAAUGCCCGCCGUCCCUGGAAGGUGGACGAACAGGUCGUCGCCCACCUUCAAGUACCUGCCCGAGUGAGAGGUAGCGGAGGAGGAGGGUUGAUCGUCGACCACCCCUCCUCGGCAGCAGCCUUGCCGGCCUUCCCGGCAGGCCCCUUGUCGGCCACCUCUGUGGCGCUCUUGCCGGCCUCAGCCUCCUCGGCGGCGCCCUUGCCGGCCUCCUCGGCAGCAGCCUUUCCGGUCCCUCCGAUAGGCCCCUUGCUGGCCUCCUCGGUGGCGAUCCAGUGGGCCUCGGCCUCGACGUCCUUAGCGACCUCCUCGAUGACGAUGUCGAUGUUUUCCUGCUCCACCGAGGAAGAGUCUAGAUGCCGAGGAGGAGAGUAAGACAGAGCCAAGACCAAGGUUCAAGGAAAAGAAAGAACAUAGACGGGAAACGAGCGACUUACCUACACCGGGCUAGGAAGAAGUGGUGCCCUCCCUGCCAGCCUUUGUUGCCGGGGCAGAACCCCCGAAACCCAAGUUCGCCUCCUCCUCCUCCAUGUACGUGGGCUCGGUGGUGGAUGCCCUUGCUGGGGACACCCCUCGGGGCAGCGUAGUCGAGGGUGGCGGCAUGUUGGGAGUGGCCCCCAGUGGAUCCUCCUACUAUUGUUCUUCUCCUACAAACCCGGCAAGGUCAGCAUCAACACCUCGCACCCCGGUGUUCAUCGAUUAAGUAGUGAGUGAUGGGCUUACUCUGGGGGCUAAGGCGGGGGCUGCAUCGGGGGCUGCUGUCUGGGCUGCUCUCCACCACCAACGACAUACGUGAAGUACCCACCGGGGGCUCACCGCCUGUUGAGACCUUGGACCUUUUUGCCACCCUCUGGGCCAGAGUCUCUGCAUCCCUAUGAAGACAACACCAAAUCCAGUGAGGAUGAUGUAGGCGAAAGGACAAGGAGUCAAGGGGAGCAAAAUACUUACUCGUCCUCCACCUCCUCCUCCAUUGGCUUCCUCUUCCUCUUCGGGGUAAAGGACCUGAGGUCAAAGUCGGCCUCCAGGGUGCUAACCGAGGCAGAAGGAGAGGGAGAUGUAGUCCGGCACCACUUGGAUGAGGAGGAGACAUUCACCAUCUUUUUCGCCAUGGCGGCCUUCGCCGUCUUUGUUGUUGCCGCGGCCUUCAUCGCCAUCGUCUGGCACACGAGUUGCUCUUGGGCCGGUUGUCGCUGCGUGAUCUUGCCGGGCCGGACCGGCUCGCCAGGGAUGGUCUGCCGUAGGACACGUCUCCUCCCUGUUGGCGAAGGAUCCUAGUAGUGGCGACCGAGAGCUUCUUGUCAUUGACGUCAAGGUCGCCCCAGUCCUUGCAACGGGCCGGCGUGAUCCGACAAACCCGGCAGAACUCUUGUGGGUCCUCCUCCAUGAUCCAUAGCCACCGGCCCCACCAUUCCUCCCAUCUCUUAUUCAGGGCGCCCUCCGGAUAAGCGCCCUUCUCUAGGGUCCUUGGGAUCCAAGUGACGUAGCCAUUGAUGGCACCCCCUGGCUGGAUGCGAGGGUAAAAAUAAUGGCGAAAGAGCACCAUGCUAGGGUGCACUCCGGCGAAGCCCUCACAAAGAUGGGAAAAGAAAGCCAUGCACGCCACGGCAUUAGGCGUGAAAUCAAGAAGAUGGAAGCCAAAGGUGUGCAUGAUAUCGUUUAAGAAAUCGGAAAAAGGCGGGCAAAGGCCGCAGGAGAAGUAAUCGACAAAAAAGGAUACCGAUUGGGGCCGGCCUCGGUGAAAUCAGUAGGGAUGAUGCGUGUGGCAGGGUGCCCCUUUGUCGCCCUCCCCCAGAGGGGCUUGAAGAAAUCCCUAAGGUGAACUGCAUCGACCAUCGAGCGGAAAUAGGCGCUGCGUCCGCCGUACCGCCAGCUUCUUCUCCAAUGACUCCUCCUCCCCGGUGUCCAUCACCACCCCUUUGCACUUGCUGGUUUUGGGUGGCAUGGCAGCUGGGGAAUGCUGAGGGAUCAAGAACAAUGGAAGGUGUGAUAGUGGCGAGCGAAAGCAAGAGCUUGAGGAGGAAGAUGGAAGGGACGGCGGUUCCGAGAUUGGAGAGGAUGCAGAGGGUAAAUGAGCAGAGCGCCUGCGGUUAUUCCUUUUUUAUGGGGAAGGCGCAGGCCGCCUCUUUACCACUUACUGUGACGUGACGCAUGCGUGGGAGGACAGUCCCACGCAUGACCCCCACGUCACAUACGACACUCCAUGUCACGCAUUCAACACGGGUCGUGGGGAAGCACAGCGGACGAAGAAGUUACUGCGGUAGAAAUCCGCCCCGCCUGCCUACACACCGUUCUGGGACUAGCCCAACAAGGCGUCGCGCUUAUGUGUGGCCCAGGCCCGGGGACUCCUAUCGGUGUACAAAAGUGGGGGCUCUCUUUUGUACCCCUUUACUUGUGCACGGGCAGUCAGAGCCGUGCCCACGGCCACACUUAGCAUGGCAGAGGAAGGAAUCAAAAGUACAUGACUACCAAAGCGGCGCUCAAACCAGGGGCGCAAAAGGUAAAGCGACAAGAUGGGCUUCCCCUUGCAAGGCUCUUGCUGGGGCAACAUGCCCAGCACCAGCAGUGUGCGCCACCCUUGAGCCCAAGGGUUCCAAGGCCAUCGACCACAUUGGAACCAAGGCUCGGGAGGCACCUCCAUGGUGGCAUACAGAUCUUCGUGAAGAUCAUAAACACACAAGAUCAGAUGAGGACCAGAAGACGACGAUCCUCGGCAAGAUCCUUGCUGAGGAAAUCCACGAGACCUCCGGCAAGAUCCUUGCCGGGGACGACCAUGAUGUCGCGGCAAGACCCUUGCCGGGACCCCGGCAAGACCCUUGGCGAGGAUCUAAGCGGGGCCGCGGCUAGGCCCACAUCUGCCAAGACUCCACUAUCGUUCCCAUGCAGCUGCCAGCUCAGCCAGCCAGGCGAGCACCUACGUGGUGGCAUGCAGAUCUUCGAGAAGACUCUGCCACCGCACCAGCCUAGCAGGCAGCCAACGUGGCACUACGACGCCUCAUCAGCUCGGACGCGCGUCAGAGCCAGGUGAGGCGACGACAGCUGGGACGAGCUUCCUUGCCGUCCCCAAUAAUGCAAGAAGGGCACGUCGGCAGCGCAUUAAAUGUGUUUGUCCGACGGUGCCAGAGGAUAGACUCGGCCACUGUACACCUUUACACCUCCUGUGUGCCACUAUGGCGACCCCUUUUUUCUAUAAAAGGAGGCCCGAGGCAUAGGGAAGGAGGAUUCAGAUCCUUCAAACAAGUCACGUGCCAUAGCUAGUUCAAGAACUCAAGAACACUCAAAUAUACACCAAAGCAGGACUAGGGUAUAACGCAUCCUCGCGGCCCGAACCUGGGUAAACGAUCUUUAUCCUGACUCCUAGACCCGCUCUUUCCACAACCUCGUGCCCGCCGACUGUAGUAAGGAUUCCAGUGAUGCCAUAGGUGUCGUUUUCCACCGACACGAUCCUAACAGAGAUGAUCUUAGCGGGAGAAAAAGUCUUGGAGAUAGAAGCAUCUUUACACUUAUUCCAUGAAUCAAUACUAUUUUUCAGUAAAGAUAAAAACCAAGUUUCAGUACGAUCAUAGUGAGAACGGAAAUACCUUCAGUUUAACAAAUAUCAUUAUCCACAUCUUUCUUAUGUUGCAUAUCACACAACUCAACGAAGGUAUUUAGAUGGGAUGCUAUGUCUUCACUAGGAAGGCCAGAAAAUUGAUAUUUCAUGACAAGAUUCAGCAAAGCGACAUUAGUUUUGUAAGAUUCCGCACUAGUGGUGCGCGGGAGCAACCGGAAUACUAAUAAAAUUCAUUAUUAUUAGUAUUGGAAAAUCACACAACUUGGUAUUAUCUUAAGACAUCAUGACAAAGCAAGCAAUCUAACACACGAGCAACCAAAAAGCAAACGAAAAGGCAAAUGGAAGAAGGGCGAAUAAAAAAGGCAGAUCUUUUUGUAUUUUUCUGAAAUUGUUUUAGAAGUGGGGGAGAGGAAAAUGAGAGGAAAAUGGCAAAUAAUGUAAUGCAAGAGAUGGAAGUUUAUGGUGGGUACUUGGUAGGCUUGAUGUAGAUCUCCCCGGCAACGGUGCCAGAAAUUCUUCCUGCUACUUCUUGAGCUUGCGUUGGUUUUUCCCUUGAAGAGGAAAGGGUGAUGCAACAAAGUAGAGAUAAGUAUCCCCCUCAGUUAAGAACCAAGGUAUGAAUCUAGUAGGAGAUACAAGCAAGUCUCCAAUCUAUGCACAUGCAAAAAAAAUCAAACACUUGCCCCCAUCGCGAUAAAGGGGUUGUCACUCCCUUCACGGUCACUUGCAAAGGUGAGAUCUGAUAGAGAUAGAUAUAAAAGAUUACUAAAACGUAGAACACAAUAAAAGUAAAUAAAUCGCAGCAAGGUAUUAUUUGGUUUUUGGGUCUAUAGAUCUGAAAAUAUAUGAUGGAAAAUAGACCCGGGGGGCAUAGGUUUCACUAGAGGCUUCUCUCUUGAAGGAAAAUAAUAAGGUGGGUGAACAAAUUACUGUCAAGCAAUUGAUAGAAAAGUGCAAAGUUAUGACGAUAUCCAAGGCAAUGAUUAUGAAUAUAGGCAUCAUGACCAUGUCAAGUAGACCGACUCCUACCUGCAUCUACUACUAUUACUCCACACAUCGACUGCUAUCCAACAUACAUCUAGAGUAUUAAGUUCCGGAGUAAUGCCCUAAGCAAGAUGACAUGAUGUAGAGGGAUAAUCUUAAGCAAUAUGAUGAAAACCCCAUAUUUUUACCCUUGAUGGCAACAAUAGAAAUACGUGCCUCGCUACCCCUACUAUGUCACUGGGUGAGGACACCGCAAGAUUGAACCCAAAACUAAGCACCUCUCCCAUUGCAAGAAAAACCAAUCUAGUUAGCCAAACCAAACCGAUAAUUCGAAGAAAAAAAUACAAAGAUAUGAAAUCAUGCAUAUAAGAAUUUAGAGAAGAUUCAAAUAAUAUUCAUAGAUAAUCUGAUCAUAAAUCCAGAAUUCAUCGUAUCUCGACAAACACACAGAAAGAAGAUUACAUCAGAUAGAUCUCCAAGAACAUCCAGGAGAACAUUGUAUGGAAGAUCAAAGAGAGAGAAGAAGCCAUCUAGCUACUAGCUAUGGACCAGUAGGUCUGUGGUAAACUACUCACGCUUCAUCGAAAGGGCAAUAGAGUUGAUGUAGAAGCCCUUCGUGAUUGAAUCCCCCUCCGGCAGGAUGCCGGAAAAGGCCCCAAGAUGAGAUCUGAUAUGUCCAUUUUGCAUCAUGUUUUCCUACAGUUAUUUAUGUUGUUUUAUGGUAUAAUAAUACUUUUUGGAGUAAUUCUAAUGCCUUAUCUCUCAUAAUAUGAAAGGUAUGCACAAAGGGGGAGAAUUCUGGCAGCUGGAAAUUUGGACCUAAAAAUCUACGUCAAGCUACCUAUUCUGGACAACUCCAAAUGAGCUGAAAAUUCCCGAGGAUUUUUUAUGGAAUAUUUAAGAAUUAUUGGAGCAAAUAGGUACCAGAGGGGGCCACCAGGUGGGCACAACACACCUGGGCGCGCCAGGAGGCCCAGGCGCGCCCUGGUGGGUGCUGCCCUCCUCGACCCACCUCCGGUGCCCCUCUUCUGGUAUAUAACUCAUUUUGAUGUGGAAAAAGAAUAUAAGGAGAGGACUUUUGGGACAAAGUGCCGCCGCCUCGAGGCGGAACUUCGGCAUGAGCACUUUUGCCCUCCAGCGGAGCAAUUCCGCCGGGUGAACUUCACUCCCGGAGGGGGAAAUCAUCAUCAUCAUCUUCACCAACAACUCUCCCAUCUUGGGGAGGGCUAUCUUCAUCAACAUCUUCAACAACACCAACUCCUCUCAAACCCUAGUUCAUCUCUUGUGUUCAAUCUUUGUACCAGAACUAUAGAUUGGUGCUUGUGGGUGACUAGUAGUGUUGAUUACAUCUUGUAGUUGAUUACUAUAUGGUUCAUUUGGUGGAGGAUUAUAUGUUCAGAUCCAUUAUGCUAUUUAAUACCCCUCUUAUCUUGAGCAUGAUUAUCAUUUGUGAGUAGUUACUUUCGUUCUUGAGGUCACGGGAGAAAUCAUGUUGAAAGUAAUCAUGUGAACUUGAUAUGUGUUCAAUAUUUUGAUGAUAUGUAUGUUUUCAUUCUCUUAGUGGUGUCAUGUGAACGUCGACUACAUGACACUUCACCAUAUUUGGGCCUAAGGGAAUGCAUUGUGGAGUAGUUAUUAGAUGGUGGGUUGCGAGAGUGGAAGAAGCUUAAACCCUAGUUUAUGCGCUAUUCCGCGAGGGACCGAUUGGAUCCAAAAGUUUAAUGCUAUGGUUUGAAUUUAUUCUUAAUACUUUUCUCGUAGUUGCAUAUGCUUGCGAGAGGGUUAAUCAUAAGUAGGAGGUUUGUUCAAGUAAGAACAACACCUAAGCACCGAUCCACCCACAUAUCAGAUUAUCAAAAUAGUGAACACGAAUUAAGCCAACAUGAUGAAAGUGACUAGAUGAAAUUCCCGUGUACCCUCAAGAACACUUUGCUUAUCAUAAGAGACCAUUUUAGCCUGUCCUUUGUCUCAAAAGGAUUGGGCUACCUUGCUGCACUUUUGUUACUACUAUCGUUACUUGCUAGUUACAAAUUAUGUUGCUAUCAAACUAGUUCGCUACUUACUGUUGGGGAACGUUGCAGAAAAUUAAAUUUUUUCCUACAGUUUCACCAAGAUCCAUCUAUGAGUUCAUCUAAGAAACGAGUGAUAGGAGAGAGAUGCAUCUACAUACCACUUGUAGAUCACGUGCGAAAGCGUUCAAGGGAACGGGGAUGAUGGAGUCGUACUCGCCGUGAUCCAAAUCACCGAUGACCAAGUGCCGAACGGACAGCACCUCCGCGUUCAACACACGUACGGAGCGGAUGACGUUUCCUCCUUCUUGAUCCAGCAAGGGGGAAGGAGAGGUUGAGGAAGAAGGCUCCAGCAGCAGCACGACGGCGUGGUGAUGGUGGAGAUGCAGUACUCUGACAGGGCUUCGCCAAGCACUUAACGGAGGAGGAGAGGUGUUGGGGAGGGGAGGGGCUGCGCCUUGGAUGUCCUAUGCAGCCCUCCCCUUGCCCCUCUAUUUAUAGGGGAAGGGGGAAGGGGGCCAGCCCCCUCUAGAUGAGAUCUAGAGGGGGGGGCAAGGGAGGGGGCUUCCCCCCAAGCAAGGGGGGCGCCCCCACUAGGGUUUCCCCCGAAACCUUAGGCGCAUGGGCCCAAGGGGGGGGGGUGAAGCCCUCCAGGGGCUGGUUCCCUGUCCCCCACGGCCCAUGAGGCCCUCCGAGAGGGGUGGCACUUCCCGGUGGACCCCCGGAACCCCUCUAGUGGCCCCGGUACAAUACCGAUAUGCCCCCGAAAUUUCCGGUGACCGUAUGACAACUUCCCAUAUAUAAAUCUUCACCUCAGGACUAUUCAGGAACUCCUCGUGACGUCCAGGAUCUCAUCCGGGACUCCGAACAACAUUUGGUAAUCACACACAAGUCUUCCUAAUAACCCUAGCGUCACCGAACCUUAAGUGUGUAGACCCUACGGGUUCGGGAGACAUGCAGACAUGACCGAGAAGGAUCUCCGGUCAAUAACCAACAGCGGGAUCUGGAUACCCAUGUUGGCUACCACAUGCUCCUCGAUGAUCUCAUCGGAUGAACCACGAUGUCGAGGAUUCAAUCAACCCCGUAUACAAUUCCCUUUGUCAAACGGUACGUUACUUGCUCGAGACUCGAUCGUCGGUAUCCCAAUACCUCGUUCAGUCUCGUUACCGGCAAGUCACUUUACUCGUACCGUAAUGCAUGAUCCCGUGACCAAACACUUGGUCACUUUGAGGUCAUUAUGAUGAUGCAUUACCGUGUGGGCCCAGAGAUACCUCUCUGUCAUACGGAGUGACAAAUGCCAAUCUCCAUCCGUGUCAACCCAACACACACUUUCGGAGAUACCUGUAGUGCCCCUUUAUAGUCACCCAGUUACGUUGUGAUGUUUGGUACACUCAAAGAACUCCUACGGUAUCCGGGAGUUUCACGAUCUCAUGGUCUAAGGAAGAGAUACUUGACAUUGGAAAAGCUCUAGCAAAACGAACUACACGAUCUUGUGCUAUGCUUAGGAUUGGGUCUUGUCCAUCACAUCAUUCUCCCAAUGAUGUGAUCUCGUUAUCAACAACAUCUAAUGUCCAUAGUCAGGAAACCAUGACUAUCUGUUGAACAACGAGCUAGUCAAAUAGAGGCUCACUAGGGACGUAUUGUGGUCUAUGUAUUCACAUGUGUAUUACGAUUUCCGGUUAAUACAAAUAUAGCAUGAAUAAAAGACAACUAUCAUGAACAAAGAAAUAUAAUAAUACUCCUUUUAUUAUUGCCUCUAGGGCAUAUUUCCAAUAGUCUCCCACUUGCACUAGAGUCAAUAAUCUAGUUAUAUUGUGAUGAAUUGAACACCCAUAGAGUUCUGGUGUUGAUCAUGUUUUGCUCGCGGAAGAGGUUUAGACAACGGAUCUACGACAUUCAGAUCCGUGUGUACUUUGCAAAUAUCUAUGUCUCCAUCUUGAACAUUUUCACGGAUGGAGUUGAAACGACACUUGAUGUGCCCGGUCUUCUUGUGAAACCUGGGCUCCUUGGCAAGGGCAAUAGCUCCAGUGUUUUCAUAGAAGAGAGUGAUCGGCCCUGACGCAUUGGGUAUGACUCCUAGGUCGGUGAUGAACUCCUUCAUCAAUAUUGCUUCAUGCGCUGCCUCCGAGGCUGCCAUGUACUCUGCUUCACAUGUAGAUCCCGCCACGACACUCUGCUUGCAACUGAACCAGCUUACUGCUCCAUGAUUCAACAUAUACAUGUAUCCGGUUUGUGACUUAGAGUCAUCCAGAUCUGUGUCGAAGCUAGCGUCGACGUAACCCUUUACGACGAGCUCUUCGUCACCUCCAUAAACAAGAAACAUGUCCUUUGUUCUUUUCAGGUACUUCAGGAUAUUCUUGACCGCUGUCCAGUGUUCCUUGCCGGGAUUACUUUGGUAUCUUCCUACCAAACAUACGACAAGUUUUACAUCAGGUCUGGUACACAGCAUGGCAUACAUAAUAGAUCCUAUGGCUGAGGCAUAGGGGAUGACACUCAUCUCUUCUUUAUCUUUUGCCGUGGUCGGGCAUUGAGCCGAGCUCAAUCUCACACCCUGUAAUACAGGCAAGAACCCUUUCUUGGACUGAUCCAUUUUGAACUUCUUCAAAAUCUUAUCAAGGUAUGUGCUUUGUGAAAGACCUAUGAGGCGUCUCGAUCUAUCCCUAUAGAUCUUGAUGCCUAAUAUGUAAGCAGCUUCUCCAAGGUCCUUCAUUGAAAAACACUUAUUCAAGUAGGCCUUAAUGCUGUCAAAGAAUUAAAUAUCAUUUCCCAUCAAAAGUAUGUCAUCUACAUAUAAUAUGAGAAAUGCUACAGAGCUCCCACUCACUUUCUUGUAAACGCAGGCUUCUCCAUAAGUCUGCAUAAACCCAAACGCUUUGAUCAUCUCAUCAAAGCGAAUGUUCCAACUCCGAGAUGCUUGCACCAGCCCAUAAAUGGAUUGCUGGAGCUUGCAUACGUUGUUAGCAUUCUUAGGAUCGACAAAACCUGCCGGCUGCAUCAUAUACAGCUCUCCCUUAAGAUAACCGUUAAGGAAUGCCGUUUUGACGUCCAUCUGCCAUAUCUCAUAAUCAUAGUAUGCGGCAAUUGCUAACAUGAUUCGGACGGACUUAAGCUUUGCUACGGGAGAGAAAGUCUCAUUGUAGUCAACUCCUUGAACUUGCCGAUAACCCUUAGCGACAAGUCGAGCUUUAUAGAUGGUAACAUUACCAUCCGCGUCCGUCUUCUUCUUAAAGAUCCAUUUGUUUUCUAUCGCUUGCCGAUCAUCGGGCAAGUCUGUCAAAGUCCAUACUUUGUUUUCAUACAUGGAUUCUAUCUCGGAUUGCAUGGCUUCUAGCCAUUUGUUGGAAUCUGGGCCCGCCAUAGCUUCUUCAUAGUUCGAAGGUUCACCGUUGUCUAACAACAUGAUUUCCAGGACAGCGUUGCCAUACCACUCUGGUGUGGAAUGUGUCCUUGUGGACCUACGAAGUUCAGUAGCAACUUGAUCUGAAGUACCUUGAUCGUCAUCAUUAAUUUCCUCUCUAGUCGGUGUUGGCACCACAUGAACAUUUUCCUGAGCUGCACUACUUUCCGGUUCAAGAGGUAGUACUUCAUCGAGUUCUACUUUCCUCCCACUUACUCCUUUCGAGAGAAACUCUUUUUCCAGAAAGGAUCCGUUCUUGGCAACAAAGAUCUUGCCUUCGGAUCUAAGGUACAAGGUAUACCCAAUGGUUUCCUUAGGGUAUCCUAUGAAGACGCAUUUUGGCGACUUGGGUUCGAGCUUUUCAGGUUGAAGUUUCUUGACAUAAGCAUCGCAUCCCCAAACUUUUAGAAACGACAGCUUAGGUUUCUUCCCAAACCAUAAUUCAUACGGUGUCGUCUCAACGGAUUUAGACGAUGCCCUAUUUAAAGUGAAUGUAGCUGUCUCUAGAGCGUAUCCCCAAAAUGAUAGCGGUAAAUCGGUAAGAGACAUCAUAGAUCGCACCAUAUCCAAUAGAGUGCGAUUACGAUGUUCGGACGGACCGUUACGCUAAGGUGUUCUAGGCGGCGUGAGUUGUGAAACGAUUCCACAUUUCCUUAAGUGUGUACCAAAUUCAUGACUUAAAUAUUCUCCUCCACGAUCUGAUCGUAAGAAUUUUAUCUUUCAUUCAUGUUGAUUCUCUACCUCGUUCUGAAAUUCCUUGAACUUUUCAAAGGUCUUAGACUUGUGUUUCAUCAAGUAGACAUACCCAUAUCUACUUAAGUCAUCAAUGAGAGUGAGAACAUAACGAUAUCCUCCGCGAGUCUCAAUGCUCAUUGGACCGCACACAUCGGUAUGUAUGAUUUCCAAUAAGUUGGUUGCUCGCUCCAUUGUUCCGGAGAACGGAGUCUUGGUCAUUUUGCCCAUGAGGCAUGGUUCGCAUGUGUCAAAUGAUUCAUAAUCGAGAGACUCUAAAAGUCCAUCAGCAUGGAGCUUCUUCAUGCGCUUGACACCAAUGUGACCAAGGCGGCAGUGCCACAAGUAUGUGGGACUAUCGUUAUCAACUUUACAUCUUUUGGUAUUCACACUAUGAAUAUGUGUAACAUUACGUUCGAGAUUCAUUAAGAAUAAACCAUUGACCAUCGGGGCAUGACCAUAAAACAUAUUUCUCAUAUAAAUAGAACAACCAUUAUUCUCGGAUUUAAAUGAGUAGCCAUCUCGCAUCAAACGAGAUCCAGAUACAAUGUUCAUGCUCAAACUUCUCACUAAAUAACAAUUAUUGAGGUUUAAAACUAAUCCCGUAGGUAAAUGUAGAGGUAGCGUGCCGACAACGAUCACAUCGACCUUGGAACCAUUCCCGACGCACAUCGUCACCUCGUCCUUCGCCAGUCUCCGCUUAUUCCGUAGCUCCUGCUGUGAGUUACAAAUAUGAGCAACGACACCGGUAUCAAAUACCCAGGAGUUACUACGAGUACUGGUAAGGUACACAUCAAUUACAUGUAUAUCAAAUAUACCUUUAGUGUUGCCGGCCUUCUUGUCCGCUAAGUAUUUGGGGCAGUUCCGCUUCCAGUGACCCUUUCCUUUGCAAUAAAAGCACUCAGUCUCAGGCUUGGGUCCAUUCUUUGACUUCUUCCCGAUAACUGGCUUACCGGGUGCGGUAACAUCUUUGCCGUCCUUCUUGAAGUUCUUCUUACCCUUGCCCUUCUUGAACUUAGUGGUCUUAUUGACCAUCAACACUUGAUGUUCUUUCUUGAUUUCAACCUCUGCUGACUUCAGCAUUGAAAAUACUUCAGGAAUGGUCUUUACCAUCCCCUGCAUAUUGUAGUUCAUCACAAAGCUCUUGUAGCUUGGUGGGAGUGACUGAAGGAUUCUGUCAAUGACCGCCUCGUCCGGGAGGUUGAUCUCCAGCUGGGACAGGCGGUUGUGCAACCCAGACAUUUUGAGUAUGUGCUCACUGACAGAACUAUUUUCCUCCAUCUUACAACUAUAGAACUUGUCGGAGACUUCAUAUCUCUCGACCCGGGCAUGAGCUUGAAAAACCAUUUUCAGCUCCUCGAACAUCUCAUAUGCUCCGUGUUUCUCAAAACGCUUUUGGAGCCCCGGUUCUAAGCUAUAAAGCAUGCCGCACCGAACGAGGGAGUAAUCAUGAGCACGUGACUGCCAAGCAUUCAUAAUGUCUUGGUUCUCUGGGAUGGGUGCUUCACCUAGCGGUCCUUCUAGGACAUAUGCUUUCUUGGCUGCUACGAGGAUAAUCCUCAGGUUCCGGACCCAGUCCGAAUAGUUGCUACCAUCAUCUUUCAGCUUGGUUUUCUCUAGGAACACGUUGAAGUUCAUGUUGACAUUAGCGUUGGCCAUUUGAUCUACAAGACAUAUUUUGCAAAUAUUUUAGACUAAGUUCAUGAUAAUUAAGUUCAUCUAAUCAAAUUAUUUAAUGAACUCCCACUCAGAUUAGACAUCCCUCUAGUCAUCUAAGUGUUACACGAUCCGAGUCGACUAGGCCGUGUCCGAUCAUCACGUGAGACGGACUAGUCAUCAUCGGUGAACAUCUCCAUGUUGAUCGUAUCUUCCAUACGACUCAUGUUCGACCUUUCGGUCUCUUGUGUUCCGAGGCCAUGUCUUUACAUGCUAGGCUCGUCAAGUUAACCCUAAGUGUUUAUGCAUGUGUAAAACUGUCUUACACCCAUUGUAUGUGAACGUAAGGAUCUAUCACACCCGAUCAUCAUGUGGUGCUUCGAAAUGACGAACUUUAGCAACGGUGCACAGUUAGGGGGAACACUUUCUUGAAAUUAUUAUAAGGGAUCAUCUUAUUUUCUACCGUCGUUCUAAGUAAACAAGAUGCAUAAACAUAAUAAACAUCACAUGCAAUUAUAUAAUAGUGACAUGAUAUGGCCAAUAUCAUAUAGCUCCUUUGAUCUCCAUCUUCGGGGCUCCAUGAUCAUCUUCGUCACUGGCAUGACACCAUGAUAUCCAUCAUCAUGAUCUCCCUCAUCGUGUCUUCAUGAAGUUGUCAUGCCAAGGACUACUUAUACUUCUAUGGCUAACGCGUUUAGCAAUAAAGUAAAGUAAUUUACAUGGCGUUCUUCAAUGACACGCAGGUCAUACAAAAAAUAAAGACAACUCCUAUGGCUCCUGCCGGUUUUCAUACUCAUCGACAUGCAAGUCAUGAUUCCUAUUACAAGAACAUGAUCUUAUACAUCACAAUAUGUCAUUCAUCAUUCAUCACAACUUCUGGCCAUAUCACAUCACAUGACAAUUGCUGCAAAAACAAGUUAGACGUCCUCUAAUUGUUGUUGCAUCUUUUACGUGGCUGCAAUUGGAUUCUAGCAAGAAAGUUUUCUUACCUACGAAUAACCACAGUGUAAUUUUGUCAACUUCUAUUUACCCUUCAUAAGGACCCUUUUCGUCCAAUCCGCUCCAACUAAAGUGGGAGAGACAGACACCCGCUAGCCACCUUAUGCAACUGGUGCAUGUCAGUCGGUGGAACCUGUCUCACGUAAGCGUACGUGUAAGGUCGGUCCGGGCCGCUUCAUCCCACAAUACCGCUGAAGAAAAAUAAGACUAGUAGCGGCAAGCAAGUUGACAAGAUCUAAGCCCAGAACAAAAUUGUGUUCUACUCGUGCAAUAGAGAACUACGCAUAGACCUAGCUCAUGAUGCCACUGUUGGGGAACGUUGCAGAAAAUUAAAAUUUUUCCUACGGUUUCACCAAGAUCCAUCUAUGAGUUCAUCUAAGCAAUGAGUGAUAGGAGAGAGAUGCAUCUAUGUACCACUUGUAGAUCGCGUGCGGAAGCGUUCAAGGGAACGGGGAUGAUGGAGUCAUACUCGCCGUGAUCCAAAUCACCGAUGACCAACUGCCGAACGGACAGCACCUCCGCGUUCAACACACAUACGGAGCUGAUGACGUCUCCUCCUUCUUGAUCCAGCAAGGGGGAAGGAGAGGUUGAGGAAGAAGGCUCCAGCAGCAGCACGACGGCGUGGUGAUGGUGGAGAGGCAGUACUCCGACAGGGCUUCACCAAGCACUUAACGGAGGAGGAGAGGUGUUGGGGAGGGGAGGGGCUGCGCCUUGGAUGUCCUAUGCAGCCCUCCCCUCGCCCCUCUAUUUAUAGGGGAAGGGGGAAGGGGGCCGGCCCCCUCUAGAUGAGUUCUAGAGGGGGGGCGGCCAAGGGAGGGGGCUUGCCCCCCAAGCAAGGGGAGCGCCCCCACUAGGGUUUCCCCCCAAACCCUAGGCGCAUGGGCCCAAGGGGGGGGGGCGCCCAGCCCUCGAGGGGCUGGUUCCCUGCCCCCUACGACCCAUGAGGCCCUCCGAGAGGGGUGGCCCCUCCCGGUGGACCCCCGGAACCCCUCCGGUGGCCCCGGUACAAUACCGAUAUGGCCCCGAAACUUUCCGGUGACCGUAUGACAACUUCCCAUAUAUAAAUAUUCACCUCUGUACUAUUCCGGAACUCCUCGUGACGUCCGGGAUCUCAUCCGGGACUUCGAACAACAUUCGGUAAUCACAUACAAGUCUUCCUAAUAACCCUAGCGUCACCGAACCUUAAGUGUGUAGACCCUACUGGUUCUUGAGACAUGCAGACAUGACCGAGAAGGCUCUCCGAUCAAUAACCAACAGCAGGAUCUGGAUACCCAUGUUGUCUCCCACAUGCUUCUCGAUGAUCUCAUCGGAUGAACCACGAUGUCGAGGAUUCAAUCAACCCCGUAUACAAUUCCCUUUGUCAAACGGUACGUUACUUGCCCGAGACUCGAUCGUUGGUAUCCCAAUACCCCGUUCAGUCUCGUUACCGGCAAGUCACUUUACUCGUACCGUAAUGCAUGAUCCUGUGACCAAACACUUGGUCACUUUGAGCUCAUUAUGAUGAUGCAUUACUGUGUGGGCCCAGAGAUACCUCUCCGUCAUACGGAGUGACAAAUCCCAGUCUCGAUCCGUGUCAACCCAACAGACACUUUCGGAGAUACCUGUAGUGCACCUUUAUAGUCACCCAGUUACGUUGUGAUGUUUGGUACACCCAAAGCACUCCUACGGUAUCUAGGAGUUACACGAUCUCAUGGUCUAAGGAAGAGAUACUUGACAUAGGAAAAGCUCUAGCAAAACGAACUACACGAUCUUGUGCUAUGCUUAGGAUUGGGUCUUGUCCAUCACAUCAUUCUCCCAAUGAUGUGAUCCCGUUAUCAACGACAUCUAAUGUCCAUAGUCAGGAAACCAUGACUAUCUGUUGACCAACGAGCUAGUCAAAUAGAGGCUCACUAGGGACGUAUUGUGGUCUAUGUAUUCACACGUGUAUUAUGAUUUCCGGAUAAUACAAUUAUAGCAUGAAUAAAAGACAACUAUCAUGAACAAAGAAAUAUAAUAAUAAUCCUUUUGUUAUUGCCUCUAGGGCAUAUUUCCAACACUUACAUGUUUAGCACUUGCGGACAUUACCUUGCUGAAAACCACUUGUCAUUUCCUUCCGCUCCUCAUUGGGUUCAACACUCUUACUUAUCGAAAAGGUUACAAUUGAAAUCGUAUACUUGUGGGUCAUCAGGAUCUCACGCGAACAACAGGUUACGACGGCGGAAAAGUAUUUUGGUGGACCCUUCUGGUUGUUUUGGAAUAUUUGAGGAUUUAUAGAGCUGAGAGGGAGGUCGGUGGACUCUCGGGGGCCCCACAAGCCAGGGGCGCCCCCCUAGGGCGUGCCCUGAGGGCUUGCGGAGCCCUUACGACUCUUCUGACUUUGCCUCCAAGUUCUGUGGAUGUCUUCUGGUCCAACAAAAAUCAUGGCGAAAGUUUUAUUCCGUUCAGACUUCGUUUGAUAUUCCUUUUCUGUAAAACUCAAAAACAAGGAAAAACAUAAACUGGCACUGGGCUCUAGGUUAAUAAUUUAGUCCCAAAAAUAAUAUAAAAUAGCAUAUUAAUGCAUAUAAAACAUCCAAAACAUAUAAUGUAAUAGCAUGGAACAAUAAAAAAAUUAUAGAUACGUUGGGGACAUAUCAGUCGCCAUCAUCAUCACCAACCCUUCUUCAUUACCAAUUUCAUGAUGCUCACUACCGGGAGUGAUUAAUUCCUUCGUAGGCUUGCUGGAUGGUGAUGGAGUUGGAUGUGAUUUGUCAUGUAAUCGAGUCAAUUUGUUUGGGCUUGAUCCCUAGUAUCCACUAUGUUUUGAGAUUGAUGUUGCCAUGACUUUGCUAUGCUUAAUGUUUGUCACUAGGGCCCGAGUGCCAUGAUUUUAGAUCUGAACCCUUAAUGUUUUCAGGAAUAUAUUUGAGUUCUUGAUCCUAUCUUGCAAGUUGUAUACACCUAUUACGUAUUAUGAUCCGUAUACCCCAAGGUGACAAUAACUUGGAUUCUUUUUGGUGAUUAGCGUAGUAGGAGGAGUUCAUGUAUUCACUAAGUGCUAAUGCUUUGUUUCUGGUCUCUAUUAAAAGGAGGCCUUAAUAUCCCUUAGAUUUCCUUAUGGACACCGCUGCCACAGGAGGGUAGGUCAAAAAUGUCAUGCAAGUUCUUAUUAUAAGCACAUAUCACUAUAUACGUAAUACAUGCCAAUGUUACAUUGUUGAAUUGGAGCUAUUGGGUAUCACUCUAGGUUGUGACUGUUGCAUGAGGAGUUUUAUCCAUCACUGAUCCAAUGCGUAUGCUUUUUUUCAUAUUGAUCUUUGCUAAGUUACUUUCGUUGCUGCAGCUGUUAUAAUCACCCCAAACUUCUAUUGUUACUGUUACUACUGCUAUCAAACUAUGAUAUUACUGUGCUACUGAUGUCGCUUGAACUACGUUCGUAUUUCCCCAAAGAGGAAGGGAUGAUGCAUCACAACUUCGGUAGGUAUUUCCCUUAGUUAUGAAACCAAGGUUAUCGAACUAGUAGGAGAACCAAGCAACACUAUGUAAACGACACCUGCACACAAAGAACAAAUACUUGCAACCCGAUGUGUAAAAGGGGUUGUCAAUCCCUUUCGGGUAAUGGUGCCAGGAAUUGUCAAGUUGACGGGAUAAAAAUUAUGAUAGAUUGAUAGAUGCAAAUAAUAGCAAAUAAAACUCCGCAAGAUAUUUUUGGGUUUUUGAUAAUAUAGAUCUGAAAAUAAAAUAUGCAAAUAAAAGAAAAGGCAAAUAGCAAUAUAGAUCUGCAAAUAUAUGAUGGUAAAAUAGACCUGGGGGCCGUAGAUUUCACUAGUGGCUUCUCUCAAGAAAUAGCACACGGUGGGUAAACAUAUUACUGUUGGGCAAUUGAUAGAACAUCGGAUAAUUAUGAGGAUAUCCAUGCAAUGAUCAUUAUAUAGGCGUCACGUCUAAGAUUAGCAGAUUGACUCCUGCCUGCAUCUACUACUAUUACUCCAAACAUCAACCACUAUCCAACAUGCAUCUAGUGUAUUAAGUUCAUGGAAAAAUGGAGUAAUGAAAUAAGAACGAUGACAUGAUGUAGACAAGAUCUAUUCGUGUAGGGAUAGCCCCCAUCUUCUUAUACUUAAUAGCAAUGAUACAUGCAUGUCUUGGUGACCCUUCUGUCACUGGGAAAGAACACCGCACGAUAGAACCCAUCACAAAGCACCUCUUUCCAGGGCAAGAAAAAUCGAUCUAGUCGGCCUAACUAAACCAAAGAUUCGAAGAAGAAAUUCGAGGCUAUAAGUAAUCAUGCGUAUAAGAGAUCAAAAACUCAAAUAACUUUCAUGGAUAUAUAGAUCCGAUCAUAAACUCAAAGUUCAUUGGAUCCCAAUAAACACACCGCAAAAAGAGUUACAUCAAAUAGAUCUCCAAGAUACCAUUGUAUUGAUAAUCAAAAAGAGAGAAGAAGCCAUCUAGCCACUAACUACUCACGCAUCAUCGAAGAGGGACCACUGAGGACGAUGGACCCCUCCGUGAUGGUGCCUAGAUUGGAUCUCGUGGUUCUGGAACUUGCAGUGGCAGGAAUUUUGUUUCAUCGACUCCCCUAAGAUUUUUCAAAUAUUGGGGUAUUUAUAGAGCGAAGAGCUGGUGUGGGAGGCCACUGAGGUGGGCACAACCCACCAGGGCGCGCCCUGGGGGAGGGGGGUUGUGCUCCCCUCGGGCCACCCAUCUGGUACUUCUUUGGCCCAUCUUCUGUCUUUUGGUCCAAAAAAAGUCUCCAAAAAGUUUCGGUGCAUUUGGACUCUGUUUGGUACUGAUAUUCUGCAAAGUAAAAAAAGCAAAAAAUAGCAACUGACACUAGGCACUAUGUCCAUAGGUUAGUCCCAAAAAAUGAUAUAAAGUUGCUAUAAAAUGAUUGUAAAACAUCUAAUAAUGAUAAUAUAAUAGCAUGGAACAAUCAAAAAUGAUAGAUACAUUGGAGACGUAUCAGCUACUAAAAACUUUGCUGCAGAUAUUUAGUUCUCCAAGUGUGGUUGAAUUGACAACUCAACUGCUAAUACUUGCAAAUAUUCUUUUGCUCCCCUUGUGUAGAAUCAAUAAUUUUUUGGUGAAAUACCACCCUUGAAGAUUGUCACGAUCCACUAUACUUGUGGGUUAUCAAGACAUUUUUUCUGGCGCCAUUGCCGGGGAGCAUAACUCUAUUUGUUGUGUCACUUGGGAAUUAUAUAGGUUGAUCACUCUGAAGAAUCUGAAAGACACUAACACGAGGGAAGGUAAGGAACUGCCAUCUAGCUUUGCACUUGAUUCACCUUCUGUUUUGAGUAGACUUGUGACACCACCACCUGCUAUUAAUUCUGAUAGGUCACAAGUAAUUGAUGAUGCUACUUCCGCUAUGAAUGAUGCUAGUACUUUGCUUGAUAAUAAUGUUCCACUAGGUGAAUUUCUUGAUGAACAACUUGAUAAAGCUAAAGAAAUUGAGAGUGCUGAAACUAAUGAAACAACUGAAAAUUAUGAUUCACUUAUAUUGCCUAGCUCUCCUACUAUAGUUGAAAUGCCUAAGAUACAUGAGGGUUAUGUUAUGGAUGGGGAGAUAGCUAGAGAGUUUCUUGCUUGUAAUGAUGGAGAAUAUGUUAAGAAAUUAUUGAGUAAGCUGAAAGAAAGUCUAUGAUAGGAAGAGUGAAAUAUGGUCCUAAGUUCACUACUUUUCCUAUCUUUGUUACUGAUAAGGAUUUUGAAUUCUCUGUCGAUCCUAAGUUAAUUACUUUGGUUGAAUAUGAUCCUUCCCAUGGUUAUGAAUCUGAAACUGUUGUGGCACACCUUACUAAAUUAAAUGAUAUAGCCACCCUAUUUGCUCACGAGAAAAAAAAUCGCUACUACUAUAUUCUUAAGUUGUUUCCUUUCUCACUUGGUUUAAUCUCUUGCUCCUGGUUGUGUGCAUAGUCCCUAGGAUAUGAUAUACUACUUCUUUGAAAAAUAUAUUCCUGCUCAUGAGAAACAAGAUGUCUUAUAGAAAAUAUUUAACUUUGUGCAAAUUGAAAAAGAACUACAAGAAACUUGUUAAUACGUGACGGUCCUAGUCCAUCACAAAUCAACCAAAAUUUGUCAUGCGUUCAGGUCCACGAAGGAUCUGAGAUCCGUCAUGUAUAUCACGUCAUAAUUUGACAUCGUACCUUCCAUGACGGUACUUGGCCGUCACGGAUCUGCCUCAGGCCCGCCAAGCCCAAACUGGGCUGUGAAGGAACAAACCGUCACCGAUUUACAUGACGUGGAUGCAACGUGGACCUAACAAGGCGUUUACGUGGAUCUGACAUGGAGACUAACAUGGCCCAUGUUGUAAACAGCCCAAUUAGGGAUUUGGCCCAAUAAUUUUGAACAGUCCAACCGAUCAGUUAUUUAUCUUUGUCCUGCCAUUAGCCUACCUGUUUUUUGGUUCAAACUAUUAGCUCCAUUUUAGUAUAGCCGGUUUUCUAUAUACAAAACAAUUUACAACAGGGCAACCAAAUUAUAUUCAUUCAAAAAAUAGCAAUUGUUUACAUGACAAAACAGAUUUCCAACAAUCUAGUCUGAUUUGAAAAAACAAAGCUUAAUAUCAAAACAUCACGAGCAUAUCUAGCGCUAUAAGCAUCUUUUAAAAAAUUGAGUUACAUGGCUUCAAAGAAAAUGCACUACUAGCUGAUUUUAAUCUCCAACACUACAGCAAUUCAAGGCAGCUAUCCAGACCCAAUUAAUUCCUGCUAAAAAACUUCAAUCUCCAGUAACACGGUGGCAAACCUGCAUAGAAUCAAAACACAUUCAAAAUUAUAAUCAAGUUAGCCUACAAGUGACAAGCAAAUUUAGUCCAAAGAAAAGUGUGACAAAUGAAAGUAUAAUCAAGUUAGCCUACAAGUGACAAGUAACAAACACACAUCACAGAACUAAAAGUGCAAUAACAGCAGCAGUUGGUUCAGCCAUUGGUUCUGGACCAAACAAACAGCAAGUGCAUGUGGCUAACCCGGCUGGGACUUGCCUAUUUUCCGGACUAGCAAACAAACAUGAGAUUUCUCAAAGAAGAAAGCAAACAAACAUGACACGAACAAGUACUUAGUUUUAUUUUUUUGUGAGAGGAAGUUGUGCCCCAGUACAGGUAUUAAGUUUAUCUGGAUCAAACAUUUCUAUACUCUAAAAGAAAUGAAAACAAAAGUGAGAGGCAGGCACUUAGUUUCUUUUGUGAGAGGAAGCUAUACGCGCCUGUACAAGUACUUAGUUUUUCUGGAUUAAAAUUUUCUGUACAAGCGAUCAGCUGAAAAUUAUGUAAAGAAAAUUCUGCCAGCAAACACUGUACCACACCAUUCCUUAACAAAAAAGAAUGACAGUAAAGAAGUGGUAGACUAACUUCAAGAUAAUUAACACAAACUGGACAUAAACAUAGGACAAGUUCAAACCAAAGUAUGUAAUGUUGUGGACUAUAUAACCCAAUGUUUAUGCUGCAAGUUAUCUCAAAGCGACAAAAAAUACAGUACUAAACAAUACUUGCUUGCCAAGUGAACUUCAAAUGCCAUACAAAAUAUUGACAAAGAAUAAGAUACAGUUUCACUGAGAGAUCUCCCACACUAAUAGUUUAUUUGUGGAGUACUAAGCGGUGUACUUGUUAUUACAUGAAAAAUUCAAAAUGUGUACUGUAGUGAAUUAUGAAACAAGAAAAUACUUGAUAAACAGUGAACUAAUAGUUAGGAAAGCGAGGCCUGAAUUGAUCAUGCUCUGCUUAUAUUGAAGAACGGGUAGAAAAGCUAGUCUAGUAUCCUUGUUACUUCUUUUCAUAACAAUUCUAUAUGCUCAGGGCUAGGGCUUUCCCACUUGACCAGCAUUGAGAGUACUAUUAUUUAUGGCGGAAACAAUAAUGAAAUGAACAAGUACAUUUGUGAACAAGGUGAUAGGUGUAGUUCAGUAGUAGUUGAGCCGGGGAAUGAAAAUAGCGGAGAAAUCAUAGGAGUGACAGUGGAGAACUAACCCUUGGUUGAUCGUGGUUCAGCUCCCAACGACCACCAUGGUUGCCCUCUCAAGCUCUAUUGUGCACAAUGCAGUGGACGACUGUUACAGAGCUACCUAGACCUGCAUCCCAAAAACAAGAGAUCAUAAUCAGACAAUUAGAUUGUUAAGUGAUCGAAAUAAAAAGAGGAAUAACAUGAAGAAAAAUGAUUUAGGAUCACUUGUCACGAGCACUAUUCAGGAAGGCAACCUAGUGAUGGAGCAAAGGAGUUGAAGAACCAAUGCGUUGUGUCACUCUGAUGGCAAGUGCUAGCUAGCUCGGUGUCUGCCUCAAGGUUGAGAGAGUGAGCAAACACUUGGCCUUGGUACUAGUAGCAGAUGCACAACUAAAAGUAGUAAUACUACUCUAAAUUGACUCGCUAAUAGAUGUGUUUAGUACACAAAUUAACAGGUUUAAACCUCUGUAUUAUUACUGUAGGACUGCCACAAUGUAACGAUGUAAUUUUCUUCUUAGGUUCAGAUUAAACAUAUUUUUGGCAUACAUAUUCACCUGGCUGGCUGCAUGAGACAACAAGGAUAGAAAAAGAAAAGUACCUAGGGAGAAAUCACUAAACAGAACAUGUCGACAUGUUAAUACAGUAACAGAAAUCAUGUCUCCAAGACCUAGGGAAAUAUUCUAAAGUGAAAUUAGAACUUGAUAAAAGGCCAAAUACCAUAGUGCGGUGGUUUGACUCUGCUUUGUACCCUGUUGUUUGUCUCUACUUGGUACCCUACAGUGUAGAGGAUAUAGAAACAUUCAGAGAAAAAUCAGUGUUAAACAUUCAGAGAGGAAGCACGCACACACAACACACCGGCUGCUGCACCAGAUCCCCUAGCUGCCAGCACCUUGUCAGCACGCACAGACAACACAGCCUUAUAGUUAGAGAGGGCAGUAGCCACGCUAGGUAAUCGACACUGACAGUGUUGGACCUUUGUUAUGAAUCUAUAUAGGAACAGAGGUGACGCCACUGUUCAAAUACGCAUGCAUCAUUAAGUACUAUCUACUGUAUAUAGUAAGAAAGGGGAUUAAAAGAUUGACUAAACUGAUGGGCACCAAAGAAUUUAACAUUGCAAGUGAAAUAAGAACUAUAUUGUAUAGCAUUGAAAAAAACUCAUCAAUAAUAUUGUAACUUGGUAUAUCCCUUCUUGCCUCCUUCCCUAAGAUACAUGAUACAUCAACGAUUGAAAAAGGCCAUCAAUUUGACGAGUACACAACACACUCUGAACCCAAAGACAGUAUACAGACUAGUCGGUGAAUCAAGAAGAAGCACAAAUUUGCUGCUGGAACUGUUGUCAAGACAGAGAGAAUGAAUUCAUAAGGUUAUUCACUACAAGUAGAAUGGAAACCUACAACUGCUAAAAUUCAUCCUCAGACAGACUGCUCAUUGACAAGCUGCUCCUUGAAUGCUAAGUACUCAGAAACUGUUCACGAAUUGCAGGACUCUCAAACAAUUCCUGCACACAUGCAUUAGGGGAUCAAAACAAAUCACGAGAGGCAGGUGGGGGACAUGAGGGAGGGGGCUAUAGUGAUCUUGGUCGGACGGGGGGCUAACCUUGGUGGAGAAGAGGUGUCGCGGACGGCGGCCCAGGAGUUGGUCGCUCGCCACUGGACGUUGCCUAGCGGCAUCACCGCACAGCCGGCAAGGUGGGCUCAAGGAAGAGGGGUGUGGAUGGAGAGGAGCUACCGGAGACACGAUGUGUGGAUGGAGAGGAGCCGCCGGAGAUGUGAAGUGUUGGACACAAUGCCACGGCCAAAACCCUAGCCAUGGCUAAGGGUCACAGGCGAGCGCCGGAGAGGAAUGGAUGUAUUGCGAGAGGGAUGGAUGGGUGGGGGAUGCGGUGGAUCUGGUAGUUGUCGGAGCUGCGAGGUGAGAAGAAGGGAUGGGAGGGCCGGCGGCGAGCUAUGGGAGGAAGGACACGAAGAUGUGGUGGGUGGCGGCGUGCGGUGGGAGAUGAGGGAGGGGCUGCGGAUGGAGAGAGGAGGGGACAGGGAGGAGGAUUUAGGGUUAGCAUUUUAUAUGGGAAUAGUUAGGUGGGCUUGAGCGGGCUUUGAGCGGGCUUGCGGGGCUGUGCCAGGCCGUCCGUGACAGAUUUCAAAAAUGUCAUGAGAAAUCCGUCAUGGAUUAACAGGUUUCCCUCAAGCUUGGGGGAGGCUUCUCCAAUUAUACUUAAUGCUUUGCCUAAUCAUCCUCUUAAUAAAAAUGAAAUACUUGAUAUAUUUUAUAAUGGACUACCCUAUGCUUCUAGGGACUACCUAGAUAGUUGUGCUCGUUGUGUUUUGAGGGAACAAACUGUUGAAAAGGCUGAAGAACUAUUGAACAAUAUAUUGAGAAAUGAAAAUGUUUGGACACUUCCUAAACCACUGAUACGUCCAUUUUGCAUCAUUCUUUUAUAUCAUUAUUUAGUGCAUUAUGGACUGUUAUUUCACUUUAUGGUACAAUACUUAUGCCUUUUCUCUCUUAUUUUACAAGAUUUACAUGAAGAGGGAGAAUGCCGGCACCUGGAAUUCUGGACCGGAAAGGAGCAAAUCUGAGAGACCUAUUCUGCACAACUCCAAAAGUCCUGAAAAUUUACGGAGAAUUAUUUCUGAAUAUAUUAAAAAUAUUGGGCGAAGAAAAUACCACCGGGGACCCACUAGGUGGCCACAAGCCUGGGGGGGGGGCGCUCCCUACCCCUGGGCAUGCCCCGAGGGGUUGUGGGCCCCCUGUAGGCCUCUGGUGCCCUUCUAUGCUAUAUGGUGUCUUUUGAGCUGGAAAAAAUUAAGAGGAAGCUUUCGGGACAAAGCGCCGCCGUCUCGAGGCGGAACUUGGGCAGAAUUAAUCUGGGGCUUCGGCGAAGUUGCCAGGGAAACUUCCUUCCUAGAGGAGGAAAUCUAAGCCAUCAUCAUCACCAAUGGCCCUCUAAUCAAGAGGGGGUCAAUCUGCAUCAACAUUUUCACUAGCACCAUCUCCUCUCAAACCCUAGUUCAUCUCUUGUAUCCGAUCUUUGUCUCACAACUUCAGAUUGGUACUUGUGGGUUGCUAGUAGUGUUGAUUACUCCUUGUAGUUGAUGCUAAUUGGUUUAUUCGGUGGAAGAUCAUAUGUUCAGAUCAUUUAUGCUAUUAAAUACUCCUCUGAUUUAGAACAUGAAUAUGCUUUGUGCAUAGUUACAUUUGUUCCUGAGGACAUGGGAGAAGUCUUGUUAUAAGUAAUCAUGUGAAUUUGGUAUUUUUUUGAUAUUUUGAUGAGAUGUAUGUUGUCUUUCCUCUAUUGGUGUUAUGUGAACGUCAACUACAUGACACUUCACCAUGGCCUAGGGGAAGUCAUUGGGAAGUAAUAACUAGAUGAUGGGUUGCUAGAGUGAUAGAAGCUUAAAUCCUAGCUUAUGCGUUGCUUCGUAAUGGGCUGAUUUGGAUCCAUAUGUUUCCUGCUAUGGUUAGAUUUAUCUUAAUUCUUCUUUUGUAGUUGCGAUGCUUGCGAGAGUGGUUAAUCAUAUGUGGGAGGCUUGUCCAAGUAAGGACAACACCCAAGCACCGGUCCUCCAACAUAUCAAAUUAUCAAAGUAAAGAACGCGAAUCAAAUGAGCAUGAUGAAAACUAACUUCAUAGUAAUUCCCAUGUGUCCUCAGGAGCGCUUUGCUUUAUAUAAGAGUUCGUCCAGGCUUGUCCUUUGCUACAAAAAGGAUUGGGCCACCUUGCUCCACCUUUGUUACACUUGCUACACUACAAAAAAAAGACACAUCCGUGACAUUUUGGGCCGAACGAAAUUUUUUUCUGUCAUACAUAUGACACUUCUAUGACGAUAAUUGUGACAAAACCCGGUAUCAUCCUAGAUGUGGUGGGCUCCUACUUCUAUGACAAAAAAUCAUGACAGAAAAUGGGAUUUUCAUCCUGCGCGGGCUGGAGACGCAGUUGCAUGACAUUCUUUGGGCCGUCCAUGACGGAAAAAACCAUGGUAGAAGCGAGGGGGAGGAAAUUUUUGGGGAGUUCGCGGUUACGGUGGGAGGUCGGGGGCCGAGCGAUGCGCGUUUCUAUUGUACACGUACGUGCGUGUGUGCGAGGCAUUGGCUCUAACUGAACCCGAGCGAGGCAUUGGGCUCUAACUAAACCCGAGCGAUUGCACUGCAGGCUACGCAUUACUGAACCCGAGCGAUCGAUCGAUGGCUGUUAACUGAACCCGAUCGAGCGAUUCCUUCGCUACUGCUGCUAACUCAAGCCGAUCAAUGCUGCCUCUGGNNNNNNNNNNNNNNNNNNNNNNNNNNNNNNNNNNNNNNNNNNNNNNNNNNNNNNNNNNNNNNNNNNNNNNNNNNNNNNNNNNNNNNNNNNNNNNNNNNNNNNNNNNNNNNNNNNNNNNNNNNNNNNNNNNNNNNNNNNNNNNNNNNNNNNNNNNNNNNNNNNNNNNNNNNNNNNNNNNNNNNNNNNNNNNNNNNNNNNNNNNNNNNNNNNNNNNNNNNNNNNNNNNNNNNNNNNNNNNNNNNNNNNNNNNNNNUGGUGGCGUUGCCUCUGGAUGAACAGGACCCCUUGGUGUGGAGGGAUGGAUGAAUAGUAGACGAUGGAGGGGUGCCCGUGGAGGGGUGGUUGAACAGGACCCCAUGGUGUGGAGGGCUGGAUGAAUAGUAGACGGUGGAGGGGUGGUUGAAUAGUAGCCGGUGGAGUAGCGCACGAUGGAGGCUGGAUGAACAAGAGCCCGUGGAGGCUGGAGGAGAUCGACGGUAGCCCGUGGAGGCUGGAGGAGGUCGACGGUGGAGAUGAAUAGUAUCCCGUGGAGUCCUGUUUUGCGGUACGCCACACCCCUCCUGAUGAAUAGGACCCCCGUUUCGACCAUAGGAGGUCCGUUUUAUCCGUUUUGUGGUACGCCAGACCCCUCCCGAUCAACAGGACCCCCGUUUCGAGCGUGGGAGGUCUGUUUCGUCCAUUUUAGGGUACACCACACCCCUCCCGAUCAACAGGACCCCCGUUUGGACCGUAGGAGGUCCGUUUCCUCCGUUUUGCGGUACGCGACACCCCUCCCGAUCAACAGGACCCCCAUUUCGACCUUAGCAGGUCCGUUUCCUCCGUUUUGCGGUUCGCCACACCCCUCCCGAUCAACAGGACCCCUGUUUUGACCGUAGGAGGUUCGUUUCCUCUGUUUUGCGGUAUGCAAGACCCCUCCUGAUGAACAGGAUCCCAUUUCGAACAUGGCCGGUAGAACACAAGGCCGUUUCCUCCGUUCUGCGGUACGCCAGGCCUCGUUUCCAUCGCCUGUUCCGUCCAAGCCCUCCCGAUGAACACGACCACGCAUUCCGUUGCCCCUCGAUGAAGACGACGCAUUCCAUUGCCUCCCCAUGAACACGGCGACGACGCUGUUUCUCCGUUCCGACCCAGCCAAUGUACACGAGCCCUGGCCGUACGUAUAUAUGCGCGAUUAGGCGUUCGAGACCCCCCCGUAUGUACACAUACGUGGCCGUAUUUUCUUUCUUGCACCCUCGCCGAUGUACGUACGUGUACAUGCUACGUGCGCGCCUCUACUACGACACGUGCGUGCCUCUAAUACGACACAUGCGCAUCUCUACAUCCACCAGUACAUAUGUACGUACACGUUCGCGACCAGAAUGACAACGCUACGUACGCUUUGACCAGGUGGGUCCCGACUGUCAGGCACUUCCUUGCCUGCGAAGAUGUAGCUGGUGGGUCCCAGCAGUCAGGGGGGCGAAUGUUUUUUUUCCCGGACACACUUCCUUGCGUGCGAAGAUGUAGCUGGUGGGUCCCAGCAGCCAGGGGGGCAAAUUGUUUUUUUUUGCCCAGACGCACUUCCUUGCGUGUGAAGGUGUAGCUGGUGAGUCCUAGCAGUCAGGGGGAAACGUUUUUUUCGCGAAAUAAGGUGGCCCGUCCGGUGGGUGCCUACUGUCAGGUUGAGGAAUAGUUAUUUUGCAUGUAAUAAGGAGGCACUUCCUUGCGGCCGCCAUGGACCCAGCUGUUAGCCUCUCCACGUAUAGUAUUCUUCCAAUGGAAGUCGGUCGUUGACCACGUUGACCACGCCGCACCGACAGCACCAGGGCGGUGGACGACGGCGAGGCCUAGGAAGGGGACAACGUGGAUCCGGGGAAGACGCAGCAGUGGAAGCCCGCGCGGAGAGGAGUACGAGGGUUCACUGCUUCGGCUGCAGUGUGAGGCUCCCAUCACCGCAGAAUAACAGGGGGUGUGGGUGAGUGGAGGGAUGGCCUGGCCAGCGGUGGGAGUAGUAUGGGGGUGGUGAGGCCUCCGCGGCAGCACAGCCGGCCACGGGAGGUAGGAGCAGGUGGCACGACUGGUGGUGCUUUGGGUGGCUAGACCAAGAAGACCAGAGGUUGAGGAAGCACUACAGCCGUUGGAUGGACAUCGUACGGUCACUUAAGCUAGAAUCGUUUAUUAUUGACUAUGUUGACAAAGCCCUUGGUACACUCCAACUUAGUAGGCCCACAGGUCAGCCUCCGAAACGGUGCACCCCAGAUGUCAGGGGGAGGAAUAAUUUUUUGGGCAGCCGAAGCUAAGAAUAUCCAAGAUUGAAGAAGAAGCACGACAUCCCUUGGAUAGACAUCCAACGGCCACUGCUGCUAGAACCGUGUGUUGACUAUAAUAAGUUUACAAAGCUUUUCAUACGCGUCAACUUUUUUUUAGGGCACGCGUCACUUCGUAGGCCCACAAGUGUGUGGCAGAGAACUUAUAGCCCAUUUUCGUUUUGUAAGAAUGUACAACCCAUUCUUGAAUUCUAAUGGAAUUUACAACAGCCCAUUUACAGCUUGUUAAAAGUACAACCCAUUUUCUAGCUAGGACAACGAUUAAUAAUUUCAACCAACCGUUGAAGACAGAAUUCAAUAAAAUUUCCCACAUUUUGAUGGGAUCCGAAAUAUUUUUAUCCCGAAAUUUCCAGUCAGAUAAAAUAUAAAUUUGUAUUACGUAAAAUCCAACGAAACAUUGCGCGUGCAAGAAUGAAAACUUAAGAUUUUCAAAAUCCAUAAAUAAUAUUGUAUAAACUAAUUUCAUGUUUGGUGUAUUUUUUAUAGUCACUGCCCAGUUUUUAUAAUUACAUCCCAUUUAUUAUUUUUUAAAGCCCAUUUUCCUGUUAAGCGUAAUGCAUCCCUCCUAGGAAAGAUUUGCAGCCCAGCGAGGCGGAGAAUAACAAGUUGACCUUGCCUGUGUAUUCCUCAAAAGACGUAUAGCUGGGCUAGCCAUUUUCGUCUGGAAAAAAAUAGUAUCUGGGCUGGAUAUCUGGCCUAGGCUAGACGGGCCACAGCCCACCCAGCUAAUACCCUACUCUCCUCUGAACAACAACGAAAUCAUCGCCAACAAAAACUCUGCAGUGCUCAUGCCUCAAAAACACAAAUACUGCACGAGCUGCAUGGUCCCAGCUGUCGGCCGCACCUUGUGCAAUUCUCUCGUUUAUAUUGACUACAUAUGUUGACAAUGGUGUGGGACCGUGAUUUCAGGAAACCAGGAGAAAGCAAAAAAAAAUAUAGUUGUACAUAAUAAGGAGGCACUUGCGUACGUACUGAUAUGGCCCUAGUGGGUCCCUAGUGUCAUCCGGUCAAAAUAAACUCAUCUCCUGAAUCCUCAUGUUCAUUGACGAUGUUAACAAUGCUCGGCGCCACGGCAAGCGCAAUAACUCGAAGGACAACGGAGAGGGCCUCGCGGGCCCUAUGGAUGGUCUGAUAUAGCGCCCGUUGCUCAUUCAGGAAGCCAGGAUCAUCGGACACCUAUCAGCACCUUCGAGAAACUGAGACGGCAUAAAAUGGUAAGGCCGCGCUUGGGAGCUCUGGUUUAUUUCAAACUUGUAUUAACAUACACAAGUGUAAUUUACUCAUCAUCGAAAACAACGCGUAAAAUACAGGCGUAAUGAAACCGAGGGCCCGAGGUCUGUAAUUAAAACCGGCGGGUUACGCGUGUAAUUUGAGAGACCAGUGUAUAUUUUACGAGCACUGCUAUAUGGACGACAUUACCAGAUGAUACAUGCAUGACGUGCGUAUCAUGCCAUCCAUAGGCAAGGCUGAAACAGCAGCUAACAGCUGGAUUAGCAAUCGUCCGAGUGUCCUUCAGCGUUUUUAUCAUGUGUGAAGUACUUCCGAUAUUUUACUAGUCGAAAUCGACCAACCAAGCGCCUUCGCCCAAGACCAUCUGCUUUAAUUUACAAGCGUCAGUUUUACAAGCGGUUUUGGUUGGAAAACGACGAUCCAAUCACGGCCUAAUAUCAUGAGUUGGUCAGAAGAUCAUAUGGUUUCACGUCUCACCUACCCGACUUGUCGCAUAGGCUAUGAAUGAAACAUCAGACGAUGAACUUCUUAAGCACGGAAACAACAGAAGAGGAUGAUCUUCUUAACAAGCAAAUCACUGGCAUUAGAUCGAGAUGCAAAACAAUACAAAGCAUUAUUCUCAGGAGGCAUGGUGAACAACUCGUGAUGCCGCAUGCCACAACAUUCCAAGCUCAACUUUGCAAUCAAACACAAGGCCUAGCAUUACAUAGACAAUAUUCAGAACAAACUCUUAACACAGGAAUAUCUCAGCAGGGUAACUAUUUACUUCUAAUCUGAACACAGGAAUAGGAAAAAAUACUCGACGCUGCUCACAGCAAGGGCGUCCCACUCAAAAAUAUCAAAUGCAUGUCUUCUGGCUAAGAUCAAUGAGCAAAUUUUGACAAGGUUUUCCAAUUCCAAUAUAUUAAACUAACGUCUUGUUGCUAACAUCAAUGAUUAAACUUUGACAAGCUUUUCCCAUUCAAAAUAUGUAAUGCCUAUGAUCGUGGAGUCCUGUUGUAGCUUCUUAAAUUGCCAAUGGUCUCUACAGACUAGUCAUGUCACCGGUGUCUAAUAAUACUCUGUAAAGCUUCUCGGUCAUUCCUUCUGUAAUGUAGCACAAACAGUGACUACUUCUUUCUGCAAAGUGGAACGACCAACUAGACCCAGUAAUGCAGCAGUUUGCCUUGGACACAUUGGCUCCUUUUGUGCAGUUCAACUAAAAUCGAAGUCGGAAUAAAACCGAGCUUUAAUUUUGAUAUCCCUGUAAGCAACAAUAGGUCGUGGAUGGAAAACAAAGUAGGAUAGUAGCAUUUCUAAAACGGUUGCAUUGAUUCAUAUUAACAGAGACAUUCUCUUGAAACAACAUUCGGUUAAAAUGUAAUUUACUUUUAACAGUGGCAUUGCUUCAAUUUUCCGGCAGCAUUCUUAGAUUAACAACAGCAAAAUAGUUGUAUGGGACAUGCCAGCACCAUGUGCGUCCACACAUAUAAAUGGGUGAUGUAGAGUAUGUAGCCAAGCAGCCUAUAUGCGUUGGUCCCAUAUUUGUUCUCUUUGAACCGUUUUCCUAUGUGAGGGCAGCAAAUCUAGUCCUACACAAGCCACCUGACCCCCCAGUUUCUUUCCCUUUUCAACAAAGAGAUCGGUUCCUUACAGAUGUGUGUACUGGGUUACCCCCUUUUUCCCUUUUCGGCCUACAGAGCGGCUGGAUAGCCAGUCUAUACUACUUUUCGCCCCUCCUUUCCUCAUUGAACCACAUCCUAGAUUCUUGCUCCAGCCCACCGCACCCUUCUUUCCUCUUUGAACCAAGACCUAGAUUCGACUACAGAUUGAAAAAGAUCCACAUGCAUCUAGAGCAACGACGGUUUCAAAGAAACUUAUACCUUAGGGUCGUUGGGAUGUGGCAAGGCGUGCGGCGGGAGGCCGGAUCUGCCCACACUACGUACAACAGCAAGGAAGAAGGGGUCGGUGGCCCUCCCGCACAGGCGUUGGGUAAAAGAGAACAACAGAGCUGGCAGUGAAUUGCCUCCCUCGCCGAAGGCGAUAGAGUGAGCGCUGCACCUUCUCCCCUUGCCGGUGCGACGGGAUACGGAUGCCUCCUUCACUAGCUAUGAGGGGGAAGAGAGAGACAAGAGGCCAACGCAGUCUUGUUUAGAUCUGGUAAAGAGAGGGUGAGAGACUGUGAAUAUAGCAAACCCUAGCAAAUGAACGCUCAGCCUCUAGCGUGUAUCAUAUAUCUAGUGCGGCGAGCGUGUGGAGAGUGCAAACCCUAGCGAACAAGCGCUGAGACUCCCGCUUAUAUAUAUAAUACUGUAGUACGGACUGAGCUCCGGUGCCUUCACUGCACCUGCUUUUGGCUGUAUAAUAGGUGAGCCAGCCACAUUUUGGGCCCACCUAUCAUAAACCCAAAGGCAGGUGCACUAAGUCAAUGAAUUUGCGUUCAUAUAGUACUCUCGUGUAUACGACUAAUAUAUAGUGGAGUGGUUUUCUUAUUCUCUCCAUAACAAUCAUUUUAAAUUGUGUAAGUACGAAACGAAACUCUUUAUUUAAUGUACAGUGAAGAAAACUAGUACUACUACUUCCGAUGAACUAACGAUCCACGCCCACGCGUCCUAGUCGCACUUCCUAUCCUUCACAUGUGGUACACUACCCUCCCUUAAGUGAACAACCACACAUGCGCGAAAUUAUCGGAAACGUGUGAGAGUGUGUACAAAUAAACAAUUUUAAUUUCAAUUAUUGGAAAGGUUUGAGAGUAUUACAAAGUUUGACUUCAGACAAAUCUAAUAUGCGGAGUAAAUAAAAAUGGAGGGCUACUACGUCCAUCCGGGUUUUUAGUCCACACCAUUUUUUAAAUCAAAGUUAAUAGCUAGACAAAUAAAAUUACAGGGGAGCUAGAGACAAUGUUGUGAGAAGGCUUAGAAAUCAAUACAAAACUUAUGCUCUUAGUACCAACGUCGAUCCUUCUUCGAGGAAACAUUUGGUUCAUAGCUAAUUGUGUGAUAAAAUUGCACCAACGUGAAAGACAACUGCGUCUCCAACGCAACCAAGGUGAACUGACGAAGGAUAUCAUCUUUAUGCAUAACAAGCAAAGAGCACUGAUGGAAGACAAAUUGUUUUUCAUUGAAAAUCGAUUAGCUUCACCAGCCGACGCAACCAUGAGGCGCAACCAUGAGCAUCGAUAGGUCAUCUUGGUGAUGCAUCAUCGAUUUGGCAUCAAGUUUGGGUGAGGCACAUAUGAAGUUCGACAAAUCCUCACUGUGGUCUGUUUCUUCUCAGGAAUCAAGAUCGAGGAAGGAAGAACCACGUGGCAGAGGACAGUGAGGCGGAACAACAAUGGCCAUCCAAUUUUGUGCAGUUCCACUAAAAUUGAGGAAGACAUGCCCAGGUAUGGAGACACGCAUCGCUGUUUCCAAAAAUAUAAAAAAGGGUUAGCAACAACAUCUCAAUUGUCAAUAAGAAUUAAUGAAAAGUACACCAACAAACAGAAGCAUCUUAAUUAUCUUGAUGGGAACUAAACCAGGACAACCGAUAAAAAAAGCAUUUCUUCAUUUAACCAGUGAUAGUACUACCACCAUAUCGACAAUGACCGCACAACCACCAUGUACUUUUUUUUUCGAAACAACAUGUAUUCCUCCACCGAGGCAUAAAUCAGGACAACUUUUCGAGUGGCAUUUCCUCUAUAAUAGUACUCCCUCCAUUUUUGUAUACAAGGCCACUAUCAAAAUUACAAUUUGCAACUAUACAAGGCCACUAACACAAAUCGAUGUAAAAUUGAUGAGGUUUGCCUCGUACUAGCAAGCGAAGACAUUAAUACCUCAUGCAUGCAUGCAGGAGUGAGAAGAUUGAUUUGAAUGCACCAUAUUAAUCAGCCAACAAGGAGAGAGAGAGUUGUCUUGUUGUCCAUUGGAGAGAUAAACACACAUUAAUUAACACGUCAAGAAAGGAGAAAAGACUAGUUUGCAACAUUGGUUUAAGUAGGCAUUAAUUUCUACAUUGAUACUUGUAAUAUGGGUUUGUGGCCUUGUAUACAAAAAUGGAGGGAGUACUAGUAGGUGACAUUAGACCAGCCGACAAACCCUAGCUACUACUAUGCAUGGGGAGCUGGGGAGUAGUCGCAUAGUAGAAAACCCGCACGCAGCAACCUGGGGAGCUGGACCAGUACACGAAGUUAUACCUUAGGUGGGCGAGAUGUCGUUUAGGAGGGUGGGCGGGAUCUGCCCACACGACGGCAGCGAACAAGGGCGCGGAGGAUCUUCGUCCGCACCAGCGCCGACUCCGAGAGGAUGGUGUGCAUCGGCUUCCUCCGUCGCCAACGGCGACAACGUCAACGCUGCACCUCCUCACCUCCCUAAGCGGACGGGAUUCAGAUGGAUCUGUGACCACCGGUGAGGAGAGAGAUAGAGUGGACACUGUCAUCUUGUUUUGAUAUGGAGAGGGUGAGAGAGCAAGAAGCGAGAGAAACUCUAUCAAACAAGAGGCUAUAAUGGAGUAAAAAAAUCUCUCCAUAGUAGUGGUUUUAAAUAGAAUAUGCGCGUUCCCGGAAAAAAGAAACGAAAACUGGCGGACAAUUUUUUAAGGGUCUGUCUAGGACACAUCUAGAUGUGACAUAGUUAUGUCACAUCUAAGUUGAUGUCCACUCUGUUUGUGGUCUAUUUUUUUCUGUCCUAGUUUUGUUUGUUUCUUGUUGCUACUCCCUCCGUCCAGGUGUGUAGGGCGUCUAAGGAAGGGCAGCAUGAUUCCCUCAAAAAAAAGGGAAGGGCAGCAUGAUCUAGGCGCGAGUGGAGUGGGCGAAGUGAAAAUUUAAACCAGGAAAAUAGCCAGUUAUCGAGCAAGUUUAGCCCUUAAUUCUUGCUGGUAAAUCUCGCUAGACACGCCAAUUUAUUGCCUGACCUUUCCCUUCCUCAACGAGCUGCGCAUGCAUGCAACAACACUCGCGCUAGUUAACUGCCUUCCGAUUUUUUCGCUUGGGCUGACCAAUAAUCAACUAUCUUAUUGUGCAUGCAUUGGCCUAACACAUACCGCGGGUCAUCAGUUUUGAUUAACACGACAUUUAAAAAUGGCUGCAUGGGGAGCUAGAACAAGAGACUGUAAAACGAGGCUGGUUUAACUACCUAUAUGCGACUAAAACUUUGGGAACAAAUGGACUCUCUUAGACGCCCUACACACCUGUACGGAGGGAGUACAUUACAUAGUUGUGGGAGCUUGGAUGUGAUAUCCUUAAAUAACAUCUAGAUGUGAAUUAGACAAACUGAUUUUCUAACGUACCAAGAAAGAAAACUUGAGCAAAAACACGCCCCCGCUUCCAGGUCGCGAGAGUCGUCGCACACACACACAUAGACAUAGACAUGCAUAUCCGUGUUUACAUAAAAUUACAUUUCCAUCUCCAUCUCCAAUCAUAUUUGUCCAACUGGCACAUUAUUUAUGUUGUUACGCGGUAAUAUUAACAUACAACAUCUCUUGUUUGCGCACGUUCGGACCGCUGCCACGGCCGGUCCUGACCAACCCGAACCCUCUUCAUCACCCGCGCGUGCUUCCCGCCCGAAACGGUCAGUGCCGCAUUCAUGCCCGGCCAGAGCGGACGCAACCUCUCACUGGCGCCGGCAUUGAAGUGUCACGCCGGUCGAGAGAGUGUCGCCCGCGCCGCUUCUAGGUGCACGCGGCUGCUCCGCGUUCAAAGGUCGCAAUAACCGGCUACAACAUGGAUGUAAAAAGUUCUUGGGAGUCCGUGCUACAGCUAGCUGUCCUCCCCCAACUCGUCAAUCUCUUCCAGUAGUGCUAGUACUCCAUGGCGCGGUCCAUCGACAAGCAGGCGGGAAAGUUAUCGUAUACUACUCGGUUUGCGGUGAGUGGCAUGCCGAGCGACCGUGUGGGUCGAGUCGUGGAGGAGGGUGAGACACGAACACGAUAGACGUGAUUUAAAUGUUGGUUUUGCUCGAUGGUGCGAUCCAACGAAACGAAACGUUGGUUUCUCUCCGUUUCCAUUUUUUCUCCGAAAAACAGAAACUUUCCACUCCAUUUUCAUUCCUAUUCCAAGGUUGCCCCGUUACAACAUUCCAUCAAAUACAAAGGAAAACUAACGCGCAUGCUGAUGCAUCUCAAUGAUUCACAAAUCAUAGCCAAUAUUUACUUCACAACUAAAGAGAAAAGUUGUGAGAGCGUAUACGAAAGAAAAACUACUAAUGGGGUCACUACGACUUAAACCCUAAACCCUAAACAUGAUUUAAUUUCCUAGCCAGGUAGAACCUGUCAAAGGAAAGACGGCUGGCACCCUCGGAUCAUACGAUGCGUUUGUGUAGUUCCACUAAAAUCGACCUGAGCAUCCCUGAUGGCAAAGAUAUUGAAGAUGUGUGAUUAGAAUAAUAGUACUGGCACUAGUUCAUGGGACAUAAAUUCAUCACAAGUAGAAGCCGGUAGAAGUAGAGAAAGAUAAACAUGGAGAUGGAGCUACGGCAGUGGAGCAAGUCAGCUCCAAAAGGAAGAUGGACUAUACCUGGGACGUCGGGCUCUAGCUAGAAGGGCGGUUGGGACGCGGCAUCGGCCCAUACCGCGGUGACCCCCGAUUGGGACGCACCGACUGUGGGGUUUCUCCCUCGCCGAUGUCGAUCGCGUCUACGCAGUAGAUUGUUCCCUUCCCCCAGCUGCAGGAUAAUGCCCGUCGUUCUAUGCUUGUGAACAGAGCAACCUAAGCAAGCAGGCUUGUAGCUUAGGCUCCUGCUAGUGUAUAUAUAGUGGUUUUCUUUUUCUCUCCAUAUCAACCAUUUUAUAUUGCGUAUGUGUCAUUCAAGAGUGAAAUGAUGGUUGCUUCUUCCGACUAACUUACUGUGUGAUUUGACUGCUCGUUAGUGGCCCCUACACGUACUCCCCCUACGUGUAUGCAACAGUCACACGUACACAUGGAUGCAAAAACGCGCGUGACGCCCUAAUGCAUGCAUGUCCGAGCAUACGAUAGAACACACACGGUCACGCUCAAGUGCUCAACCUACACGUGCAUGCACACACAUACUCAGUCAGGGUGAGCUAAUGACCGUAUAAACACCGGAAUAUAUAUAUAUAUAUUGAGCGCAAUGAGCGUAUUAUGAAGUCCAACGACCAGUGUCUUGGCUAAUCGUCCUAAGAAUGCUUAUAUAUGAAUAAAGCUCUCUCAUUUACAAGCAAAAAAGAUUAAGCCAUAUUAACCGGAAAGGAGGGAGUAUGGACUAGCACUACUUUUUGGUGUGUCCCGUCAACUCACAGAACGAGGAGAAGCUUGCAAGACAUGGUGAAGCUCGCUUACGCCUUUUGACUAAUGCAACCUACCCUAGGUGGACAUGAAUCAGUCCAUUCGGUGUUAGAUUGUCACAGGCAUACACUGUAGUACCCAACAUGCGGAGUACCAUCAUUGUUCGACUUCACGAAGUGGCGAAGAGCCAAGCGCAGUAGUACGAGUAGUACUACUACUAGAACCGCAUGGUGGAGCAUCUGUACUCUAUUUUUUUUCUCUGAUAAAGUACACGUUUAUUCCGGAGAAGGGCGGAAAACGGUAGCUCGACAUGUAAUGAAUGAUAUCGAUCAACCAACCAUGCUCGAAUAUAUCUUGGCCUCCGUUCGAGCCCGUCUUUGUGUUCUCGCUCCUCGUCUCUCUCAAGGAACGGCGGGUUGUCUCUUUGCCGUCAAUUGAGAUCGGUUUGCUCACACUCCUGUCCCCCAUGUCAGUGAUAUGCCAAGAGGAGGUGCGUUGACCGACUGGCCAUACGCGUACUUGGUUUUGCACGUUCAUACUACUCCUCCCUCCGUCACGGUUUACAGGGCGCGCUUCAUUAUGAUGCAUUUCUCUCAAUGCAUUUCCACCACCAGAGAGACUUUAGAUGCGUUUGGUUUAAUGCUCAAUUAAUUAGGGCGUGGAAACCGCAAUCAAGUCCACAAUUUUCUCUCUCCAUGUACUCUAUAUUGUACUACGGAGUGGAGUAAGUGCAUGCUUGUGUGUACCCGGGGUGGAAGCACUGCAUGCAUGUGUGUACGCAUUAUUCCCUCUAGUAAUAGACGUCGUGCUAUAACUACCAAUGCUAUUUUUCAGGCCGAUCGUUAGUCGCCUUGGUCCCACAGAUUUUCUUUUCUUUUUUCUGAAGCACGCUGUAUAAACAGUGACGGAUGGAGUAGUAUGAGCGGAUUCAAAGAAGAGCGUAUUGAUGGUUGCUUCUUCAAAGCAACUUACAGUGGGAAAGGUGGGGCUUAUAAUUUGACUGCUCGUUACUCAGUAUUAAUGCGGCGCAACGACCGGGCUGAGUCUCCCAUGUGGUUGUGCACUACCCCCUCGGUUCUUAAAUAUACUCCAGAGUAUUUGUCUUUCUAGAGAUUUCAACGAGUGACUACUCAAAUAUUUGUCUUUUUAAAGAUUUCAAAUGGACUGGCACAUACGGAUGUAUAUAGACAUAUUUUAGAGUGUAAAUUCACUCAUUUUGCUCCGUAUGUAGUCACUUGUUGAUAUCUCUAGAAAGACGAAUAGAAUAUGUAGGAACGGAGGGAGUACACAUACGAAGAAAAAUGAGUGAAUCUACACUCUAAAAUAUGCCCGUUUGAAAUUUGUAAAAAGACAAAUAUUUAGGAACGAAGGAGUAUAAUUUUGUGCAUCGCACAUGGACCCGGAUGAUGAAGAGGCUUCUGGCAAUGCUAUCAAGCUUCCAUCAUUUGUUUAAAUAAUUGAUGUACUAUACAAAUAAUUUUCCAGCGACAUGAAAUUGUACAAUGGUGUGAGCUUUCAGCUUUUGUUUCGCGUGUCUUGCCAUCGAUGCUCUUUUGGAAACAAUAAAAAAAUAACUUCCUUGCUAAUGCAUGUCAAUUAUUAGCAGAUCAGAGCUAAUAAUUACAUCACAACUGAAAACAGAGUUGUGAGAAGGUGUUAAAUUAAAAUUGAUCCAUGCUUUCAUUGGCAGCAACGUCCCCCCAGCUCUGUCUAAAUCAACAAGGCAUGUUAGGAAAAAAAGUAGCUGUCUGGAGCAUGAAACAUUCCGAUCAUUUUGUGCAGUUCCACUAAAAUAGAGCUGAGCAUCCCUGUUCCAAAGAUAUUAAGUGUGAUUACGAUAAUAGAGGACUGCUGAUGAAACAAUAAACACACAAAUAGAAGCCGGUCACCUUUGCAGUCUCUCUUAAGACUAACUAGUUGGAGAAGAUUAGGCUCGGAGUUGGAUGAGGAGGAUAGAGCAAAACCAAUCUCCCUUUGUGCAGUCGCACUGAAAUGUAGAGACGUUGCCCGUGUGACAUUUUAGUACAACUGCACAAAACACUCUUAAGAAAAAAAUGAUUUGUGCAGUUCACCAAAAGGUCGCAAUAGCAACGAGGUGAAAUGGAUAGCCCUGUUUGCAAAAAAGAGGUAGAAAGGAAACAAUUACUGGCCAAUAACAGUUGAUGACACAUGCGACGACAAAAAAGAAGGAUAUUCUUGUCCUAAGGGAAGAUAACAACAUGGUUGUGUUUGUCUAAAAUGGUGUGAGGACAAGAAUGCAAUAUGCAAAGUACGCCGGGCGAGCUACGUUUUGGGCAAAGAACUAUGGAAGAUCCACAUGCAGCGACGUGGGAAGACGGGCAGUGAAGCAAGGCCGGAGGGGAUACCUGGAGGUCGUUGGGAUGUAACUAGGUGAGCAGCGGCGAGCGGAAUCUACGAGUAGGUGGCGUAGGCCCUGCCGUGGCGGAACUUGGUCAGAGAGAACGGCGUGUGCCACAGAUCGGGACGUGCUGCCUCGGCGCCGUCGAGCGGAGAAACAAUGCACUUCCUCCCUUUCCCCCGGUGGACGGGAUGCGACCGGAUCAGUGACCAACGGUGAGAGAAAAAGAGAGAGGCCACCGCACUCCCUUUCCCCCGGUGAACGGGAUGCGGCCGAAUCAGUGACCAACGGUGAGAGAUAGAGGCCACCGCAUCCUUGUGUGAGAUACUCCGAGGAGCGACAAACUAGGCAUGCAGGCUCCAUUUUAUAUAGUGAGCGGACUACCUUUUUCUCCGUAAAAAUCGUUUUAUAUUCUGUGUACAUGCCAUUGAGCGAUAUAACUUUAUUUAAAAAUAACGCGGCAACGCGUCAGGUCGAACUUUGUUCCGUGCAUGCGUGGUACACGACCUCCCUAGGUAAACAACCGCUACAGGCGUUCAAAUUAGCACGUGGGCUGCCAUUUCGUAAAGAAAUAAGCUCCACUGUGUACCCGUGCAGGUGUGGCUGGGCACGAAGCGUGAGUACGUGCACGGUGCACCUAUUCUCUUCUUGUAUACGUACACCACCUACGUGGGGUUGUGUGAGAGAGAUACAAACCUAGAGAGAUAUAGUGUGUGGGUUCUUGAGAGUUUUUUGGGGGGGGGGGCGAUCCACGAGAAGAGAGUGGAGGUAUUUAACAUGUAUGUCAAAAAAUGUAACAUAUGCAAUGUGUGUGAAAUAGAGUCCUGGAUAUAACAUGUAUAUUGAGGGGGCGAUCCACGAGAAGAGAGUGGAGGUAUCAUCGGCUUGAGGUGUCCAUAGAAUCGAAGAGAGGGAUGAUGAUGAUGUGUGUGUGUGUGAGUGUCUGUGUGUGUGUGCGCGCGCGCGAUCGAUAAAGAGUGCCAUCGAAUUUGUGUGUGCCCACGUCAAAGAUAUAGAGUGGCUGGCGUACAGGAAUGUGAGAGGGGACAUGUGCAGUUUGUCUCUAUGGCAUGGAUACCUACCUACAACGCUCGACUAUCGGUGUGUGGUGGGGGAAGAGGGAGGCCCAAUUAACUAUAUAGGUACAAUGGCUAGUAUAUGUGUGGAGGAGGAGAGAGGCCUGUUGGGGAACGUAGCAGAAAUUCAAAAUUUUCUACGCAUCACCAAGAUCAAACUAUGGAGUAAUCUAGCAAUGAGGGGAAGGGGAGUGCAUCUACAUAGCCUUGUAGAUCGCUAAGCGGAAGCGUUCAGGAAAACGGGGUUGAGGGAGUCGUACUCAUCGUGAUCCAAAUCACCGAAGAUCCUAGUGCCGAACCGACGGCACCUCCGCGUUCAACACACGUGCAGCCCGGUGACGUCUCCCACGCCUUGAUCCAGCAAGGAGAGAGGGAGAGGUUGGGGAAGACACCGUCCAGCAGCACCACAACAGCGUGGUGGUGAUGGAGGAGCGUGGCACUCCAGCAAGGCUUUGCCAAGCACUGCGAGAUGAGGAGGGAGAGAUGUAGGGCUGUGCCUUGGAGAGAAUAACUCAUGUGUUGGGCAGCCCCUAGACCUCAACUAUAUAUAGGGGGAAGGGAGGGGGCUGCGCCCCCUCUAGGGUUCCCACCCCAUGGGGUGCGAUAGCCCCUAGAUCCCAUCUAGGCUGGCGGCCUAAGGGGGAGAGGGGGAGGCGCACCUGGGGUGGGCCUUAGGGCCCAUCUGCCCUAGGGUUUGCCCCCCUCUUCUCUUGAGGCGCCUUGGGCCUUGGUGGGGGGGGGUGCACCAGCCCACCUGGGGCUGGUCCCCUCCCACACUUGGCCUACGCAGCCCUCUGGGCUGUUGGCCCACCUCGUGGACCCCCGGGACCCUCCCGGUGGUCCCGGUACGUUACCGAUAACACCCGAAACUUUUCCGGUGACCAAAACAGGACUUCCCAUAUAUAAAUCUUUACCUACAGACCAUUCCAAAACUCCUCGUGACAUACGGGGUCUCAUCCGAGACUCCGAACAACAUUCGGUAACCACGUAUAUCUAUUCCCUAUAACCCUAGCAUCAUCGAACCUUAAGUGUGUAGACCCUACGGGUUUUGGAACCAUGAAGACAUGACCGAGACAACUCUCCGGCCAAUAACCAACAACAGGAUCUGGAUACCCAUGUUGGCUCCCACAUGUUCCACGAUGAUCUCAUCGGAUGAACCACGAUGUCAUGGAUUCAAUCAAUCCCGUAUACAAUUCCCUUUGUCUGCCGGUAUAGUACUUGCCCGAGAUUCAAUCGUUGGUAUGCCGAUACCUUGUUCAAUCUCGUUACCGGCAAGUCUCUUUAAUCGUUCCGUAACACAUCAUCCCAUGAUCAACUCCUUGAUCACAUUGUGCACAUUAUGAUGAUGUCCUAUCGAGUGGGCCCAGAGAUACCUCUCCGUCAUACGGAGUGACAAAUCCCAGUCUCGAUUCGUGCCAACCCAACAGACACUUUCAGAGAUACCCGUAGUGCACCUUCAUGGCCACCCAGUUACGUUGUGACGUUUAGCACACCCAAAGCAUUCCUACGGUAUCCGGGAGUUGCACAAUCUCAUGGUCUAAGGAAAAGAUACUUGACAUUUAGAAAAGCUUUAGCAUAUGAACUACACGAUCUUGUGCUAGGCUUAGGAUUGGGUCUUGUCCAUCACAUCAUUCUCCUAAUGAUGUGAUCCCGUUAUCAACGACAUCCAAUGUCCAUGGUCAGGAAACCAUAACCAUCUAUUGAUCAACGAGCUAGUCAACUAGAGGCUUACUAGGGACAUGGUGUUGUCUAUGUAUCCACAAAUGUAUCUGAGUUUCCUAUCAAUACAAUUCUAGCAUGGAUAAUGAACAAUUAUCAUAAACAAGGAAAUAUAAUAAUAACCAUUUUAUUAUUGCCUCUAGGGCAUAUUUCCAAUAGUCUGCCACUUGCACUAGAGUCAAUAAUCUAGUUCACAUCACUAUGUGAUUGUAAUGAAUCGACGCCCAUGGGGUUUGAUCAUAUCUCGCUUGUGAGAGAGGUUAUUAGUCAACGGAUCUGAACCUUUCAGAUCCGUGUGUGCUUUGCAAAUCUCUAUGUCAUCUCCUAGAUGCAGCUACCACGCUCUAUUUGGAGCUAUUCCAAAUAACUGUUCUACUAUACGAAUCCGCUUUACUACUCAGAAUAAUAUGGAUUAGUGUCAAAGUUUGCAUCGGCGUAACCCUUUACGAUGAACUCUUUUACCACCUCCAUAAUCGAGAAAAUUCCUUAGUCCACUAGUUACUAAGGAUAAGUUUGACCGCUGUCCUGUGAUCCAUUCCUGGAUCACUAUUGUACCCCUUGACUGACUCAUGGCAAGGCACACUUCAGGUGCGGUACACAGCAUAACAUACUAUAGAGCCUACGUCUGAAGCAUAGGGGACGACCUUCGUCCUUUCUCCCUUUUCUACCAUGGUCAUGUCUUGAUUCUUACUCAAUAUUCACACCUUAUAACACAGCCAAGAACUCCUUCUUUGCCGAUCUAUUUUGAACUCCUUCAAAAUCUUGUCACGGUAUGUAUUUAUUUCAAAGUACUAUUAAGUGUUUUUGAUCUAUCCUUAUAGAUCUUGAUGCUCAAUGUUCAAGUAUCUUAAUCCAGGUUUUCCAUUAAAAACAUUUUCAAAUAACCCUAUAUGCUUUCCAGAAAUUCUACAUCAUUUCUGAUCAACAAUAUGUCAACAACAUAUACUCAUCAAAAAUGCUAUAGUGCUCCCGCUCAGUUCUUUGGAAAUACAAGUUUCUCAUAAACUUUGUAUAAACCCAAAAUCUUUGAUCAUCUCAUCAAAGUGUAUAGUCCAACUCCGAGAUGCUUACUCCAGUCCAUAGAAGGAUUACUGGAGCUUUGCACACUUGUUAGCAUCUUUCAGGAUUGACAAAACCUUCUGGUUGUAUCACAUACAACCUUUCCUCAAGAAUAUCGUCGAGGAAACAAUGUUUUGACAUCAUAUCUGCAAGAUUUCAUAAAUCAUGCAGUAAUUGCUAAUGUAAUUCCAACAGACUCUUAGCAUCGCUACGAAUGAGAAAGUCUCAUCGCAGUCAAUUCCUUGAACUUGUCAGAAAACAUCUUAACGACAAGUCGAGCUUUCUUAAUGGUGAUACAUACCAUCAUUGUCCGUCUUUCUUUUAAAAUCCAUCUGUUCCCAACAGCCUUACGACCAUCAAGUAGUUCUUCCAAAGUCUAUACUUUGUUUUCAUGCAUGGAUCCUCUCUAGGAUUUUAUGGCCUCGAGCCAUUCGUCGGAAUCCGGGCCCACCAUCGCUUCUUCAUAGCUCAUAUGUUCAUUGUUGUCUAGCAACAUGACCUCCAAGACAAGAUUAUGUACCACUCUGAAGUAGUAUAUAUCCUUGUCAACCUAUGAGUUUUGGUAGUGACUUGAUCCGAAGUUUCAUGAUCAAUAUCAUCAGCUUCCACUUCAAUUGGUGUAGGCACCAUAGGAACAACUUCAUGUGCCCUGCUACACACUAGUUGAAGUGACGGUUCAAUAACCUCAUAAGGUCUCCACCAUCCUCCCACUCAAUUCUUUCGAGAGAAACUUUUUCUCGAGAAAGGACCCGUUUCUAGAAACAAACACUUUUGCUUCCGGAUCUGAAAUAGGAGGUAUACCCAACUAUUUUUGGGUGUCCUAUGAAGAGUUAUUUAUCCGCUUUGGGUUCGAGCUUAUCUGGCUGAAACCUUUUCACAUAAGCGUCGCAGCCCCAAACUUUCAAGAAACGACAGCUUAGGUUUCUCUAAACCAUAGUUCAUAUGGUGUCAUCUCAACGGAAUUACGUGGUGCCCUAUUUAAAGUGAAUGUGGUUAUCUCUAAUGCCUAACCCAUGAACAAUAGUGGUAAUUCGAUAAGGGACAUCAUGGUAUGCACUAUAUCCAAUAGGGUGCGGCUAUGAUGUUCGGACACACCAUCACACUAUGGUGUUCCAGGCGGUGUUAGUUGUGAAACAAUUUCCACAAUGUCUUAAUUGUGUACCAAACUCGCAACUCAGAUAUUCAUCUCUAUGAUCAUAUCAUAGACAUUUUAUCCUCUUGUCACGAAGAUCUUCAACUUCACUCUGAAAUUACUUGAACCUUUCAAUAAUUCAGACUUGUGUUUCAUCAAGUAAAUAUUCUCAGCAUCUACUCAAAUUAUCUGUGAAGUAAGAACACAACAAUAUCCACUCCGUGCCUCGACACUCAUUGGAUAUUACUUCCAAGAAGUUGCUCUCUUGUUCCAUCUUACUAAAAAACGAGGCUUUUAGUCAUCUUGCCCCUGUGGUAUGAUAUGCAUGUCUCAACUGAUUUAGAAUCAAGUGAGUCCAAACGAUCCAUCUGCAUGGAGUUUCUUCAUGCGCACAUACCAAUAGACAUGGUUCACAUGUCUCAAACUUUUCAAAAAACGAGUGAGUCCAAAGAUCCAUCAACAUGGAGCUUCUUCAUGCGUUUUAUACCAAUAUGACUCAAAUGGCAGUGCCACAAGUAUGUGGUACUAUCAUCCCUAUCUUAUAUCUUUUGGCAUGAACAUGUGUAUCACUACGUUCGUGAUUCAAUAAACCCAUUUUAGGUGCAAGACCAUUGAAGGUAUUAUUCAAAUAAAUAGAGUAACCAUUAUUCUCCUUAAAUGAAUAACCGUAUUUCGAUAGACAUAAUCUAAUUAUGUCUAUGCUCAACGCAAACACCAAAUAACAAAUAUUUAGGUUUAACACCGAUCCCGAUGGUAGAGGGAGUAUGCGAUGCUUGAUCACAUCAAGCUUGGAAACACUUCCAACACAUAUCGUCAUCUCACCUUUAGCUAGUCUCCGUUUAUUCCGUAGCCUUUUAUUUCGAGUUACUAACACUUAGCAACCGAACCGGUAUCUUAAUACCCUGGUGCUUACUAGGAGUACUAGUAAAGUACACAUUUAAUACAAUGUAUAUCCAAUAUACUUCUGUCAACCCUGCCAGCCUUCUCGUCUACCAAGUAUCUAGGGUAGUUCUGCUUUAGUGGUUGUUCCCUCAUUACAGGAGCACUUAGUCUCGGGUUUGGGUUCAACCCUGGGUUUCUUCACUAGAGCAGCAACUGAUUUUCCAUUUCAUGAAGUAUUCCUUCUUACCCUUGCCCUUCUUGAAACUAGUGGUUUCACUAACCAUCAACAAUUGAUGCUCCUUCUUGAUUUCUACUUUUGUGGCGUCAAACAUCGCAAAUAUUUCAAGUAUCAUCAUAUCUAUCCCUGAUAUGUUAUAGUUCAUCACGAAGCUCUAGCAGCUUGGUGGCAAUGAGUUUGGAGAAACAUCACUAUCUCAUCUGGAUGAUUAACUCCAACUCGAUUCAAGUGAUUGUUGUACUCAAACAAUAUGAGCACAACCUCAACGAUUGAGCUUUUCUCCCUUAGUUUGCAGGCUAAGAAACUCGUCGGAGGUCUUAUACCUCUUGACGUGGACACGAGCCUGAUAUCCCAAUUUCAGCCUUUGAAACAUCUCAUAUGUUCCAAGACAUUUCGAAAUCAUCUUCGGUGCCUCAAUUCUAAAUCAUUUAACAUUACUGAACUAUCACGUAGUUAUCAAAACGUGUAUGUCUGAUGUUCGCAACAUCCACAGACGACGUUUGAGGUUCAGCACACCGAGCGGUGCAUUAAGGACAUAAGCCUUCUACGCAGCAAUGACGACAAUCAUCAGUUUACGGACCCAGUCUGCAUAAUUGCUACUAUCAACUUUCAACUAAAUUUUCUCUAGGAACAUAUCUAAAACAGUAGAACUAGAGCGCAAGCUACGACAUAAUUUGCAAAAACAUUUUGACUAUGUUCAGGAUAAUUAAGUUCAUCUAAUGAACUCCCACUCAGAUAGACAUCCCUCUAGUCAUCUUGAGUGAUACAUGAUCUGAGUCAACUAGGCCGUGUCCGAUCAUCAUGUGAGACGCACUAGUCAUCAUCGGUGAACAUCUUCAUGUUGAUCGUAUCCACUAUACGACUCAUGUUCGACCUUUCGAUCUCUUGUGUUCCGAGGCCAUGUCUGUACAUGCCAGGCUCGUCAAGUCAACCUAAGUGUUUCGCGUGUGUUAAUCUGGCUUACACCCGUUGUAUGUGAACGUUAGAAUCUAUCACACCCGAUCAUCACGUGGUGCUUCGAAACAACGAACUUUCGCAACGGUGCACAAUUAGGGGGAACACUUUCUUGAAAUUAUUAUGAGGGAUCAUCUUAUUUACUACCGUCGUUCUAAGCAAAUAAGAUGCAUAAACAUGAUAAACAUCACAUGCAAUCAAAUAGUGACAUGAUAUGGCCAAUAUCAUUUUGCUCCUUUUGAUCUCCAUCUUCAGGGCUCCAUGAUCAUCAUCGUCACCGGCAUUACACCAUGAUCUCCAUCAUCAUGAUCUCCAUCAUCGUGUCUCCAUGAAGUUGUCUCGCCAACUAUUACUUCUACUACUAUGGCUAACGGUUUAGCAAUGAAGCAAUUACAUGGCGUUAUUCAGUGACACGCAGGUCAUACAAUAAAUAAAGACAACUCCUAUGGCUCCUGCCGGUUGUCAUACUCAUCGACAUGCAAGUCGUGAUUCCUAUUACAAGAACAUGAUCAAUCUCAUACAUCACAUAUCAUUCAUCACAUUCUUUUGGCCAUAUCACAUCACAUAGCAUACCCUGCAAAAACAAGUUAGACGUCCUCUAAUUGUUGUUUGCAUGUUUUACGUGGCUGCUAUGGGUUUCUAGCAAGAACGUUUCUUACCUACGCAAAAGCCACAACGUGAUAUGCCAAUUGCUAUUUACCCUUCAUAAGGACCCUUUUCAUCGAAUCCAAUCCGACUAAAGUGGGAGAGACUGGCACCCGCUAGCCACCUUAUGCAACAAGUGCAUGUCAGUCGGUGGAACCUGUCUCACGUAAGUGUACGUGUAUUGGUCCGGGCCGCUUCAUCCCACAAUACCAUCGAAAUAAGAUAGGACUAGUAACGGUAAGCAUAUUGAACAAAAUCAACGCCCACAACAAGUUGUGUUCUACUCGUGCAUAGAAUCUACGCAAUAGACCUAGCUCAUGAUGCCACUGUUGGGGAACGUAGCAGAAAUUCAAAAUUUUCUACGCAUCACCAAGAUCAAUCUAUGGAGUAAUCUAGCAACAAGGGGAAGGGGAGUGCAUCUACAUACCCUUGUAGAUCACUAAGCGGAAGCGUUCAAGAGAACGGGGUACUCGUCGUGAUCCAAAUCACCGAAGAUCCUAGUGCCGAACGGACGGCACCUCCGCAUUCAACAAACGUGCAGCCCGGUGAUGUCUCCCACGCCUUGAUCCAGCAAAGAGAGAGGGACAGGUUGGGGAAGACUCCGUCCAGCAGCAGCACAACAGCGUGGUGGUGAUGGAGGAGCGUGGCACUCCAGCAGGGCUUCGCCAAGCACUGUGAGAGAUGAGGAGGGAGGGAGGUAGGGCUGCGCCUUGGAGAGAAUAACUCAUGUGUUGGGCAGCCCCUAGACCUCAACUAUAUAUAGGGGGAAGGGAGGGGGCUGCGCCCCCUCUAGGGUUCCCACCCCAAGGGGUGCGAUAGCCCCUAGAUCCCAUCUAGGCUGGCGGCCUAAGGGGGAGAGGGGGAGGCGCACCUGGGGUGGGCCUUAGGGCCCAUCUGCCCUAGGGUUUGCCCCCCUCUUCUCUUGAGGCGCCUUGGGCCUUGGUGGGGGGGGGGGCGCACCAGCCCACCUGCAGUUGGUCCCCUCCCAUACUUGGCCUACGCAGCCCUCUGGGGCUGUUGGCCCACCUCGUGGACCCCCGGGACCCUCCAGGUGGUCCCGGUACAUUACCGAUAACACCCGAAACUUUUCCGGUGACCAAAACAGGACUUCCCAUAUAUAAAUCUUUACCUCCGGACCAUUCCAAAACUCCUCGUGACGUCCGGGAUCUCAUCCGAGACUCUGAACAACAUUCGGUAACCACGUAUAUCUAUUCCCUACAACCCUAGCGUCAUCGAACCUUAAGUCUGUAGACCCUACGGGUUCGGGAACAUGUAGACAUGACCGAGACAACCCUCCGGCCAAUAACCAACAGCGGGAUCUGGAUACCCAUGUUAGCUCCCACAUGUUCCACAAUGAUCUCAUCGGAUGAACCACGAUGUCAAGGAUUCAAUCAAUCCCGUGUACAAUUCCCUUUGUCUACCGGUAUAGUACUCGCCCGAGAUUCGAUCGUCGGUAUGCCGAUACCUUGUUCAAUCUUGUUACCGGCAAGUCUCUUUACUCGUUCCGUAACACAUCAUACCAUGAUCAACUCCUUGAUCACAUUGUGCACAUUAUGAUGAUGUCCUACCGAGUGGGCCCAGGGAUACCUCUCCGUCACACGGAGUGACAAAUCCCAGUCUCGAUUCGUGCCAACCCAAUAGACACUUUCAGAGAUACUCGUAGUGCACCUUCAUAGCCGCCCAGUUACGUUGUGACAUUUGGUACACCCAAAGCAUUCCUACGGUAUCUGGGAGUUGCACAAUCUCAUGGUCUAAGGAAAAGAUACUUGACAUUUAGAAAAGCUUUAGCAUCCAAACUACACGAUCUUGUGCUAGGCUUAGGAUUGGGUCUUGUCCAUCACAUCAUUCUCCUAAUGAUGUGAUCCCGUUAUCAAUGACAUCCAAUGUCCAUGGUCAGGAAAUCGUAACCAUCUAUUGAUCAAUGAGCUUGUCAACUAGAGGCUUACUAGGGACAUGGUGCUGUCUAUGUAUCCACACAUGUAUCUGAGUUUCAUAUCAAUACAAUUCUAGCAUGGAUAAUAAACAAUUAUCAUAAACAAGGAAAUAUAAUAAUAACCAUUUUAUUAUUGCCUCUAGGGCAUAUUUCCAACAAGGCCUACCUGAUGUAUUAAGGAGAUCGAUCUGCCUCAUGUAUUAAGGGAGAUCGAUCAGCAUCCAUGCAUAUGUGCAGGAGAGGAAUAAGGUUGGGAGAGAGACAGAGCUAGAGUGUUGGAGGAGGUGGUAGUGGAGUUGCUUCUAACAAAUUGUGGGAUAGGCUUGCUAGACAGACGGAGGGCACGCCCGCAAUAUCAAUAAGUGAGGAGAUGGCUGCUUGUUGUCUGUGCACGUGUGUGUGUGAGAUGGGUCAGGAGGCAUGCACGAAUGAUGAGGGGGGACGAUGUGGCUGUGGUAAGCAGACGUAACUACACAGGAAGAUCAAUCACCCUUUGUUAGAGAAAGGAGAGACAUAACUUGGGAGGUACGUCGAUCGAUGGGGGGGUAGUUAAAGUCGAUCUAGGUAUAUGUUGGGAGAUUGAUCGGUAUACAUGCAUGUGUGUGUUAGAAGCAAAUGAGGCACGAGGAGAAGGAUAGAGAGAGAGGGAUGCAUGUAGGCGGUGGUACGAGAGGCAUACUAUAUCAAGGGGGGAGGAGUGUGCGAGUACGAGAACGAUGAAAAGAGUGGUGGGAGUGAGGCAUGGGCGGUGACAAGAGAAGAGGGGAAGCUUGUGUUUGUGCUAGGCACACCUGGCUAGAGAGGCAUAUCAAUCGAUGUGUGCCGUAAAGAAGGAUCUGGGGGGCCUACACACACCGUGGGUGAACGACAUAAAGUGAAAAGACGAAUUUGCGCGAUGGAGCUAGAGAAUGUUGAGGGAGGGUGAGAGGGAUGCGGGCGUGUGCAUGCACAAGAGAAAGUUAGCACUAGCUACAAAGAUAAGAGGGUUGUUUGGGUGUAAAAUACGAAUAGAGAUCAUAUAUACUUCAUUAUAAAAAGUGAUUUCGGAUAUUUGAAGAAUUUAUCAUAGUGUUUUAAACCGACGCAUGUGUGAAUAUAUAUAAUGGUGAUACACAUGGUGUGGUUAUGAACAUGUUAUACUACAUUUAAUAUAUUUUAUCUCUACUCUUAUAAAAAAACGGAGUAGUUGAUGAUGGUGUGCCUGCCAUCCUACAUUAUAGGCCGUCCAAUUUAUAUCUGGCGGAUAGGAAGGAAACUAUGAUGGUUGAAGUUGGCAACAAUCAUGAUAUUAGAUUAUUAUUGAAAUAGAGAAAUGAAUUCAAAUUUAGUUCGAAUUGCAGUGGUAGUAUAGACAUUUGGAAUGCACUAAAAUGUUGGUAUGAGUAGGUUACAUGCAUUAUACAGCAAGCGAAAAAAUUUAAUUGGACAUAGCUUUGAAUAGUAUUUGUAUAGUAAAACGGGGCAAGACUCUCUCUUUGUGUGGUGUGAAUAGUUUUAUUUUUUUAGUUUUCUUUUGGUUGAGGGAAGUGCGAAUUAAUUUGGUACGUACAAGUACAAUAUUACUACACAUUAGGCUUGUCCCUAAAAUUCAAACCGCGUCUUGUUAUAUCCCGAAAAUUUAGAUAUAGUGCUCUCAAAACUGGCGCCUUCAAAACCCGCGCCUUGCUAUCCUGAAAUUACAAUGCACGCGAAAACUCCCUCUAGCUGCCAAAUCCCACCACGCGAAAUCCCCCUUCUAACUCUGAACUGAAAGGGAUGCUAGUUCAAAUCGUGGGAGGUACUUUUGUAACACACCCUACAUUUUGGACAAGCGCGUCCCUAAGUCUUGCUUCACCCCCUCCCAUCGCCCCCUUCUAGCCAUUCGAAAUCCCAGGCCGCCAUAACCUCUCCGCUCCAGCCGCGAAACCCCAGCCUCCUCCAUCCGCCGGAGCCUCUUCCCCGACAAGUCAUCCACCGCAACAGCUCGACGUGCCUCGCCCACCUCCCUGGAUGAGGAUCCGUCAUCCAUCUCGCCGUCCCACCGGUUCAGCCACCCCGUCCUCCACCUCCAAGGAGUUGCUCCGACGAUCGCCUCGUCUAUCGCGACUGCUCCAUCCCCACAACGCCGCCUUAACCAGCUCCACUGGAACCGCAACAUCCUCACCGACUCCUCGGACGAAGCCGACGCCUACUCGGCGCCACCAAAGAGGUUGUACACUCAUCACAUCGCACCUUCUCCUUAACUCGACCUACCGGCACCGAUGGUACUCCAUCCCGUAACCCCAUGGAGCGGCUACCUUGAAGCCGGCGCCGCGGGCGACAUCUCCACGGCGGCUCUCCCCCAGUGUGAGGCCCCUUCGGCGGCGGCGUCCAUACCAGCCGGAUCUGCUACUACUGCUCCGGCUCUCGCUUGCUCGCUCGCGCUGCUGCUGCUGCUCCAGCUCUCGCUCCAUCGCUCGCUCGCCCAGCUACUGCUGCUGCUCUCCCCUUCGCUCGUGCUGCUGCUCUGCUCCAUUAAGCCACACUUCAGUUGAGUGAAUCGACUUUUGGGUCAGUCGAUUUUCAGGGAUUGGGGAGGCUCACCAGAGUUAAGGAAGAACCACCCGCAGCAGGGACGGGGGCUAGCCGGAGAGGUACCCCACUAUCUAUCUUAGGGUUCAGGGCGGGGGGCCUAGAGGGCUGGCCGGGGCGGCGGUGGCGAGUUGUUUCGGGGCAGCGAGGCGACACUGGGGCCGGCGGUUCGGCCGGUGGUGGCUGGCGGCUCAGGGGGGGUGCAGGUUGAAGAUGAACUGCAGGCCCUCCCUAAACUACAUGUCAAGUGCCUCUCUGCUACCAUUGCGUUCAGUUUCGACAGUAGCAUUCAGAUUCCACAGUAAAUUUCAGUUUUGACAGUUAAGUUUAGAGUCAACAGUUUUUACCUCAUCUAUGGUAGUCAGGUGGUUUUUGGUGAUGUUAAUUUUACAUCCAUUUUACAUCAUCUACUAGAGAUGCUAUUGGAAUCCCACUUGAGAUUGACGAUGUAUGUCUUGUGCUGCUUUAGCCUUGACGUCUUACGGCUCACCGGAGCUGCUCCAACGACAGAACGAUCCAUCACAAUAGAGCAGUGCCCUGGACGCCAUCUACAGAUUCCUCAGAUCUUCCUCCACACCUCCGACAUCCACCUCUGCCUCAACUGCUCCAGCGACCAAGCCAAUGAUGCUGAGGUCGACACGGCUAUGGCAAAGAGGUUGUACACUUGUUGCAUCACUUAUUACUAUACAUUCACGUCGAUCCAUUAGGGCUAUUUUAGUUCAACGGAAAAACGUCAAUCCAUUGGUUGUUACCAUCACUCUAAAUUUCUGCAUGCUCUCCUUACAUAAUCUCACCAUAUUUUUUUCGUAUUCAUGUCAGAUAUUGUACACAGUCAUGCUGAACAUGUAGAGAAAAAGAGAAGAGUUUUGCACGGCAAUACAAUGUCAUGCAGACAUCGCUCCAUGGUGGGUUCAAUGGCAAACCCUCCCCACCCCUCUCCAUAUUGUAAUCCAGAGGAAGAUAUCUGUUCUGAGGCGGAUUCAGACACCGCUAAUCACUCCUAUUUACCUCGCAAGGUGUUUGCUCUACCUUGGCAUGAUGAUGUUAGUCAUAUCAUGCAUAUGUUGCCUUGCAGUGCCUACUUUUGACAUCAUAUAUGUCAUCCGCUUAGUUUAGACAUGUUCUGUAAUGCCACUUGUUUAGUUUCUAUAUCAUAUAUGGGAAUUAUGCAGUCUCAUGUCUUUUAGCCAGCCAUAAUAUAUGUGAAAUGUGCAAUGCCAUCCUGUUUAACCAGGCAUCAUAUAUUUGAAUGAUAUCUUGCCCAUCCUUUUCUUCAUUACAUUUAAAUUUGUCGAUAAUGUUUGUACAUUAAACUACUCUUCCUGUGAAUCAGCCAUUUGGGUGGGAGAUGGAAAAAUCUGGAGUGAAAACAAGGCCUUCAGAGCAGACAGUGCUACCUGUCCAAGCAGAUCUCUUGUUGGGUCCCGAUUGCUCCUCGGAGAUGGAUUCAGAGACAGAUGAUCAGUCCUAUUCCCCCACGGAGGUGUAUGCUCUAACUUGGCACGGUUAUACUGCUCAUAUCAUGCACACGGUGUCUUGCAUUGCAUAGUUUAGACAUCAUAUACACAAUAUUCAACACCAUGUUCUUAGUUCAGACAUCAUAUCGAAUGCCCUCUGUUUAGCAUAUAAAUCACAUAUGUGAAUUAAAUGAUGCAAUCCUGAUUACUUAGAUAACAUGUAGGUGAACUAUUUCAUGCGAUCCUGUUUAGUUAUUCAUCAUAUCUUUGAAUUAUGUUAUGCUAUGCUAUCCAGUUUAGAUAGACAUCAUAUAUGUGAAAUUAUGUCAUGCUAUCCGUUUUAGUUAAACAAUAUACAUGUCAAUUAUUUCAUGCCCUCAUUUUUCCACAUUAUCUAUUGCAUCUAUCUCUCAUACAAUGUCUGUACAUUCAACUAUGUUUCCUGUUUAUCAGCCAUUUGAAUUGGAGCGGGUGAUGCCAGUAUCUAGUGGACUAAAAACACGGUCUUCAAAUAAAACAGUGCUACCUCUUGGUGGAGAUAGCACCCCGGUUGUACAUGCACAAGAACCAGCCCUACCACACAUAACCCAAACUCUCACAGAUUGUACCCCUACUACGAUGGACAGUGAACCAGCUUCACCCAAUCUAACCCCAACCCUAGCCGACAGUAACAGAGUUCCUGUUGACACAGCACCAUCUCCACCAAAGAGCUCCCAAACAAGAGCAGUUAGUAAGGCAGCUUCAGUGCCCAAAGGGCUAGUAGUAUCAUGGCGAACCCCAACUCCACCAGUUAGUACGCCUAUUCCUAUGGAGGAAGCACAACCAGCUAGUCGUAGUUUAGCAUCUAUCGCAUUUGAUGUUGUUAAAUCGUAUGUGCGUAUCUUCCCAUCUUGGAAAUAUCAUACUGAAGAUGAAGGAAAAUGCCAGUUGCAGGUGUUUGUCCAGGAGAUAUGUGUAAGUAAUGUUAUUCAUGGCAAUUACUUUGCUUCGUCCCAUACAUCCUACCUCCAUGAUGGUUAUAAUACAACAAAUUUUCCCAUUUUUCUCUAUAGAGAAGGACUGAUUUGGAAACUCAGAAUGAGGUAACCUGUGCUAAUACCUCUGCUAUCUUCAAGAAUGCUUGGUGGCAGUAUCGGAAUUACCUGAAGAAAACGUACUUCACCGGCAAAGAAACUCAUCAAAUUCCCUUACGUUCUCCUGAGACACAUUUACUGGACGAUGACUGGGAACGCCUUGUUCUGUACUGGUCUCGAACCAAGAAUGUGGUAAGGUCUAUGAGCUCAUUUUCUAUUUUUAAGUAUUAUAUUCUUGCGUCUUACAGUACUCUGUUCAUGUAGAACAAGUGCCUAAACCUGAAGAACAACUUUUCUAAUUUAAGAUUCCAUUGCUAUCAUAGUUCAAAAAAGUGCUAGGCGUUAAUUGUGCGUUUUGCCACCGCCUUGUGCUUUACUGACCAAAGCGCAUGCUUAUGCGCAGUUAUGCACAGAUUAUGUGUAGUUAUGCGCAAUGCGUUUUGCCAACACCUAGAGCCUAGGCGCGCUUAAGCGCUUUCUUAGGCGUGCCUUUUUUAACUAUGAUUUCUUUGCUCUUAUAUCACUGUAUUUACUCAUACAAACUUAUGUUUAAAUUGAAGGAUCCAAUCGAAACUCCAAUGGCACAGCAGGUAUGUUCACGCAUGUUUCUUUAACAGGUUUGCUCUUAUCAAUAGCUCUGUUGAUUUCAAUUUCAAUUGUGUAUACAAUUGACUUUCAUAUCAUGCACAUUACUAGCAUCACAACAGAGCCAAUAGUGUUGUUGUACAUGUAGACCCGUGGUACCCAUCUGAAAUCUUGUUGUGCCGUGUAGUUUCCCACGCUUUGUAUUCUUUCACUGCUGCUUUGUCUUGAACUGAUAUGAUUUGAAUCGUGUCUCUAUUUUGAUUUGGCAAGAAAAUGAAGUGACCAUAGGACAUAGAUAUAUGUUUGUUUGAUGCUUUUAUUAUGUACUAGUUCUUGGCAAUAGAAGACUUUGUAGUUUAAUCCUGUCCACCUUACUACUGAACUGGUUCACCGAAAUGAGUUUCAUAUACUAGUACAUGCUAAACUUGUUAUGUGUCUGCUUGUUUCUUCUUUUAGAAUGCUGACAGAAUAUUGGGGAAGAGUGCCUUAUUAAGCAAUGGUAAAGGAAGUAAUGCAGAUAAGGUUCAGGAUAGUGACACAUCCUUGUUGGUCUCCAACAAAGCUGAUAAAACAGCUAAGGAAGACUAUCUUCAAGACAUUGAAACAACCCCAAAGUCAUGUCUUGGUUUAGUGUUCGAGUUACUGGUCACUACCACUUGCACAAGCUAUUCAAACUCACUGUCUAAAUCAGUUCGGUUUCUUGAGUCUCAACUACAAGCUGAAAGACAUCGAUCAGCUGUGCUGCGACAAGAAGCGGAAGGACUGCGGAAGUCCCUGGAGCAUUCAGAUGCAUACUUUCUGGUGCAACAACAAGCGUUGGAGGAUUUUAGCGCCAAACAGGACAAAGCUAAUCAGCUUGCUAAGCUUAUUGCCAGCAUGGUGGAUACCCAGGAAAAUGUUUCUUGAGAUCUUCUGAAGUUGUUUCAGUUAUGCUCUUGUUUUGCUGCCGCGUUUAUUUGCACUAGUGGCCAAUUUUGACGGCCAGUGUAUGUAAUGUGCUGCUUUGUUCCCUAUAUUUGCACUGGUGGCGAACUUUGAUGCCCAGUGGAUGUAAUAUGUGUAAUAGCGGUAAUAGGCUAGCGUUAAUUGCUUGCUUAUGUAUUUCCUUAUUAUCUUGUUUUGUUGUUUGCUUGUAGUCACAAUAGCCUACGUUUGGUAACUAGGCCAAAAUAAUCAUGCCAACACACGGACUGUUGUAACCAUGGGCCUCCUGCAGGUCGUAUGAUCCAUGGGCCUUCUUCCGGCCGUAGGAUCCAUCGGCCUUCUAUACGGGCCUUAGGGUCCAUGGGCCUUCUACGGGCCGUAGGGUCCAUGGGCCAUCUGCGGGCCGCAGGGUCCAUGGGCCUUCUAUGGGUCGUACGAUCCAUGGGCCUUCUACGGGUCGUACUAUCCAUGGGCCUCAUACGGGCCGUACGAUCCAUGGGCCUUCUACGGGGCUUAUCAUCAUUUCGCCAAUCAUGGGCUGUACUAUUCGUGGACCAUAAUGGGCCGUUAAUAGGCCGUAUUUGAUAACUCUAUGAAAACGGCCCAACGAGUUUUUUUUGACAUGAAAACGGCCCAACGUAUUAAUGGUCCGCAAACGGGCCGACUGUAAUGACGGGCUGAAUUCGGCCCACAAGCAGAAAAUGAAAGUAACGGGCCGUAUGUAACCGAAUGCUGCAAAUGAGCCCAAGAAUCAAUGGGCCCUGAGAAGGCCGAAAGAUAACUUGGGCUGGAAACGGAUGUCGGUGUCAAAACCGGCGGAUCUCGGGUAGGGGGUCCCAAUAUAUGUGUCUUAGGCUGAUGGUAACAGGAAGCAAGGGACACAAUGUUUACCCAGGUUCAGGCCCUCUCGAUGGAGAUAAAACCCUACUUCCUGCUUGAUUAAUAUUGAACAUAUGAGUAGUACAAGAGUAGAUCUACCACGAGAUCGUAGAGGCUAAACCCUAAGAGCUAGCCUAUGAUGCUAUGAUUGUAAUUGUGAUCGGCCUUCUAAGGACCAUCCUCUCCGGUUUAUAUAGACAUCAGAGAGGGAUAGGGUUUACAUGGAGUCGGUUACAAGGAAGGAAAUAUAAUAUCCGGAUCGCCAAGCUUGUAUUCCACGCAAAGGAGAGUCCCAUCCGGACACGGGCCGAAGUCUUGAGUCUUGUAUCUUCACGCUUCAAUAGUCCGGACGAUGUAUAUAGUCCGGCUGUCCGGAUACCCCCUAAUCCAGGAGUCUCUCAGUAGCCCCUGAACCAGGCUUCAAUGACAAUGGGUCCGGCACGCAGUCGUGUCUUUUGCAUUGCAAGACGGGUUCCUUCUCCGAAUACUCCAAUGUACCCAUCAGGACAAACAGUUUCCGGCAUCUCAUCAAUGUUGUACUCCUUGGCUUCAGUGCUUCAAUAAUGACCAUUUCCACAUGUCGAGCGAAUGCGAGGAGUCGAGGCAUUUUUGCAUUUGCCACCCUCGAUCCUUCGGGCUAACCGUCUAUUUGAAGAGACGUGGAUUCCCAGAUCCAAACCUCACUCUCCCUCCUCGAGCAAGCAUCCAAGAGAGCGCCCCAAAAAAACCAUUCCAACAUGGCCGGUCGUCAUAGCUCUUCUGCUCGCUCCCCUUGCCCCAAGCCGGGGGACUGGGGAGAUUGUUCAGUUUCUCAUAGCCGUUUGAUAAAGUUACAAACCCAAGGGCUUCUCCCACCGGCGUUCAUGGUCCCUGUCUGAGCCGGAGUGUCCACCUAUAACGGCGGAGAACAAGCGGAGAGAUCCCCCAAUCUGUCACCAGAGGAGCGAAUAUGCCUCAUUCCACAUCUGUUAAGGGGCGUCGGGUUUCCUAUUCAUCCAUUCCUUCGUGGGCUUCUGGAGUUCUACGGCCUCCAGUUGCACAACUUUACCCCAGCCUCCGUACUACAUAUAGCUGGGUACGUCGCCCUUUUCGAGCUAUUUCUAGGUUGCGGGGCUCAUUUCGGAUUGUGGUAGAAGUUGUUCUGCCUUGUCCCCCACAACCAGGGAGAAUCCCUAUGUCAAGUGGGAGGGGCCAAAGUAUGGGGUAUCGCUGAGACCGGAUACCUAUCCGGCACUCCCAAGAAGGCACCAGAUAACUGGGCUUCAGAGUGGGUCUAUAUUGACGACGCUCCCCUUCCGGAUCUAGUCCGGACAGGACUCCCCAAGUUUAGUAACACCCGGCCGAGGGCACGUCUAAGCUGGCGCCCCCGAGGCCCCCAAGAAGAGGAUUCCAGGGAAAUACAUUUCCUGAUGAGCAGGAUAAAGUUACUGGCCAAAUCCGGAGUGACGAUAGUCGAGGUCAUGGCAAUAUGCAUAAUGCGGGGAGUGCAACCGCUUCUAUAUCGGGGCAAUCCCAUGUGGCAUUACAACGGGACAGAUGAUGCCACCCGCUGCGGCCGUAAGGGUCCCGACUCCGCCACUGCUCUGGCAAGGAUAUUGUCCGAUCUAUACAAAGGAUAAGAGGAAGACUUCCUUCAUAUCAAACCGCGAGACGGAUUCUCCAUAUACAAUCCCCCAAACUGGGUAAGUCGUCAUUUACGUUCUCGCUUCACUUAUCGUGGCGUUCUUUGCUAAGGUUACCAGCCUCGAUAUUUCCGAGCAGGAACUAAGGAGGGUCGUAGAAGGAAUCUCCAGCCCUUCCCCAUAGCCAGAGGACCCCAAAAGGGCCCUGGAUCCAGGACUCGAAGAAGACCCGGAUGCGGCCGUGGAGCUCGUCGACGGGAUAUUUUAUGGAGCGAGCCGUGAUGGCGCCUCAGUGGCUAUUACCGCUGAUUAUCCCGGACUGCUACCUUCAUCACGUGUAAGCCAAGCCAAAGACUUGAUCCUCCGAAGAGGACUCUUUCAUGAUGUCACGCUUUAUCCCUGAUGCGUCGUGUUUUUGCAGAAGCGACAUUCGGAGCGCAGGGCCGAGCCCCUAGGGACCCGUCAGCCACAGACGUCCGGAUUGGGUAGGAUCAAGAGGAGGGCGGUUAGGACCUACACGCCUCUAUAGAGGUAAGGAAACAACCUUUCAUGUAAUUAUUGUUACUUGAAGUCUAACAAUGCCCUUUACAUCCUGGAAGGAAGAGGGAUAUCCGGACUAUAUUCGGGGAUCCUGCCAACCACGCCUCCACCAGUCGGGCUCCAGAAUUGACUUCGAGAGAGGAGGCGGACGUAGGGCCAAUGCCGCAUAGUCCUCCCAUAGAGGAUGCAGAUAUGUUUUCGGCCACAAACUCCAAAGUGGAGAGCUCCAUGAAUCACCGGCGACGGAGGGCCGUGCUUCAGAACAACAUCUUUUCUGAAGAGGCCUUUAAUGCCUUCAAUUCGGCAGACGCAUAUGUCCGAGCCGCUCAAGGCGGUCUUGCCCAAGAGACGAACCAGUAUACCAAAGAUAUACGGGUAAGAAAUUGUGAUAAGUAUGUAUAGCAGUAGCCCUAAGACUUGAAACGAUUGGAAAUUUAUGCACAUGUUCUUGUAAAUAAGAAUGAGCAAUUGUCUCGGGAGGUAGAGGAGUGCAAGACCCAACUGAGGGCCACGGUUGCCAAGCUAGAAGAAUCCCAAAAGGCUUCAGCUGGUAACAUUUAGCUUGAUUGUACGAAAAUGUGCCAGUUAGCAACUGGCUAGUACGACAAGUUUUAACAGAAAAUCUGCAGAUAACCCCGAAGUAAAUCCGGAGGGUGGGAGAUAUGAUGAGUCGCAUCUCCAGCGGCAACUAAAGGCUGGUGAGUGCAUUCUCACGCAGGUUCGGCAGGAGAAGAACAAUCUGCAAGAUGCCAAUGUCCGGCUGGACGUAGAGUUAAAAGACGUGUGUGCCCAACUGGCGGACUCCGUAAAGGAGAACAAAGGGCUUCGACGCAGCAUUUAUGGGGAGUGCCUAGACGAACUGUAUGAUAGUUCGGCGCGGAAGUGUAUUGAAAGAAUUUUGUUUGUCGGAAUUUUAACGGGUCGCCCCGAGGAGGAGAUGCCCUCAUCUACAGGUGAUGUACUGCAAGAACUUUAGCAGUUGCACGAGCGAGCUCGGCAGGUGAUGCACGUCGUUGCUCAGGCCUUGUGGCCAUCAAGCCCCCUGCCAAAUGGCAUGGGGGAGCUUGUGGACCUGCUUCAAGGAUCCCGACGGCGCUUCUAGCUAUGGAAGAUAUCAGCAUGCCAGCGAGGUGCAAGAGAAGCUUGGGCAAUGGUGAAGACGCGCUACACCAAGCUGGACCCAAACCAUAUGGCCGAAGUAGGACCGGCGGGGCCCCAUGGGCAAGAAAUUCCUGUAAGUCUGGUAUAUGACCAGGUAGCGUUAUCCGCUAAGUAUUCUCAACAGGAUUGUAAACUAGAUAGCUUGUUGGAUGGCAUAGAGGAGGAAUAUAGUCAGUCCAAGUGACUGUGUAAUUUAAUGGGCAUAAGUAGCCCCUAGCCGGAUUGAAAUCAUUUGUCAUGGCGGACCUUUUCGCUUCAGCCCCCGGAUCCUAUAGUCCGGGGUGUGUCCGAAUACCCGCUCAGCUAUACAAAACCGGGGUAUGCAUGGAGACCAGGCGUAGGGGUCAUAAGUGCUUGAACAGACAAGUACCCAACUAGUUAUGUUAUAUUACAUGGAUAGUAAGAAACAUCUUCCAGGGAGAAUAGUUCCGUUAGGGGUUCCUUUCCCUGGGGGUGCAUGCGGCAAAGCUCAUGUCCGGACUGCGAACAAAGGCGCAGGAUACAAAACUUCCGGGGAUUUAUGUUAUGAUAAACGAAAACAUCUUUUGUUCACCGAUGAAUAUUCUCUUAAGGAAACUAGCUUUCGGCUUCACCCAGUCUGAGGUACACAUCCGGCUCAACCGGCAGUAACAAUCGCAGAGGUGCUCCCCUUAUGCCCUAGCCGAAUCAGCGGGAACGUAGGGCAUAAACACAGGAGCCAGGCAACCCAGCUUGGCCACGUCUUAAGUCAUAUCGAUGCAUAUAAUGUUGAAGAAAAGGCACACAUGAAAAAAAGAAACUCAUGUGUGAUGGGCAAAAAGCCUUCAGAGUAAUUUAUAUUUAGCUUCCGUAUAAGAAGCCGCCAGGUAUUGCUUACACACAUAGUGUGGCCGAAACAAUCCGGGAGUCCGUACUGUAUGAAAUACUUUGUGUGAAGAGAAAAAGAUCGAGAAAGGAAGAGGGAGAGAGCAUAAUUAAAAAGGAGGAGGUAAGGAGACAAGCACUGAGUUUGGCGCUAGGCGUAGAAUCUCUGGAGUCUGGCCGCGUUCCAUGGGUUUGGCUCGAGUCUGAUAUCGGACGCAUUACGUAAGCGGUACGCUCCUCCGGUGAGAACUUGCUCGAUGACGAAGGGGCCUUCCCACUUGGGUUUGAGCUUGUCCUUUUUCUUCUCCGGUAAGCAUAGAACGAGUUCGCCAAUAUUAUAAAUUUUGGCCCGUACUUCUCUGCUUUGGUAUCGUUGAGCCUGUUGCUGAUAGAAUGCGGGACGGGCCUUAGCGACAUCGCGCUCCUCCUCCAGGGCGUCCAAGUUAUCCUGCCGAUCUAACUCGGCUUCCUUUUCUUCGUACAUGCGUACACGUGGCGAAUCAUGUAUUAUGUCGCAAGGUAGUGCUGCUUCCGCACCGUACACCAUAAAAAAUGGUGUAUAUCCGGUGGUGCGAUUCAGCGUGGUCCGCAGCCCCCAGAGUAUGGAGUUGAGCUCCUCGACCCAAUGAGUAUCCAACUUUGUCAAGGAUCGCACUAGUCUGGGUUUGAUGCCACUCAUGAUGAGACUGUUUCCCGUUCGACCUGGCCAUUUGUUUGAGGAUGGUACGGAAGCAUAGUCAAGCUUAAUGCCCAUUUUUCCGCACCAAGAUUUCACCUCAUUGGCCGUGAAAUUUGAGCCACUAUCGGUGAUGAUGCUGUGGGGGACACUGUAUCGGUGUACGACCCCAGAUAUAAAGUCUAUUACUGGUCCGGAUUCGGCCGUUUUCACUGGUUUGGCUUCUAUCCAUUUGGUGAACUUAUCUACCAUGACCAAUAAGUAUUUUUUCUUGUGGCUUCCCCCUUUAAAGGGUCCAACCAUAUCCAGCCCCCAGACCGCGAAGGGCCAAGUUAUGGGGAUUGUUUGGAGAGCGGUAGGGGGCAUAUGACUCUGAUUGGCAAAGAGGUGGCAACCGACAUAAUGUUGGACAAGGUCUUGUGUGUCAACUCGGGCCAUUGGCCAAUAGAAAACUGUACGGAAGGUCUUGCUGACUAGUGCUUGAGCCGCGGCGUGGUGCCCGCCCAGUCCGGCAUGGAAUUCAGCCAAGAGCUCCCGCCCUUCCUCUUCGGAGAUGCACCUUUGAAGCACUCCGGUCGCACUUUUCUUAUAGAGUUCUGAUACGUCUCCAAGGUAUCUAUAAUUUAUGAAGUAUUCAUGCUAUUAUAUUAACCAUCUUUGGUGUUUUAUAUGCAUUUAUAUAUCAUUUUAUAUGAUUUUUGGGACUAACCUAUUGACCUAGAGCCCAGUGCCAGUUUCUGUUUUCUCCUUGUUUUUGUGUUUUACAGAAAAGGGAUACCAAACAGAGUCCAAAUGACGUGCCAAUUUUUGAGGAUUUUUUAUGGACCAAAAGGAGACCACGGAGCAUCGGAGUUGGGCCAGAAGAGCUCCGGGCUGCCCACGAGAGUGGGGGGCGCGCCCCUCCUCCUAGGGGGCGCCCUCCUAUCUCGUAGACGGCCCGGAGACCCCCCCCUGACAUGAAACCAACGCCAGUAAUUCCUAUAAAUACUGAAACUUUCGGGAAUUAACCUAGAUCGGAAGUUCCGCCGCCGCAAGCCUCUAUAGCCACGAGAAAUCAAUCUAGGCCCUCUCUAGUACCCUGCCGGAGGAGGCCGUCAUCACCGGAGGCCAUGGAGGAGGAUCUCGGAGGGGCCAUCAUCUCCACGAAGGCCAAGGACCAGAGGGGGAAAGCCAUGGAGGAGGAAGCACAAGGGGGAGAACCUCUCCUCCUCUUUCUUGGUGGCACCGGAGUGCCAUCGGGAGGGGAAUCAUCGCUGCGGUGAUCGUCUUAAUCAACAUCACCAUCAUCAUCACCACCCUCAUCUCUUUUACGCGGUCCACUCUCCCGCACCCCGCUGUAAUCCCUACUUGAACAUGGUGCUUUAUGCUACAUAUUGUGAUCCAAUGAUGUGUUGCCAUCUUAUGAUGUUUUGAGUAGAUAUCUUUUUUCCUUGAGUUGAUUGAUGAUCUAGAUUGAUACGAGUUCUAUGUUUUAUUUUGGUGCUGUCCUAUGGCGCCUUCCGUGUUGCGCAAGCGUGAGGGAUUCCCACUGUAGGGUGUUGCAAUACGUUCAUGAUUCGUAUGGGAAUAAAAGAGGACUUGAUGCUUUAAUGCUAUGGUUGGGUUUUACCUUAAUGAUUAUUUUAGUAUUUGUGGAUGCUUGCUAGAUUCCAAUCAUAAGAGCAUAUGAUGCAAGUAGGAAAAGUAUGCUAGUUUAUGCCUCUCCCUCAUAUGAAAUUGCAAUGACGACUAUCGAUCUUGUUAACAAUUGCUUAGGACAAUUCCGCACACCGAUCCACCAUUAUUCCACACUCGCUAUUUAUAUUACUUAGUAAUAUAUUCUAACUUUAUGAUAACAGCACCUACUUUUAUAUUUUAGCUCUCCGAUAUCAUGCAAAGUUAUCCUCUUCAUACCCACAACACAGUUUUAUUUCUCGUUUCUAGUUGGAAGCAAACGUUCGGUGCACGUAGAGUCGUAUCAGUGGCAGAUAGGGCUUGAGAGAAUAUUGGUCUUACCUUUAGCUCCUUGUGGGUUCAACACUCCAUACUUAUCACUUCCACCUUUGGGAAUUUCUACGAUGAUUGCCUGCACUUGGGGAUUAUCAAGCUCUUUUCUGGCGCCGUUGCCGGGGAGCAAUAGCAUGGGGUUGAUAUUCUCGUGUGUGCUUGUUUGCUUUCUUUACUUAGUAGAUUUUGUUUUUCCUUUUUGUUCCUGUUUAGUUGUGGGUGAAACACACAAAAAAAUUUAAAAAUAAUGAAAAUACCAAAAAGGAAUUGCUUGCCUCUCAUGCCUAAAAAAGUUUUUCAAAAAGAGAAGUGAUUGGAAAGUUAUGCAUUGAAGAAGUGGGGGUUGACCUUGAGCACUUGUGUUCAUGCUCACAGAAACAAUGUAGAAUUUUUCAUGGAAGUUUAUAUGUAAAUAAUUAUCCCCUUUUAUAUAACCAUUGUAUUAUAAAAAUAAUGUGUCAAGCUUUGGUUUUAGCAUGAUUAGAUUGCUUGUUUACUAUGUGCAGAACAAAAACAGAAACUUUGGCUGUAGUCCAUGAAUUUACAAUUUUUAUUGUAAAGUCAAAUGGGUCUGAAACUUUUUGCACAUUACUUCUGUACAAAUUGUUCAAAUUGUAAAAUUUAUUUCAUAAUUUUUGGAGUUACAGAAAUUUACUAAACUUCCAGAUUACUACAGACUGUCCUGUCCUUAACAGAUUCUGUUUUUCGUGUGUUGUUUGCUUAUUUUGAUGUAUCUAUGGCUAGUAUCGGGGGGUAUGAACCAUAGAGAAGUUGGAAUAGAGUAGGUUUAACACCAAUAUAAACAAAUAAUGAGUUAAUUACAGUACCUUAAAGUGGUAGUUUGCUUUAUUACACUAACGGAUCUCACAAGUUUUUGUUUAAGUUUUUGUGAAUGAAGUGUUUGAAGAACGAGGAGUUACCGAUGUGAGAAGAAUAAAGAGAGACAAGAGUUCAAGCUUGGGGAUGCCCAAGGCACCCCAAGUAAACAUUUUAAAGGAUACUCAAGCAUCUAAGCUUGGGGAUGCCCCGGUUGGCAUCCCGUCUUUCUUCUUCGACAAAUAUCGGUAUACCUCGGUUUUUGUUUUGUUCACAUUGUUUGUGCCCCUUGUGUUUUUCUUUUUCUUUAAGAAUCAUGCUAGUAGGAGAUAGAUCUUCAUUGAUUUAUAGAAUACUUCAUGUUCUUCACUUAUACCUUUUAAGUAUGAUCUUAUAGAAUUACUCUUUGUGCUUCACUCAAAUCGUUUGAGUAUGGUUUUAUAGAAUGCUUCGUACGCUUCACUUGUAUAUUUUUGAGCUUGUAUGUUGGCUAGUCUAUAUUAAUUGUAAAAUGCUCCAGGAACUUCACUUAUAUCUUUUGGAGUAUGAAUAAUGCUAUAGUUUAAAUUGGGUUUGGAAGAGUGUCAACUUUAGGAAUUAGUGAUCCCACUAUCUUGGAGGGUGUAGAAUCUUCGUACGAUAUUUAUGAAAGUGGAUUUGGAAGAGUGUCAACUUGAUUUAGUAUUCCACUAUUUUGGAAGAGGUUACAAUUGAGUAUGAGAACAAAGUUUCUAUCCAUGAUGCUACUGAAAAUUAUUAUGAGGGAGGAAUAUGUGCUUGUAGGAGUUGCAAUAAUGUCAAGUUUCCUCUCUACGUGGUUAAAGUUUUUUAGUUAAACUUGUUUCGCCUUCCUAUGCUAGUUGAUUCUUGUUCCUAUAAAUUGCGUGCUCACAAAAUCCCUAGGCAUAGGAAGUGAGUUAUAUUUAAAUGUGCUAGUCAUAUUCUUCAUGAUGCUCUCUUUUUGUCUCAACUCUUAUCUUUUGUGUGAGCAUCAUUGAAAUCAUCAUGCCUAGCUAAAAGGCAUUAAAGAAAAGCGCUUGUUGGGAGACAACCCAAUAUUUAUCCUUACUAUUUUUGUGUGUCAACAUGAUUAAGAUAUUGUAGUAACCAUGUUUUAUAGUUUUUGUUUCAAUAAAGUGCCAAGUAAGACCUUUGGGAAGACUUGGGUGAAAGUUAAUGUGAUCUUGCUGUAAAAAACAAAAACUUUGCGCUCACGAGAUUAGCUGUCAUUUUUUUACAGAAGAGUGAUUUCGAGUUGAUUAUUUUCUCAGAAGAUUAAUAGACAAAUUCCUCACGUCCACCAAUUUAUUUAAUAAUUUUUGGAGUAGCAUAAGUAUGGUUAUUGUUCAGAUCAUUACAGACUGUUCUGUUUCUGACAAAUUCUGUUUUCAUUGCAUAGUUUGCUUGUUUUCUAGUUUCUAUGGCUUAUAUUUCUCAAUAUAAAUUGUUGAAAUGAUAUGGUACAGUAGGCAUUAUAUGAAAACAAUUAUGAACCUUGUCUUUUACAGUACCAAAGUGCAUGGUUUACUCUUUAUCAUACUAACCUAUCUCACGAAGUUCCAUUAAGUUUUUUGUGAUUGAAGUUUUCAAGUUUUGGGUGAGAUAUCGAUAUGAGGAAAAUAAGAGUGGAAAGACCCUAAGCUUGGGGAUGCCCAAGGCACCCCAAGGUAAUAUUCAAGGAAGACUCCAGCGCCUAAGAUUGGGGAUGCUCCGGAAGGCAUCCCCUCUUUCGUCUUCAAAACUAUCGGUACAUCUUACUCGGAGCUAUAUUUUUAUUCGUCACAUGAUAUGUGUUUUGCUUGGAGCGUAUUUCAAAUUUUACUUGUUGUUUGAAUAAAUCAUUGGAUCUGAAUUAUUGAAUAAAAAAGGGGGGAACCCUCCCAUGGCUAGUUAAUUAUUUGACUACUCAGUGUCCUUCACUCAUAUCUUUUGGAGUAGUUUGUCAUUUACUCUUGCGCUUCAUGUAUAUCCUAUGAGUAAAUGGGAAAAUGAAUUGAAUGUCAUAAAUAUGAACUUUUAUAUGUUUCAUUUGCUUAUAACAUGUUUAGUGAUGACUUCACACAUAGAAAGUAUGAGGCAUAAAAGUUGUUGAGAGUUGGCAAACGUAGUUUUGGUCAUCGUUGCAAUUAAUAGGAAGUAAUAAAAAAGAGAAGUCACAUACAAAUAUAUUAUCUUGGACAUCUUUUAUGAUUGUGAAGCACUCAUUAAGUAUGACAUGCUAAAAGAGUUGAUGUUGGACAAGAAAUACAACGUAAUGGUUUAUGUUUUCUGACAUCUCAGUUAAAGUAUAUUGUCAUUGACCUUCCAAACAUGUUGAGCUUGCCUUUCCCCCUCAAGCUAGCCAAAAAUUCCUAGCACCAAGUAGAGAUACUACUUGUACUUCCAAAUAUCCUUAAAACCAGUUUUGCCAUGAGAGUCCACCAUUUCUACCUAUGGAUUGAGUAAGAUCCAUCAAGUAAGUUGUCAUCGGUGCAAGCAAUAAAAAUUGCUCUCUAAAUAUGCAUGACUUAUUAGUGCGGAGAAAAUAAGCUUUGUACGAACUUGUUACGGAAGCAAUAAAAGCGACGGACUGCAUAAUAAAGGUCCAUAUACAAGGGGCAAUAUAAAGUGACGUUCUUUCGCAUUAAGAUUUUGUGUAUCCAACCCUAAAAGCGCAUGGCAACCUCUGCUUCCUCUGUGAAGGGCCUAUCUUUUACUUUAUGUUUUUACUUUAUGCUUGAGUCAAGGUGAUCCUUACCUUUCCCUUUUUCAUUUUAUCCUUUGGCGAGCUCCUUGUGUUUGAAAGAUCAUGAUAUAUAUAUAUAUAUAUAUAUAUAUAUAUAUAUAUAUAUAUAUAUAUAUCCAAUUGGAUGUAAGUUAGCAUGGGCUAUUAUUGUUGACAUCACCUAAAGGUGAAUAUGUUGGGAGGCAACACAAUAAGCCCCUAUCUUUCUCAGUGUCCGGCUGAAACUCCAUAACCACAAGUAUUGCGUGAGUGUUAGCAAUUGUAGGAGACUAAAUGAUAGUUGAGUAUGUGGACUUGCUGAAAAGCUCUAUUCUUGACUCUUUCUGAUGUUAUGAUAAAUUGCAAUUGCUUCAAUGACUGAGAUUAUAGUUUCUUAGUUCUCAAUGAAGUUUUUGAACCAUACUUGACAUUGUGAAUAGAUUGUUACUUGAUCAUGAAAAGUUUUAUGAGAUAAGCUAUUAUUAUGAGACACAUUGAUGCUAGAAAAGGUGAUUGAAAUUAUCAUUGGUCAAACUUGUGCACCUAGUAGCAUUCACACUUCAUAAAUUAUUUCUUUUAUCAUUUACCUACUCGAGGACGAGCAGGAUUAAGCUUGGGGAUGCUGAUACGUCUCCAACUUAUCUAUAAUUUAUGAAGUAUUCAUGCUAUUAUAUUACCCAUCUUUGGUGUUUUAUAUGCAUUUAUAUAUCAUUUUAUAUGAUUUUUUGGGACUAACCUAUUGACCUAGAGCCCAAUGCCAGUUUCUGUUUUCUCCUUGUUUUUGUGUUUUACAGAAAAGGGAUACCAAACAGAGUCCAAAUGACGUGCCAAAUUUUGAGGAUUUUUUAUGGACCAAAAGAAGACCACGGAGCAUCGGAGUUGGGCCAGAAGAGCUCCGGGCUGCCCACAAGAGUGGGGGGCGCGCCCCCCUCCUAUCUCGUGGACGGCCUGGAGGCCCCCCUGACGUGAAACCAACGCCAAUAAUUCCUAUAAAUACUGAAACUUUUGGGAAUUAACCUAGAUCGGAAGUUCUGCCGUCGCAAGCCUCUGUAGCCACGAGAAAUCAAUCUAGGCCCUCUCUGGCACCCUGCCGAAGGGGGACAUCAUCACCGGAGGCCAUGGAGGAGGAUCUCGGAGGGGCCAUCAUCUCCGUGAAGGCCAAGGACCAGAGGGGGAAAGCCAUGGAGGAGGAAGCACAAUGGGGAGAACCUGUCCUCCUCUCUCUUGGUGGCACCGGAGUGCCAUCGGGAGGGGAAUCAUCGCCGUGGUGAUCCUCUUCAUCAACAUCACCAUCAUCAUCACCAUCCUCAUCUCUCUUAUGCGGUCCACUCUCCCGCACCCUGCUGUAAUCCCUACUUGAACAUGGUGCUUUAUGCUACAUAUUGUGAUCCAAUGAUGUGUUGCCAUCUUAUGAUGUUUUGAGUAGAUAUCUUUUGUCCUUGAGUUGAUUGAUGAUCUAGAUUGGUACGAGUUGUAUGUUUUAUUUUGGUGCUGUCCUAUGGUGCCCUCUAUGUCGUGCAAGCGUGAGGGAUUCCCGCUGUAGGGUGUUGCAAUACGUUCAUGAUUCGCUUAUAGUGGGUUGCUAGAGUGACAGAAGCUUAAGCCCGAGUAAGUAGAUUGUUGCGUAUGGGAUAAAAGAGGACUUGAUGCUUUAAUGCUAUGGUUGGGUUUUACCUUAAUGAUUCUUUUAGUAUUUGCGGAUGCUUGCUAGAGAUUCCAAUCAUAAGAGCAUGUGAUCCAAGUAGGAAAAGUAUGCUAGUUUAUGCCUCUCCCUCAUAUGAAAUUGCAAUGACGACUAUCGAUCUUGUUAAUAAUUGUAGGACAAUUCCGCACACCGAUCCACCAUUAUUCCACACUCGCUAUUUAUAUUACUUAGUAAUAUAUUCUAAAUUUAUUAUAACAUCACCUACUUUUAUAUUUUAGCUCUCCGAUAUCAUACAAAGUUAUCCUCUUCAUACCCACAACACAGUUUUAUUUCUCGUUUCUAGUUGGAAGCAAAUGUUCGGUGCACGUAGAGUCGUAUCAGUGGCAGAUAGGGCUUGAGAGAAUAUUGAUCUUACCUUUAGCUCCUUGUGGGUUUGACACUCCAUACUUAUCACUUCCACCUUUGGGAAUUGCUACGAUGAUUCACUGCACUUGGGGAUUAUCAAGUGUUUGGUGCACCGAAGAAGGCGGUAAAGAGGCAAUGCCUUUUCUCCUAACCUGGAGAUAAAGCGGCUCAAAGCAGCCACGCAUCCAGCUAGUUUCUGGAUGUGUUUGACGUCUGUUGGUAUAGCCAACUGCGACAAAGCUCGGAUUUUUGCCGGAUUAGCUUCAAUUCCUCUAUUGGAAAUGAUGAAGCCCAGCAGUUUUCCAGAGGGGACGCCGAAAACACAUUUCUCCGGAUUCAGCUUGAUGUCAUAUGUUCGUAGGUUGUCGAACGUAAGCCUCAAGUCAUCUAUUAAGGUUUCAACGUGUCUUGUUUUUAUGACUACGUCGUCCACGUAUGCCUCCACUGUUUUGCUGAUUUGCUUUUCCAGGCAUGUUUGAAUCAUGCGUUGAUAAGUUGCUCCGGCAUUCUUGAGCCUGAAAGGCAUAGUGUUGAAGCAGAAAGGCCAUAUGGCGUUAUGAAAGCUGUAGCAGCUUGGUCGAACUCUGCCAGCUUUAUUUGAUGGUAUCCAGAGUAUGCAUCGAGGAAACACAGCGAGUCGUGUCCUGCUGUGGCAUCGAUGAUUUGAUCGAUGUGAGGGAGGGGAAAGGGAUCCUUGGGGAAAGCCUUUUUAAGGUCUUUGAAGUCGACGCACAUGCGCCAGGAUUUGUCCUUCUUUGGUACCAUUACCAAGUUCGCCAGCCAAUCCGGAUGUUUGAUAUCUCUGAUGAAUCCGGCCUCAAGUAGCUUGGCUAGCUCCUCCCCCAUGGCUUGUCGUUUGGGCUCUGAAAAUCGUCUUAGGGUCUAUUUGACGGGUUUGUAUCCCUUUAGUAUGUUAUGGCUGUGUUCGGCCAAUUCACGCGGGAUGCCCGGCAUGUCCGAUGGGUGCCAGGUGAAAAUGUCCCAAUUCUCGCGUAAGAAGUCUCGCAGUGCAGCGUCCAUAUUGGCCCUUAAUUGUAUCCCGAUGGAGGCUGUCUUCGUGGGGUUCGUAGGGUGGACUUGGAAUUUGACUAUGUCAUCUGCGGGUUUAAAUGAGGUGGACUUGGGUCAUUUGUCGAGUAUUAUGUCGUCCCUGUCCAUGGUGGCACGCAGCGUUGUUAAUUCUUCUGCUGCUAGGGCUUUGGAUAGUGCUUUCAAGGCUAGUGCUACGGUUUUGUUUUCGGCGCGGAGUGCGACGUCCGGAUCACUAGCUAGAGUGAUGAUUCCAUUGGGUCCGGGCAUUUUAAGCUUCAUGUACCCGUAAUGGGGUAUAGCUUGAAAGCUUGCAAAUGUGUCCCGCCCUAGAAGGGCGUGGUAUCCGCUGCUGAAAGGGGCCACUUGGAAUACGAUUUGUUCGGACCUGUAAUUCUCUGGGGUGCCGAAUACCACAUCGAGUGUGAUUUUCCCCGCAGACCGUGCCUCCCGACUAGGGAUAAUUCCCCUGAAGGUUGUGCCGCUUUGCUCAAUGCGGCCUUGAUCAAUUUCCAUCUUCUUGAGUGUUUCUUCGUAGAUCAGGUUAAAUCCACUUCCGCCGUCCAUGAACACUUUAGUGAGCGAAAAGCCGUCCAUUAUUGGGCUAAGGACCAAAGCGGCUGGUGCCCGGACGGUCUGGAAUUGGGGUUCGUCACUGGCAUUGAAAGUUAUAGCAGUGUCGUUCCACGGAUUUACUUUUGCCACAUGGCAGAUUUCAGCAGAGCUUCAAUGAGCUUGCUUGCGCCUAUUGUUUGAGGCGAAACUCUUGAAUACUGUUAGUAACGUAUUGUGUUCCUUGGCGGGAUGUUGUUUGGCUUUAUGGCUCUCGAGGAGAUCCUCGCCACUUUUACCUACCUGCCGGAGUAUCCAACAUGCCCUAAGGCUAUGGGUUGGUGUUGCAUCCGGCGUACUGUGAAGCUUACAUGGCCCAUUGAGCCACCCUUCCAAUACGAUUCCACGCCCUAGGGCGGGAUUUGGUUUCUCGGGAAUUGAAUUGGUCGACUUUCGAGAGUUCGGCCGUUUAGUUCGGACCAAGGUUCUGGUGAGGGCCGUACUAUCCCAAAAUUCUGUUUGGGUUUUCCAGGCGUUUUCCAUCGCAUAGUACUUCUGUACUAUGGUCUCUAAGUCCGCAAAGUGUGAUAUGUCAUGGCGGCUUAUAGCAUUAAGGAGUCCUUUGUUUGUGCAGUUUUUGCAGAAAAGUGAGACUACGUCCUCCUCGUGGCAGUCCUCGACCUUAUUAAGCGCAAGGAGGAAGCUGGCCCAAUAACGGUGUACCGUCUCCAGGGGCUCUUGCCUGAUGCGGGAGAGACGGUUUAAGUCCUGUAAGUGCAUCUAGUGCCCCUUAGUGAUUUUGGUGUAUUGAAGACUUAUAGGUUAAGGGACUAAUGCGUUUGUGAGUGUACACAGGUCUAUAAGUCUAUGAGGAGUUUGAUAUUUACAGAGAAAGUCGACCCCUAAAAAUGAAGUUCUUCGACUGAAGACUUUGAUAUUCUGAAGACUUUCUGAAGACUUUGAAAGUGAAGAAAUUGGUGUGACCUUGAAGACUUGGUAUUCAUUUGUGGAACAUGAGGCGUGAAGACCUUUGUUUUCGUAGUUUCAUUUUCUCUUUCUUGAGUCAUAGGAAACACCGUACUAUUAAAGGGGGUCGAGGAAAUACUAAGGAAAAAUUUCCAUGUGAUGCUCAACUCAAAAUCCAACACCUACCAAUCCCUUCGAGUGAAGCCUUUGGAAAUCUCAUACAGUUCAGUCACUUUCUUCAGUGACAGAGACGAAGUUCUUCUGGUCGCUGAUGAAUUUGUUCUGACUGAGGAGUUAGGAAUUCGUCAGUGCGAAUUACCUACACAGUGAGGAACAUGAUAGCCCUGAGGAAUUUGAGAGUCAAAUUUCCGACCGUUGCUGUGCUGCGCGCGAGCUGUCCCAAAAUAUCUUAUCCACCUAACGGUCAUAUCAUUGAGGGGCAUUUAUGUCUUAUCAUGUCGGGCUGCUCCCUAGGCUAUAAAUAGCCGCCCCCUACAACCACUAGCUGGUUGGCUGCUCUGAGAGAAACUGACACUUGUCAUUUGAGAGCAACCCAUCCUCCGAGGACUUUGAGCGAAAAUCAUCGAGUGAGGAAAACCCAAAACCAAACCCCUACAAACCCAAAGUGAUUGAGCAUCACUGAAGAAAUUGAUCCUGUGUGGAUCCGACGCUUGUUACCUUUGAAGACUGUGCUUCUUCCAGACAGUUAGGCGUCAAGGUCUAGAGCAUCCAAGAGGAAUUGUGGAUCGCCGAGUGACCAAGUCUGUGAAGGUUUGGAAGUCGCCUGAAGACUUACCACGAGUGAUUGGAUGAGGUCUGUGUGACUUUAGUUCAAGGAGAAUACGGUGAGGACUGGGUGUCCUGAGCUGCGUGCUCAGCGUCUAGGUGUCCGGGACAGUGUGUCCUCGAGUUUAAAUACUCAGUCGCUGCAACCAGACGUACAACUGAGACAGCAGUUGGAACUGGUCUACCAAAUCAUUGUGUUCACCAACCUAACCGGUUCUAUUUCCUCAACCCUUUCAUUUCCUCAUUACUGUGUUGAGUGUUUGUUCAUAUCUGUGUUUGAUGACUUUGACUGAAGACUUUCUCAAUUUCCUCAGUUCAAUUUCUUCAGUCUGUUUGUCUUCAUCUUGUGUUAUCCUGUGAUUACGCUUUCUGUACUCUGUGCUAGUCUUCAUUUCAUCAUGAUGACCAUGCUUGUAUUCUGUUAUACUUACUUCUGAGUACUUAUUCCGCUGCUAAUAGUUCUUUGCUAAGGAAUUUCCUCACCGGCAAAUUCCUCAGUGAAGAAUUCAUAAAAAUCGCCUAUUCACCCCCCCCUCUAGUCGACAUAACGCACUUUCAAUUGGUAUCAGAGCAAUGUACUCCCUUGUUCUGUGUGAUUUUGGUUUAACCGCCUGGAGUUUUAGUUAUGUCGACCGCAGGUAUGAUCAAGGUCUCGGCUGGUGUCCUACCUUUGAUGGGACGGACUACCCCUACUGGAAAAACAAGAUGCGAAUGCAUCUCGAGGCAAUUGACAACGAUCUCUGGUAUGUUGUGGAAAAUGGUGUUCCCUCUGUCUCACCCUCACUGAACGCUACCGAUGUGAAGAGAUUCAAGCAACUCGAUUCUCAAGCGAAGAAUAUCAUAUGUGGCCAUCUGAGUAAAGGACAGUAUGGAAGAGUGAGUGCUUUGGAAACUGCUAAGCUUAUCUGGGAUAGGCUGUCCUAAGUGAAUGAAGGAGUCUCAACUCAGCGUGACUCUCGAGUUGAUGUUCUUCGGAAUCUCUUCAACCGCUUCAAAAGACUCGACAAUGAAAAUGUCCAACAAACCUUUGAUCGCCUCACUGACAUCUCAAAUGAUCUUCAAGCCCUCGGUGCCACUGACAUCACUGACCAUGAGGUGGUGAAGAAACUGUUGAGAUUGCUUGAUUCCUCAUUUGAUACUCUGGGUCUGAUGAUACAAGAAUGGGCUGACUACAAGUCUCUUGAUCCUGCCGAUAUCCUCGAAAGUCUAAAUACUCACGAGUUCCAGCUUGCUGAAAAGAGAGAUCUCUAUGGUUCGAGCUAUGGCAAACCACGUGCCCUGAAGGCCAAGGUUGUGUCUGAGUCUGAAUGUGAGGAUUCUGGUAGUAGCCUUGGUGAUCCUGAUGAAUUGAGCCAGGAGCUAGCACUGCUCGUGAAGAAAUUCCAGACGUUCUCAAGACGUGGUCGCUUUGGAAAAUCCUCAAGAAGCAGUGAUUCCUCAUCAAGUGACUAUAAGAGAAGGUUGUGCCACAAAUGCAAGAAACCUGGUCAUGAUAUUCAAGAUUGUCCUCAGUGGGAAAAGGAAUUGAAGAAGAAGAAAUCGUCAAAAUCUUCGUCAUCAAAAUCCUCGAAGUCUUCAUCUCACAAGAAGAGCAGCUCCAAGAAGGCUCGGGCAUUCAUUAGCAAGGAAAUGGACUCUAAAGCUGAAUCUGAGGAACAUGAGGAAGAGGAGGCGUCUGAAGAAUCCGAAUCUGGUGUGGCGAGUCUGGCCUUUGCUACUGCUUUCGUUAGCAAGUCCAUCUUCAACACUGAAGAAACUGACCCCACCGACAAGCCUGAUGAAGAUAAUGAUGACUACGCUCCCACCUAUUGCUUCAUGGCAAAAGGUGCAAAGGUACUCAAAUACACCUCCUCUGAAUCUAGUGAAAAUGAAUCUGAUGAGGAUCUCAAGCCGAGCUACUCUAAACUUGCUAAGAUUGCUGUAAAACAACAAAGGGCUUUUGAAAAGGUUCAAAACAUGCUAGACAAAAGUGAUGAUAUGUUGGGUGAAGAAAUGGAUCGCACUAAAGCCCUGACUGAAAAUCUUCAGAGACUUCAGUCUAGGUUUGAUAACCUUAAAAGUCAUCAUAACACUCUCUUAUCUGAUCAUGAGAAACUUUCUUAUGAAUUUCUUCAAAGAAAGCAAGAUCUUGAGAAGCUAAGAGUGAGUUAUGAAGAUCUUCAGAAGGAGCGCGAUUCAUUACUAGCUCAACAAAUCAGCGCUUCUCAGGAAGAAUUUGUUCCCCCAUGCUUAAAGUGCAUUGAACGUGAAUCUGCUAAUUCUUCACCUGAAUGUUCAAAUGCUUCAACUGUUACAAAUUCUUCACCUGCCUCUGCUAUCACUAAUUCCUCAUCUGAGGACAUUGCUAGUAUCACUGACGAUGCAGGGCUAAAGGAAUUGUACAUGAUAGGCAUGUACAAAAGCCUCAAAGGGCAUCAGACUCUUUGUGAUGUGCUUAAAAAGCAGAUCCUCAACAAAAACCCUAGGAAAGAGGGUAUCGCCUUUGAAAGGAAACUUAAUGCUGAUGGAACAUAUUGGAAGCCUGAGCAGUACCCCAAAACCUCAUGGGUUGCUGCAAAGGGACCUCCAGUUGAUCCAUCUAACUUAUCUGGCUUUACAUGUGAAUCUCCUCAUCCUUCUGAUGAGUCAUUUGACUCCAACUAUAAACUGUUCAAAAAUCAGAAUGGUGAAGUAUUUGCUAGAUAUGUUGGCACUAACUGCAGGAAUGGUUCUCCUAUGAAGAAAAUCUGGGUUCCCAAGAAGUGCCUUGAAAGUCUUCAGGUGAAUGUCCUCAUGACACCACUAGUGAAGAACAGGAACCCCAGUUCAAAUUCUUCAUAUGGAUCAAAUUCCUCAAAUGGAUCAAAGUCCUCAUAUGAUUAUCAUCGUGCUAACAACUCUGUUUCGCAGGGUAGAGCUAAGGGCUAUGAAUAUGUGCAUUAUUCUUCAAACCAUUAUGUUCAUAAGUCUUCGAAGAAUUUCUCUGCUUAUUCAUAUGCUUACCCUAACCCCUCUUAAGUGAAACGAAAUGGUUUGGCUUCUAUGCCACCAUUCUCGUAUGGUGCUCGCAGAGUGAUGAACUCUUUGCCACCCCUUCAGAUAUGGGUGGUGAAGAAAAAGAACUAAUCUCUUCUGCCGGGUCAGGUCUCCAGACGUGCCUAACGUCUGAAGAAUUUGCUGGGGACCUGACAAAAUUGCCUGAAAGGACGCAGGCGAAUCAUGAUGAAAUAAACUUUCACACAUCCUCCUACUGCUAUAUCUAUUUACUGCUUGAUGAAAUUCAUCUGAUGAACUUGAUAUCAUAUUCUUCAUUGAUGAAGCAUAUGAGAUUGUAAGUUACACUAAUUCAUCUGCAGGAUGAUCAACCCAAAACCACUCAAUGGGUCCUCGAUAGUGGAUGUACAAAUCACAUGACUGGUGACAAGAAUCUUUUGAUGGAUGCUCCCUUAUCACCGUCACAUCUAAAGCACAUCAUCUUUGCUGACAAAGGCAAAAGUCGGGUAUUGGGUCUUGGUAAGGUUGCGAUCUCUAAGUAUAAACACAUGGACAAAGUCAUGCUUGUUGAGUCCUUAGGAUACAACCUCAUGUCAGUCUCAAUGCUUUGUGAUCUUGAUAUGGUUGUUGUCCUUGGCAAGUAUCGCUGUGUUGUGAUUAUGGAAGCUGACAAUUCCAAAGUCUUCGAAGGCUUUAGGAGAGGAGAUUUGUAUAUUGUUGAUUUCUCUACAGGACCACAACCAGCCAUGUGUCUACUUGCAAAAGCUUCAGAAGGCUGGCUAUGGCAUCGACGACUUGUUCACGCGGGCAUGAGGAAUUUGCACAACCUUGCGAAGAAGAAGCAUGUCAUUGGCAUUGAGAAUGUCAAAUUCCUCAAGGAUCACUUAUGCGGAGCCUGUGAAGCUGGAAAAAUGACCAAGGCCAAGCAUCCAGCGAAGACUAUCAUGACCACUACUCGUCCAUUCGAAUUGCUUCACAUGGACCUCUUCGGACCUAAUCAUUACUCAGCAAUCACUAAUGAUGCAUCUCUAUAUGGUUUUGUCAUUGUUGAUGAUUACUCUCGAUAUACAUGGGUACACAUUGUUACUUACAAACAUGAAGUGCAGGAAGUCUUCAAACAUUUUUCCUCGAGGGCUUCAACCAACUUUGGUGUGAAGAUCAAGCACAUCAGAAGUGACAAUGGAACUGAGUUCAAGAAUUUCGGUCUUGAUGACUAUCUUGAUGAACUUGGUAUUACUCAUGAGUUAUCUGCUCCCUAUACUCCUCAGCAAAAUGGCGUCGUGGAGCGCAAGAACAGAACUCUUGUUGAGAUGGCUCGCACUAUGCUUGAUGAAUACAAAACGCCUCAUCGUUUUUGGAUUGAUGCAAUUGAUACUGCGUGCCACAUCAUCAAUAGAGUAUAUCUUAACAAAUUCUUCAAGAAGACGGCCUAUGAACUCCUCACUGACAAGAAACCCAAUGUGAGUUAUUUCAAAGUCUUCGGUGCUAAAUGUUGGAUUAGACAUCCUCACCACAAUUCUAAAUUUGCACCAAAAGCACAUGAAGGUUUUAUGCUUGGUUACGGAAAGGACUCGCACACCUACAGAGUCUUCAACAUUGUUCUUCACAAGAUUGUUGACACUGUAGAUGUGCGGUUCGAUGAAACUAAUGGCUCGCAAAGAGAGCACCUACCUUCUGUGUUAGAUGAACCAGCACCUGAGGAUUCUAUCAAGUUCAAGGCAACUGAGGAUGUCAUUCCUACUAAAGAAUUUGCUGAAGAAUUCAUUCCAGUUCAUGAAGAACAUCGAGCUGAUACACCUGAAGAAAAUGCUGAGGAAAAUGGUGCUGAAGAAAAUGCUGACCAAACUCCUCAGCGAUAACCAGCUCAUCCUCGCGUUGCAAAAGAAUUGCAAGUGGAGAAGAUCAUCGAUGACAUUAGAGCUCCAGGUCCUCUCACACGCUCAAAAGCUUCACGUUUAUCUAACUUUUGUGGGCACUAUGCUUUUGUCUCUAUCAUAGAGCCCACUAAGGUAGAUGAAGCAUUUUUGGAGCCGGGGUGGAUUCAGGCUAUGCAAGAAGAAUUACAUUAGUUCGAGCUCAACAAUGUCUGGGAACUGGUCAAACGUCCAGAUCCUCGCAAGCAUAAUAUCAUUGGCACAAAGUGGAUCUACCGCAACAAGCAAGAUGAAAAUGGCCUUGUGGUGAGGAAUAAGGCACGACUGGUAGCUCAAGGCUACACAGAGGUUAAAGGAAUUGAUUUCGAUGAAACUUUUGCACCUGUUGCUAGACUUGAGGCUAUUCGCAUAUUACUUGCUUGUGCUAACCAUCAUGAUAUCAUCUUAUAUCAAAUGGAUGCGAAAAGUGCAUUCCUCAAUGGUAAGCUUGAGGAAGAAGUAUAUGUUUCUCAACCCCCAGGUUUUGAAGAUCCAAAGACUCCUGACAAAGUCUUCAGACUUAAUAAGGCCCUCUAUGGCCUCAAGCAAGCCCCUCGGGCGUGGUAUGAUACAUUGAAGGAAUUCUUCGUGAAGAAUGGCUUCACACCCGGUUCACUCGACCCUACUCUCUUUACUAAAUCUUAUGAUGGUGAACUGUUUGUGUGCCAAAUAUAUGUUGAUGAUAUUAUCUUUGGUUGUACUGACCAACAUUAUAGUGAUGAAUUUGCCUAUAUGAUGAGUGAAGAAUAUCAAAUGUCUAUGAUGGGCGAGUUGAAAUUCUUCUUAGGUCUUCAAAUUCGUCAACAGCGCAAUGGCAUAUUCAUAUCUCAGGAGAAAUACCUCAAAGAUGUACUGAGGAAAUUCGGCAUGCAAGACUGCAAAGGCGUCAAAAUUCCUAUGCCCACAAAAGGCCAUCUAUGCACUGAUGAAAAUGGUAUUGACUUCGAUCAAAAGGUAUACCGCUCCAUGAUUGGUUCUUUAUUGUACUUAUGUGCAUCUAGGCCAGACAUAAUGCUUAGUGUUUGCAUGUGUGCCCGAUUUCAAGCUCCACCGAAGGAAUCACACCAUAAGGCUGUGAAGCAUAUUCUUCGAUAUCUAGCUCACACACCAACACUAGGAUUAUGGUACCCCAAGGGCUCUGCUUUUGAUAUCGUUGGAUAUUCUGACUCUGACUAUGCUGGUGAUCAUGUGGACCGCAAGUCAACUUAUGGCACUUGUCAUUUCCUCAGACGAUCUUUGGUCUGUUGGUCCUCGAAGAAACAGAAUUGCGUAUCACUGUCCACUGCGGAAGCUGAAUACAUUGAUGCUGGCUCUUGCUAUGCUCAACUGCUUUGGAUGAAGCAAACACUCAAGGACUAUGGCGUCAACGUGAAGAAUGUGCCUCUCCUCUGCGAUAAUGAGAGUACCAUCAAGAUUGCUCACAACCCAGUUCAGCACUCGAAGACAAAGCACAUUCAGAUUCGUCAUCAUUUUCUUCGUGAUCAUGUGUUGAAGGGCGACAUCUCCAUCGAGCACGUGAAGACUGAAGAACAGCUAGCUGAUAUCUUCACUAAGCCCUUGGAUGAGAAGAAAUUUAGCAAGUUGCGGUGUGAGCUAAAUAUCUUAGAAUCUUCGAAUGUUCUUUGAAAAGGACACACAUCCUAACACUUAUGCAAAAUUGAUGACUUAGAUGUGCAACACAUGAAGAAACGUUUUUAUUCAAUCAAUGAAGAAUAACACUCUAAGUGUGAAGAAAUUAAUGAAGAAUUUGAUUCUUAGAACCCUACGACAAUUGUACACAGUGUCUGAAAUCAUCAUUCUUAUACGGUGGGUCACGCCACCACAAAAAGUUGAAAAUCUUCAAUUUGAGUUUUUCCUCAGUUUUGAAAUUCUUCAGUUUUUCAAAUUCUUCAACUUUUCAAAAUCUUCACUGUUUCCUUCAUUUUUCUUCAUUGUCUAUAUAUAUAUAUAUAUGAGUUUAUGUCCUCUAGAGCAUUCACUUAUAGCUAUUUCUUCAAGUUGCUUUUUCUGCUAAGCGAAUGUGAUCGGACCCUUCCCCCCUCUAUGCUAUACUCAACCCAAUCUAUUCAAAAAUUCUACAUAUGUGUUCUAUUUGAAACUCGUUCAAAAUCUUCACUGUGUCCUUGUCAGUUGAAGAAAUUGCGAACGAAACUUUAAAACAAAUCAUAUCCAAAUUUUCGGUUUUGCCGCUCAAACCGUUCCACAUCCCACAAUGCAUUAUUCUAUUCACCCACGAUCGUACACGAUCUCAACUACACAGUACGUGGGUGACACAUGUCGCGAGAAGGAGAGAGGGCAGGGGCACAUUCAUCCCAAAUCUUCGGGCGAACAGUUUUUCACCGUGUCUAUAAAUACCCCUCUUCCCUUCCUCACUUCAUUUACUCCGCUCGAUCGCUACUCUCUCACUCGAGCUCCUCAAACCCUAGCGCCGCCACUACUCCAUCGUCGCCGAUGAGGAAGAGCUUCGCUUCCUCGACCUCGUCGCCGUCGUACUCACGCCGACCGUGGAAAUCUUCACUCCGCCGCCGCCGUAGCUGUCUUCCUCUGCCAAGUUAGGGCGUGGGAGAUCUAACCUAACGAACUUCACAUCUGUUCUUCUCAGUUCGUCGUGUUCUUCACUUAGGGUAAUUAAAAGUUACUUUUAUUACUCACUUUGAUUCUCAAACUUUCUUGAAAAUCUUCAAAGGUGUUUAUUCUUCAAAUCUUCACACAUAUGAACACCACACACAUCGCAAGAUCUUGAAUUGCUUCUCUAAGCAAUCAUUUUCUUCAAGAUUCCCUAAUUGUGUGGAUCUUCGAUCUGUACAACUCUGGAACCUAAGACAAGAAUGCUUAGUGAAAUUCCUCAAGGUUCAUCUGGUCAAAUUCCUCAAAACUUGUUCUUUUUGAAAAACCUUCUCAGAACGCAUAUGACCUCUCCAAAUUCCUCGCACCUGUACUCUGUUCACAGGUACUCAUGUCUGCUGCUGAAUCACUAGGUUCUCAUCAACUUAACUCAUUUGCAGCAUUCCUCGAAGAAAAACUGCAUACUUCUUCAGAGAACUCGAUUGUUCAAAUUCCUCAACUGAAGAAUAUGGCAGACGGUAAGAAGCCGCAGAAAGGAGGAAAGAAACCUGAGGUUAUGACUGCUUUUGAAAUCCCUGAGGAAAUUUAUGCUGACUAUUGCACACCUGAUGAAGCAAAAUUUGGCAAAGAAAACAAAAAUCAGCGCAAGGUGCGCAUUCAGAGGAUUGAACGUAGAUGGGCAAGGAUAUGGAGGGAAUACAGAUAUGUGACUCCAAAGUACAUGAGGAAAUUCGCCCUCAAUCCUACAUGUCCAAGAGCUCCAUUGGCACCUGACCAAGUAGCUGACCCCACAAGCAUCAAACGUGGUGAGGACUUUCCUGAAGAAUGGGCUAAGCGCCAAGCUAAAUUGGCAAGAAAAGCCAAGGAGGCAGUGAAGAAAUUCAAUGAGGAUUCUGCCACUUCUACUACUACUGAGGCCUCGGUCAAACCGAGGAAAUCCAUGCCAAAGAAGCCUACUCGUAAGACAAGUGCUUCACCAACAGUGCCCUCACGGAAAAUUCCUCACACUGCUACAGCUCCACCAAAAUCCUCAACGGCUCCUUCAAAGUCCUCAGCUCCUGUGCAUCUGGCUACAUGUCAAAGGACUGCAGGUUUCUCGAUUGCCUCUGGUGUUUCAGCAAGUUCCUCAGCUGCACCAAUUUCCUGAUCGGGCCCCACACUGUUGAAGACCAAAGCAACAGUUGGACGAGGUCCUCAGCCAAGUCCAAAGAAGAAACAGGUCGCAUUCCAUGUGCCUUCUGAUGAUGAAGCUUUUGAUGAUGAACUUGCAGAAAUCAUCAGAGACAGACAGGUGAAGGCCGCUUGAGCCAAAGGCACAUCUGUGCCACUACUUUUGGAUCCAAGAAAAAUCCUCGAUUACAUUGAUCUCUGGCACAAGGAUCCUAACACCCCUAUGCCUGAUUUUCAUCUGACCCCUGGUCAAAGUCACAUGCUGACUCAUUUCAUCACUGAAGAGAAAUGGAAGUUUGAAAAGGCAAGAGAGAUCAGGAAAGCUCAAUACAGAAAGGAGAAGCUCCUGAAGAAAAACAUUGUCAGAAUGACACCUGAGGAACUUCUCCAGGCUCAGUCUGAAAUUCAAGCCCUCGGCAAAGACUUUGAUGCCUACUAUGCUGAUUGGCAAGGAGCUAAAGUAAGAUUCGUCAAUCUGACGAAGAAAUUCAAAAAUGUUGCAGCCCCAUCGCAACAAGAAAAUCUUCAGGCUGCAGACUCUGCUCAGCCUACUGAAGAACAUGCUAGCACCGCUGAUGACUUUCAUCCUGCUGAAGAAAAUGCUCGUUCCAAGGCUGGUGAAUAAAUUCCAGCCGCUGAAGAAAUUGCCAGGGCAUCCACUAGUGGUGCGCCUGAAGAAACUGAAGAGAUCAGAGAAACUGCAUCAGUUGCGCCUGAAGAAAAUGAACCAGAUUCCUCAACUCCUCCCGCGCCCACACCAACUCCAAUUCUUCCAUCUGCUUCUGAUGUGAAGAAGACCAAGGCUGCAGAGCGAGCUGCAGUGAAGAAAAGGAAGGCAUCAGCUGCGUCAAACUCUUCGGCUGCGAAGAAAAUGAAGCCAAUAACCAGCUCACUCGACAAUCCAAUUGAUGCUGUUCCGAUUUCCUCCAUGCCAUCAAAGGACCUUGUUCCUUUUGGAGAAGACUAUGAGAUCCCAAGCGGAUCUGAUGAAGAAAAUCAUUCUGCUGCUUCAUCAGAGCAGAUUGAUGAAGAAAUUGAAGUGGAAGCAAUCCCUUCAACCCCAAUCAUUUCCUCGCCUAUGCCUCAGUUCACAGCUGAAGAGGCCGGUGUUGAGGAACUUGAAGAAGAUGUGGAUAUUGGAAGCACAACGCCAGUGAUGAAUGAUGACUUUUGGGAAAGUCAACAUCCAAAUUCUCCACUCUUCACCCCAAUCCAACAGAUACCUCAGUCCCCUGCUCCAACUGUUCAAAUGGGCUCUGAAGAAACUCAUCCCACUUCAUCUGUCCAUGAAGAAAUUCCAGCCACUAGUGCUGAUGAACCUGCUGCUGCUGAUCCUCAGACUGCACCUGUUGAGGAACAAGAAAUUCCUUAGCCUGAAGAACCUGAGCUCGCGAUUCCUGAGGUGGUGAUGCAACUCACUGACACCCCUCUGCCAAAGCCAAAGAAUCCGUUCUCAAGCAAACAGAAGUUCAAGGCUGAAGAUUUCUUUGCCAAGCACGUAUUCUUCACUGAUUAUAAUCCAUAUGAUUCUGCUCACAUAAGGAAGAGGCGUUUCUGGACUGCCAGCCAAGCCAAUUUCUAUUCCUCAGUGCUCUUCAACAAAGACAAAGUCUUCGAUCAUGCACAUAUUCCUCAUGUGGACAUGGAGUCUCUGCCCGGCUUUGAGCCAGUCCUCAAUGUUCUUCACGACGCAGGACUUCUGAAUUUCUACACUGAUAUCUGUGAUUGGAAUGAAGAACUCAUUCUUCAAUUCUAUGCAACUCUGCACAUCACCGGAGACGCUGAAGACGUGAACUCAUGGGUAUUAGACUGGAUGUCUGAAAAUACUCACUACAAGGCACCAGCAACUGAAUUGCUUCAUGCUCUACCACUCAGUCCUCCACUUGAUGGUGCUCGUUGUAUCUACAACAAACCAGAACUUUCAAAUCACUAUAUGCAAGUGCUGAUGAAGCCUUUGAAGCCAAGGCAGGCCCCACGAACCAAAUUCUUCGUCGAGGAAUUACUCUAUGUGCCUCGGACUCUCUAUUGAAUUCUGACAAAGACAAUGAGUCCAUCAAAGGCCACGACUCAAAUGAUGAAGAAGUCGUUGGCAUCAUGAAGAAUAUGCUUUGGGUCUCAAGGAAGAAUUUGACUGGUCUGCACCUCCUACGAAGAAAUUCAAGAGGGUCAAAAUUCCUCCACUGGUGGCCAGCUCUUAUUCUUCAUCGCGUGACACUGAUGAGUAUGAAGAUUUGGACGACAAUGCGGCAGGCCCUGCUACAACAAACAACCCCAACAACGCUGGCGCUCCUCCAUCGACUUGAAAUUCUUCAGGGGAGUUAGUCCUCAGUUUCAAUCCUUUUGGUCAUUUGAUGACAAAGGGGGAGAAAUCUGAGUUAGUCUUCAAGCGGGUCUAUAUUAAGGGCAUUUUUUAAGUUACAACUCUCGUUCUUCUAAAACUUUUAUUUGGAUCGAGUUGUAAUCUUAAACUCGAUGGUGCGCUAAUACUUUUGUUGCAUUAUGCUUUGCAUGCUUAUUCCUCGUUAAUGACAUUGCACGCAUGCUGAAUCUCAUCAGGCACCAUAUUUCAUCAUGCAUUUCAAAUUCUUCAUAUUAUAUAUCAAAUGCGUGUAUGAAUUACAAGAUAUAGGGGGAGAUCUCCAUGAUUCAACUCUUCAAAUGUGCAUUGCCUCAAAAGCAAUUUCCUCACUAUGCACAUCUUCAGGGGGAGUUCUUCUAUAUCUUGUAAUCAAAUUCCUCAAUAUCAGUGUAUACACUUCAUAUGUUUAUCCCCGUUGAAAACAUAACCUAUGUUGUCAUCAAUCACCAAAAAGGGGGAGAUUGUAAGUGCAUCUAGUGCCCCUUAGUGAUUUUGGUGUAUUGAAGACUUAUAGGUUAAGGGACUAAUGCGUUUGUGAGUGUACAUAGGUCUAUAAGUCUAUGAGGAGUUUGAUAUUUACAGAGAAAGUCCACCCCUAAAAAUGAAGUUCUUCGACUGAAGACUUUCUGAAGACUUUGAAAGUGAAGAAAUUGGUGUGACCUUGAAGACUUGGUAUUCAUUUGUGGAACAUGAAGCGUGAAGACUUUUGUUUUCGUAGUUUCAUUUUCUCUUUCUUGAGUCAUAGGAAACACCGUACUGUUAAAGGGGGUCGAGGAAAUACUAAGGAAAAAUUUCCAUGUGAUGCUCAACUCAAAAUCAUACACCUACCAAUCUCUUCGAGUGAAGCCUUUGGAAAUCUCAUACAGUUCAGUCACUUUCUUCAGUGACAGAGACGAAGUUCUUCUGGUCGCUGAUGAAUUUGUUCUGACUGAGGAGUUAGGAAUUCGUCAGUGCGAAUUACUUACACAAUGAGGAACAUGAUAGCCCUGAGGAAUUUGAGAGUCAAAUUUCCGACCGUUGCUGUGCUGCGCACCAGCUGUCCCAAAAUAUCUUAUCCACCUAACGGUCAUAUCAUUGAGGGGCAUUUAUGUCUUAUCAUGUCGGGCUGCUCCCUAGGCUAUAAAUAGCCGCCCCCUACAACCACUAGCUGGUUGGCUGCUCCGAGAGAAACUGACACUUGUAAUUUGAGAGCAACCCAUCCUCCGAGGACUUUGAGCGAAAAUCAUCGAGUGAGGAAAACCCAAAACCAAACUCCUACAAACCCAAAGUGAUUGAGCAUCACUGAAGAAAUUGAUCCUACGUGGAUCCGACGCUUGUUACCUUUGAAGACUGUGCUUCUUCCAGAUGGUUAGGCGUCAAGGUCUAGAGCAUCCAAGAGGAAUUGCGGAUCACCGAGUGACCAAGUCUGUGAAGGUUUGGAAGUCGCCUGAAGACUUACCACGAGUGAUUGGACGAGGUCUGUGUGACUUUAGUUCAAGGAGAAUACGGUGAGGACUGGGUGUCCUGAGCUACAUGCUCAGCGACUGGGUGUCCGGGACUGUGUGUCCUCGAGUCUAAAUACUCAGCCGCUCCAACCAGACGUACAACUGAGACAGCAGUUGGAACUGGUCUACCAAAUCAUUGUCUUCACCAACCUAACUGGUUCUAUUUCCUCAACCCUUUCAUUUCCUCAUUAUUGUGUUGAGUGUUUGUUCAUAUCCGUGUUUGAAGACUUUGACUGAAGACUUUCUCAAUUUCCUUAGUUCAAUUUCUUCAGUCUGUAUUUCUUCAUCUUGUGUUAUCCUGUGAUUACGCUCUCUGUACUCUAUGCUAGUCUUCAUUUCAUCAUGAUGACCAUGCUUGUAUUCUGUUAUGCUUACUUCUGAGUACUUAUUCCGCUGCUAAUAGUUCUUCGCUAAGGAAUUUCCUCACCGGCAAAUUCCUCAGUGAAGAAUUCACAAAAAUGGCCUAUUCACCCCCCUCUAGUCGACAUAACGCACUUUCAAGUCCGAGCGAGUGUUGUUGGCUGAAUCCGGAUCUUGAUCCGAUCUGACACCCGGGGGCAUGGAAGGUUCCAAGCCCGACAGUUUGGGGUCCGGAGUAUCACCCGAUCUCUUCGGCCCGAUGCCCGACUCUAUGUCCGGGACUCGGAUCAUGUCUUCCUUUGAGUAGGUGUCCGGCUUACUGAGUUUGAUGAUCCGGACAUAAUUCGUCCUCAAAGUUGAGGGGCGACCCGUGUGUGGUUCCUCCACUACCGCUAUCUCAUGGGUGGCCGGCGGGGAUCCAAUGUCCCUCUGCUCGGGUUUAAGCCCAAUCCGUUCAUAGACCGUAGCGACUCCCAAAGCGGCGAUGCGAUCCAGGAGCUCAUUAAGAGAGGAGAUCUCUACCGGAUCCAUCUGUUCGGCAAUCUCCGAAUUGAUGCGAAGGUUAUGCGUGAUGACCCUAGAGGCCAUCGUUGGCGCGACAGCCAAUGGGGCGGCCAUAAUGAAGCCGCCAAGUCGGAGGAUCUGGUCUACAGCCAGCAUUCCUCUAGAGAUGAUGUCUUCCUUGACAACGAAAUGAGCCAUCAAGCCUUGCAGUGAUGACACAGAAGAACUCUCAAUGAAAGCACCAAUGUCGGUGUCAAAACCGGCGGAUCUCGGGUAGGGGGUCCCGAUCUGUGUGUCUUAGGCUGAUGGUAAUAGGAAGCAAGGGACACAAUGUUUACCCAGGUUCGGGCCCUCUCGAUGGAGGUAAAACCCUACUUCCUUCUGGAUUAAUAUUGAAGAUAUGAGUAGUACAAGAGUAGAUCUACCAUGAGAUCGUAGAGGCUAAACCCUAAGAGCUAGCCUAUGAUGGUAUGAUUGUAAUUGUGAUCGGCCUUCUAAGGAUCAUCCUAUCCGGUUUAUAUAGACACCGGAGAGGGCUAGGGUUUACAUGGAGUCGGUUACAAGGAAGGAAAUAUAAUAUCCGGAUCGCAAAGCUUGUCUUCCACGCAAAGGAGAGUCCCAUCCGGACACGGGCCGAAGUCUUGAGUCUUGUAUCUUCACGCUUCAAUAGUCUGGAUGAUGUAUAUAAUCCGGCUGUCCGGAUACCCCCUAAUCCAGGACUCCCUCAACGGCCUAGUGGAAUAAUGAGCCGUUAAUGGGUAUAACGUGGUACACUUUUCAUUACAGGCCAGUUUCACCACGGGUCGUUAAUGGGCCAAGAGUAACAAAGGGCCUCAUAUGGGACGAAAGAAGUCAUGGGCCACACAAGGGCCGGAAGUUAAAACAGGCUGGAAUCAUAUUGGACGGCCCAGAUGACGCUACUCGGCCUAAUUCCGAUAGGGUGUAACGGGCCCUGGGUUAGCGGGCUGUAAAUGGGCAAUAUGCGAACAUGCCAUUAACAGGCUUUCUGUGGGCCGGCCCGCCACCUUUUGACCAAGUCAAAUGGGCCAGCCUUUUCACAGGAAUGGGCCUCUGUUGGGCCGUGCCAUGUGUCGCAGUAUCAUAGGCGCCUUCGGUCCAAUGAGCGGAUGAAAUCUAUCCCAGCGGUGAGCCGACACGUGUUUCCUCCAGCCAAUGAUGAUUUUACACGUGGAAAAUCCCCAUUGGUCGGGGCUGUUAACGGGUUAUCGGAUCCAAAACUCGACCCGAUAGCUUAACGGCGUUCCGUUACGGUGGAUGCCACGUGGCGGUCACCCUUGACGAAAGCACUUCUGUGACGCGCGAUUUAUCGUCAUGGAAGUGGACACUUCCGUGAUGAUAAUUUUGGUAAUGUCAUGGAACACUUCUACGACAGCACAGGUAUGCCUAUCUAGAUUCUGUCAUAAAUGUGUCAUGGAUGUACAUGCAUGACAAAAAACGCGACCUACUGUGACAAACAUGUAUCAUCACGGAGGUGUAUUUUUUGUAGUGCUACUUGUUACCCAUUACGAAUUAUCUUAUCAGAGAACUAUCUGUUACCUAUAAUUUCAGCGCUUGCAGAGAAUACCUUGCUGAAAACCGCUUGUCAUUUCCUUUUGCUCCUCGUUGGGUUCGACACUCUUAUUUAUCGAAAGGACUAUGAUAGAUCCCCUAUACUUGUGGGUCAUCAAGACUCUUUUCUGGCGUCGUUUCUGGGUUGUGAAGCGCCUUUGGUAAGAAAACAUUUAUAUAGUGUGAUGAAAUUUACUGUCAUUUGUGGUUAUGGAAAAUAAUCCUUUGAGGGGCUUGUUCGCGGUAUCUUCACACCGACCGGAAGAACAAAGAGUUGUCUCUCAACCUAAUGAACCUAUUGAAAAUAUUUAUUAUUAAAUUCCUUCAGGUAUGAUAGAGAUACUGCUAGCUAAUCCUUAUGUAGGAGAUGGAACAUUACAUCCUGAUAUGCAUCUCGCACUUAAAAGGGUUGUAUUUGGCACUUGAAAGGGUGUGUUUUAUUAAGUAUCCGGUUCUAGUUAUCAUAAGGUCGAAGUACAACUCCGGGUCGUCCUGUUACGGUGGACACGACUAUUCGAAUAGAUCAAUCUUCCCUGCAGGGGUGCAUCACAUUACCCGACACGGUCGAUCCCUCUGGCCGGGCACACUUUCCUGGGUCAUGUCCGGCCUCGGGAGAUCAACACGUCGCAGCCCUGCCUAGGCUCAAUAGAGAGGUCAGAACAUCGGUCUAAAUCCUAAGCGCGCAGGGGUCUGGGCCCAUCGCCCGUUGCACACCUUGCACGUUGCGAACGUGGCCGGAAGCAGACCUAGCCUCCCUAAUACAAGACCAGGCGUUCCAGUCCAAUCCGGCGCGCGCCGCUUAGUCGCUGACGUCAAGAAGGCUUUGGCUGAUACCACGACGCCCAUUCCCCAUAUCUUGUCCCAUGUGGCGGUUAGUGCGUAUAAGGUGAACGACCCAACUCAGAUCAAAUACCAAGAUCUCGUUAAGCGUGUUAUUUUGAAGUAACUUCGAAUGCUGACCAGGACUAGACCCACCUGUCUCCUAGGUGGUCACAACCUGCCCUAUCGCUCUGUCACAAAGAUCCACUCAGAGGGCCGUUUGGACAAAUGUCCUUUCAGCCCCCAAUAUGUGAAUCACUCGCGGGUACUCUACGAGCCGACCCCAGUUUAGUCACAUCAUGUAACCUGUAUAGUAUGUAUCUAUGUAUGUAUGUAUGUAUGUAUGUAUACCCGUGAUCACCUCCCGAGUGAUCACGGCCCGAUAAUAUAGCAUGGCAGACGGACAAGAAUGUAGGUCCACUAAUGAUAAACUAGCAACCUAUACUAAGCAUCUAGGAUUGCAGGUAAAGGAAUCAACAAUCGUAGCAACAAUGACAUGCUAUGCAACAGAAUAGGGGCUAUCCAAUCAAUAAUAGUAGAAAAACCAAUGCAAGAAAAAGAGAGAAGAGAGUGGGCGAUAUCUGGUUGAUCAAAGGGGGUUUGCUUGCCUGGAAGCUCUGCAGACAAAUACGGACCCUCGACGGUGAAGUAGUCAACCACCGGGACAACCGCGGUCUCGAGGUCUACCGAAAAUAAGUAACGGAGGGGGAACACAAUAAAUAACAGAGCAAUCAAAGUAUCACAAAGUAUGACAUAGCAAUAAGCAGUGCUAGGGGUGACCUAACGUUGUGCUAAGCGUUAUGGACGGAGCGGGAAAUAUCCGGUCAUAUUUUCUCGGCUCCAGGCAUUUAUCGGACAAACGAACCGGUGGGAAAUGUUCCAUGUUUGUAGUGUUUGGGGCACAUGAUAGGUAUGUAGGUGGCAUAUUCGGAUUCGUCUCAUUUUUCUGAUUAUUUUUCGUAUUUAAAUUAUUCUCAUCGGAGUUACGGUUUAUUUUCUAUGAAUUUACAAAGUUUAAAUGAUUUUCUGAAUUUACAGAAUUCUUUUAGUCAGAAAAUAAAACAGCAAAAUACUUUUGCACCUAGUGCUAUUUUUGCCAUAGUGUAUGACAGUGGGGCCAGUGGGGCCAGUGGGGUUGGGUUGACUAGUCAACAUAUAAACUGUGUAGGGGCCCACAUGUCAUUGACUUAGACUUUUGUUAAAAUUUGUUUCUUUAAACUAACAGUGGGUCUACAUGUCAUCUACUAUCUAAUUAGUUAGCACUACUAAUUAGACUAACUAACCGGCUGGCCACCCGCGCGGCUGUGGCACAGCCCGCCACAGACACACACACCACACACACACACACACAUACACACACGACGCACACACACCAGCUCAUGGCCAUGGCCAUAGAGCAGCAGCGGCGGCAGCUAACAAGGCUGCGUAGGAGCAGUGUAAGAGCAGCAGCGGGAAGCAGGAGCAAGGAAUAACAGCGACGCAGCAGAGCAUCAACCAGAGCAGCGGAGUAGCGGGAGGUGGAGGGAGAUGGAGGUGAGUUGGGCCUCCCAGCCCCACUCGGGCCUCCCUCUCUCUUACUUUUCUCUCUUUCUUUCUUUCUUUCUUCUUUUUCUGUUUUCUUUCUAAUUUGUUUUGUUUUCUAUUUACUUUCAAUAUUAUUUAGGUUUUUUAAAAUAUGAGACUUGGUCCAUAAUUAGUUAUGCAAUAUUAGGCACUGCCACAAAAGUUUUGGGGGUUAUUUAAAAUAGUUUGUAUUUUCAUAAAUUAGGAAAGGCAAUUUUAAUAAUGAAUUGUCCCUUGUUUCAUUUAAUUUUGGGCACUCAAGCAAUUUAUAAAAUGUUGGUUAAUGAAUGACAAUUAGGUAGUGAAUAUUUACUGUUUGAAGGAAUAAUAAUUUAACUUGUUAUUUGAAUUUGAAUUUGACUUGAAUUUUAAUCAAGUGACAAUUGGCUUAGUAGAUGAUGAUGACAUGGCAUCAUUAGGGUGAGGUUACUGUAGCAUGAGUCUCGGGGUGUUACAAUCUAUGAGCAAGAAACAAUAACUGGAAAGAAACAAAGAGGAAGGAGAAAAACAAAAACAGGGCAAAAAAACUUACUCCAAUGACAUCUCUCUCCCUCAAAAGGAAUGGGAAAUGGGCGGAAUGAAUGCGAGGGAGAAAAACUACUCUGAGAGAGACAAACGGCCCGCCAGCCCAACUAUCGUGACAAACACCCUGGCUCGCUACUAGAAUCAACCUGAAAACGGGCCGCGCGACACACAAUAGCCGCGAGCGAAUGCACCAGCGGGACAAAAAUAGGUUUGCACGAAUCUUAAAGACAGACGAGAUCUGAUGGCUCUUGACUUAGACGUGAAGUAGUUAUUUCACAUCUAGAUGUGAAAUAGAAAAUCUGAUAUAAUGAUUGUAAUGUUGUAGUCUGUAGAUGUGUAAUUAAUGCACAAUUCAUUUUUUUGAUGCAGUACCAUUCCUUCAAGAUAUAUAUAAUUAAUGUAAUGUUGUAGCGUGUAGAUGUGUAAUUAAUGCACACGUUCAUUUUUUGGUGAAGUACCAUAUCUUCCUAUCUUCAAGAUAUAUAAAAUUAAUGUAAUAUUGUAGCAUGUAGAUGUGCAACUAAUGGAUACAUUCAUUUUUUAUGCAGUACCAUAUCUUCAAGAUAUAUCAUGUAUAGUACAACUAAUGUAUGUAUAACGUGUCGAUGUGGAGUUAAUGUACACACUCAUUGUUCGAUGCGAUUACAUAUCUUCAAGGUAUAGCCUAUAAAUAUAGAGUUAAUGUGAACAUUCAUUGUUUGAUACAAUAUGCAUCUUCAAGAUAUAGAACUAAUGUAUGAUGUAGCCUCUAGAGUGCAGUUAAUUUACAUAUUAGUUGAUUGACAUGGUGACAUAUCUUUAAGAUAUACAACUGAUGCAUGUGCCCAUAUCAUCAUCUCAAACAAGGCUAUAUAAACCAAGCCAUAGCUAACGAAGUCAUGUAUCCCACACAUUCACAGAGAAGCCACACAAACAAUUAUAACAUCAAAGGGAUAGAGAAGGCUCUAGUGUAGCAGAUACAAAAUCCAUAGCCAUGGCGAAACUCAUGGACUUAUGUUUCAUCAUCCUCACUAUUGGGGUAGCUGUCUCGGCUGAUGAAUGUGAGGGUGACCGACAGGCCAUGAUCAAGGAGUGUGCGAAGUAUCAAAAGUGGCCAGCAAAUCCGAAGAUAGAUCCGUCGGACGCAUGCUGCGCCGUGUGGCAAAAGGCAAACAUCCCAUGCCUUUGCGCUGGUGUCACCAAGGAGAAAGAGAAGAUAUAUUGUAUGGAGAAGGUUGGAUACGUUGCCAAUUUCUGCAAGAAGCCGUUCCCACAUGGCUACAAGUGCGGAAGUAAGUGAAAUAUAUUAAGGGAAUUAUGACGAUCGGCAUUGCAUACAUGCAGUUUUCAUAUUUGUUAUUCUUCGGAUUCACACGAUUUCGAUUUUAGUUAUGCAUUUUAUAUGUUUCUUGUGCUAUUCUGAUCAUAUGUUGGGACAAAUUGAAUGGUCUUGCAGGUUACACAUUCCUGGCGUAGUGACUCUAGUUUAGCUGUGGAAGGAGAAGCUUGGCUUUUACAUUCGAUGUGUGCUUGGCCUCACAAUAGCUUUCCUUUCAGAUCUGUAAUUCGUGAGGUUGUGCUCAGGAAAGUUUAUGUUAAGCACUUUGUAUGAGAACGUUUCUGAAACUAAUAAAGCCUUCUCCUCAAAUUGUCUAAAUUAUCUUUGUUCAUAUAUCAUUUUUUGGUUCUACUAGUAAAUAUGCCCAUGCGUUGCAACGGGAGUAAAACAAUUAGAUUGUGCAUAUGUGGUAGAAAUAAAAAAAGUCUAAAACAUAUUCCAGGAUGAGAUCGGGACCUUUAAAAUGUGAUUUCAUAAACUACGUCUGAAUCAUGUCAUGAUGAGAAAAGGAACUUCUGUAAGGUCAUUUCAAAAGCUAAAAAUGUGAUGGUCUCAUCACGACUUGAUUUUCUAAGGCACCACAACAAAAUAUUUUCUACCUGAGAAACUGUAUUGAUGGACCCUACCUGAGCUACACUAAUUAAUGGUGUGUCUCGCCUUCACCUAGGGUCACGGUGUUUACCAUGAAUAGGAAAACUAUAGUACCAGAAUAAACAUAGAGGUGUAUGGAGGCAAAUUAGAUAUUUAAUCAUUUUUGUAUACAACUUACAAAAACUAAUUGUAGGAAGUUUUGUCAAUUUUUUUGGGCUCAACGUUGUGCAGAUUAUGGAAACCUUUUUUUACGCGACUCGCAUGUACUAAAGAAAAUCAUGAAACAACCUCUACAAAUAAAAAAACUCUAUAUAAGCAGGUUAGUUUUGUUCGUUAUUUACAGAUCUGCUUAAUUUUUUUGAACAUUUUCUAAAAUUUACAUUCUUCCAAAUUUCCGAAUAUAUUUUGAAUACAUGAUAAUUUUUCUAAAAUCUUGAAUAUUUUGUGAACAUUUUUUCGAAAACGUGAUUUUUCAUGAAUGCAAACAUUUUUCAAAAUACUGGACAUUUUAUAAUUUUCCAAACAUUUUUUGAAUUAAUGAAAAUUUUAUGAUUUCGCAAAAACAACGUGAAUAGUUUUUAAAAAUACUGGACAUUUUAUGAUUUCCUAAACACUUUAUGAAUUCAUGAACAUUUUAUAAUUUCCCAAUAAAAUCCAAAACUGACAACUUUUGGAAAUCCCGAAUUAAUUUGAAGAAGGAAAAAAAGAACCAGAAUUAGGGUGAGGUUAAUGUAGCAUGAGUCUCGGGAUGUUACAAAUCUACUCCACUACAAAAAAUCUCGUCCCAAGAGUUAAGAGGCGGAGUAAGGUGGAAAGUUCUGGUUACGAAAUUCUAAUGAAUCUUCUCGUUCUUGGUUGCUCUUCUCGAAUGAGUUGACCCAUUACGUUGAUGUCUUAUUUUCUCUACUUCGGGUAAUAAUGACGAAGUCGUCAUCCUUUCUUCAAGAACUCCAUCGUACUUACGAAGGAAUAGAGGGUGGGUAUUCCAGGGGAAACAUGCCUCUACAAGGUUGAUUAUUUGGUUGAUAACAUCAGGGAAGGUGGCAGAGAGUAACUCUCUAAUUGAAACCUAAGAAAAUAUCUAGAGCAAAGUAAGGAGGUAUCAUGGGAAGUCUUGAGUGGGCAGGCAAUCGUUCGGUGCCUGAAAUAGGGCAUGAAAGGGGUUCAAGGCAACGAGAAUAAGUAUUAUGUUUGAUAGCAGAAUUGAUGAUCUCUCGAAAGGUGGCUUGUGAAUUACAUAAGAGGACACACGCGAGGAACAACCUUGGGAAUAGGGGGUGUACAGGAGAGUCAGGUUUCGAUCCUGUGGAACUGUGGGUUCCACCAUGUGGGUUAAAUUUUGGAAAGGCGGUGUUGUCUUGCACGAUCAUGUAAGCAAGGCAUGUCAGAGGAUAGCCUGUCAGUUAUGUCGGCAACAACAUCGGUACCAUUUUUCUGCUCGUUGAACGAGGCAGACCAAUAGGCAAAGUUCUCGUCCAUCGGUGGUUACCGGAAUGUCAUCAACAUUAGUAACAGGGUCUUACUGACAGAGUGUUACAACGAGGUGCUUACUUAACCAAGGAAUUAUCAUUGCUCAGUUAACUCAGAUUACAAGAAAGGUUAAACCAAACAAUGGAAAGGAAAAUGUGUUCAAACACAUAUUUCAGGGGUAUAUCCUCCCCAAGGGCAAGCAGAGCACGAUAUCCAUGACAGGAUAGAAACUAGAAAACCAUUUAGGUCAGGGGGGAGGAAUUUCAUGACAUUACCCAAACAACGGUGUUUGGAUAAUUGACGGGAAAAAAUUAGCAUUGUGCUUCAAAUGUUCUUAUUGAAGAUCGAAGGACCACAAACAUGCUUUAAGAUUGCAUUGACAUGGUCUUCAAGCAAGGUCGGACUUUGGAUACUCAAAGGAUUCAUCAGGAACAACUUAUAGAAUAAGUCUUACAAUUUCCUCAUGGAAGAAUGGUUAACCUUGCUAAAAAGGAAACUAUAACAAUAGGGCCCCGACCAGGUGUGCUAGGCAUGACAUCACAUUAUCGGGUCAUAUAAAGACCAAUGUUAUAACUCUUGGAAAUAUGUUCCAACCAUCAUAUUUGACCGAGAUUCGGAUCUGAUUGGUGUCAGGAUACCUCGGACUCAGGAUGCUUGAGAAGAAAAAGGUGCGACACAUAUUGACGAGAUGGCAUUUUAAGAUUAUUGGGAAAUGAACUAUGGGAGCGAGUUCCGAAACAAAAGUUCAUCAUUAAAUCAAGGAGAGGGCGAGGAGGUGGCUGAUGGACUCAGCGACAAUUCAUUGAGAUUUCCCAAAAGAUGGAUUUGCACAAUUAUGUGAAGGAGAUAACAUUUGUAAGAUCAAAUGAUAUAACGAUGUAUGCUGAAGGAGAACAUCCACGAGUAAACAUUGGUUGAAAGGUGCAACCAAAAUAUGGGCUUAGGUAGCAUGAUCAAUGUUAGAAUGGUGAUUCAAUAACCAAUACACAAAGAAUGAAACUAUCAUUCAUUAACUUACAUGCAAUAGGGUUGCUAGAAGUUUUGAAUUUUACACAUCACAGUCCAGUUGUCAGUACUCUGGUUAAGAACAACAUGGGGACCAAGAACUGAAUGUAGACGGUGAGAUAUAUCACUUGUAUCAAGAAUUCUUAAGAGGUGGUGAAAUUCUCACAACUUUCUUGAUAUAUAAAAUGAUAAUACUCCAAGGUAGGACAUAAGAUAAGUUGGAUUGCCAGGAACUCAUGGCACACCACAACACUAACAAGUUUGUGUUGGAAAGAAGGUGAGGAAGUAGUUGAUGACAACACAAAUUACGAAGGAUAAGGAUGGUAAUCCCCAUCAGAAAUUUGAUUGAUAUCCUGGAAGGAGUCAAAAUGUUGUUGAUGAUCAUGAGAAAUUUGGUCGAGAGGCUCCACGAAGAAGCAAUCAAACAGUGACUGCAUCAAGCAAAAGUACUAAUGUAGCGAAAGAUUAUUGGAUCCUUGGAUACGCCACCAACUCGGAAUGAAGCUUGUUGUUCAUGGUGGAAUGAUAAGACGAGGGAAUCGACGUAAGAUUAGCUCAUCGUCGAAGUUGUGCUCUGGGAGUAAGGAACAUGUAGCACAGUUAAAAUCAGCACGAUAAUGAUAUAGCCGAGAAGGACAAGAAUGACAUGGUCGAGUACAAACUCGUGAGUAAAGGAGAUUACUUUAAUCAUGGUGCGGACCUGAUUUAUUUAUUGGUGUCCUCGAGUGACUAACAACUCGGAACCCAGGAAAAAUUGGAAUCGGUGAGGAAUAAUACUUGAUGAAGGCUCAUAAUAAGCAACAUGGUUCGGUGCUAUUAUCGAGAUACCAGAGGGUAAUACUCGGAGGUAGAGAAAAAUAGAGGGUUGACAAGUUUAUUGAUAUGCAGAAGACAAGUACUUUAACUUGUCCGAGAAAAGGAAUCAAGGAAUAUCAAUAUGGCCGAAACCAUAGCUACAAGGGAACCAAUUUAAUGACACCGAAAGAAUUAUCCAACUAAUUAAAUGUUUUGCAAGAAGCUUGUAUGACAAGUUCCACAUCAGGUCCAUGGGCAUGAAAACUAAGUUCGUGCAGUUUUUGCAGAAAAGUGAGACUACGUCCUCCUUGUGGCAGUCCUCGACCUUGUUAAGCACAAGGAGGAAGUUGGCCCAGUAACGGUGUACCGUCUCCAGGGGCUCUUGCCUGAUGCGGGAGAGACGGUUUAAGUUCGAGCGAGUGUUGUUGGCUAAAUCCGGAUCUUGAUCCGAUCUGACACCCGGGGGCAUGGACAGUUCUGAGCCCGACAGUUCGGGGUCCGGAGUAUCACCCGAUCUCUUCGGCCCGAUGCCCGACUCUAAGUUCGGGACUCGGGUCAUGUCUUCCUUUGAGUAGGUGUCCGGCUUACUGAGUUCGGUGAUCCGGACAUAAUUCGUCCUUAAAGUUGAGGGGCGACCCGUGUGUGGUUCCUCCACUACCGCUAUCUCAUGGGUGGCGGGCGGGGAUCCAAUAUCCCUCUGGUUGGGUUUAAGCCCAAUUCGGUCAUAGUCCGUAGCGACUCCCAAAGCGGCGAUGCGAUCCAGGAGCUCAUUAAGAGAGGAGAGCUCUACCGGAUCCAUCUGUUCGGCAAGCUCCGAAUUGAUGCGAAGGUUAUGCGUGAUGACCCGAGAGGCCAUCGUUGGCGAGACAGCCAAUGGGGCGGCCAUAAUGAAGCCCCCAAGUUGGAGGAUCUGGCCUACAACCAGUGUUCCUCCUGAGAUGAUGUCGUCCUUGACAACGAGACGAGCCAUCAAGCCUUGCAGCGACGACAUAGAAGAACUCUCAACGAAAGCACCAAUGUCGGUGUCAAAACCGGCGGAUCUCGGGUAGGGGGUCCUGAUCUGUGCGUCUUAGGCUGAUGGUAACAGGAAGCAAGGGACACAAUGUUUACCCAGGUUCGGGCCCUCUCGAUGGAGGUAAAACCCUACUUCCUGCUUGAUUAAUAUUGAAGAUAUGAGUAGUACAAGAGUAGAUCUACCACGAGAUCGUAGAGGCUAAACCCUAAGAGCUAGCCUAUGAUGGUAUGAUUGUAAUUGUGAUCGGCCUUCUAAGGACCAUCCUCUCAGGUUUAUAUAGACACCGGAGAGGGCUAGGGUUUACAUGGAGUCGGUUACAAGGAAGGAAAUAUAAUAUCCGGAUCGCAAAGCUUGUCUUCCACGCAAAGGAGAGUCCCAUCCGGACACGGGCCGAAGUCUUGAGUCUUGUAUCUUCACGCUUCAAUAGUCCGGACGAUGUAUAUAGUCUGGUUGUCUGGAUACCCCCUAAUCCUGGACUCCCUCAAUGGCCCAGUGGAAUAAUGGGCCGUUAAUGGGUAUAAAGUGAUACACUUUUUAUUACGGGCCAGUUUCACCACGGGUCGUUAAUGGGCCAAGAGUUACAAAGGGCCUCAUAUGGGCCGAAAGAAGUCAUGGGCCACACAUCGGCCGGAAGUUAAAACGGGCUGGAAUUAUAUUGGACGGCCCAGAUGAUGCUACUGGGCCUAAUUCGGAUAGGGCGUAACGGGCCCAAGGUUAGCGGGCUGUAAAUGGGCAAUAUGCGAACAUGCCUUUAACAGGCUUUCUGUGGGCCGGCCCGCCACCUUUUGACCAAGUCAAACGAGCCGGCCUUUUCACAGGAAUGGGCCUCUGUUGGGCCUUGCCGCGUGUCGCCGUAUCAUAGGCGCCUUCGGUCCAAUGAGCGGAUGACAUCUAUCCCAGCGGUGAGCCGACACGUGUUUCCUCCAGCCAAUGAUGAUUUUACACGUGGAAAAUCCCCAUUGGUCGGGGCUGUUAAUGGGUUCUCGGAUCCAAAACUUGACCUGAUAGCUUAACGGCGUUCCAUUACGGUGGAUGCCACGUGUCGGUCACCCUUGACGAAAGCACUUUUGUGACGCGCGAUUUAUCAUCAUGGAAGUGGACACUUCCGUGAUGAUAAUUUUGGUAAUAUCAUGGAACAUUUCAACGACAGCACAUGUAUGACUAUCUAGAUUCUGUCAUAAAUUUGUCAUGGAUGUACAUGCAUGACAAAAAACGUGACCUACUGUGACAAACACGUAUCAUCACGAAAGUGUAUUUUUUUUAGUGCUACUUGUUACCCAUUACGAAUUAUCUUAUCAGAGAACUAUCUGUUACCGAUAAUUUCAGCGCUUGCAGAGAAUACCUUGCUGAAAACCGCUUGUCAUUUCCUUUUGCUCCUCGUUGGGUUCGACACUGUUAUUUAUUGAAAGGACUAUAAUAGAUCCCCUAUACUUGUGGGUCAUCAAGACUCUUUUCUGGCGUCGUUUCCGGGUUGUGAAGCGCCUUUGGUAAGCAAACAUUUAUAUAGUGUGCUGAAAUUUACUGUCACUUGUGGUUAUGGAAAAUAAUCCUUUGAGGGGCUUGUUCGCGGUAUCUUCACACCGACCGGAAGAACAAAGAGUUGUCUCUCAACCUAAUGAACCUAUUGAAAAUAUUUAUUAUUAAAUUUCUUCAUGUAUGAUAGAGAAAUUGCUAGCUAAUCCUUAUGUAGGAGAUGGAACAUUACAUCCUGAUAUGCAUCUCGCACUUGAAAGGGUUGUAUUUGGCACUUGAAAGGGUGUGUUUUAUUAAGUAUCGGGUUCUAGUUAUCAUAAGGUCGAAGUACAACUCCGGGUCGUCCUGUUACGGUGGACACGACUAUUCGAAUAGAUCAAUCUUCCCUGCAGGGGUGCAUCACAUUACCCGACACGAUCGAUCCCUCUGGCCGGGCACACUUUCCUGGGUCAUGUCCGGCCUUGGGAGAUCAACACGUCGCAGCCCUGCCUAGGCUCAACAGAGAGGUCAGAACAUCGGUCUAAAUCCUAAACGCGCAGGGGUCUGGGCCCAUCGCUCGUUGCACACCUUGCACGUUGCGAUCGUGGCCGGAAGCAGACCUAGCCUCCCUAAUACAAGACCAGGCGUUCCAGUCCAAUCCGGCGCGCGUCGCUUAGUCGCUGACGUCAGGAAGGCUUUGUCUGAUACCACGAUGCCCAUUCCCCAUAUCUUGUCCCACGUGGCGGUUAGUGCGUAUAAGGUGAACGACCCAACUCAGAUCAAAUACCAAGAUCUCGUUAAGCAUGUUAUUUUGAGGUAACUCCGGAUGCUGACCAGGACUAGACCCACCUGUCUCCUAGGUGGUCACAACCUGCCCUAUCGCUCUGUCACAAAGAUCCACUCAGAGGGCCGUCUGGACAAAUGUCCUUUCAGCACCCAAUAUGUGAAUCAAUCGCGGGUACUCUACGAGCCGACCCCACUUUAGUCACAUCAUGUAACCUGUAUAGUAUGUAUGUAUGUAUAUACCCGUGAUCACCUCCCGAGUGAUCAUGGCCCGAUAAUAUAGCAUGGCAGACGGACAAGAAUAUAGGGCCACUAAUGAUAAACCAGCAACCUAUACUAAGCAUGUAGGAUUGCAGGUAAAGGAAUCAACAAUCGUAGCAACAAUGACAUGCUAUGCAACAGAAUAGGGGCUAUCCAAUCAAUAAUAGUAGAAAAACCAAUGCAAGAAUAAGAGAGAAGAGAGUGGGCGAUAUCUGGUUGAUCAAUGGGGGUUUGCUUGCCUGGAAGCUCUGCAGACAAAUACGGACCCUCGACGGUGAAGUAGUCGACCACUGGGACAACCGCGGUGUCGAGGUCUGCCGGAAAGAAGUAACGGAGGGGGAACACAAUAAAUAACAGAGCAAUCAAAGUAUCACAAAGUAUGACAUAGCAAUACACAGUGCUAGGGGUGACCUAACGUUGUGCUAAGCGUUACGGACGGAGCGGGAAAUAUCCGGUCAUAUUUUCUCGGCUCCAGGCAUUUAUCGGACAAACGAACUGGUGGGAAAUGUUCCAUGUUUGUAAUGUUUGGGGCACAUGAUAGGUAUGUGGGUGGCAUAUUCGGAUUCGUCUCAUUUUUCUGAUUAUUUUUCAUAUUUAAAUUAUUCUCAUCGGAGUUACGGUUUAUUUUCUAUUAAUUUACAAAGUUUAAAUGAUUUUCUGAAUUUACAGAAUUCUUUUAAUCCGAAAAUAAAACAGCAAAAUACUUUUGCACCUAGUGCUAUUCUAGCCAUAGUGUAUGACAGUGGGGCCCGUGGGUUUGGGUUGACUAGUCAACAUAUAAACUGUGUAGGGGGCCACAUGUCAUUGACUUAAACUUUUGUUAAAAUUUGUUUUUCUUUAAACUAACAGUGGGUCUACAUGUCAUCUACUAUCUAAUUAGCUAGCACUACUAAUUAGACUGACUAACGGGCCGGCCACCCGCGCGGCUGUGGCACAGCCCGCCACAGACACACACACGACGCACACACACCAGCUCAUGGCCAUGGCCAUAGAGCAGCAGCGGUGGCAGCUAACAAGGCUGCGUAGCAGCAGUGUAAGAGGAGCAGCGGGAAGCAGGAGCAAGGAAUAACAGCGACGCAGCAGAGCAUCAACCAGAGCAGCGGCGUAGCGGGAGGUGGAGGGAGAUGGAGGUGAGUUGGGCCUCCCAGCCCCACUCGGGCCUCCCUCUCUCUUACUUUUCUCUCUUUCUUUCUUUCUUUCUUUCUUCUUUUUCUGUUUUCUUUCUAAUUUGUUUUGUUUUCUAUUUACAUUCAAUAGUUUUUCGGUUUUAUAAAAUAUGAGACUUGGUCCAUAAUUAGUUAUUCAAUAUUAGGCACUGCCACAAAAGUUUUGGGGGUUAUUUAAAAUAGUUUGUAUUUUCAUAAAUUAGGAAAGGCAAUUUUAAUAAUGAAUUGUCCCUUGUUUCAUUUAUUUUUGGGCACUCAACCAAUUUAUAAAAUGUUGGUUAGUGAAUGACAAUUAGUUAGUGAAUAUUUACUGUUUGAAGGAAUAAUAAUUUAAAUUGUUAUUUGAAUUUCAAUUUGACUUGAAUUUUAAUCAAGUGACAAUUGACUUAGUAGAUGAUGAUGACAUGGCAUCAUUAGGGUGAGGUUACUGUAGCAUGAGUCUCGGGGUGUUACAAUCUAUGAGCAAGAAACAAUAACUGGAAAGAAACAAAGAGGAAGGAGAAAAACAAAAACAGGGCAAAAAAACUUAGGGUGCGUUUGGAUUGCAACCAAUAGUAGCCAUAUCAAAAAAUUGGCAAGCCCAUGGAAAUUGGCUAGUGCUUGGAUAGCAGCCAAAAUUUUGGCUCGCCCGACGUUCCGCCAACGGGCCAGUGCAAAUUUUGCCAACACAUGGGCGAGCUGGCGGCGCCGAAAAGCUCCGCCAAAAUAUUGGCAGCGCCCACGCCCGCUCACUCCACGGGGCCUGCUUAAUUAUCGCAGCUAACUCACGAUUGACCCUGAAAGUGAUUUGUAGAUCGGCAUAUUUCUCCUGUUCCCUGAUCGUUUGGUGGUAGGUACUCUUUUUUGGCUCAACAAAUCCGCAUGUGCAUGCAGGAAGAUAGCUACCUAAUUACCACAAAAUUAGCAUGAGUCGUGUAGGUUUAUUAAUCCGCUAAGCAGUACUUAAUUUGAUUAUUAUACUAGUACGGUCGAGUAGCAGCCCUACCUCAUAGAACUACUCCUGAAAAGCACGGAACUAUUUUUACCUAAAGAAGGGAUAUAUGUUUUGACGAAUGAAACAUUGCUUUUGCAUGCCCAUUUUUUUGUUACUUUUUGUGUAUUGUAGCUAUUAAAAAAAUCAUUUCACAUUUUUUUGCGGGGCAUGUCACAUUAUUUUUUGACUUGGAAUAAAAAUAAGCAUGGAAUAAGCCUAAUUCCCAAAGUUUGUCGCGUUAGUUGGCAACAAACCAAAUGACAGCUCAGUUAUUUUGCCAAAAAAUUGGUAGAAACAUUGGCUCUAAACCAAACAAGAACAACCAACCAAUAUUUUGGCCAUGCCCUCACUUUGGUCAUGCCAAAAAAUUUGGUGGGGCUAGUUGGGGCACAAACCAAACACACCCUUACUCCAAUGACAUCUCUCUCCCUUAAAAGGAAUGGGAAAUGGGCGAAAUGAAUGCGAGGGGGAAAAACUACUCUGAGAGAGACAAACGUCCCGCCAGCCCAACUAUCGUGACAAACACCCCGGCCCGCUACUAGUAUCAACCUGAAAACGGGCCGCACGACACACAAUAGCCGCGAGCGAAUGCACCAGCGGGACAAAAAUAGGUUUGCGCGAAUCUUAAAGACAGACGAGAUCCAAUGGCUCUUGACUUAGACGUGAAGUAGUUAUUUCACAUCUAGAUGUGAAAUAGCAAAUCUGAUAUAAUGAUUGUAAUGGUAUAGUCUGUAGAUGUGUAAUUAAUGCACAAUUCAUUUUUUUGAUGCAGUACCAUUCCUUCAAGAUAUAUAUAAUUAAUAUAACGUUGUAGCAUGUAGAUGUGUAAUUAAUGCACACGUUCAUUUUUUGGUGAAGUACCAUAUCUUUCUAUCUUCAAGAUAUAUAUAAUUAAUGUAAUAUUGUAGCAUGUAGAUGUGCAACUAAUGGAUACAUUCAUUUUUUAUGCAGUACCAUAUCUUCAAGAUAUAUCAUAUAUAGUACAACUAAUGUAUGUAUAACGUGUCGAUGUGGAGUUAAUGUACACACUCAUUGUUCGAUGCGAUUACAUAUCUUCAAGGUAUAGCCUAUAAAUAUAGAGUUAAUGUGAACAUCCAUUGUUUGAUACAAUAUGCAUCUUCAAGAUAUAGAACUAAUGUAUGAUGUGGCCUCUAGAGUGCAAUUAAUGUACAUAUUAAUUGUUUGACAUGGUGACAUAUCUUCAAGAUAUACAACUGAUGCAUGUGCCCAUAUCAUCAUCUCAAACAAGGCUAUAUAAACCAAGCCAUAGCUAUCGAAGUCAUGUAUCCCACACAUUCACAGAGAAGCCACACAAACAAUUAUAACAUCAAAGGGAUAGAGAAGGCUCUAGUGUAGCAGAUACAAAAGCCAUAGCCAUGGCGAAACUCAUGGGCUUAUGUUUCAUCAUCCUCACUAUUGGGGUAGCCGUCUCGGCUGAUGAAUGUGAGGGUGACCGACAGGCCAUGAUCAAAGAGUGUGCUAAGUACCAAAAGUGGCCAGCAAAUCCGAAGAUAGAUCCGUCGGACGCAUGCUGCGCCGUGUGGCAAAAGGCAAACAUCCCAUGCCUUUGCGCUGGUGUCACCAAGGAGAAAGAGAAGAUAUAUUGUAUGGAGAAGGUUG